rnacentral:lncRNA from 1 species
CAAAGUGGUAAAUUCUAAGCAUAUGCAUUCAACUCUUGAACUAGCAUGUAGGAAUGUUAACUAAAAUUGCAUCAAAUCAUAAUAUAACAUCAAUCCAUACAAGAUUGGUUAGUGUUUUCAACCCUAACCCCAACAAAGUACUACUCACUCAUAAUUACAUAAACAAACUUCAUAAUCAAAUUAAACAUCAAAAUAGAUCUAGAGUUUAAGAGAGAGAGAGUUGGCUUAGUGGUGUGUUGAUUGAUCCCCAAGCUCACGUCUUGGUGGUACGUGGUGGUGAUGAAGGUGAUUUCCUCUCCUUCUUGCUCAUGUUGUUUGAUGACAAGAGAUGGUGAAGCUUGAUCUAUGCUUUGUGUGAAUAGGUGGAGUGGAUGGAGAAAAUGGUAUAGAUAAGAGAAUGGAGAAAUGGUGUAGUGGUGGUGGUGUUAAUGGAGGUUUGGGUAAGAGAUGGUGGUAGUGAUGGAGGAGAUAGAGUAGAUUGGGGGAGGAAGAGGAAAAAGAUGGGUUUGGAUUUUGGGAGAGGGAGAUGGAGGUUUUGUGGUGGAAAAGAGAGAAAAAGGUAGAGAGUGGUGAAUGGGUGGAUGAUGAAUGUUGUAGUGGAUAGAUGUAUGUUUAUUAUAUAGAAGAAAGAUAAGUGAAAAUGGGGGAAUGAGAAAGUCAAAACAGCCCCCUUCCCUAAUUCAACUGUAAGGGAGAAGGAAGAGUGUGAGAGUGUCCAUGAAUUGCCAAAAAAAAGAUAAAAAUGUAGGGAAAUAAUCGCAUAGGUUAGAGUAGGCAAUGAUGAUGUUUAAAGCAUGGUGAUGUCUAUUAUCCAAAGAGUAAUAGAAUGAAUUUCAUGUUGUUACUCAAUCACCAUUAAUCUCCUUGCUCCUCCUUUAUGGUGACUGGAAAAGACAUGACACCACCAAAAGAGGUGGUGAGCCGUCAUUUGUGCAGUCAAUAGUGGUGGUUCGCCGGAAUCCGAAAAUCUACGUUUUGCUUCACAUUGGACCGUCAUUUUUCCUAGCUCCGAUUCUCCAUGUUAAUGCCAAAAAUGCAUAUUUUCAUCACUCUUGCAAUAUUCCUAGAUAAAUAGAAAAUGAUUUAGUGAAAGAAAAAAUGAACUCAAAAACAAGGCAAAUUCAAUAUUUAGGGGAAUGAAAAUGUGUGUAAAUUAUGGUCUAACACAUACCCAAUGGACUAAUCGAGAUCACAUCACAGGGACCAAUUGCCACUAAUCUUUUCAAAUCUUUCAUGUACUCUCAUUUCGAUGGGAUCAAAUGGUAGCCUUAUCACAAGUAAUUGUUAUCAUGUAACAAUAAUUAAGAGACUGAAGAAAGAAUAAACCCCUCAGAAUUCAGGGCAGGACAGCAUGAAACCUUAGUCAAAAAUGGUUCCUCAACCUCAAGAAAAGAGGGAGCACCAAUAUUUUGACAUGAGUUUUCACGCAUAUCUCGCUCAGAUUCUUACUGGUUUCUUCUUCAUCAUAUUUAAAGGACUAAUCGAGAUCAAAUCACAGGGACCAAUUGCCACUAAUCUUUUCAAAUCUUUCAUGUACCCUCAUAUCUAUGGGAUCAAAUGGCAGCCUUAUCAAGUAAUUGUUACCAUGUAACAAUAAUUAAGGGAUUGAUGAAAGAAGAAACCCUCAGAAUUGGGCAGGACAACAUGAACCUUAGUCAAAAAUAGUUCCUCAACCUCAAGAAAAGAGGGAGCACCAAUAUUUUGACAUGAGAUUUCAGGCAUGUCUCGCUCAGAUUCUUACUGGUUUCUUCUUCAUCAUACCCAAGGGACUAAUCGAGAUCACAUCACACGAACCAGUUGCCACUAAUCUUUUCAAAUCUUUCAUGUACCCUCAUUUUGAUAGGAUCAAAUGGCAGUCUUAUCACAAGUAAUUGUUACCAUGUAACAAUAAUUAAAGGACUGAUGAAAGAAGCAAUUGUUACCAUGAAUGUUGUUUAGCAGUGUUUCUUGUGAUCGGAGAACCCCUCAGAAAAAUCUUAGGGGUUACUUGAAAGAAGAAAGAUAGAACUAAAAGAAGUAACCCCUUAGAAACCAUGAAAGUUAUGCAGGGUUACUUGUGAUCGAAACCGUAAAAAUCUUAGUGAUCAGAACUUCCGUUUUCUUCCCAUGACGGGCGGUCCUCUCCGGCGAGCUACUCUUUCUCCAAUGUUGGCCAUACUAAACCCUAAACGCUCAAAAAUAUAUAGAAGUAUAGCACCAAAAGAAAAAGAAAUAUAUAUUUUUUUUUUGGUCAAGAAAAGAAAAAUAUAUAUAGAGAAGUAGGGAUCAAUAUAUAUACUGUAAUAUCGAUGAGUAAAGACAAUAGAAACUCACAUCAAUUAGGGUUCUCACAUCCUAUUAUAUGAUUCUGUUAGGAUCAGAAUCCAUUUAUAAAAGGAAAACUAGGAAAUCAAAGGAAAUAAACUAAACAACAUUCAUAUCACUUAUCCAUAUCUAAUAAGAGAAGUUUACAGCCUUUAUAUAUCCUACAAAUCUAAAAUAACUACUCUAAUAACUACCCUAUUUGGACCGAAUGGGCCUUGAGUUUACUACAACAAGUCUGGGCUAGGGGUCAUCAUUUGGCCCGCGGGCCUAAAAGCCCGUGGGCAGCCCAUCGUCCGGAAUGGCCAAAGCUUGGCCGACCCAUAGAAAAGCCCAUCUCGGCCCGGCCCUUAGGGCAUAAGGCCGGGCUAGGGCGGAGGGUUCAAAACCUCGGCCCUGCCUGUUACAUGCCCAUCAAAGCCCGCCCGGCCUGACCCUAAAAAGCCCUUUCAAUUGUUUUAUAAAUAUUUUUAUGGAGUUAUUAGUUAAAUAUGUGAACUAAUUAAUGCAUUAAGUCAUAUUUUAUUUUGAUUUUUUAUUACAUUUAGUUUAAUCAUUAACAAAUCUUAACUUUUUUUUUAUAAUUUUUUUUUUAUUUGAUAAAAUUCUAUUAGAUAUAUGUAUAUAAUAGGCCGACCGGCCUGGCCUAUCUAAAAAGUCCGACUCGACCCAUCUAAAAAAGCCGGCCUGACCUGGCCUAUAAGCCUGUAAGGCCUGGACAUGCGGGUUUUGAUAAUUUUUUAAGUUAGUCCCAUCCUGGCUCGGCUCUAAUAAAAAAUAAAAUAAAUAAAUUAAAUAAAAAAAACAUAAUUGAGGCCCGACCCGAGCCCCUAGCCAGGCGGGCGUUUUUUGAUGAUCAGGCUAUGCCCAGUACAUAAAAAGGCUGUGAAAUACAUCACCUACGUACAUAUGUGAAAGAGGAAUACGAGUUAGUAUCCUAACAGAUUCAGUCACGUUCUCUUCAGUGGGAUUGAGUUGGGCAGUUCUAUCUCAAUUACAGGGAUUUUAACGUACCAAUUAUAUUUAAGGAAACAGAGAGAGUGGUUAAAAAGGGAGAAGGCCCAAGUCCAAGACCCUAGCCCAACUAGAUCCCAGCAGCCGCAAGAAUGGCCGAAAACUAAUCGGAAGAAAGUAGAAACUAAAUAUAUAGUAAUAAAUAAAUUUCCUUUCAGCAGAUGUGCCCUUAAUACUGGAGACAAAGAAAUUUACCGGCACUCUUUAUCAUUACACAAUUAACCAACUGAGAUAUAUAGCACAAAACAUGAAAACUACACGGUGGUCGACGGAUCCGAAAUCCCAUCAUGCAUGAACUUCACUAAUAGUUGAAGCUAGACUUGCUUGCUGUAGCACUCUUCUUAGUGUAGACAGACUUGGUGACCUUGAGCUGUGUUUUGUACUCGGUGGUGUAUCCCUGAGUUUUGUCGACAUACUUGUCUAUCGAGGUGUACUUGGCCUCUUGUUUGUAGCCGGACUGCCCACUGCGGUUGUCCACGAACUCUCCUUCCUUGUAACUUUUAGUGAAGUUACUUGAAGCCCCACAGUACUCGUCGUUGUACGAUGACUUCACCUGGCUUUGCAUUUCGUCGGCGUUGAUGUUUCUCGCCGGAGCAACAGUUAUGAAGCCGCAAUAAGCCUUUUUCGUCAUUCUGUAACUAUAUGAAGACGUGGGUUGUGAUCAUAUGCAAAGAGGGUCUUGUCUUUUAUAUGGUAACAAGUCGGAACAUGGAUAUUAACUAUGAUUUAUGAAGAUGUGGGAAUCAAGAACGUAUAUUGUGAGGAGAGGAGGGGUCUUUUAUCUGUUUGUUUUGAGAACAAAGGUGUAAAUGUCAUUAUCGGUUAUGGUGAAAGAGACCAUCCAACUUUCCCAGUUCUUCAGGUGAGAAAGGAGGGGAAGUUGUUUAACCAAUACUAAUACUAAUGCAUGUCAUACAAGUGUUGUUUUAAGGUUUUACAGUGCAAUGUUUUUUCGUAUACCUAUUUUCAGUUUGUCCUUUAAUGGACUCCUAAAUCUCAAGAAUAAUAAGUACCAUUUAUAGUGCAAACCUAAAGGCUAAAGCUAUGAUUUCUUUAAUUUUUUGAAAUCCUGAAAAAAGUGAAUUAUCAUACUGAACAUAUAUAAGUUCAAUUGUCUGAUAGGAAUUUGCUGCCAGCAGAUAAAGGUAGCGAUCUUUGAAUUGAAACGGCCGGCAUAAAUGCAAAUAUGAUGAUUUAGCAGCUAAUAAGAAUAUAGAGAAACUAUGGUUCGUGCAUGCAGCAACAAAUGAGUUCAAAAACCAAAGCAUGUCUCGACUUUAAUUUUGGUGCUGGCUUUUGCUGGGUCUGUUUUAUCAUUGCUGGGUAUAACCAUUACAAAACAAGGAUGGGUUUGGAAAAUACGUAUAAUCUUUUACGCCUUAGGUGUAUUUAGAUAUUUGUGGGUAUUUAGAAGAACGAAAAGAGAUCGAUGCUGUAGAGCAAGACUAGUUGUAUAACAUUAAGAAAACAUUACUAAGAAAAAAAGGAUUACACAUAGUAAACAAAAGCACGUACGUAACAUAAAUAGAUAUAGAGCAGUGGAUACCAUAGAUCUACUACAGUCUAUUCCCAGGACUCUAACCCAAAGAGACUUCCGUUAAUUCCUUCCCCUACAUCAUUGGAGAUACACUAUUAAUUAACCAUGCCCGCAAUUUGGACAACAGCAUCGGCAGCUGCAACAACAGGUGAAAGAAGAGGUAUGAGCGUUCCGACUCCGAGCACUGGAAGAAUAACAGCAGCUACUGAUGCAGCAGCUGAAAUCCAACGGAAAACCGAAACAAAAGCCCGAAACCACGACAUUGUGACUCAAGGACGACUUCAACUUUACACUCUAGAUUAGUAGACUGAUAGUGAGUCUGAAACUGUAGGAAAGGCUGUUGAAUGUAGGAGGUUUGCGCACUAUAUUUAUAGCAGGUAAUUUAGAUGGGAACCUGUGCAGCUGAGCUCUAUCGGUCUCUUCGUUUAGUGUACCUCUAAUGAACACAUUUAAUUACUUCGAUUCUUUAAAGAUUAACGGCAUGCGCGCGCAUGCGUCUUCAUGCACUGUGUUUUGGAAAUAUGAGACUUUCAUGACAUAAUUACUGCUUCUAGUUUAUUGUGAACGUCAUAAUAUUAUAUUUGUUGCCUUACCCACAGUUUUAUUUCCCAAUUUCCUCUCUUGUUUUUCCAAUUCGCCGGUGAAGAUCAAUUUGGAUUAUUUUCAGAUUUAACAAGAUUGAUUGAUAUCCCUGACGAUGUUUCUAGUUUUCUUUUCCUUUCUCUUACUGGGUUUGUUAUUACUAGCUGAUUUUUAUCGCUGAAAUAGGUUAAUCUCUACACCUCUGCAAGACUGCAACAAACCCAGCAGCACCCUGAUAAGAAUUUCUCUAUUGGGUCUCCUUCUACACCCUGAUGACAACUUUCAACAUUUAAUUUGGUUUUGAUUGAUUUCAAUCCAAAACUUGCUGCGGAUUUCAAUCCCAAUUUUUGUUCGCCUCUUUUGGUCUCAUCAGAGGACGGAGGAGGAAGUUGAUUUCGGUGGGAGAAAAUUUUUUUUCGAUGAAGAAGCCAGUUCUGGGAUUGAUUCACGAGAAAUAAAGAGAAAAUAAAGAAAAAUACUUUUUCAAAAUUAAAAAUAAGAUUAGAGUUAACAGAGUUAUUGUGGUGUUAGGCUAGCGAUGAGAUGUCAAAUUUUAGUUGGUGGCACAGGGUUUUUGGGCAGAGGUGAUGUGCUUCCCCUUAAGAACUAAUUGGAAUAAAUCUUAGCAUCUUACGAGUAGUUAAGACUCAAGAGGCCAACAAAAGGCCAUUUUGCAUUUCUUCUGGGGCUUCUUCUGAAUUUACACCCUGCUCAUAUCCUAUAGAAUGUUCAUUUUGUAACAUUUCACAGUUGUUCACAUCAUCAUAAGUAGUAGUAGUAGUAGUAGUAGUAGUAGUUUAACCUGCUUCAAAUGAUGUUAAUAUAUUAUGCUUCAUUGAUUAAUGAUGUAAUCCAACUUCUAAGAGGUGAUUCUGCAUGCUGAGGUCCUCACUAGACUCGACAGCAAAAUUUGACAGCAAACCUGCAAAAUCAACCAAACCCCAUCAAAAUGUAGUCACUACGCAGAUAGGAAGUUACAUAAAUGUAAGAAUCACUGUGCCAUUACAGAAUCAAACAACCGGGAAACCCUUACCCCCCCCCCCCCCCCCCUUUUCCUAGUCUAGAAAAGCUCAGGUUUAUCUUCCUUUUGUCUGUACAUAAGUUGUGGCUCGUCUUAAAGAUAUUGAAAUGAUCCUCUCAGUAAUGGAGGUAAUCUAGAGCAUGACUCAUAUAUGAAGACCUUAAGGUUACAAUGUCAGGCCAGUUUAUCAUACUAUACCACAGUAAUUGAAAUGCCAACUCCAUGUCUCCCAAAGGAUACAAGGUUUAACACGCAUUGUGCAAUAAAAGAAGAAUAAUGACACCAGGAAAACCCAGCGCACAACUGCACAACUGAAGUUCCAACAUACCAUUCUAUAUUAGUCUAAUAUCUAGGAGAGCUAACUCACUCAAACUUCCUUUCAAAGAGCAGGACCUCUGAUACCAAAUUGUAUUACUAGUUUACCUUAUACGAGUUCUUCCUAAAUUAUCAAGCUAAGUGGCCCGGAGAAAAGUUUUAUCCAUUUUUGAGAUAUUAAUAUACCCAUAUGAUCAAAACCUUAAGUGUGAGUACUGAAAACCCAAGGCCAUCGCCAUGUCUCCAAUAGUAUCCAGCUUUAUCAUACAUCAGAUCUUGCACUGUUCAUUGUUAGAAUGAAUAUCUUUUUCAUGUCUGAAAUUAUAGAAGAAUCAUCUCACCAGUAAAACCUAGCAAGCACAGUUGAAGUUCGUUUAUACCAUUCUAUAUUAAUCUAAUAUCCAGUAGAACUAACAAAGAAACUCAAAUGUCACAAAGAACAGUAUAUGUGCUCUAGGAAGUUGCAUUCACUAGUUUACCUAAUUCGAGUUCUUCCUAAAUGACUAAGUCAAGUGUCGCAGGAAAAAAGUUUUAUUCUUAAAUAAAACCGGUAAUUACAACACCCACAUUGAUUGUAGUUAUGGCUGGAGUUCAGAAAUUUAGUGUAUUCCUGCUCAAGCGGCAGAUGGGCAAUGCAAGUUGAAUGUGAUAUGUUCACUGCUCUGUGCAUUUCAGCUUAUGUUAUUGUUGCCCAGCAUAAAGAUCUCACCUAAUUCAAACCUUACAAGCAGAUACCUCAUCUAAUUUCUCCAACAAAAGAUUUGAAUGCCAUAAUAUCAACUAAAGAACAAUGCAGCUCCGGAUCUACUUCAAGCAUACUUAUAUUCAGCUAACACUACAACUACUCGAUGCAAGAAUAGAAAUGCCGAAAAAUACAACCAUAUUAUCAAUGUAGUGUACCUGAAGCUUGAAGCUCAUCUCAAGACAGGCUUUUGCAGAAGAGCAGUCAAGUAAACCUCCCCAUUCUUCUCAUUCUUACUCGCCGUCGCCCACUUCACUCUCCGGUACCCCAACUUCCCAAUCAACGGCCCGAAAACCUUCUCAAGAUCCACCCCCUUGCUAAAGAAAUGAUCCAACCACAAGUACCCUCCUACCCUCAACACCCUAUCCGCAUCGUACAACAAAAACUCCAACGCCGUCACCGGAAUCCACCUGUUCACCGCGUGCCCGCACCGCACCAGAUCCAACACCCCGUCAAACACGGGGAACCGCUGCUGCAGCGGCACGUGCAGCGGCACCAGCCCCCUCAGCGCCACCGCCUCGUUAUUCGGACUGCCGAAAUUCAUGGUGGUGGUGACAACUGUCACAUUGUAGAGCUUCAUCCUGGCGGCGAAGGUCCCGGUGCCGCCGCCGACGUCCAGCCCGAGGCGGAGGACGGCGCCGGCGGCCUUGGCGAUCUGGAAGAACUGCGGGAUGGGGAGGUCCAGCUCGGACUUGUAGGUCAUGAAGUUGGAGAGCUCGUGGCUGAAGUCGAAGCCGGAGCUGAGGCCACGGCGGUUGAGGCAGCUGAAGCUUUUGCAGGCGUACUUGUCCCAUAUCACAUUCUGAUCCGGGAGAGAGGGAGGGAAAGCGUCGUGGGAGAGCGAUGACGUGGGCUUCUGCGGCGUUCUGGAGAAGCAUCUCCGGCGGGGGAGGGGGUGGCAGCCGCGGAGGAUGAGGCUCUCGGCGACGUCGUCGGCGUCGGCGGGGCAGAGGGAGAAGGGAGUGUAGGUCAUGUACUUGUUGAGGAGGUCGGGGUGGUUGUGGCAGGAGGAGGCGAUCGGGGAGAGGCGGGAGUAGAGGAGGAGGUCGGCGGAGGAGGCGGCGGCGGCGCGUGGGGGAGGAGGGUGGUGGCGCGUGAGGUGGUUGAUGGUGGCGCGUAUGGUUUGGAGCUGGCGGAGGAGGUGGUCGGGGACGGCGGUGUUGGGAGGGGUGGGGGAUUGGAUGGUGGAGGAGAGGUGGUAGAGGGAGAGGAUGUUGGUGGCGACCAUGGCCAUAAGCAGAAGCAAGUUAAGACCCAUUGUGAAACCCAUCUUUGGAAAAAUUGGGUUUCAGAUUUGGAAAGAUUUGAGCUUUUUUCUUGAAGUCAGUGAGCGUUUGACUUCAUAGUGAAGUAAGCAGCUUUAUUAUUACGGUGGAAGCAGUUGCAGAGCCCAGUUGGGGUUAGAUUUGUAAUUAGGAGGAAGUUUGGGGGUGGAAACUGGGAAGAGAGAGUUGCAUCACUUGCAUGGAUUUGGAUUUUGAUUUGGUUUCGUUUGUCAUUUCGUGGGGUUAGUUGGGUCAAAAGUGUGAAAAUAAUUAGAGUGGGAUGGACUGGAGGCACGUGACUUGUUGGACCCACUUGAACCUUUUUACCUUUUUUUUUUAUUAAAUGGGAUUAUUUUUUUUCAUGCAGAAUCUAUUCCAUGAUUUUAUAUUCCUGCCUUUCUGAUUCCAUGAUUAAGAGAAGCAUUUACUGUUUUCCGGGGACGGCUGUUCUUGAGUCCGACGAUGUGUUUAACUCCGGAACUAGAAAGAUGUGUUUUAAUCCGAGUCCUGUAUCUUGUAGCGAAUCCUGGUAACCACAUAAAGCAUUAGAGUGAUUGGUUUAUUUAUGAAUAUAUGUUACAUGGAGUUUAAUUGUCUUAAUUCAUACAGAUCAAUGAAGUCACACUAAACACGUCUUUAGAUUUUCUUACCAAAAUUUUAAAAUAAAAAGACAAGCUUUUAUGAAGCAAAGAACACCAAAGUUAUGAGUGAAGGAUAAUGAAGAGAACAAAAUCACAUAGAAGUGCAAACUAAGAGUUGAUCUUAAGUUUGGCUUUCAUAUAUUAUCAUCAAAUCAAGUGAGCGUACACUAUUGCUUUACGCGAUACUGUUUUUCAGUGAGCUAUGAUAUGUUAGUAAGUUAUAAAUCCAACAUAUCAUAAGUUGGAAUAUUCUCACUCAUACAUUUAAGUUGAGUGAGUGGUUAAGAGUUUUUUGAAGUGGUAAAAAUUAGCUUCUACCCUUUAAUUACAUAAGUGAUAUAUAUAUAGUUCCAUUCAAGACUAGGACACCGUUUUGAAAAUUAAAAUAUGGUGUUCUUCAUUUCGCUCAUUUUUAGGUCAUAUUUUCACAUCUUCACCGUUCAAUGUCUAGAACAUAGUGUGUAGAUCAUUCCUGUAAAAUUUCAUCCAAUCUAGAGAUCAUUUAGGUACCGAAUUAGAUUAAAUGAAUCAACUGAACAAAAUAUGUCCAAAAUCUCCAAAUUGGAUUACCCUAAACGUUUAUUAAGACUCUGGAAACAAAACUGGAUUGUGUUCUACUACUACGUGUAUAGCAAUGGGCCGAUAUAGGGACGAUACAACCUAAAUGGAACGAAUCCAAUGAACUGGGCUUUUUCGUUCUUGUUUUUCUAUACCAAAGCUUAUAUACACUUUCUGAGUGCUGCGUGCAACAGUACAAUCUGUAUAUAAAGAUCUCAGACUCCGCGUCCGACAAACGCAAACGCAAACACAAACACAAACUCAAACUCAAACUCAGCCGGACUUAGAUCUAUCUCUACUCACAACUUGAAUCAAUGGUAAAUUCUCUCCCUCACUUUCAGUUUUCCUUUUACUUCCCACUAGAUAAUUUUGCCAUACUUUGAAUUAGGGCUAUGAAUGUUUUUAACUUUUCAUAUUCAGAUUUCCACUAAUUAUAUAAAUUAUAGCUGGGUUUUAAUCAAUCUGUACUCUUUUAUGGUCUUCAAUAUGGAUUGGGAGCUGAAAUUGAGUAGGCUGAUAGUACCCAGAAGCUUUGCGGUCUUUUAUAUAGUUGUAGUUAUCUGGGUUAGCUAUGUUAUAUUGUUAUUGGGUUUUCUACUACCAGCCACAGAAAGUAAUCAACUUUGAGGAAUUACAAUCACUAGAGUUUGUGAAACAUGGUCUGAAAGAGUUAGGUAGUUAGUUCUAUACUUCUAUCCUCCAGUUCAGGCUCAUAAGUAAUGGGUUUGGAAUUGUGCAGGAGUUGGCUCAUGUAAUGAUAAGUGAAGUUAUGAACCUUUUGCAGUCUUGUAAUGCAAUUACGGUGCUUUAGAAAGCACACAGAACUGUAUGGUUUAGUUGUCUGGUUUGUCAAGCAAUGAACCAGUUCAUGUUCUCAACCAUGCCUGGCUAGAUAUCAAAGUUAACUUUUUCAAAUUGAUCGGAUAACCAGAAGCACUGCCUUCUUUCCCUUGUUUUUCUUGUAAGUCUAUACAUGUAAAUGAAUGGAAGUCAAAGACUAUAUGUUAUUUAUAGUUGGCAUAUUAUUUCAAUUAUGUGUUUUUUUUUAGUAUGAUUGGGUUUGUUAGCUAUUUGGUUUCCCUGUCAUUGGAUGUUCGUUCUUUAACUUUAUGAAUUCCGUUAUUAGGCUGAUCCCGAACUCGAAGCAAUCAGACAGAGGAGAAUGCAGGAGCUUAUGGCUCAACAAGGCGCUGUAAGUACAACUUAGUUUAUCUGAACAUCUGUGCUACAAAAAGAGGUUGUCUUCUUGGCGCUUUUGUGCUGACCUCACUACUUUAUAUUGAUAAGCAGGGAGGAGCCCGAGGGCAGCAAAAUACUGAACAGCAGAAGGCAAAUGAUGAUGCCAAGAGGUUGGGUUUUAAAUUAACUUUGGGUGUUACUUCUUUUUCUUUUGUUCUGAUAAUGUUCUUAAUAAUCUCAUAACAUAAGGCAAAUAAAUGUAGGGAGGCAGAAGAACGGAGACAGAUGAUGCUUAGUCAGAUUUUGUCAUCUGAAGCUCGUGAAAGACGUAAGUUGAUAUCUGAAAUUGGCAGUUGAUUUUCUAAUUAGUUUUACCCUGUAUUUUCCUUUAUUAGUCAUCUAUUAAGGACAAAACUAUUUCUGAUUUAAUAUGUUUGGAACUUUGGAUCACUGUUAUUGACUAGUAAAUAUAAUGUAGAUGUCUUGGAAGGAUAUUUAGUUUUUUCAAAACUAAGAAUGACGGAGAAGAUGCUAUCUUGAUAAGUUAAUCUGUGGCAACGAUCUGUUGCAGUUCAGUCAAAUGCAUAAUAAGUGCAAUUCAUAACUUGGCUAGGGUACUUAUACAUUAUCUUAUACGUAAUGCUAUGCAUUUGUAGUUGCUCGAAUUGCUUUGGUGAAACCUGAGAAGGCAAGAGGUGUUGAAGAUGUCAUAUUGAGAGCUGCUCAAAUGGGCCAAAUAGCUGAGAAGGUAUGGUUUAUGGUUCUCACAUCCUCAUCUGUCUUAUGGUGGCCCAUAGUUUUCUAUUUUUCUCGCACCAAAGCUUUCAUAAGAGCUCAUCUAUAGAAGAAACAAAGUGCUUAGAAUUCAAUUGUCAGGUCUCCGAAGAAAGGCUUAUUUCAUUGUUGGAACAGAUCAACAACCAAACAACCAAGCAGACCAAAGUCACUGUAAGUUUCAAUUCAUGACGACCUUCAUUUGUUUCCAUUUCCAUGAUAAGCGAUUCUGAUUUGGCCUUGUGUUGCUUUCCGUUUUCCAGAUUCAGAGGCGUAGGAGUGUUCUCGAAGAUGAUGAUUGAUUUGAAUUUGUGCGUUACAGUUGAAGACUUUGGCUGUAUAUUGAAACAUAAUGCACUUUGAAACAUAAUGCACUUGUUAUUGGGUUGUGAAAUAUUUUACUGUUCUUUCUUCAAUCUUGAUAUUCGUGAUAUGCUCUAAUACAAUAUUGUAUGGGAAGAAAUUUUUCACCAAUUAUUGUUUGAAGCCUUGUGAAUUUAAUUGAAAACUGGUCACUUGGAAUGGAAUAACAUUCUAAACUGAUUACUACCGACUCUCAACGCUUGAUUCUAGAUUUCAUUUUAUAUCAAAAGGUUUACCCUUAGUUGUGUUUUUGUGGCUUAGAUUUCAUUUUAUUAGAUUUCAGUCUAACAGGGAUACAUAACCCCUGAUAUUUGGUGCACAUUCAUGUCUGCGUCUGGUUGAUUGACUCUUAUUUUUUCGUGUUUGGUGUGAGACCAAAAGUCCAAAACUUCCGACAUAUGAUUCAUUAAACCAUGUUUCCUAAGAAAUAUAUAUCAGAGGAGGUAGUUUUUAUAAAAAUACAACAAUGAUGGAGAAAAAUUGAGAGAAGUUUAACUGAAGUUGAAGACAUCAAAAGGGUUAGCAACCUAAAUACUAAAAACAAAUGAGAGAAUAUACGUCAGCCUUAAGCACCAUUUGUAAGAAAGAAUAACCGUUAGAUGACACGAUCAGAAACUGAAGGCAACCAUUUGAUUGGAUAGGACAUGACACACGAGAUUUUUAUGAGGGAAAUCUGUAAAUUAUUUCACGAGUAAAACAAAUACAGUGUAAAAGAAACUAGGUAUUACAAGACUUUGAGAGAAAUCUUGAGUGAAGAGUUGGAAUCAAAAUCUUGUGUAAAGAUUUUGAAAUUCUGAGUAGAGAUUUUGAAUCGAAGAUUUGAGUAAAUACUGGAAUUUGAUAUGAGCACAAAGUGCUAUGUUUAUAAUGUAUUUCCUACCCUAUUUAGUUAUAAUAUUCUCAUAAUGUUAUUUCUAACAUGUUUUGUGAUUGUAGAGGCAAUGAAUCGAGAAAAAAAGGCUAAAUCGCGGAAAUAAGAGAAAAAUACAGAAAAAGGCAAAUAAGCCCUUCUUGCAGUCCAAGGAAGGAAGGAGAAGUAAAUUUGGAUUCUAAUUCCAAAGAAUGAAGGAGAAGUAAGUUUGGAUAAAAGAAAAGAGAAAAGUCAAACAUGUGCACCUAGUCCCACAUUAUUUUGGAAGAAGAAAUAAAUUUGGAUUUGUCACACCCCGGUCCCGACGUCGACGGGUUUUAAGCACUAGACGUCGAUCCUGAGGCGUGAACGAGUGUUACAAAGCGAAAUGUAAACAAAAGUACUAUCUUCUAAACUCGUCGUCUACCCUUUUCCCGGCUUGGUACAACCUAAGUACUUUUUCUGCAAAAAAUAUUAGAAAUGGAUGGGUGAGCAAAACCACGCGCUCAGUGAGUAGACCAAUGUAAUAUGCCCGCAAAGCCAUGUCAUUUUACACACGCUACAAAAUACGUAUAUCGUAUACACAUCACUUCACACAAUUCAUCACAUCGCACAAUCCCUUCUUAUUGGAUAUCCUUCAAUUUAGUGAUCCCCAUGGGAACCUAAUGACCUUCAAGUCUUAUACCUCCGUGUGUCACAUCCUUACUUCGGCAUAACCAAUCAAGAAGUUCACAUGUUCCAUGACUAAUCAAACAAUGGAUCCAACACAUAAUUAUAUAUAAACACUGCAUAUUUUGCAAAUAGACAUGGUUCACUUGAAAUAGAGAGAUAUUUCGUAAAUAGAUCAAAAUCAUGUUUUUCGACUAUUGUGAUAACAAAUAAGAAUAUUUUAAAUAUAUUACACAAAUCCACUCACCUCGUCAACACGAAUCCCUACCAAGAACAUCGAUUGUAAACCGAGCCUCCUAAAAUGAGUCAUCUAGAAAUCACCGUUGGAUCUAGCUCAAAAUUCUAGGAUAGAAAGAGGACAUCGAUACGUACCCGUAGCAUCUCGCGAAUUCAGAAUCGGAGUUAUGGAUCAAAAAUUAUAAUCCGCCAAAGUUUAGUCGCAAAUCUAGAGAGAGAAACUAAUUAAAGANNNNNNNNNNNNNNNNNNNNNNNNNNNNNNNNNNNNNNNNNNNNNNNNNNNNNNNNNNNNNNNNNGAGAGAGAGAGAGAGCGUCAGAAUUGAGACUUUUUUUUUUAGAGAAUUAUUUAUUAAGACUUGAGAGAGAAAAUUGGGGAAAAAUUAAGAGAUAUAGAGAGAGCGUACGUAUGUAUUCUGUCUUUCUUUUUGUUAUUUUAUACGCGUCACACGUAUUUUUAACGUGACGCACUUCCAGCUAUAUUAUUUGCAUUUUCUAUUAUGCCCCUACUUAUUAGUAUCUUUAUAAAACAAAACAAAAAAUAUUAAUAAAGGGUAAAACUGGUAUUAUCUGAAAACUGAAAAUAACUAUCCUCAUUUCCUAUUUCAUUUUUUUCUACCAUAUGCUCUCAAAUCUAUCGCUCUGCCAUAAGUUCUUAAAUCAAUCUUUUUGCCUGAAAAUCAAAUUUAAAAAGAUUCUCAUAAACCCUAAAUCAUGUACUUAUAUAAUUGCACCCCCGAAAAAGGUUCAAAUUUAGACCUAGUCUUGAAUCUCUGUAGCCUAACUCUUUCUUUUGUCUUUGUUAAUCGACAUCAUCAUGAUUUCGAGUUCGAAAUCGAAGCCUCAAUUAAGUAACGAGGCAUUCAAUGUAAACAUUAUUAGGCUAUUAAGUAUAACAUAUCAUCUUGCUUUAAAGGAUUCCAAUCGGAAGUGGUAGAGAACAGUUUCAUUCAGCUUGUUUUCACUUCUGCUUAUUUCAUUAUGUGUUUACACACGUUACCUUCAGUUUUUAGUCAAGUACCAAAAACCAAGAGCUUUUCCUUUCCUUAGAGGAAUCAAAAGCAACCACAAAAUUAAAUAACAAUGAUAUAAAGAGCUCAUAGCAUAUGAUCCAGCUGAUAAACCAGUUGAGAUCUACAACAUGAAUUAAGAGAGCAAAAUCGUGUGACCGUAUCAACAUCGAAACAACUUAAAGUCCACUGCAGUGGCACAGAAAUCAUUUGAGAAGGGUUCUGGUUAAAUGUUCUCUUGCAACAGCCCAUGCUUGAGUUAUAGUCUGCAAAGUUUGAAAAUUAGGAAAGCAGGAUUAGAUUAGUUUCUACUUUCUACCGCAUUUUAAUUGAAAACACUUUUGAGUAUCUGAAAUCCCUAUUAGCAGUACCUAGAAGCCCCUUAAUCUAUUUGGUUUCAACUAAGCAAACGGAAAGUUUUGCAUUACCUGCUCAGCCAAUGGUGCAUCAGCAUCCAUGGUAUGAGUUGCCACCUUUCCUGCGAUAAUAGUUGGAUCUGUUUCAAGUAUCAUCCUGCAAUAUAAGUCAAGCACAUGAGAUCGAUGUAUAAUCAUAUACUCGAUGACAGAACUAAGAUCAAGAAUCUUAUUGCACACCCUCCAUCAACAAUCUCAUCAAAGCACAGAAGUAUGAGAUCUAGGUUCUCCAGUGCCUCCCUUUUAUCAACAUUGUUCCUGCAAGUAGGACAAGCAUGAAUAUAUAGCACAAAAGGUCCAAGAUAAAUAAUGUUGAAAGGUAAAAGGAGUUCAAGGAAAAUGUUAUGACGUCCAAGUCUACCUCAAGAGAAGGGCAACUGCAUCAAAGAAUCCCUGAAGGACAGUGGCUAAAAUGAGUUCGUUUUCAUCGUCACUUCCAGUCACAAAGAAGUGAAGGUCCUGCAUAAACCUAUAUACAACAACGUUGCUUUCGAACAUCAUUAUCUCCGCUGCAUAAGAUAUACAAUAGCAAAUUGUAAAUUAAGGUACUACAAAUGUGGUGAUAUAACAUGACUUCCUGUAGCAUAUCGACAACAUGACUUGAAUGAAAUCAUUGUUUUCAUACAUUCAAUCCUUGCAUUUGUCUUAAGAGUCUUAGUGAACACAGAUUUUUCAAAAACUAGCUUUGCACCAUUUGUUGGCCAAUCAUCCGAGUAAUACUUGACCGCCACACGCUUCCCUUCAGAGUCCAUAAGAAGAAUGUUCUUCACAGAUGGGCGUGAAUCCUGGAAAAUAUAUAAAGGUGGAUCAGAACAGCAUGCAUAAAGAUCACUCAAUACAAAUUCAUACGCAGUUAGCCUAUAGCUAAUGAAUUCAUACUUUCAUCCAUAAAAAUCAUAUUGUGCCAAAAGUCUGUCUAAUCUAACUAAGGUUCUAAUAAUAGAUCCUGACUAUAUCCUUGGAUCUUAAAAUCUGAUUGAACAUCAGUUACAAUUGGCCAAAUCAACAUAAUUUGUUAAUAACUUAAUACACAUCAGUUGGUGACUUCAGCCUUCAGGUAUCAAUUUUCAAGCGUAAAAAAGAUCUAUAAUUCAAACUUGAUCGUUUUGCUCGUAAUCAGAGGAACUUCAAAGAUCUAUUGACGUGAGCUCAAAAUGAUCACAUCUUAUUUCCCAAUCAAUUAUACUAAACAAAUCGAUAGAGGUAAUAUGGAUUGGAAAAUGAGACUUACACGGUAACCGAAGAUACACUCCAUUUUGAUGUAAUGAUGAUACCUGAGACUUGGACACUUCGGUUCAGAUAUAUAUACCUUUUUCUUUAGAGGAAUGGAGAUGGGUAGUUUUGUCAGUUUAUUUAACUUUCUUCUACUGCUUUCCAGGAAAAAAAAUAAUUUUGCGUCUUGAUUUAUGUUUCAAAAAAAAAAUAAUCAAAAGUACGCAGUCCUGACUGUCUGAGAUAAUACAUACAAUUAAGAUUAUUCUUCUAUUUUACAUCUUCUUUAAUCUUGAUAGAUUCAUGUAUGUACUAUAAAUUUAUAUACAAUCUUGAUAGAUUUACUCUUCUUAUACCAUAGAUUUAAAAAGGAAGAAGAAUGAUGUCAUAUGUGGUGAACGGAAAGCCUUGGUUUUUUGGACACUAUGUCUGUAAUGGCGAAUGUUUGUAUGACUGUCUGUAAUGACGAAUGUUUGUAUGACCCGGCUAGCGAGUGUACCGAUCUCAACAUUCAUUGAAUAGGUUGAGAUAUUCCGAUUACCAUGACUAGAUAUACGAUGACGAUGGAUGGUUGGGGAAACUCUUGGUUAGGUGGAGCAGUUGGAUGAGAAUGAGAUUAAAUAAGACACCAGAGCUAAGGUCAGACUGAAUGGGAUGAUCCACCCUGACACCUAUUAAGUUGUUUUGCAUGAUUCCUUUACCAUGAUUAAGAUGGUGGAUUAUACUCUUAUCGUUGCCUUUUUUUUAAUAACUUUUUUUAAUAACUGACCUCAUUAUCUCAUAUUCAUAUAUCGAUUACAUGACUUGCAGCUCUAUUGCUAAUCUAAUUUCAUGUUCCUUCAAGAUAACAAAAUAUCUUCAAUAGUCAAUACACGACAUUGCCGUGUAUCUACAACAAACGAAAAAAAUAUGAAAAACUUGACCAUCAACGACAAACGAAAAAAAUAUGAAAAACUUGACCAUAUCGUAUGGGAAGUUGCAAAUAAGAAAAAAUUUCGAUACCUCACGGUCAUGACGUAUAUAUAUUUUGACGAAGUGAUUAACCUCCCAGGUUCCAAAGUCGCGCGUGAUCGUAGCCUCCUCCUCUGAACUAGCCGAAUCUCCUGACUACACUCACAUCUCAACCUUUUCCUUUCCUUAAACUCCCACAACCUUUGUACCUCUCCAAAUCUCUUCUCCACUUUUGCUUUUUUGCUUUGUCUCUUCUCCCCACUUCCCAACCAAACCAAUCACAUUUCCUCUCUCAAAGAUCACACCUUUCCCCCUAAAGUUUCAAUCUUUCACUUUUUCCGGCGACACCCAACUCCCCGGAACCACUUUCCGGCCGACCCAGAAUGGACAAAGAGCCUCUACUCCCCUACACAUCAAGCCCACGAAGAAAGCUCCCAUCUUUAACCACCCUCUGGCCUUUGCCGGAACACGACGAAGUCCCCGUCCCCUUAACCCCGUUGGAGUUUAAAGACCGCAUCAUCUUCGGCUCCCCCGCCGCCGCCACCGCCACUUCUUCUUCGCCGCAUGACUCGUCUCCUCUGGUCGACGCCCUCACUCUCUCUCUCAAUUCUCCAAGACUCUCUUCGAGGCCCACAUCCUCGUCUUCUCUACUGGACCCCACCACCGCGCCGCAGCCGCAGGGGGACCCACAAACGCCGCUGAGCUGGCUGAUCGACCCGAACUACUCAUGGACCAAGACCAACCUCCACAGGUCCAAGACGGCUCCGGCAAUGGCGGUUUUGAACGAGGUGAACCGCCGGGCCGGGCCUAAGCCUCAGAUGAGUUCACAGUCUAUUGUGAGGCAAGCUGUGAUUCUUCUUAUUGCGUAUUUGACAUUAGGGGUGACUAUAUAUUGGUUUAACCGUGAUAAUUUCGAAGCGAGUGAGACUCACCCUGUUGUGGAUGCUCUGUAUUUUUGCAUUGUGACAAUGUGCACUAUUGGGUAUGGGGAUAUCACACCCAAGACUACGGCUACCAAGCUGUUUUCAAUAAUGUUUGUGUUGGUGGGGUUCGGGUUUAUUGAUAUAUUGCUUAGUGGGAUGGUGUCAUAUGUGCUUGAUUUGCAGGAGGGUUAUUUGCUGAGGAGUGUGAAGGGUGUGGGGGAGAAGAAGGAGUCGUAUAUUAUUGAUGUGAAGAAGGGGAGGAUGAGGAUUCGGAUGAAGGUGGGACUGGCAUUGGGGGUUGUGGUGCUUUGUAUUGGUGUUGGUGCUAUGGUGAUGCAUUAUGUGGAGAAGUUAGGAUGGUUGGAUUCGUUUUAUCUCUCGGUUAUGUCUGUAACGACUGUGGGGUAUGGUGACCGGGCUUUUCAGUCUGUGCAGGGUCGGUUGUUUGCUUCAGUUUGGUUGCUUGUGUCCACACUCACGGUUGCUAGAGCCUUUUUGUAUUUGGCUGAGGCAAGGGUGGAUAAACGGCAUAGGAGGAUGGCAAAGUGGGUUCUUGGCCAGGAUAUGACUGUUUCCGAGUUCCUUGCUGCUGACAUUGACAAUAAUGGGUUUGUGAGGUAUGUGUUUUUACCAAACCUUUUGACAUUUUGAUCAGAUGAGUUGUUUGAGAUUGUUGGCUUUGUUUAAUUGACCUACAAUGAUGAUGGUGUAAAAGUUAUUUACUUCAUAGAUUGCAUUGUUUUGCUCUGAAUUCUUUAUGUGCUGUUUAGUUGUACUGCAUUUACCCAUUACUUUAGGUUUUGUAUGAAAGAAACAUGAAUACAUGUUAAGCAACUUGUAAUACAUUUUCUGCUUUGUUAGAAACACAGAUGAUCACUCCUUUCUCUAGUUAUCAAGUAUGAGAUUGAGUGAAGAGCCCUUUUUGUAAUAUAACUGCCCAGAAUUAGAUAGUUUAUUUUACAUUUUCCAACUUCUAUAAGUUCAACUUUGUGGUUUGUACUCAUAUGAUGCCGAAUAAGACAUCAGUUAUUAGAUUGUGUUCAAAGUGUUUCAGGGUUGGUGUGUCUUCUCAUUUCUUGGUACGUGUAUGUGUGAUAUGAAGGAGACCAAUGAAGUCAUUAAGGUGGAAUAAAACAGAUAAGAAUCAUAAGAUACUUUAGGUGAGUCUUUAUCAUAGCAUCCCCAUAAGCACAAUAGUCGCUUCUUUGGGAUUUGAGCAAGUCUUAAUAACAUAAUGCCACCACAAGUGAUACAAUACGUAUAGGACUCUGAGCACGAAAUUCAUCAUAGUGAAAUUUGAUUAGGGUGUCUCUGAUAAGAAUUGGCUAUAUGUUUUUCUCUUAUAAAUGAUACACAUUUGAUAGUGGGUAUCAACUCCGGAUGCGUAUGCUUUGGUAUCUUUCUGCCCUUUUGAGUUUGAUGUCAGGUUGGUAAUGGGCAUAGUCUAGUAAUGUUCAGUUUUGCUUGUGUAUUGAACAUCAGAGUCUGUACGUUCUCCACUUUGAGAAAAUUGUUUGGUUUCUCAUGUGAAGAGAAACAUUGUGGACAAGUCUGCAAAUAAUUUUGGAUGCCACAAAGUCAGGGCCUUGUGUCUAAGUCCAACUGAUCUGGGACAUAUGAACACUUGGUAGCAUAUGAAAUCUAUCAUUGCCAUUAUUGCAUAAUAGGCCCUGAGAACAGAGUAUAUGAUCUGAAUUGCAUCUUUACUUCAGAGCUGUCUUUUGCCCACCUUUUCAACUAAAGAACAUAUCUACGAACCUCCUGCCCUUUCUUGUGUUUGGAACUCAUGUUGCACAUAUCUCUCGUGUUCUUUAUGGACAAAAUGAUUACUCCUGCUCUUCUUUUUUGCAAUGUAAGCACUACUACUUUCCUGAUUCUUUUCCUCUAUUUAGAGGCUCCAAAGACAAAUUCAGUCAAUGAACUUAUUCUGUACAUGGUUGGCUCUUAGUAGAUGUGGCCAAAGGUCAAAUACAAAUUGUGAAGCCUUAUUGAACAUCCAGCACUGCCAACUUGGGUGUAUAGGCUAGAACUACUAUUGUAUUGCGCCUUUCUUCUUCUCCUAAUUAGUAGUUACUCAUAUUAUUUUGCAUGUUCUUGAGCUCAGUAAUCUGAUUUGGUGUUUUAUAUGAAGUACCUAUUAUAACAAUAGUUUGGAUGACAGGUUGAAAGAGGUACCAACUUACUAUUUUUCUGAAACCAGAGUUCUUAUUUGACUGCCCAACUUCAUAAACUUUUGAACCAUCAUACGUGAGUAGUUUAUGUGCGUUUCAGAUAUUAUAAUGUAAAAGUGAAGCUUGUUGGUUGCUAUUAACCAAUAGUUGAAGAGUCUUUUUCAGUCUGAAUAGUGUAUCUGAAUAAUCUGGAGUCAACAGAUUGCAGAAGAUGGGGAUUAUUUUCAGAUAACAUGCAUAUAAUCUGCUUCUUUGAACAUGCCUUAAUACGUUUUAACAUUUCCAUUAUCUGUCUAUACCAUUAUUUUCUACAGAAGUAUUCCAUACAUAUUGGAAUGCAAAGGUUUUGCUUUAGAUUUCUUGCGCAUAAAUGUGACAUAUUUUUUUUUAACUAAGAUCUAUAUGGAAUGUCUAUAUUGGUAAACUGUCUAUGAGUUGCAACUAAUAUAUUGAUCAUUUAUAGUUAUUAUUUGUGUAUGCUCUUAGCAGUCAACCUUUUGCCAUUAGUGACCAUGAUGUAUUCUAGAAAACUGGAGAUGAACCCUGCUUAUGAUAUUCUCAGUGCUACCGUACUAGGCAAUAACGUGGUUUCAACCAUUGUUUUCUUGUUGUCAUGAUUUAGUUAUGUUAUCUAGCACACCAUGAUAGCUUAACAUGGUGUGCUAGUUUCCUUGGCUGACUUUAUUUGUGUGUAUAUAUAAAUAAAUAAAUAAUUAAAUAAAUCUACGUCUUGUUGGACUGUCUUUGCUUUGUCUUCAGCACCUUAAAUUAUUUGCUUGCUUAUUUUGACUUGCAGUGAUCCGCAACUAGGCAAGUUUUUGUUGGCUAAUGAUGUUGUUCACUUGUUUGUAUAUGCAGCAAGUCAGAAUAUGUGAUAUACAAACUCAAGGAGAUGGGAAAGGUAUCAGAGAAAGAUAUUAUGCAGAUCUCCAACAAAUUUGAUAGGUUAGACUCUGGGAACUGCGGAAAGAUAACGCUUGCCGAUCUUAUGAGUCGUCAUUGAUAUCCAAGCACCUUUUAUUCCUUUUCCUCAUGGUACAGCAAGGGAAGAAAAUACGUUAUCUCAUUGAACAUGACGUAUAAGAAGCCUGAUCUUUAUGUAGGACUCGCCGUUCAUAUACAAGUUGCAUACACAUGAAAUCAUGAAGUAUGAACUCUGCUGCCUGAUCAAUUGGUCCUCCUUUCUAUACAUCCUGAGCAUCAGCUUGGUCGUUCUUAUAUGAUCAGCUACAUCGAUGCAUUUCUUGAGUAAUACAAACAAGCUAACAACAAAGGUUAUUGCAUAUUCCAGAAUUGCUCAAGUGACGGGAGAAGUGAAACAGAAAAUUGAAAUCACUUUUUUGAGUCUAGACAGAAAAUAACUGUUGACAUAGACUGGCUGUCCUUGUUUUUCUUGGAGAAUUUUGAAGAUUAAUAGCUUAGAAAUCAACAGUAUGUUACUUUUGAUUAGAGUUGAGCCUGUCCUUCUGGCUUCCAAUUGUAAAUGAUUGCAGCUUUGGAUCAAUGAAGGUGAGGCCUUGAAUCAGCACUACUAACAAACCACAAGAUUUGUUUUUAAGUUGGUUGAAUAGCUUGAGAAGGGUGAAACAAUUUUACAAAUUGGAAAUUAUCGCAGUGUGUGACUGUUUGAUUUGGAUAUGGGUUCCUGAAGUCUCCUCUAUCUUUUGGUUUAUUGGUGGGGGAGAAAAUGAAAUGCACUCAUCAUAUUUGAUCAUAAUGAACCCAAAAGGUGCGAGUGUGUAACUACCUCAACUCCUGGUUUACCACUUUCUGUCCCUACUGUCUCAUAUGUUUGGUAUGACAGAAACCCUAAUCUUAUAGUAGAAGAAGAUGAAAGGUAGUCAGCCUUGGUGACCAUGUUGGUAUCAAAAGCUUGAUGAUCAAACCAAUGCCAUUCAUAAUCUAUUGCGACUUUUAUGGUAAAAUUGAAUUGAAAGUAGACUAACUACCUAUAUAUAUUGCUUUAUUCUUGUCCUCUACAAAAGUUCCUUUCAGAAGUGUUGAACAGGACCUUUGUUGUUACUAGAAGAACCUUUCCUUGAAGCUUUCUAUAGCAAUGCACAGAAAGCUAGUUCAUACCUCUAAUAGAGUAAUAACAAGACGAACAAUUAGACUGUCUAUUGGAUUCUAAUGAUGAAGUAGACUCUCCUCAGUGUUCUUGAUCUUGAUCUUGACUGGGAAGCAAAGACUGUGUCCUUUGAAUUCAUAGCGUUUACCCAUAAAGGAGAACAAAAACUUGAAAGAAUGCAAACUAAACUAAAAUAUACCAAGUCAGAUUGACUCACUGCCACUCAUGACAAGCAGAUGACUCCAUCAAAGAAGCAAUAAGUUUCUGAUUUGGUAAAUAAAGGUCAUUUGCUUCAUUUUUUAUUCACCAGUUAGUGAAAUGGUGGGGGUAUUUGCAUUAGAGAAUUCAAGUUGGAGAUUAUUAGUUUAAAGGAAAGCAGCAGUAGUUGUUAGAACCAGUCGUGGAGGUUUUUGACUUGUUCAGGAAUCAAUCCACAAGGGUCCUUUCACAUUUGAGGAAGAGGUUGGCUUUUUAGUUUUUACACCAAGUGAUGAAGGUUAAGACAAAACCCUUGUUGGGUUUUGCUUAAUUAAAUCUAGCAAUUUGGAUCAUAAACCAUACUUUUAUACUUGGAGCUUCCUAAGUGGAGUAGAUGGUGAAUGGUCACUUCAGGAUGUUGACUUUGGCCUCCAAGUCAAGAGGGAUCAUUGCUAUCAGGACUAAAAUAACAUUAGCCUUUAUAUGCAGAUAACAUAUGGACUGUGAUUACUGGAUUACAUGAGUGUAUAACAACUAAUAAACUAGAAAAUAAAUGAAAAUUAUUAUAGCUUAAUUUUAUCAUGCAUAGAUGUUUUCUGUAAGAAAUGAAAAACUAAGAGCUAUCAUGUUACGGAGGACUGUCAGGACCCGUCUCGAAUUUCAUCCUAAAAUCUGAAAUUUAUAAAAAAAUAUUCAAACUCAACUACUAAAUUAAUAAUCCAAGCUCAAAACCAUAAAUCAUGACCAACAAUUAAUUAAUGCAUCAAACUCAAAUAAUUUUCAAAAUCAGUUUAUAAGCCGAAGUUAUAAUAUAAGCUCGGAAAAUAGAAUGAUAAAUUAUAAAAUCUUGCAUGCAUAUUUAUUAAAAUCAAAGUGUCCACUCACAAAUUUAGGCAUAAACCCAACGAUAUCUGAAUCGUCACUCAAGCGAGGUCUCCUCGUAUCCUGGCACAAUAACCAUGCUUAGGACCAAACUUCAAUUCCGAAAAUAAAUAAUUCAAUAUAAACACCAAAACUCUUCCGCUUAACCCAUUACCCUUACUAGGGUUAAGCUUAUCGGAUGCAUGCCAAACUCUAUCACAUCCUUAAUUCAUCAAUUCUGCAAGCAUCUACGACAUUAGAUUGCAUGCUUGUUUUUUAUUAUACAUUAUGCAUGAAUUGGAGUUUCUGUAUGCAUUAUUCGUGAUCUAUAGAUACAUUCUCAGUUUCAUGUAUAUGUCAUAGUUUCCAUAUACGUAGUUGAUAACAGAAAUCAUGCUUACGAGUUAGUAGAUUUUUGUAUCAGAUGAGAUACAAUUACAUACAUUGAAGCUAUAUCAUCAAUUAUUGAGUGUUUGAGGAGAUAAAGUUAGGCGCGCACACUGCGCUUUUCGUGAUGCAGUGGAACUCUGAUAUUGGCUAUAGCAAGCUUCCUAAAUAGGGUGGAACCUCUGAUGGUAUGCAUGUGACUCGAUAAAGUACUGACCGAGUCAUUCAUUUCUUCCAAUGUAUAAGGUGAUAUUAUGUUUAUCCUAACUUUGAUACCUGGCUUCGGCUACAAAUUAAGGUAAUGGACUCGCUCGUUUUUCAUGCUUGGGCUAAAAAGGAUUGCAUUAUUAUCACAUCAAAAAGCUGACACAGACAUCGGAUUGAUUAGACCAAAAUGGAUCAAGUUCGAAUCCGAGUUCAGAUUCCUAAAAGAAAAAUGACUCGAUACAUCUUAUUUAAGACGGAGAACAACAAACUCAAAAUUUUUUUUAACGAUGAUACAAUAUGUAAUGAUCUGAAUACUAAGUAGGCCAUUGGAACAAGAAAGUGUGCCACUUAAUACUGAUUAGGCAGAUGAUUAGACAAUAGAGAACAAAAUAGUUUUAUACACAUGUUGCUGCUGCUGAUGUGCCCUAAAUCUUAGGGUUUGGUGCAAACCCAAAUGUGUCGAUAUCUCAAAGAUUCUUUUUACGGUGUGCACACCUAACAAAAAACCUGCCCUCUUCUACAUCGAUAGGGACUUCCAUUACCAAUUUUCAUAUAUAAAUACCAAAACCAAAGUCCUUAAACUUAUGUCCCUUAUAAUCGACGCAACUAAAAUUAAAUUUAUAGGUCAACAAUCUCAAGCUCUUUGAGCACAAAUCCCUCUUUAAGUCUCCCCUCUUAAGCAACCGCCCCAAAAUCCAAACCCAGAUCACACAACGAGAUUGAUUUGCAAACUUUUGAUUUGAAUCAUUUCACAAGUUUUCAUGUAUACAACUUUCCGUAAUUCAUGUAUUAUUGCUAAUCCUUUUGAUUAAACUAUGGUUAGUCAGUACACAGGGUUUGCUACCCUUCUUAACUCGCCACUAAUCUUCCAAAGUUAUUAUUUAAUUUGUGAUGGAAAACAUGAUCGAAAUACUCAUUAUGCACGAGUGGUCAUUGUUCACGUCAUGUUUUUUUUAUUUCUUUCUUUCAACACAAAUCAAAACUAUCCUUGCAUGUGACAUGUAUCGAUAUAAGUUAGAAAUAUUUGUAGGAAUAAGAUCAAGUAGAUAUACUAUUUAAACUACUAUAGCGGAUCGUACUUUUAUAUAUGAGUAAAUUAUAUGGAACAUAUGCUCCACCUUCAUGUCAAUAAAAAUUGAGCAUAAAUCACGGUUGCGAAGUGGGUAAUUUGUACAAAUAUGGAUGAACGAUUUUAGAAUUCGAGAAAAAAGAAUUCAUUAUUUAUGUUAUAUUUUGACUAAAUCCUUUGGUUGUAUGUCAAUUACAAUCAUAACGUACUAUUUCUCGUUGCACAACACAUCUAAUUACAAAAAUGCUGAUGAAAAAAAAAACAUUUAUAAACAGACUAAUGUCACUCUCAAGCAAAGUAGCUUUUGGCCCUUGAAUUUUCCCUUCCUUGACCAAAUUUUCCCAAAACUCACAAGUGAAAUAAUUGAAUUGGUCUCUCUAUCAUACUUUCAAUUGGUUUAUGAUGUUUGCUAGCUACAAAAGCUUAGUUUUGUUGACUAUACAAAAAAGCUACAAUGUUAGAUGUGUAUGCAUGUUUCAUCCUCUUACAUAAAGUAGGCGGUGACAAUCUAGCAAAUCCAACAUGUUUAUUUAGCACCUCAAUUUUCAUAAUCAAUUUUCACCAAUGCAAUAAUUUCCAGCUUUCCGCGAUGUAACCAUUUUUCUUUUCUCAAAUCAUGGUGUUUGCACUCCACUUUUGAUUAUGUGGAUUUUGAUAAAAUACUAUAUACACAAACUUAUGUAUAUAUUUUCCAAUCCAAAUUAAUGAUUCUACCAAUCGAUUCUAUAUUAUUAGGGUUUUAUUUGUGUUUCCAGCUCAUUCAUCUUGAAUUUACGUUGAUCGAAUCAUAUAAACUCAACACGUAUUUUCUAAAUUAAUUAUACUGUCCGUUUACGCAAUCACUUAAUGAAUCAUUUUCCGAAAUACCUAACAUCAACAAAAAACCUCCACAGGUGACUGAACACGUAAUGCAAAAUGUAUAGCGCACACUGCUUAUGCCUUAUGCUUAGUCAAGUUGCUCAAAACAGAAAGAUGAACGAUCGUGGUGGGUGCUCCAGUGCCUGUCAAUCGGAGCUAGCUACCAACUCAAGUAGCAUCAAUGCAUGGAUGGAUUAGCUGCCGUUUAAGUACAAAUAGUGUCGUAAUCGUAAAGUCGGUGGUCAGAGAAACGAAAAUAGACGACAGGCGUCGCGGAAGUUGGUGACGUAAGCUAGGGAUCAGCAAAGGGAGGACAGGCACCAUGUGGUCUACCACGUGCCCACUCCAGACUCCAGAGUCGACAGAGGACUGGACUACGGUCAAAUACCGGUAGCCACUACCACCACGUGUCAGCCUAAUAUUCCAAACUGCACUGUUCUUCAAUUCCUAAUAAUAAUGGAAAGGACCACACUAAAUUUGUAGGGAUGUGGAGGUGAAUUCCUUUCGUACGUAUACCAUAAUGUGUAUAGGUCAUUUAGGUCUACAUAAUUGAAGGCAUCUAAAACUUGAUCCAGUCUUGUAAUUUGUCGAACACGUAAUAUAAUUCUUUGAUCAUGUUAUUUCGAUGACUGAUAUCUUUUUGUUUUUUUGGAUAAUGAUCGAUGAUCUGAUUAAUCAUUCGAAAAACUUAAAUAAAAGUAUAAAUUAAACAUUAAAUUUAAACACUUCAAUCCAAUAUGCGAAAUUGUACUGAAUAUUAGAAAUUCAGAGCUCGUUCAAAUUUACGUACAUGUAUUCUAUUGCUAGAGGUAGCAAGUCCAUUAAUAGGCAUGCUGAUGAGUCUUCUAGUUUCAUUUGUUUCCUUUGCUCUUUGUCGAUCUUUGCCUUUUAGCUAGGCACCCUUGUAACCUAAAAUUAAAAUUAUGUACGUAUAUAUACUCUAGUUUUGUACACUAGAUAUUCAUUCAUAGAGAAAUUACAUUCAUUAAUUAGAGAAACCAAAAUAAGGGUUCCUUACUUAAAUAAAACAAUGGGAGUAUCAAGGACUCAACAUGUUUCCAAAUUAGGAGGCACCUUUUGGUCCUCUCAAUAUUGGAAGGUGUUUUGUCAACCUCCUUCAUAAAGGGAUUAUAGCAAGUCCAAGUUCAAACCUAUGGACUCUCUAUGCUUCACAUUAAUAUAAUAAUCAAUUCAUGCAUUUAUAAAUAUAUAUAUACUCCAACCCGUAUAUAGAUAGACAAAUUCCUAUUGUUGAAACAAAGAAGUAUAGUAGUCCUCUCCAUUCUCCACCAAAACUAGUUCUUUGUUCUUCUCCCAUCUGCUUGUUUGAUCUUCGAUCUCCCAUGUCUGAUCAUCAUCAUGAGCCUAAAGAUCUUUACUACCAUGAUCUAUUUCAGUAUGAUGAUCAUGGACAACUUAACGGUGGAAUGAUCAUGAACAGCCCCAAAGUUUCUGGUUCAUCAUCCCCGGCUUACAAUAAUAUUAAUCCAUUACAGGGGUUUGAUGUUCCUUCAUACUUGAACACCAGCUUCACAGAGUACAGUUCACUUGCAACGGCUUUUGGCUUAUCGUCUUCAACCUCCGAUCAUGAAGUAUUCUCCUCCAUUGAUGAAGGCAACCAUCAAAAGCCUGCUGAUAAUAAUCUCGGAUACUUACGUGGUGGUGGUGGAGGUCAUGUAAGUAGCGAUGGUGAAGUUCUUAUGACACCAAACUCCUCGGUAUCUUCCUCUUCAGGUGAGGCCGGCGCCGAAGAGGGGGACUCCGGUAACAAGAACAAGAAAGACAGGCAGAAGCCAAAAGGGUCUUCGGAAGAAGGAGGAGAUGUCCAUAGCCCCAAGAAAUCGUAAGUGCUUGUUUAGCUUAGUAGAUAUCCAUUUUUGAUAUAUAGAUUAAGUAUUCGAGUAGGUAUUGAUAUUAUGCCCUUAAUAUAUUUUCUGCAUUCAAAGUGCUAUAUUGUAGCUUAAUCAACUCUCGUUUGAUCAUGGUGUGCAUACUCGACCUGAUUAAUUAAAGUUGAUGAUGAACACCUAUAUAUGCAGGAGCAAGAUAGUGAAGAAGAAAGGAGAGAAGAAGCAAAGAGAGCCUCGAUUUGCUUUCAUGACCAAGAGUGAGGUUGAUCAUCUAGAAGACGGAUACAGAUGGAGAAAAUAUGGUCAGAAAGCUGUCAAAAAUAGCCCAUACCCAAGGUAUAUAUUUACCUACUCAAUAUAAUUUGAUUAUGCACAAAACUAGCUCAUUUCUUUGUCCACACUUCAAAAUUACCCACCAUAAAAGUAGUUCUUAAUCUGGAAAACCAGGAUGCAUGAUGAACAUAACGUUUAACUAGCUAGAACUUUACUUCUUGUUUUAAACUUGGGCAAACUGCUUUCAUUUCAUUGCGCUAUUCAUCAGUUUCUGAUAUUUUACUCCAUCCCCAAAUCCGUUAAUGGAAACUUUUUCUCUGUUUUACUAGAACCAAAGAUUGACUCGUUAUAAGUUUCUAUUCCGCCUUAUGUUUUUGGCUUUUUGCCGUUUUCUUGUUGGAGUUGUGUUUGAUUUGAGCACGGCUCUCUGUUUCAAAUAAUAUUGCAGAAGCUACUACCGAUGCACGACGCAGAAAUGUGGGGUGAAGAAGAGGGUAGAAAGGUCAUUUGAGGACCCGUCGACGGUGAUCACCACCUACGAGGGGCAGCACAACCAUCCGAUCCCGGCGACUCUCCGAGGAAGCAUCAACAUCAACGCGGCUCACCACCACCAUGCAUUCUUCUCUCCUCAGUCUAUGUACGCGUCUGCUGCCACGACGACGUCGUCUUCCGGUCCUAGCUUUCCUCAAGAGUAUCUGUUUCAGAUGGCGCAGCAGCCUCAGAUGAUGAUGAGAAACGACGGAGGAGGCGGCGGGGUUUAUACGUCGAGGAAUGUUAACGUUCCUCAACAGUACCAUCAGUUAUCUGGAGAUCAAUACGGGCUAUUGCAGGACGUGGUUCCCUCGAUGUUUUUCAAACAGGAGCCAUGACCUAGCUAGCUUAGCUCUCCUACCUCUCUCUAUCAGUGUAGAUAUGAUAAUCACUAGCUUCAUGAUCCUUGAUUGACUUGAUUAUUAGAAUACAGAUUAUAUUAUUAAUCAAUCUCCACCACUGAUCUUUUCAAUUAUUAGUUAAGAUCGUUAAUUUAUAUAUGAAGGUGGGACACUACUAGCUAGCUAGGCAGUAGUACUGUAUUACAACACUGAUUGCACGGCAAGAGUUCGACUCUCUUAUUUCUUGCUCUUGCCAAAAUUCAGAGGUGGAUUCGAAUGAGAAGGUGUUCGAUGAAUUGUCCUGUAAAAUGGCAGUAGGGCAAUAACCGACGCAUGUCGUCCGCCGGUCGCCAGACGUUUCCUGGUUCGAAUGGAUCGAGUGAGAACAGUAAAGAUGCAUUGAGCAGUUCUAUGAUCUCUACAUGGAGGGAGAUUUAGAUAUUUUGUUUCUAUGAAUUGAAGGUGACUUGCUAGCUAGUUAUGGAAGAUUGAUUUAAAUGGUUUUGUAAGAGGAAUUUGGUAGAGUAUAGUUUCAGGCUACGUACUGAUGGAUAUUGUUUGGUAGCUAGAUGCUUGUAAUUCUACAGCAAAAGUUGGCUUUUGUAUGUAUGGACAUGUAAGAUCCUUGCUGCGCAGCUUGUUUGCAUGGGUGGUAUUUAUAAGAACUACUAGUUGAUGAUGAAUUAUUUUCAUGAAUGCCACAAGAAAUAUUAUACGUACAGGCAAAGUGUGAAGUGUGAACCAACCAAUUAGAACUUUGUUAUGGUGCAAAUUCAGUGAGAAAAUUCCGAUUUACAAUUUGCUUAAAGUUUCGCUACAUAGAUUAAUAAUUUAUCGAAGAUAUGUAUAUACAGUAUGUAUACAGUAUGUAUACUGUAUAUACAGUAUGUAUAUAAUAAGUCCUUUAGGACCAAUAUCUAAUCAAUCAAAAUAUACUUCGUUUCCAAUUAUAAGAGCAACAUGCAUGAUUAAUCACACGUACGUAUAGAUUGUGAUAUAACAACAUUUGCUUCACCAAGCAACGAGUUAAUUUGCCAAAUGACCAAGAAAGCAAGAAAAGAGAGCAUGGGAGGUACUAAACUAACUUGCUACAAGAAAAAAAAUUUAGUUAGAUGAAUCGAAAUCAUAAUUUUGGGGUUAUCAAAAUAGUAGAAGACAACAAAUUAGUAGCGGCUCAAUUUUUGUCCAUCUCUUUUAGACAUGUAUUUAGGGAGGUAAAUUUUGUAGCUGAUGCAAUAACACAUCUAGAUCAUUAUUUGCCCAACGGUAAUACUCGGGUGAAUAGAACUCCUAUCUAGGCUACCCAUACUCUUGUAUUUGAGUCAUUUGACACGUUCUAGAGGCUUCAUUAUCUAAUUUUAAGUAUUUUUUAUUAAAAAAUAUAAUUUUGGGGUUACGGGCCUAGUUGCCUGAAACAAAAACCAGACUGCUUCCACCACACCCUAAAACCCAUUUCCAUUUCCAUUUCCAUUUCUAUCACGUGUAGCUUGAAUGAAUUAGGUGCUAUUUGGAAUUAGUUUGGUGUGUCUGCUCAAAUAGUAAGAUCGAGUUUGCUGAAGCUGAUCGAUCUGCAGGCUUGUCUCUUCUCCGUAUGAAGAUGCUGUGGGGUUAAAGAUGUAUGUACGUCCUGAAGAUGCUGCAGGCGUAGACUUGAAUAUACAGUCGUUGUGGACGUCUUGACACCAGUGGCAGAUCCAAAAUUUAGACAGAGGGUUGGCUUUAAUUUUGCCUAAAGGCGAAAGAAAAUUUUCCACUAUAACCAUGUAAAGUGUAGGAGCUUAAAUGUAUAUUAUGAAGUUUUCGUAAAAAAACAGGCAUUGAUGAAAGUAUUGAGAAACUCUAAAUAUCAAAGACAAAUUAGAAAACCCAACAAAUUUUUUUUUCAAAUUGAAUAGAUUGAAAUGCAAUAAUUUAUAUUGACAAUUUAAUAUCCAAUAUAGGAAGAAAAAUGAGGAUUUUUUUAGAUUCAAAGAGAAGAAGACUAGAAAACUAGAUGGAAAAGUGAAAGAGGAAUUGAGAAAUAGAGGCGUAGUCACGUAUAGAAGAAGAGAUAUAGGCAUUGAGAAGUUUAGGUGCCAUAUGAACUUGUUUGAGCAAUAAUGCAAAAUUUAUAUAUAUAUAUAUAUAUAUAUAUAUACCUAGUUUUUUUUUUUAAUUCCACAAAACUCGGUUGGGCUCAAGCCCUACUAACCAAAGGCUUGGCUCCGCGCCUGCUUGACACCCCCAGAUUUUCAUAUUUAGUAGUUUUAAUCGAGCUCGAUCAUCACAAUUAUCAAGUGCAUGAUUUCGUGUGUGUUUGGUUAAUGAUGAAAUGGCUCUAUACAUGCAAUAGCUAUAUCUCUGUAUUCAAUAUAUAGAUUUUCUACAAUUCUGUGUGUGUACAUAUUUGAAGCAUGGUGUUGAUCUACAACACAUUAAUUUGGUGCUGAAUUCAUGACAUGAUCGAGUGGGAUGAUGAGGGAAUCGUUUUAUAGUCCCGGUUUCAUGGUUUGCUCGGAAUAUGAGAAGUCGAUGGCCGGAAUCCAAAUUCUUUUAUGUUUCAUGUACGAUUUGAGGCCAUUUUGCCAUACAAAUUAAUAAACGACGUCCCUAAUGCUUUUGGAUCCCCCCCAAAUCCUAACUAAUUAAACAGAGGGCAAAUUAAGAUAACAUAGCUUAACUAAUUCGUAGUUUUAAAAUCAGCUGUAGGAAAUCUUUGAUUAAUAUAGUCGAUCAUCCCAUGUUAUUGCUAGGAAACAUAGGAAAAAAGUUAAGCAACAAUAAACACUUUGGUAGCUAGGUGGUUCCUUCAUAAUUAAGCACUACACUACUUCGACGGUUCUACCCAGAAUAUUACUCAAUCUGCUAUUCUGCUUCGUUCUUACUCCAGACAUUUUUCUUUUUGGUCGAAAUCCUUACUCUUAGAAUUAAUUCAAAUAUAUAUUGGUCAUCUCCUUUGACCUAAUUGAUAACUAUAUAUAAGGAAAAUUAUAUGCAAAUAUUAGUUAAUAGAAUGAUGAUUGACCAACCAUUCAUGAUUGGCGCAUUAAUAUGAACUUAUAGUCGUGCUCCAUAGAACUUAAAUCUGCUAGUGCUUCCCUUCUCGUUCUCUCAAUUAAGGAAUACAUUUUGUGUAUUCUUGUUUUAUUUGGUAUUGUUAUGAUUGUUGUUUUUCUCUUUUAGAGUUGAGGGAUAAUGUUAAGUUCUAACGAUGAUUGCAGUUUAUGAGGCUCGGUUUGGUUUAUGAAUUAGACAAUCCAAUAUAUGUAGAUAACACUGUUUUAGUUGCACACAUGUAUGAGUAUAUAAGAACUAAACAAUAUUGCUUAUGGGUCUUCUUUUCAUUUCCAAUGUGUAUGAUUUCACAAAUGAAAAGAUUGGUGUACUUGAUGAGAAUUGGAAGGUUGGAAUUUGGAUCACUUUCAUCCUCUCCCGAAAUUUUAGGAUUUUUUUAUUUAUUCGUGACUAUAGCUAAACGAAGCCUUACUUGUAAGUCAUAACCUCUCAAGUAUUUCAUCAACCGAAAUCAUCACAUUCAUUGAUGUUCUGUAACUGAUAACUACAUAACUGCAUCUUCUCGCAUUCCACCCUUCAUUAUCUACCACAUUGACGAAUUAAUACCUUCGAUCACCUAUACAUCAUUUCACCUCAUUUUCUCAUAAACACUAAAAUUAUUUUUCCUUUUUUCGAAUACUUACCAAAUUAGUGAAAGCCUCCAAAUUUGGCGCCUCACUAAUUUCCCCCCAAAAUUGGAAGUCAACGAAGACCACAGUAUUACCAUCCCGAUCCAGUCAACUAACCAGUAACUAAAUCCAGUAACAAAAUGAAUCAAAAUGAAUUAAUUAAAUUAGGUAACUAAUCACAGUGAUAAUCCGCGUCAUUAUCCUGGAAAACAAAACGGCAACCACCAUCAACAACCGGUGAAAGAGAACGACGUACCUUCCGACGCUUUCCCUAUUCUUCAAGCAACAGAGAUACUUAAACGACCGCGUUUCGCUCUUCUUCUUCUUUCGCUUCGAUCCUCAGCUAGGGUUUUCGUAUUUAUGCUUCUCAAAUGCGCCGUAGACUACUCACUCUCUGAACUCCCCCGCUAGGUAAUCAUCUUCUCUCUCUCUUUUUCUCUCUCGAUCUGCAAUUUUCCGAUUGGGCUAGGGUUUCGGCUCAUUUUCGGGUCGGGUUUUGGUGCAGAUUGGAGCCGGAUCGAGAAUGGUGGACGCUGGGCCUGUUACUCCUGGGCAGGUAUUGAUUGAAUGCUGAAGAUGCUUUGUUUGAAUUUUUGUUGUGGAAUUUUGAUGAGGAUCUGGGAAUGUGUGUGGAGUAGUGGUUUGUUUGAGCUGUUAAGGAAGUUUUGGUUUUUGUUUUUCGAGGUUUUGAUCCGAUGAGAAUUGUGUUGAUUGGUAGUGCAUUGCCGUUUUGUAGUGGAGUAGGGGUUAGUGGAUUAGUGCAUUGUGGUUUUAAGAAGAAUGUUUUCGACUGUGUCGCGUUUGAGUGUCGAUUUUACUUCUAAAGUUGCUUUUCGGACCUUAGUUUGUCUAGAUGGACAGAUUGUUUGACGAUGCGGUAAAUUGAAACUAGGAAUGGAAAGAGGGGAGAGUUAAAUCUUGCGUCAUGGUGAGAAAGACGCUAAGAGACUUAAUGUAAUGUAGGUUUUGUGGUUUCCAUGAAUGUAACGUUGUAGUGUAAACUGCGACUAUGAAUCAACAUGGUUUGUCAUGUGGAUUUCUUUGUUGUUGGCAUCCGUAUAUUUAGAUCGGUUGAUCAAAUAUUGACAAGAAAUGCAUUUGGAAUUAGUUCACCCAUUUAAUCUUAAGUUACAUCAGGAUAUUUGUCUUCAUCCCCAUUUAGACGUAUCUUCGUGUGCUAUUGAAUUGCAUGCUGCAUCUCUUCUUGCAUUUUCAAUUUUCUUUAUUUGUGGUCAUUCUUUUGUGAAAGAAUUGAAUCUAGCACAUUCAUUGAAGCUUUGUUAUCAUGUCCCAGGUUUCCUUUUUGCUUGGAAUCAUCCCAGUUUUCAUCACAUGGAUAUAUGCAGAGUACUUGGAAUAUAAAAAAUCUUCAUCUCUUCCUAAAGCGUAAGUUUCUACCUUAAAACGGCCAUAUUCGACUUGGACUUACUUCAAUUCUAUUGGCAUUAGAUUCAUGUUGCUUAGUUAAUAUGAGAUAGAGGAAAGCAUUUAGUCUGCUUUUACUUGUCUUCACUGAUGCAAGGCUGUGGCUUCCCUAAUUAACCAUGGUAUAGGUCAACUUGAGAUGAUAAUGACUAGAAUCUUUCUUCCCAAUGUUUAGUCCUGCCCAUUUCAAUCAAAAGUGGCCCAUUCAGUGCUCAUGGCCCUAUGUUGGGGUAUACAAUGAGAUAGUUAGUCUCUGUUGGAAUCACAUGAAAACCCAUUAUAUAUAUAUAUAUAUAUACACACUAGAUCAUAACAGCAACUAUACAGUAAUAUUUAUGCUUCCAGAAUUGAAACUUGCCGCUCUUUUGAAAGUUUUUCCUCUGUUUUAUUUUUCGUUUAAACAUUUUAAAACAAUAGAACAAGUGUUUCUUCUAUUGUGUAGUCAUUCAGAUAGCAAUCUGGUAGAAUUAGGAGAGGAGACAAUCAAGGAAGAUGAUCGGGCUAUAUUGCUGGAAGGAGGUCUUUCGAGAUCAGCAUCUGUAAAGUUCAAUAGUUCAUCCAUCAAAGUGAACUUAAUGAGGUUCUCUCUAUGAUAUGCAUCAUCCCUAUUAAAUUUCAUGUUCAUUUACUUGCAGGCCUUUCUUACGUUCUGCUUCUCAUUUCCAGGUUUCUGACCAUGGAUGACUCUUUUCUACUAGAACACCGACUAACUCUACGAGUGAUGUGAGUAUUUAGUGUAACACAACUCUUCUUAGGGAAGAAAUAUGUUACUUAUAUCAUACUGGACUUUAACUGUAGGUCUGAGCUUGGUGCUAUUCUGUUUUAUUUCUACAUAUGUGACCGCACAGAUAUACUGGGGGAUUCCACAAAGGUACAAUUUUUAUGAACAUAAACAUAGAUGUGCCACUUUCAUCACAUUAUUGUCUAUGGUUCUAUUAGAUGUCAUAAUCUAUUAUCUAUUAUGUGACGUUCUUUUCUUUUUCAAAUGUCACAUCUCACUCACCUGCACGUGCACAUGAAUUCACAUCUGGAUCCAAAAUGAUACUGUGGUACUACAGUAUGAUAGAUAAAUAUGUUAUCUCUAAUUCGAAAAGAACUAAUUAUUUAAUCUAGUGAAUGUUUUAUAGAGGAAACAUUACCAUGUUCAUUUUAAUGACUGAUGGUGUUACUAUUGUCACUUGUAGAUAAGAUAAAUGGUCCUGUUUUCACUCACAUGAGUGCAUGUUCAUGGGCACAAUAAGCUAAUUGUUUACUCUGAACAUUGAUUUAUUGCUUCUUCUUUUUGUUGUUGUACAGAACUACAAUAGGGAUCUUUUCAUCUUUCUAUGCCUUCUCCUCGUCAUAGUUUCAGCAAUGACAUCUUUGAAGAAACACUCUGACAAAUCGGCAUUCUCUGGAAAAUCCAUACUUUACCUAAAUAGGCAUCAAACGGAGGAAUGGAAAGGGUGGAUGCAGGCAAGUACUCUUUGUCUUUUAGCCUUGGAUGUUUUGGUUUGGGAAAGAAUUGAAUGUUGUGAUAAUGUUACUACUACUCUAGGUGACCACCUUCCAUAUUGGAAUUUGUUUCUUCUCUUUUAGAUAUUUUGAAUUUGUGAUAUCAUCAAUGUUUAUCUGUCUGGAACAAUCAUAUGUCAUCCCUUGGUCUUGAACUUCAUGAGGCUGUAGAUUAAUAAGUAAAACAUGUAUAUAAGAUUUGUUUUCUCUAGCCCUUUGGAGUUAAUCAUGUUUGAACUGGCAGGACAAUAUGUUAAAUCUUUACAUGGAUAGCUCCUUAGUCCUCAAACUACAUUGCUGUUUAUUAGAAUUACAUAUAGUUUUCAAAUAUUUUGUUGUUGUUGUUGUUGUGGCAGGUUCUUUUUCUAUUGUACCAUUACUUUGCUGCAAGCGAGAUAUACAAUGCAAUACGUAUCUUUAUUGCUGCAUAUGUUUGGAUGACUGGAUUUGGAAACUUUUCCUAUUACUACAUUAGAAAGGACUUUAGCCUCGCUCGCUUUGCUCAGGUAAUUUAGUUUUGGAUGGUAUUAUCAUUUCUUAAAUUUCGUUGAGGAGUAAUAUAGUAAUAAUCUGAGUUUCUUUUAUUCAUUAUUGUACAAUGUAGAUGAUGUGGCGGCUGAAUUUUUUUGUGGCGUUUUGCUGUAUCGUUCUCAACAAUGACUAUAUGCUCUAUUAUAUCUGUCCAAUGCACACUCUAUUCACUCUUAUGGUGUAUGGAGCCCUUGGUAUCUUUAGCAAGUACAAUGAGAUCAGAUCAGUAAUGGCUGUGAAGAUUCUUGCUUGCUUUCUUGUGGUUAUCUUGGUUUGGGAAAUUCCUGGGGUUUUUGACAUAGUCUGGCGUCCAUUAGCUUUCUUAUUGGGUAAGUACAUCUCAGAUCUCCAGUUGUUUAUUUUUAUGUCUGUUGUGAAAUUGAGCAACUUCCUUUCUGGUAUUUUGACUCUGGGGAAACUUGGCAGAAAUUUAGUUACAUUGAUCCUGUAGUCUAAAUUGUGUCCUCUUUGUUUUAUAUUUGGGAGGCUUGAGUCCAACAAUGGAUAAUAUUGUCUUUAUUAUGUGGUGUUUUAUUUUAUUUUUAUAGCCUGCUUUUGAGUUUCAUAAUGGGUCUUGUGUUGAUCAAAGAUUCCUUAUACAGAGAAGUGAAAAUAUGUUGGUUUAAUACUCUUGAACCGGUUCAUAUACGACUGAAAACUUAUUGUCUUUACUUUAUACUUCUCUAUUUGCAGGGUAUACUGAUCCUGCAAAACCAGAUCUCCCUCGGCUGCAUGAAUGGCAUUUUAGAUCUGGACUGGAUCGCUACGUAUGGAUCAUUGGAAUGAUAUAUGCGUAUUAUCAUCCUACUGUAAUGCCUUGAACUUUUUAUGCAUUUGAUUGCUUUUUGCUCUUUGAUAUUCUAACUACUGCGAUUUUGAAAUGCAAUAUCUUAGGUUGAAAAAUGGAUGGAGAAAUUGGAGGAGUCUGAUACCAAAAGGAGAGUCUCAAUUAAAGCAGGAAUAGUUUCUAUCGCUUUAUUAGUAAGUUGUGUGGCAUCCAUUAUCUGCUCAUUUAUAAUUUUAAUUGUUUUUUAUAUACUACAAAUGUGUUUUGAUCAUGCUCAUUUUUCCUUUUCAGGUUGGUUAUCUAUGGUACGAGUGUAUUUACAAGCUGGACAAGGUUUCAUACAAUAAGUUGCAUCCCUACACAUCAUGGAUUCCCAUAACGUGCGUGUGAUACAACUUCUUAUCGCUUUAAUUUAAAAGGGAAUGCAUUCCUUGGCAUUUAUUGAGAUGGCUUACUGUCAUUCUUGGUUAAUGUGAUUACAGAGUUUAUAUAUGCCUGCGGAACUUUACUCAGCAGCUGCGGAACUUUUCUUUGACUCUCUUUGCGUAUGUACUUUAAUCACAUUAUCCUUCGCAUUCAGGGCUAAUUUUGUUAUGAUAUUCAAGAUUUUGCUGAUGUAUAAUUGCACUCUGUAUUACUAGGUGGCUUGGCAAGAUUACUCUAGAGACCUAUAUCUCACAGUUCCACAUCUGGCUGAGGUAUGCAGCACUCAAUCUAUUUAUCUUUUUUUAGUUAAACUGUUUAGUCACCAAGUCCAACAUUUUAAACCCAGUGUGAUGCAUCUUUAGUCCUGUGCUAAUAGUUGGACAAUAAAAAUAUUCCUAUAUUCAUGUACAGAUCAAACACACCUAAUGGACAACCUAAAUGGCUUCUCUCGGUCAUUCCAAACUAUCCCAUGCUCAACUUCAUGCUGAUAACUGCCAUCUAUGUUUUGGUAAGAGAAUCCUAUUUAACCAUUAAACUUUUUCAAGCAGACACUGCACACUAAUUCUCACCUUCUGCUGUUCUAUUGACUUGAUUCUACAGGUAUCUCAUAGGCUUUUUGAGUUAACGAAUACGCUCAAGACAGUCUUUGUACCCACAAAAGACAACCAAAGGCUGCUUCAUAAUUUUCUUGCUGGGGCAGCCAUUUUUACUUCUUUGUACUUCAUUUCAUUCAUUAUUGUUCAGAUACCUCAUUGACCAGUAAGCACCUUUCUGCUGUAUGCUCAGUCUAAUGUUCCAUAGUUUACAUUUGGUAACCAGUUGUUACUGGUGCAGGCUUUACAAAUCAAGACCCAAACGAGGGUUAUACAGAUGCUUCCUGUUGGAUGUGCAAAUAUAGAAAGAAUUGAAUAAAGGGAGCUGGGAGUGUCAGUUGCAACUGUAGCCUGAAAAAUGUGGUUCUACCAGUUUUCAAGCAGAAAGGCACUCCAUAGCUGUGUGAAAACCGAAUACCAGUAGAGUUCCCCAUGAGAAGUUUAGAUGGGGGAAGGAAACAGGGAGCAGGAGGAAAAUUCUUUUGAAAUAUUGUGGAUUGUUGUGUAUCUUCACUUUUUCUUUACCCCCCAGUUUUGCUAAAUCAUUGAAGAAAAAUGUAGAUCUCUGUGACAUAGAUAGCUUCGUUUUCUGUUAUAAAACAAGUUCAUAUUCAAUGAAAUGGAAAAGAAAUAGUUGAAAUACCCUAUAUAGUAUAGUGCAGUUCAGUUCUAAAUCUUUGCAAGGGUUUCAAAGCCUGAAGGCAUCUCUGCCCAUGAUUUGUUCAUCAUUGAAAAGAAAUGUACAUUUGAUAAAUUAUUUGUUGAAAGAUUUUUAUUCGGUGAAGGCUUGGGACACAAGUUUCCUCGGCUUCAUGGCAGUAUCAGAAAUGACUCCUAGCAGCAAAACUUGGAGCUCUGGUAGGCUAGCCUUUUCAUGGAAUCUGUUUUACACCUUUUAGGGAUAGAACCUUAGCUUCUCCUGUCUUUGGUUUACGACUCUCAAAAGCCAUGAAAAUGUUCUAUGAACCGCAGAAUGUGCUAGGAGAGACUCCAAGGCUUCUGCAGGUGUUUAUGCAGGUUUGGGUUGCAUUGCGCUGGUUGUUAUUUCAGUGCAUUCCAUUUGUCAUGUAAGUUGCAAACUAUUGCUCCAUAUCUUGAAGGAAAAGGGGAAUCCUAACAACUGUAGGAGACCUUCAGUUCUAGUCAAGACCUACAGGUAUCUUGUGUCAUGUAGGAGAAUCCUAACAACAAUUGUACUAAUGUGUUGCUGCACGCUCCUCAUGCCACAGCAUAUGUAUAUCUUCCGAUUUGUUAUUUUCACACUUUCCAUACUUGGCCUAAAAUUCCAAUAAUUGAAGAUAUUCUCCAACAGUCGCCUGAAAUUUCAAUCAUCCUAGGAUAGGAAGAGAUUGGUUGUUAAUCCUUUUGAACCAUUUUUUCUUUUUGAUGAAGACGUUCAAAGUAGAUUACAAACAGUAAAACCAUGAACCAAACUUCAAAAUGCAAAUGAUAAUGAAAGAUGGUAAACGAAUAGCUAAUCAGUAAGGAGUGGUGGGGAAUUAGAAAAAUUGAUCAUCUUGGUCAUUUGGCACUGACAAAGGUCGACACUGACACCGUUAUGGCCCUUCCCAGACAAUGAGAGCAAUAGUUAUCUAAUCUACAGCCGACCCCCAAGAGGUUGAAUCUCAUGUCAAACAAAAGGAGAAGAUCAAAUCCAAGAGUCUCAUUCAUAAAUCAUUUGUCAUAUUAAAUGUUGCAGCUACUUUGGCUGAGAGACUUAAAAACCAAGCAGCCAUAGUAAACUGAGAGAAUAAUACACCGAUGGAAACUCCAAUCACUUGCUCUUUGCCCCAAAUGAAAAAAAAAAAAAANAAAANNNNNNNNNNNNNNNNNNNNNNNNNNNNNNNNNNNNNNNNNNNNNNNNNNNNNNNNNNNNNNNNNNNNNNNNNNNNNNNNNNNNNNNNNNNNNNNNNNNNUUUAUUUUCGAUUCAAUCACGUUAAAUCAAUAGUCGGAGAAGCAACUCCUCUUCGAUUUUGAGAGUUGCAUCUUGUGCCCACUUAUCACUUAUCAUACUCCCAAAUUUUAACUUGAUUGAUUUUUAAUCUAUUUAAGUAUUUAUUCAUCUCUUUGUGUUACCGUGAUAACGCAUGAGUUUUUAUUUUUAUUUUUUUAUUUUCAGGUUGUUAAUGGUGUUAGUGCCAUGUACGAGGUUAGAUCAAAUGAAUAACUGAGAUUAAAUAUUACUACUCAGUUCACUUGAACCUUAGUGCAUACAAAAACUUUCACAAAUCUCUAUCUCAAUUACUAUAAAACGAGCGGUCUUUCUAAAUCACCAAAUUAUGAUCUGACAAUAUAUAUUACCCUUAUCAGUUGAUUCAGAUUGUUAAGAACAAGGGUUAUUAUAGUAAAUAACAAAAUAAAAAAUAAAAUAAAUAAAAUAAAAAGAUAACGAGGGAGAGAAAAGUGGGUAUUGAGUUUUAUAAUAGAAGAGAAUAAGUAGUGAAUAACUGCAUUAUUAAAGAAUUAUAUGCCCGUAAAAUGCUAGUAAAGUAAUAAACUGAAGUACCAGAAAGCAAUGCGUCUCAAACCCUUCAUCAAAGAGGCUGAGCAACUGCUCUUACCCAAGUGCAUGUAUCGAAAAAACUGCUCUUACCCAAGUCGAAUUCACAUAAACACAAAGUAACCAAAGAAGUAAUUGUUCUUUGGAUUCGCUUGAUAUAGUUUCCCCCGGUGUUCUUGAUCUCUUCUUGGGUUCAAAUUUUUGUGCGAGUUGGUAUGGUUUUGCAUUUUAGGUUGGAGAAUAGAGAAUUCAAUUGCGGUUUGGUUUCAUUUUUAGCAUAGACAGGAUUUCAAUGGUCAUUUGAGAUCAAAUUUUAGUCUUUUGGACUUUUACUGAUAUGGGUCAGAUUUGAUUUCAUAUGGUUUGGUUACAUUAUUGAUCUAAAUUUGCCAAUUUGAGAUUGUACGAAAAUCUGGGUUUAAGGGUAUAGAAUCAUGAUGAAAAUUUUCCAGAUGAAUCUAGUGAGAAAGUGGCUGCGUAGGUUGAAGGGGAAUUUGUUGUCCGAAAAUCUCCUAGUUCUACAAGUAUAACAUGGAGGUCUGUAUUGUAGAUUUAGAUUUGAAGGUGAGUUCAAUUUAAUUCCCGUUGUCCCUUUGAAACUAAUAAUCGAAUAAAGAACCACCGUACAAAAGAAUCAGAGUUCGAGUGUUCAACUGGAAAGGAUAUGUUUAAUUUUCAGGAAUAUUUUUCUUCCUUUUAUCCACUCCGUAACUGAAGUAGGAUGGCGUUAGGUGAGUUUGGAGAGAAAAAGAGAAAUUUUUUUUCUUAUGGACAUGCAUGUUAAUAUCUAAUUAUAUAUACAUACCCAGUGAAACAGCAAGCAGGAGAACGAUCGAAUUGUCCUUGAUGCAACUCUUGCCAUCCGUCUUGUCCUUUUUGUAUCCUUUAUGACAUGAACAAGUGUAAUUUUGUGGAAAUAGAAGAUUUACGCAGUUUCCGUUCCGGCAGGAAUUUGAGGCUUUGCAGUCAUCAAUAUCUGAAAGAAAAAUUAGGAAAGGAAAAGCGUAUAAGAGAUCACUAAAUUUGGUUAAAUUGAAAUUCCAAUGGUGAGAGCUUUAAUUACUUUAUCUUGAAUACAAUUGUAGCUGAGUAGGUAAAUCAAAGAGAAUCAUCACCUGUGCAACCAUCUGGGUGGUACGGGUUUCCUUCAUAACCAGGCGAGCACUGGCACAAGUAACCUGCAGAAUUGAUAACACCAUUGACGCACUUGCUAUUAGCCUUGCAUGCGAAAUCCUUCCUGUUCUGAGCUUGAUCACAGGGGUCUGAUUCAUUCCCAAUGGCCCAAUUUAGAACCAUUGGAAGCUGUUGUGUGUAAUUCAGUUGUUCAAAACUAGAAGAGUUGAAAUUGAACAGGCCUUCCUCCUCAAUAAAGGCGUAGUUGCAGGGGUUGAAGCUCCACACUUGCGACUGAUUUGUGAAGCUAGUCAACACUAAAGAAACAUUGUUCAGUCCACCGGGAAUAUUGAUCUGGCAACAACCAAUGCCAGAGCAAAAGUUAUCAACGACACUGCCAAGGCUGUGGCAUUUUGACAUGCACCCUGUAACGACUCCUAAUUCCCCACGGAAGCCUCGCAUGAUUGCAUAAGUGUCACAGCCAACGGCAUAGAACUUGUUUUUGGAAUCGGAGACCGUAUAAGGAAGCUGACGAGGCAGAAGUAAAACGUACGAUUGCCCUGGGCGUCAUAGCAAUCUGUACUUACAUGGUUUAAUAUUUGCAACUCCCCAGCCUCUAGGGAUAUGUUAGUAACAACGAUAUUCGUUGUCAUCAAAUAUGCAGUUGGCGGUUGAGUCGUGCGGCUGCAAUUGAUAAAGAAUUCAUCUCCCAGGUAACAACCCUCCUCCAUGCCGAAUGGAUAUGGAACUGUGAGAUCACCGCACUUGUCUGGGCAGCCAGGCAGGACAUGAGCAGCAGCUGCUGUUUUCACCGUACUAGCCGCCGAUAAUAGGAGUAGGACUGCCGCCAAUGGGAAUUGCAAGGCCAUGAUCGACAUGCGUGCAGUGAUGCAGCACUAGCGUGCUGAGCUUGUUUGUGGAAUUUGUAACUGAUCGAGGGCAAAAGCUGGACUACUCCAUGAGUACGGGUACUCCUGACAGUUCUGUUAACGGAAGGGUACGAAUGUAAUUUCCGCUCGUCGCGGUAACCAAUUGUUUUUACUGCGAGACUAGAGGACAACACAGAGAAUUUUCCUCCGGAGUCGUUCCCGAGACUGCAGAACACCACUCUCAAGCCUUCACCCACUAGCUUCAAGGAUUCAAAAUCAAAAAAUAAAAUCUGGAAUCCAGAACACAGAGAUAUUAGACACGAAGCUCAGUGCCGAGAGAGCAGAGUCGUAUCAAUUCGAACGGAUCCGAAGAUAUAUUCUAGAUCUCGAAGCUCAGUGCUGAGAAAGCAGAGUCGUAUCAUUCACAGCUCAUAUUUAACCUUCAAACUCACAUCACAUGUUUACUCAAUUAUUUGGUAUUAUCCCCUCUCACCCAACCCACUUUCUGGUAAUUUACUCAUCCUGCAAAGUAUGAAUGUCCUGGUAUUGGGGACCGUUUGAUUCUUUUGUUAACUUCUUAACCUUCUGUCAUCUUUCCUCAACCAGUGACAUUGGUACCUAAUCCUAGUGUAAUCAUUGUUGAAAUGUUUAUCUUAAAUGAAAUUAUAAAUGUAAUAUGUACGGAUUGUACGCACUAAAUGGAAUCCUAUAUUUCUUGUCUGCAAAAGUGAUUUUCUGUUGCCGCAAUUGGAGAGUUUAAUAGCUCGUCAGUUGCUUACUAUUGUAAUUGAUGAAGCUCAUUGUCUGAGUCAGUUGGGGGAAAUGAUUUUUGAUUAGAUGAUCAGGUUGAACCUUAACAAUUUUCAAAUUCAUGACAGUAGCUUUUUUCUUCUUGAUUUUGUUCUAAUGUCGUUUCAAUAGGAUGAAGAAUCACCUAAAUCGGAUAAGAAUUGAGUCUUGUAGAGGACUAUAAAGUAGGACAGUAGUCUUAAUUUUUCUGGUAUGAACAUCUGAAAAAUCGGGGUUCUAAUUUGAGUUUGUUGACAAUGCUAAUAUGGCAUCUCCUGUUGUAUAGCAUUUUGUCUUCGUUAUCAUAUUUUCGAAUUUGUUGAAUUCUGUAGAAGUAGAAGAAUUUUUGAGACUUUAUUGGCUGUUUGAACAUAUUUUAGCUCUGUUUGAAAUAGUUCUUUGGAAGUUGGUUUUGUUACUUGUUUUUGACCUGUAUCUUUUCAAUCUUGUUUGGAUAAACCGGCGGUAAAGUGUCUCUGAGAGUUUGAGUCCGACUUUGGUAAAGCAUCACAUAUAUGGAAACUAUCUUGGCUUUGACAUAAAUGCAAGUCGAUCUCUUACCUUCCAUUAUGUAUAAGCUUGAAUGUUUGGCUGUGUGUUUUGAGUUACUGAUCAAAUUGUAGAAAAUUCUAUUGCUUCAGAUCAUUUUAUUUUUAAGUCAUGUGAGUGGUAAGACUACUUUGUCUUUACGUAUAUACAAAGAGGCAUAAAGUUGGAGAAGGGGUUGCGGGGCGAGGGAUUUGAGGAGGUGAUAUCGGUGCCCACGGCGACAGGGAGGCAUCACAUUCUUUUCUGUAGUAAAAGAUUAAAGGUAUUGUCUUUUGAAGUUUUUUUUUUUUUAAUUUGAUUUAGAAUUUAAUAUUGAUCCAAGAUCUGAUUUAGAUCUUUCUUAUUCCUUCACUAUGGUUCUUAUUUAAGUUGGAGUUUUGGACAGUAGGACUCUUCUAUAUUCAUUUGUGUUGGUUCUUAUUUAUCAUUGAUCACUUGCGUAUAUAUUAUCCAGGGAAAUAAAUAUGAGCAAAACAGUCUGUUUCUGAAAGGCAGAAAACAUCAGUAUACAUCAGACCAAAAAAGAAAAAGAGAGCAUAGAGGUUUGUCUUUAUUUAUUCCUCAUAGUCAUUACUUUGAAGGUUACAUUAACAGCUUUAAUCAGAAAUAAGGGGAGUUUCUAACGGUUCCUAAUCAAUUUCCUGUUUCCUUCUAGUAGACUUAUAAACUGAAAUGGCAUAAAGUAACUGAACAAACCGGAGAAGAGACUCAUAAGUGUGCUCGCUGAUCCCUUUGCUAUAAUUGACUUGGUCUCAAAAUACGAGGAACAUGUGUAGUCAAGGAUUGCAGAAAUGAAGAGAGAUGUCUAACAUAUUGCGGCUAUGUUAUCUGAUACUCACAUAGGCUCGUUGCAAUCCAGUACAGCUAUAAUUUGUCGCCUUAACAAAUAUUCAACUUUCAUCGUUGUAUUAAUUGGUAGACUCAUCGAUGUGUAUAAACUAUUUAGUCUUAUUUUGAUUUUGGUGGUAUCUAACGAUCAAGUCUUGAUUAAAUCACCGGUUUCGAUAUUGUUAUACACCGUAAGGUUCAUUAUAAGAAAACAGGGACAUGUAACAAAUUGCAUUGGCAUAAUCGUUCACGAUAUUUCGAAGAACUGAAUACCUAGCCUCCAACAGGGACCUUAACAUAUACAUGAUCAACGGGUUCCACCUAACCUCCAAAAACUGAAUACUUAUUAUGGAGGUGUAUUUACCCACAUCACCAGCAUCAUAAACCCAAUAUACAUGUAUGGCAGCUCAAUGUCCGAUUGUGAAACAUUCACAGUGCCAAACAAAUUAAAGGUCCUGCUGUCCCGUAUAAAUAACUUCACAUUGCAAUUUAACUACUGAACAUGGAGGUGCAGGUUAAGAGGUAAAAACACCAUUACGAUAUUUAAAGUCAAGAGAAGGGAACAACAAUGUUCUGAUAAUUAAAACAAACUACACAAAAUAGGAGGACUCAUCUUAAAUAACCACCACUUUGAUUAAAAGAACAUCAGUCCAGUGGUACAACAAAAUAAACCUCCUCGUCCCCAAUAUGGCUGAGACAUCGGUGUUAUCCAACAAUCUAAUGCGUCUCCCAUUCUGCUAUUUUCAGCAGUAACAACAAAAACAAGAACAACAAAUAAUUACGUCUUCUUCUAUGUUCUCCCAUUCUGCUGUUUUCAGCAGUAACAACAACAGGAACAAAUAAUUACAUGUGAAACAACUAAAACUGUUGUUGUUACUUGCGUGUCUAUGACAUGGUGCUCCUCCCUUUUUUUCCGAUCACGGCGAGUGGUUUGCCUUCAGUCUUCCAUGGACCUGUUUCCAGCAAGAAGGGCAACCGUUAAGUAACAAUUAUGAAUGCCCAAAUUUCAACUUUUCUGGUUAUAUUUUAGCAAAGUUCAGAUAUCUUUUGGUAGCGAACACAAAAUAUUAUUAGUGCACGCAUUCAUUUAGAACAGUAUAAACACCAUGCCGCAACAAAUAUAUUACUAUUUCCAAUCAAGCUUUAUCAGCAUUAUAACCAAAUUCAAUAAAAGUGCGCAAUUAGAUUGUUUAGGAAGGGCUACUUAGGGUGGAGGAGGCGGGAUUGUUAGUAGCUCGAGGGCACAUAGAUAAAAUAGAAGUACACAUUUCAUGGAUAAAACCAUAGAUCCAAAGUAUAAUCUUAUCCAUAGAACAAGCAAGAUUCAGGUUAUAGUCUCUGAGUGUGGGUAAAAUUCAAGCCCAUGAAAACAAUCAUACACAUUUUAUUCAUUAUAAAUAACACUCUACUAGCACAUGAUCCUUGAAAUGAAAACUCAACAACAGGACGAUAUAAAGAAGUUCAAGCUGCAAUUCACCGGAGCAGAUAUUUUAUAUAUUGGAACAAUUAUUUCCUGAGAGAGAGUCUGAUCACUCUAAAAUGAGGAGGCAGUAACCAACUGGAUAAUUAACUGACCAUGAAAAUAUAUACAGACCAAAAGAUCAGCAAGACUGCCUGGUCCAUACUGUCCAUUGAAGGGUUUGGUUUAGACACCUAUUUAUUUGAUUCUUAACAAAGGCCAAGUGACUUGAUGGAACAUCCUCUUUUAAGUUCUUAACAACAUUUCCUACCAUUAAACAUUGUUGUAAGUACAACACAGAUGUAAAUGAUUUCUUUUCAAAGUGAAAUUAUCAAAUGCACAUACAUACAGUGCUGCGACCAGAGCAAGCAACCAGAUUUCCUGAUCAUAUUAGAUGAUAAUCUGAUAUAUGUCGGUCAUAUUGUUUAUCUGUUAAUUCAAUUGAUAUUGGAACAAGACAAAUGCAUCAGUUUUCCUCUAAUUAAAGAUGUGCAAGGUUCUAGUUACUAUGAUCAUGGGUGAAAAUGAUAAUCAUGCGUACAAGCGAGGGUCCAACGCCUAAACAGUACAGAAUCCUCACCAGCUAAAUCUUUUAUGACGGUUGCCCAUGAAUAAAUUAGAACUAUUGCAAUGUAGCUACCAAUGGAAAUGGAUGAACUGAGAUCUUGUUAUCUCAACAAACUUUGUGGGAUUAACAUCUGGAUAGGCAGCUUCUUAUUUCAAGAAUGUUAGUGGAUUUACAUCUACGAGUUUAGAUCAAGGAGUGAACAUCACAGCUGAUAUCAAAUACUCUCGGGUUCUAUUAUCUCUAAACUAAAAUUCACAUAUGACAAACUAAACCAGACACAUACAUAACGAUAUGAAAUAGAAACAGGCUCCGCAAACAUCUUUUCCUGACUCAUGAAUUCAAAGACGGCUGUUAAUGACAUCUCAAAGACAUGAACAGAAAUCUGGUACACAAUAAUGCAACUCAUGGAUUAAAACUCAUACCUCCGGAGGGAAUGUUAUCUGGUUGAAUGCAGUUUACGGCUUCAACCCAUUGAUUAAUUCAUCUGUUUCAAACUAGUGAGCCAAAACGCCUAUUUCAAUGUCGAAAUCGUGCACAACGCUCUUCUCCAGCUUCAACCCUUGUUUAGUUAAUCGGUUUCAAACUUUCAUCCAGCUCCGCCUAUUUCGAUUUCGAACUUGUGGACGACGCCAAUUUCGCUUGCCGCUAAUUCGCCCUCUCCGUGGCGGAGACGUGGCCGAUCUCCACGCAGCGUCGUAUCAACCCCCCUUUUCACCCCGUCGUCGGUGUUACAGAAUGGCCCCUAGCUUUUAUCCAGACGCCGUCAACAACGAGAGAAAUGGCCAUCAUCUGAGAAAUUCCAGCGUUGUCCCUCAAAUAUCCUCCUUGCCGAUGAAAACACGCCACGCGUCUCGGGACCACACUGGCGUGCAGUACUACGGCGUAGUCCAGCGCUUCCCCUGAUCGAGAGGAUUUUUGGUAUCAAAUAGGUGUAAUGGUGAUGAUAAGCAAAGCAGUAUUCCCGACUCCCGAGUCGGCCUUUUAUAUAUAGUCGUGCGUGGGAAGUUUCUGGACAACUUCAUCUGUGCUGAUCUAGCUAGCUUUCUAUUCCAGACAGCUGGGUCGUCAUAUAUUUCCUGGAAAUUAAUUAGUAAAACACAAACAUGCAUUGACUAUCAGUGUCACCGUUUCGACGUACCACUAGCCAUGCAUGCAUUGACUAUCAGUAUCACCGUUUCGACGUACCACUAGCCAUGCAUGCAUCAACUUCUGGCUGUAAGCUAGUGUGGAAUAUAUAUAUAGAAACAUCCAAAUAAGGGAAUAAUAGAAACGACUGGUACCGAGGUCUUCCCAAGUAGUUGUGGGAACUAUUCCCGUAAGAAGAAUCUUGGGUUUGAAGAUUAUUAUAUAUACCUGAUUGCCACCGGCCGUUAAUCUUUGAAUACGAAACCUAAUAGAUCUCUCAACUUAAAAGCUGUAACAAUUAUGCCAUGCCUUAAUACUUGUGGAAGACUAGUAAUUACUAAAACAGAAUACAUUUCUAUUGUAGAAUCUCAUCAGCAUUAACUCGAUCAGUCCACUCGUUAAUCAUCAUGCAUGGUCAUAUUCAUGUUAAAUUACAAAUAAUUAAUAACUAUUUUGCAUCAUAUACAUCGAUUUACCAACAUGGAAAAUAUCAUAUGAAGCAUACCAUUCUUUUACGUGUUUACUGAUCCAUUACCGUAAACACGUAAAAGAAUGCCGUGCAAAUUAGUGUGGCAAAUGAGAAAGAUCUAUUUGUUCCCUGAUAAUUAUAUAUUGGCAUUAUUGCACCCUUAUUCCACUUGAUAAUCCUGAAAAUUGAGUGAGAGGGACAAAGUCCUUAGUCAUUUGUUUGCUGUGUGAAGUCAAGCAGCUGAUAGUGAUAUAUAAACCAAUUGUUUAAUUUCCACAAUAGAUUAGUUGGCGUGCCAAGCAAUAUUCUUUUUUUAUUUUUCAUGCUAUUAAUUGACUUGAGAAAAAGAAGACCUACAAAAGCACCUACCAAAGGAAAUCAUAUACAUGUAUUUGUGUAAACAAGUUACGAAAUAUAUAUUUCACAUGACUGAUUAAAGGAAUUACAACUCGAAUGGUUAGCCAAAAGACAAACCGAGUCGCAUAGUCGUUAACCAAGGUCUGUUUACUAGUUUUGUGUUAAUCAUGCUGGGUUUAUAUUUCUGGUGAUGACGAAUAACAUUGAUGUUACAACUCAACAUCAAUAUAUGAUGUAUAGUUGUAUAUACUCAACAUGAUGACAUAUGUGCAUACCUAUUCGGUGACAACGAAUACACACACAGAUGUAUAUGUAUACCUCAUGACCCCUUCAACAAAAAAAUGAAUAUUAAUUUAACUACUUAGUACGUAAUUAAAGUUAACAGUACUCUAUCUGUAUUGUUUAAAUCAAGUAGUCAACCCUUAUGUUCAUGUUCAUAUUUGCUAGUGAUUUUUUGGUGUAGAUUUGCUUAUGCACCUAUUGAAGAAAAACGGUUGUUACAACCUUAUUUAUGUUUGAUCGAGGAUAUAUAGUUUGUUGUAAUUAGUCCUAUCUAAUGUUUUAUUUUUUAAUUAAAUAACAGAUUAAGCGAUAUAAUUUUUCUGAGGGAAGAGGCGAACAAUUUUCAUGAAGCGAAGUACAAAUAUAUUACCACUCACAUUUUGGCCAAAAUGGAAAAUUUACAACAGAUCGAUAUUACCGUCAUUACAUGCAUAUGCAGCACUGCACUAACUGCAGCAGUAUGAUCAGACAUCUUUUAUUUAACGCGCAACAUAAUCGAAAGUAGCAAAAAAAGUUAAGAACAACUCCACAUAUAACUAGCUAGCUAUGGAAGAUAAGCUAGCUAAUUGAUGAACUAUCUCCCACCAUCAUAAGGCUUAAUCAUCUGGGAUUGAUUCUGCGUGCUCUGGUCAUAAUCUAUGCUGGUUAUGACUUCACCUUCAUCACUUCUAACAUCAACAACGUAAGCGUUUGAAGGUGACGCUGCAAGCAAGUAAUCAGUCUCUUUGGGGGAGGAGUCAGGCUUUCCUCCUGGAUGCUUUGCCAUAACAGCCAGUAUUGCCUCUAGCUCCAUUGCUACUUCUUUCAUGGUAGGCCUAUCUCCUCCUUUCAAACUUAAACAUCUUUUGGCGAGAAGGGCUCACUACCAGGACAAGCACUUUAGCCGAUGAAAAAUUUUCGUCGGCCUGUUAUCUUAAUUCGUCGGCUAAGAUCUUAGCCAACGAAGGCUCGUCGGCUAUAGUGUCGUCGGGAAAAGGUCGUUGGUGAUGACUUUAGCCGACGAAUUUUUUUUUUUCGUCGGCUAUAGUCCCACAGUAGACACGUUGUGAUUCCGAUGACUAAAAUUCACAAACCAAAAUUCGACUGUCAGAUAUGAUCAUUAUGACGAAAGAUGUCUAUGAUAAAAAAUUCAACUGGAUUCGACAACGUUAAGGGCUUGAUCGAAACGGUCAACUCUAAUCGAAAAUAAGAAAACUACAUUUUGAAGCCCUAAACGGACUCGGAUGGCCAAAAAAGCCUAUACAUCAUAGCAUUAGCCAUGAGUUUGACUCGUAGCGCCGUUACGCUUCCGGAAAGGUAACACAAUAGUCAAUCAGACACCAAACGCCAAAUCUGCAGCAUAGUGAAUAAUAAGGGUAAGUCAACUAUCGGCACCGAGACUUUACCAGAAUACUUUGAUUUUUCAACCGUAGACGUAUUUCACCAUUCUGGUCAUAUCUUAUUUCACGACUUUUUUGCGUUUGAAGGUUCUACGUAUAGUUUUUUUUCUCAGAUGAGUUGUUGUCUAGAUCUGCAAAUAUAAGGCACUUUAACCGACGAAAUUAUAUUUUUUCGUCGGUUAACAUUUUAAAAUUUUCGUCGGCUAAAGUUUAAAAAAUUUCGUCGGCUAAACUUUUAAAAUUUCGUCGGCUAAAGUUCACAGACUAUAGCCGACGAAAAAAAUUAUUCAGCCGACGAAAUAUUAAUUUCGUCGGCUAAAGUUGACCAUAGCCGAUGAAAAUUUUAAAUUAGCCGACGAAUUGGACUUUAGCCGAGGAAAAAAAAAUUCAUCGGGCUGGUUUUUUUAUUUUCGUCGGCUAAAGCCUUUCUUCUGGUAGUGGCUACUUGUUCAGCUAUUUCAAAGCUUCCCUCCUUGAUAAUUUCAAGAUCAAGAAUAUGAGCCAAGCGAUUCUCUUCCCGAAAAUUCUACAGCGCACCCGGGUGCGCUGAAUACGCUCUCUUCUCUUCCACUGACGUUACAAACACAGUUCGCUAGGUUACUCUCUGCCUCAGGCUUCUUGUGAGAAAUUGCCACUUGACUCGUUAUAAGCUCGACAAGAACAACGCCGAAACUAUAGACAUCACUUUUUUCCGUCAGUGUGUUUGAUUGAAGAUAUUCAGGGUCCAAGUACCCUAGCGUGCCUUGCACUAAAGUGUGUGUGUCUAUAUAUAUACAGGCUUUCUCUGCUACACACGUCCGCAUUUAUUUCUUACGGUGCGGAUUUUCACUUUAGACUCAUUUUUCAAUCGAAUUUUCAUAUCUCCACCGUCUAGUCUUUAGAUAUUAAUGUAUAGAUCAUCUCUGUAAAAUUUCAGCCAAUUUGGUUAUCAUUAAGACAUUACUCAAACUCGAUUAAACCAAUGAAGGAACAUAAUUUUGUCGAACUUAAAUCGGUCAUGUUUAUAACAGCAAAACGCAGUUUUGAGUGCUUAAUGAUAACCAAAUUGACUGAAAUUUUGUAGAGAUGAUCUAUACAUAGAUCGCUUCUGUUAAGUUUCAUUGACAUUGAUGAUCGUUUGGAAACUCACUUUGUUUGCAUAGAACCUAAUACUGAUGUCUGGAAACUCACUUCGUUCCUGCUUCAAAUGGAAGAUUUCCCCAAUGAUGACAUGCAGUUUGCAGGUAAGAAACAAGGUUCAACUUGUGUGUUCGGUUCCAGUUUGUGUUUCCAGUUUCAAUGGCUACUAAUUAAUGUAUGUAAGUACUUCGAUCUGAUUCAAUUAUUCCAUAGGUAUGCCUGCUCAUGAUGAUACUCUUACUCCUGGAUUGGGUUGUACUUUUUUUUUUUGGCAUGCUUUUUUUUUUCGCUGAAUGAUCGAGGAUAGACGAAUAAAUCGCCUAUCACUCUAUUUUAUUAAUAAAGAAAAAAGAAACAAAGGAGGGGGAUGAAAACCAAAACCUCCCGAAACAAAUUAUAGACUAGCUGAAACAAAAUUGAGGCAUACCUCUAACAUCGUUAUUAUAAGACAAUAAUAUGAAAGGUGGAGGCUCAUCCCACCAUAUCAAUUCAGAACCUGACGUACCUUGAUUUGCCAGAGCAUCAGCUAUUUUAUUUCCUUCACGAAAAAUAUGAGUAGCCUUGAAAUUCACCUGAGAGAUUCGGUAUAAGCAAUUCAACCAUCUAAUUCGAAGAGGCCAAGGAACAAGAGAAGCAUAAUGUUGAUUCUAGAUUGGAUUCGAACUACUGUUAUGCCUUCUUGCUUUUGCAUAGAGUACAACUACUGCAGGGAGGGAGUCAAACAACAUAAGAUCACACUUAAUUUACAUAUCAAAUUAGCAGUAUUUGGUAAUUGAAAUUUUCACAUGGUUAUAUUAAUUUGUAGUAGACGUGAACUAUCCCUUUUAGUCGAGUUUUUCUUUUGCUUUCCUUGAGAGGCUUAGGCAUUAUUCUUUGAUUUUUUAUUUUUUUUUAGUUUUGCUGGCAUGCUCACUUAUACUGUUUGAGAUUUCUCCAGGCAAGCUUCUAGAUGAAGGGGUUGUCUGUUUGGUUCCAGUAUGUGCUCCCAAUUCAACUGGCUAUUACUUGAUAUCUGUAAGUCCUCACUAUUGCUAGAAUGAUAAAUUUUGUUGCCAAUUAAUCCAUAGGUAUAUCCCUGUUUAUGAUGGUAGUCUUAAGCCUUGAUUUGGAUUUAUGUUUCGAUAUUAAGCAUACCAUCAUUUAUAGAACCGAAGAAUACUGUUAUAUGCCUGAUUGCUUAAUAAAUUGCAUAGAGUACAAAAUGCAGGGAAAUAAUUCAAAACAACACAUCCAUAUAUAAAUACAUAUAAUAUAUAUACAAAUAUUAGACCACACUUAAUUUACAUUUAUCAAAUUCAUAGUAUGCUUGNNNNNNNNNNNNNNNNNNNNNNNNNNNNNNNNNNNNNNNNNNNNNNNNNNNNNNNNNNNNNNNNNNNNNNNNNNNNNNNNNNNNNNNNNNNNNNNNNNNNNNNNNNNNNNNNNNNNNNNNNNNNNNNNNNNNNNNNNNNNNNNNNNNNNNNNNNNNNNNNNNNNNNNNNNNNNNNNNNNNNNNNNNNNNNNNNNNNNNNNNNNNNNNNNNNNNNNNNNNNNNNNNNNNNNNNNNNNNNNNNNNNNNNNNNNNNNNNNNNNNNNNNNNNNNNNNNNNNNNNNNNNNNNNNNNNNNNNNNNNNNNNNNNNNNNNNNNNNNNNNNNNNNNNNNNNNNNNNNNNNNNNNNNNNNNNNNNNNNNNNNNNNNNNNNNNNNNNNNNNNNNNNNNNNNNNNNNNNNNNNNNNNNNNNNNNNNNNNNNNNNNNNNNNNNNNNNNNNNNNNNNNNNNNNNNNNNNNNNNNNNNNNNNNNNNNNNNNNNNNNNNNNNNNNNNNNNNNNNNNNNNNNNNNNNNNNNNNNNNNNNNNNNNNNNNNNNNNNNNNNNNNNNNNNNNNNNNNNNNNNNNNNNNNNNNNNNNNNNNNNNNNNNNNNNNNNNNNNNNNNNNNNNNNNNNNNNNNNNNNNNNNNNNNNNNNNNNNNNNNNNNNNNNNNNNNNNNNNNNNNNNNNNNNNNNNNNNNNNNNNNNNNNNNNNNNNNNNNNNNNNNNNNNNNNNNNNNNNNNNNNNNNNNNNNNNNNNNNNNNNNNNNNNNNNNNNNNNNNNNNNNNNNNNNNNNNNNNNNNNNNNNNNNNNNNNNNNNNNNNNNNNNNNNNNNNNNNNNNNNNNNNNNNNNNNNNNNNNNNNNNNNNNNNNNNNNNNNNNNNNNNNNNNNNNNNNNNNNNNNNNNNNNNNNNNNNNNNNNNNNNNNNNNNNNNNNNNNNNNNNNNNNNNNNNNNNNNNNNNNNNNNNNNNNNNNNNNNNNNNNNNNNNNNNNNNNNNNNNNNNNNNNNNNNNNNNNNNNNNNNNNNNNNNNNNNNNNNNNNNNNNNNNNNNNNNNNNNNNNNNNNNNNNNNNNNNNNNNNNNNNNNNNNNNNNNNNNNNNNNNNNNNNNNNNNNNNNNNNNNNNNNNNNNNNNNNNNNNNNNNNNNNNNNNNNNNNNNNNNNNNNNNNNNNNNNNNNNNNNNNNNNNNNNNNNNNNNNNNNNNNNNNNNNNNNNNNNNNNNNNNNNNNNNNNNNNNNNNNNNNNNNNNNNNNNNNNNNNNNNNNNNNNNNNNNNNNNNNNNNNNNNNNNNNNNNNNNNNNNNNNNNNNNNNNNNNNNNNNNNNNNNNNNNNNNNNNNNNNNNNNNNNNNNNNNNNNNNNNNNNNNNNNNNNNNNNNNNNNNNNNNNNNNNNNNNNNNNNNNNNNNNNNNNNNNNNNNNNNNNNNNNNNNNNNNNNNNNNNNNNNNNNNNNNNNNNNNNNNNNNNNNNNNNNNNNNNNNNNNNNNNNNNNNNNNNNNNNNNNNNNNNNNNNNNNNNNNNNNNNNNNNNNNNNNNNNNNNNNNNNNNNNNNNNNNNNNNNNNNNNNNNNNNNNNNNNNNNNNNNNNNNNNNNNNNNNNNNNNNNNNNNNNNNNNNNNNNNNNNNNNNNNNNNNNNNNNNNNNNNNNNNNNNNNNNNNNNNNNNNNNNNNNNNNNNNNNNNNNNNNNNNNNNNNNNNNNNNNNNNNNNNNNNNNNNNNNNNNNNNNNNNNNNNNNNNNNNNNNNNNNNNNNNNNNNNNNNNNNNNNNNNNNNNNNNNNNNNNNNNNNNNNNNNNNNNNNNNNNNNNNNNNNNNNNNNNNNNNNNNNNNNNNNNNNNNNNNNNNNNNNNNNNNNNNNNNNNNNNNNNNNNNNNNNNNNNNNNNNNNNNNNNNNNNNNNNNNNNNNNNNNNNNNNNNNNNNNNNNNNNNNNNNNNNNNNNNNNNNNNNNNNNNNNNNNNNNNNNNNNNNNNNNNNNNNNNNNNNNNNNNNNNNNNNNNNNNNNNNNNNNNNNNNNNNNNNNNNNNNNNNNNNNNNNNNNNNNNNNNNNNNNNNNNNNNNNNNNNNNNNNNNNNNNNNNNNNNNNNNNNNNNNNNNNNNNNNNNNNNNNNNNNNNNNNNNNNNNNNNNNNNNNNNNNNNNNNNNNNNNNNNNNNNNNNNNNNNNNNNNNNNNNNNNNNNNNNNNNNNNNNNNNNNNNNNNNNNNNNNNNNNNNNNNNNNNNNNNNNNNNNNNNNNNNNNNNNNNNNNNNNNNNNNNNNNNNNNNNNNNNNNNNNNNNNNNNNNNNNNNNNNNNNNNNNNNNNNNNNNNNNNNNNNNNNNNNNNNNNNNNNNNNNNNNNNNNNNNNNNNNNNNNNNNNNNNNNNNNNNNNNNNNNNNNNNNNNNNNNNNNNNNNNNNNNNNNNNNNNNNNNNNNNNNNNNNNNNNNNNNNNNNNNNNNNNNNNNNNNNNNNNNNNNNNNNNNNNNNNNNNNNNNNNNNNNNNNNNNNNNNNNNNNNNNNNNNNNNNNNNNNNNNNNNNNNNNNNNNNNNNNNNNNNNNNNNNNNNNNNNNNNNNNNNNNNNNNNNNNNNNNNNNNNNNNNNNNNNNNNNNNNNNNNNNNNNNNNNNNNNNNNNNNNNNNNNNNNNNNNNNNNNNNNNNNNNNNNNNNNNNNNNNNNNNNNNNNNNNNNNNNNNNNNNNNNNNNNNNNNNNNNNNNNNNNNNNNNNNNNNNNNNNNNNNNNNNNNNNNNNNNNNNNNNNNNNNNNNNNNNNNNNNNNNNNNNNNNNNNNNNNNNNNNNNNNNNNNNNNNNNNNNNNNNNNNNNNNNNNNNNNNNNNNNNNNNNNNNNNNNNNNNNNNNNNNNNNNNNNNNNNNNNNNNNNNNNNNNNNNNNNNNNNNNNNNNNNNNNNNNNNNNNNNNNNNNNNNNNNNNNNNNNNNNNNNNNNNNNNNNNNNNNNNNNNNNNNNNNNNNNNNNNNNNNNNNNNNNNNNNNNNNNNNNNNNNNNNNNNNNNNNNNNNNNNNNNNNNNNNNNNNNNNNNNNNNNNNNNNNNNNNNNNNNNNNNNNNNNNNNNNNNNNNNNNNNNNNNNNNNNNNNNNNNNNNNNNNNNNNNNNNNNNNNNNNNNNNNNNNNNNNNNNNNNNNNNNNNNNNNNNNNNNNNNNNNNNNNNNNNNNNNNNNNNNNNNNNNNNNNNNNNNNNNNNNNNNNNNNNNNNNNNNNNNNNNNNNNNNNNNNNNNNNNNNNNNNNNNNNNNNNNNNNNNNNNNNNNNNNNNNNNNNNNNNNNNNNNNNNNNNNNNNNNNNNNNNNNNNNNNNNNNNNNNNNNNNNNNNNNNNNNNNNNNNNNNNNNNNNNNNNNNNNNNNNNNNNNNNNNNNNNNNNNNNNNNNNNNNNNNNNNNNNNNNNNNNNNNNNNNNNNNNNNNNNNNNNNNNNNNNNNNNNNNNNNNNNNNNNNNNNNNNNNNNNNNNNNNNNNNNNNNNNNNNNNNNNNNNNNNNNNNNNNNNNNNNNNNNNNNNNNNNNNNNNNNNNNNNNNNNNNNNNNNNNNNNNNNNNNNNNNNNNNNNNNNNNNNNNNNNNNNNNNNNNNNNNNNNNNNNNNNNNNNNNNNNNNNNNNNNNNNNNNNNNNNNNNNNNNNNNNNNNNNNNNNNNNNNNNNNNNNNNNNNNNNNNNNNNNNNNNNNNNNNNNNNNNNNNNNNNNNNNNNNNNNNNNNNNNNNNNNNNNNNNNNNNNNNNNNNNNNNNNNNNNNNNNNNNNNNNNNNNNNNNNNNNNNNNNNNNNNNNNNNNNNNNNNNNNNNNNNNNNNNNNNNNNNNNNNNNNNNNNNNNNNNNNNNNNNNNNNNNNNNNNNNNNNNNNNNNNNNNNNNNNNNNNNNNNNNNNNNNNNNNNNNNNNNNNNNNNNNNNNNNNNNNNNNNNNNNNNNNNNNNNNNNNNNNNNNNNNNNNNNNNNNNNNNNNNNNNNNNNNNNNNNNNNNNNNNNNNNNNNNNNNNNNNNNNNNNNNNNNNNNNNNNNNNNNNNNNNNNNNNNNNNNNNNNNNNNNNNNNNNNNNNNNNNNNNNNNNNNNNNNNNNNNNNNNNNNNNNNNNNNNNNNNNNNNNNNNNNNNNNNNNNNNNNNNNNNNNNNNNNNNNNNNNNNNNNNNNNNNNNNNNNNNNNNNNNNNNNNNNNNNNNNNNNNNNNNNNNNNNNNNNNNNNNNNNNNNNNNNNNNNNNNNNNNNNNNNNNNNNNNNNNNNNNNNNNNNNNNNNNNNNNNNNNNNNNNNNNNNNNNNNNNNNNNNNNNNNNNNNNNNNNNNNNNNNNNNNNNNNNNNNNNNNNNNNNNNNNNNNNNNNNNNNNNNNNNNNNNNNNNNNNNNNNNNNNNNNNNNNNNNNNNNNNNNNNNNNNNNNNNNNNNNNNNNNNNNNNNNNNNNNNNNNNNNNNNNNNNNNNNNNNNNNNNNNNNNNNNNNNNNNNNNNNNNNNNNNNNNNNNNNNNNNNNNNNNNNNNNNNNNNNNNNNNNNNNNNNNNNNNNNNNNNNNNNNNNNNNNNNNNNNNNNNNNNNNNNNNNNNNNNNNNNNNNNNNNNNNNNNNNNNNNNNNNNNNNNNNNNNNNNNNNNNNNNNNNNNNNNNNNNNNNNNNNNNNNNNNNNNNNNNNNNNNNNNNNNNNNNNNNNNNNNNNNNNNNNNNNNNNNNNNNNNNNNNNNNNNNNNNNNNNNNNNNNNNNNNNNNNNNNNNNNNNNNNNNNNNNNNNNNNNNNNNNNNNNNNNNNNNNNNNNNNNNNNNNNNNNNNNNNNNNNNNNNNNNNNNNNNNNNNNNNNNNNNNNNNNNNNNNNNNNNNNNNNNNNNNNNNNNNNNNNNNNNNNNNNNNNNNNNNNNNNNNNNNNNNNNNNNNNNNNNNNNNNNNNNNNNNNNNNNNNNNNNNNNNNNNNNNNNNNNNNNNNNNNNNNNNNNNNNNNNNNNNNNNNNNNNNNNNNNNNNNNNNNNNNNNNNNNNNNNNNNNNNNNNNNNNNNNNNNNNNNNNNNNNNNNNNNNNNNNNNNNNNNNNNNNNNNNNNNNNNNNNNNNNNNNNNNNNNNNNNNNNNNNNNNNNNNNNNNNNNNNNNNNNNNNNNNNNNNNNNNNNNNNNNNNNNNNNNNNNNNNNNNNNNNNNNNNNNNNNNNNNNNNNNNNNNNNNNNNNNNNNNNNNNNNNNNNNNNNNNNNNNNNNNNNNNNNNNNNNNNNNNNNNNNNNNNNNNNNNNNNNNNNNNNNNNNNNNNNNNNNNNNNNNNNNNNNNNNNNNNNNNNNNNNNNNNNNNNNNNNNNNNNNNNNNNNNNNNNNNNNNNNNNNNNNNNNNNNNNNNNNNNNNNNNNNNNNNNNNNNNNNNNNNNNNNNNNNNNNNNNNNNNNNNNNNNNNNNNNNNNNNNNNNNNNNNNNNNNNNNNNNNNNNNNNNNNNNNNNNNNNNNNNNNNNNNNNNNNNNNNNNNNNNNNNNNNNNNNNNNNNNNNNNNNNNNNNNNNNNNNNNNNNNNNNNNNNNNNNNNNNNNNNNNNNNNNNNNNNNNNNNNNNNNNNNNNNNNNNNNNNNNNNNNNNNNNNNNNNNNNNNNNNNNNNNNNNNNNNNNNNNNNNNNNNNNNNNNNNNNNNNNNNNNNNNNNNNNNNNNNNNNNNNNNNNNNNNNNNNNNNNNNNNNNNNNNNNNNNNNNNNNNNNNNNNNNNNNNNNNNNNNNNNNNNNNNNNNNNNNNNNNNNNNNNNNNNNNNNNNNNNNNNNNNNNNNNNNNNNNNNNNNNNNNNNNNNNNNNNNNNNNNNNNNNNNNNNNNNNNNNNNNNNNNNNNNNNNNNNNNNNNNNNNNNNNNNNNNNNNNNNNNNNNNNNNNNNNNNNNNNNNNNNNNNNNNNNNNNNNNNNNNNNNNNNNNNNNNNNNNNNNNNNNNNNNNNNNNNNNNNNNNNNNNNNNNNNNNNNNNNNNNNNNNNNNNNNNNNNNNNNNNNNNNNNNNNNNNNNNNNNNNNNNNNNNNNNNNNNNNNNNNNNNNNNNNNNNNNNNNNNNNNNNNNNNNNNNNNNNNNNNNNNNNNNNNNNNNNNNNNNNNNNNNNNNNNNNNNNNNNNNNNNNNNNNNNNNNNNNNNNNNNNNNNNNNNNNNNNNNNNNNNNNNNNNNNNNNNNNNNNNNNNNNNNNNNNNNNNNNNNNNNNNNNNNNNNNNNNNNNNNNNNNNNNNNNNNNNNNNNNNNNNNNNNNNNNNNNNNNNNNNNNNNNNNNNNNNNNNNNNNNNNNNNNNNNNNNNNNNNNNNNNNNNNNNNNNNNNNNNNNNNNNNNNNNNNNNNNNNNNNNNNNNNNNNNNNNNNNNNNNNNNNNNNNNNNNNNNNNNNNNNNNNNNNNNNNNNNNNNNNNNNNNNNNNNNNNNNNNNNNNNNNNNNNNNNNNNNNNNNNNNNNNNNNNNNNNNNNNNNNNNNNNNNNNNNNNNNNNNNNNNNNNNNNNNNNNNNNNNNNNNNNNNNNNNNNNNNNNNNNNNNNNNNNNNNNNNNNNNNNNNNNNNNNNNNNNNNNNNNNNNNNNNNNNNNNNNNNNNNNNNNNNNNNNNNNNNNNNNNNNNNNNNNNNNNNNNNNNNNNNNNNNNNNNNNNNNNNNNNNNNNNNNNNNNNNNNNNNNNNNNNNNNNNNNNNNNNNNNNNNNNNNNNNNNNNNNNNNNNNNNNNNNNNNNNNNNNNNNNNNNNNNNNNNNNNNNNNNNNNNNNNNNNNNNNNNNNNNNNNNNNNNNNNNNNNNNNNNNNNNNNNNNNNNNNNNNNNNNNNNNNNNNNNNNNNNNNNNNNNNNNNNNNNNNNNNNNNNNNNNNNNNNNNNNNNNNNNNNNNNNNNNNNNNNNNNNNNNNNNNNNNNNNNNNNNNNNNNNNNNNNNNNNNNNNNNNNNNNNNNNNNNNNNNNNNNNNNNNNNNNNNNNNNNNNNNNNNNNNNNNNNNNNNNNNNNNNNNNNNNNNNNNNNNNNNNNNNNNNNNNNNNNNNNNNNNNNNNNNNNNNNNNNNNNNNNNNNNNNNNNNNNNNNNNNNNNNNNNNNNNNNNNNNNNNNNNNNNNNNNNNNNNNNNNNNNNNNNNNNNNNNNNNNNNNNNNNNNNNNNNNNNNNNNNNNNNNNNNNNNNNNNNNNNNNNNNNNNNNNNNNNNNNNNNNNNNNNNNNNNNNNNNNNNNNNNNNNNNNNNNNNNNNNNNNNNNNNNNNNNNNNNNNNNNNNNNNNNNNNNNNNNNNNNNNNNNNNNNNNNNNNNNNNNNNNNNNNNNNNNNNNNNNNNNNNNNNNNNNNNNNNNNNNNNNNNNNNNNNNNNNNNNNNNNNNNNNNNNNNNNNNNNNNNNNNNNNNNNNNNNNNNNNNNNNNNNNNNNNNNNNNNNNNNNNNNNNNNNNNNNNNNNNNNNNNNNNNNNNNNNNNNNNNNNNNNNNNNNNNNNNNNNNNNNNNNNNNNNNNNNNNNNNNNNNNNNNNNNNNNNNNNNNNNNNNNNNNNNNNNNNNNNNNNNNNNNNNNNNNNNNNNNNNNNNNNNNNNNNNNNNNNNNNNNNNNNNNNNNNNNNNNNNNNNNNNNNNNNNNNNNNNNNNNNNNNNNNNNNNNNNNNNNNNNNNNNNNNNNNNNNNNNNNNNNNNNNNNNNNNNNNNNNNNNNNNNNNNNNNNNNNNNNNNNNNNNNNNNNNNNNNNNNNNNNNNNNNNNNNNNNNNNNNNNNNNNNNNNNNNNNNNNNNNNNNNNNNNNNNNNNNNNNNNNNNNNNNNNNNNNNNNNNNNNNNNNNNNNNNNNNNNNNNNNNNNNNNNNNNNNNNNNNNNNNNNNNNNNNNNNNNNNNNNNNNNNNNNNNNNNNNNNNNNNNNNNNNNNNNNNNNNNNNNNNNNNNNNNNNNNNNNNNNNNNNNNNNNNNNNNNNNNNNNNNNNNNNNNNNNNNNNNNNNNNNNNNNNNNNNNNNNNNNNNNNNNNNNNNNNNNNNNNNNNNNNNNNNNNNNNNNNNNNNNNNNNNNNNNNNNNNNNNNNNNNNNNNNNNNNNNNNNNNNNNNNNNNNNNNNNNNNNNNNNNNNNNNNNNNNNNNNNNNNNNNNNNNNNNNNNNNNNNNNNNNNNNNNNNNNNNNNNNNNNNNNNNNNNNNNNNNNNNNNNNNNNNNNNNNNNNNNNNNNNNNNNNNNNNNNNNNNNNNNNNNNNNNNNNNNNNNNNNNNNNNNNNNNNNNNNNNNNNNNNNNNNNNNNNNNNNNNNNNNNNNNNNNNNNNNNNNNNNNNNNNNNNNNNNNNNNNNNNNNNNNNNNNNNNNNNNNNNNNNNNNNNNNNNNNNNNNNNNNNNNNNNNNNNNNNNNNNNNNNNNNNNNNNNNNNNNNNNNNNNNNNNNNNNNNNNNNNNNNNNNNNNNNNNNNNNNNNNNNNNNNNNNNNNNNNNNNNNNNNNNNNNNNNNNNNNNNNNNNNNNNNNNNNNNNNNNNNNNNNNNNNNNNNNNNNNNNNNNNNNNNNNNNNNNNNNNNNNNNNNNNNNNNNNNNNNNNNNNNNNNNNNNNNNNNNNNNNNNNNNNNNNNNNNNNNNNNNNNNNNNNNNNNNNNNNNNNNNNNNNNNNNNNNNNNNNNNNNNNNNNNNNNNNNNNNNNNNNNNNNNNNNNNNNNNNNNNNNNNNNNNNNNNNNNNNNNNNNNNNNNNNNNNNNNNNNNNNNNNNNNNNNNNNNNNNNNNNNNNNNNNNNNNNNNNNNNNNNNNNNNNNNNNNNNNNNNNNNNNNNNNNNNNNNNNNNNNNNNNNNNNNNNNNNNNNNNNNNNNNNNNNNNNNNNNNNNNNNNNNNNNNNNNNNNNNNNNNNNNNNNNNNNNNNNNNNNNNNNNNNNNNNNNNNNNNNNNNNNNNNNNNNNNNNNNNNNNNNNNNNNNNNNNNNNNNNNNNNNNNNNNNNNNNNNNNNNNNNNNNNNNNNNNNNNNNNNNNNNNNNNNNNNNNNNNNNNNNNNNNNNNNNNNNNNNNNNNNNNUCAUAAGGGACAAGCCAACCAACUAUCGUCCAUUACCAUGUGGCAUCAACAUCUGGAUUUGCAUGCUGUCAUACCCAGUUGUCGUACCAAUAGUUAAACCACUGGAAUUGUGAUCACCUCCUCUAGCAUCCAUGUCAUAACUGUCUGAAGUAGGUGACCCAAGUAGGUACUCAUUCUCUUCCGGACAGAAUUUAGCAUUCUUUCCCCACGGAUGCUUUGCCAUAAUUGCCAUUCCCUCUAGCUCCAUGGCAACUUCUUUCAUGGUAGGCCUUUCCUCCCCUUUUAACCUCAAACAUCUUUUUGCGAGAUUGGCCACGCUUACUGCUGUCUCAAUGUUUCCCUCAUUCACUAUGGCAUCAUCCAGAAUUUCUUUUAAGCAAUCUUCAUCCAUGCAAGAAACAAAGAUGCUUGUUAAGCAUCUAUCAUUAGAAAGUGCCACUUUGCUUGUAAGUAGCUCCACUAGGACAACUCCAAAGCUGUAGACAUCACUUUUUUCUGUUAGUUGGUUUGACUGCAAAUAUUCUGGGUCUAGGUAUCCAAAUGUCCCGAGCACCAAAGUUUGUAUUUCGGUUUGACCUAGAGGAACCAACCGUGAAGCUCCAAAGUCCGACACUUUGGCUGUAUAAUUAUCAUCCAAGAGUAUAUUUGCUGCUUUCACAUCUCGAUGUAUGAUUGGCAUUGAUGUGGAGGAGUGUAAGUAUGCUAGUGCUCCUGCUGUUUCAACUGCUAUCUUCAUUCGCAGUUCAAAUGACAGUGAUGAUCUUCUUUUAUGAAUGUGCUCGUAUAGAGUGCCAUGGUUGACAAAUUCGUAUACCAGUAAAGGCACUGCUGUCUCUAAACAACAACCUAGUAGCUUCACCACAUUUCUGUGGUUGAUUUGAGAAAGAACAAUCACCUCGUUAACAAACUGUUCGCUCUGGGUCGAGGUACCUCCUUUUGACUUCUUUAUGGCAACCACUUUGUUGUCCUUUAGUACUCCUUUAUAAACUGUUCCGUAGCCUCCUUCUCCAAGGACUCCACUCUCAUGGUAAUUGUUUGUUGCGUUCUCUAGUUCUUCUGUGGUGAAGAUUUUUGUUGUCUCCACUGAGCCUCCAUGGUUAGCGAGUUGUUGUAGUAACAAUAAGCCACCAUUUUCUUUAAAGUACUUUUCUUUCAGUUUCUUGAAUUUUGUUUUCCGUAUUCUGCAACAUAUCCAUGAAAUUCCAACAAACAGAACCAAGAAGCCCCCAGUUACACCUGCACAUAUAUACCAACAAUCAAUUGAGGCAAAAUUGAUUUUAUUUCUGAUUGUCUCUAGGGAGAUUUGUUAUAGUGGAGUUUGAUGAAAUUCUUUAGUUACUUUUAUUUGAUUUUAAAUAAUUAGUGAAAUUUUUUAGAUUAAGCAAACUUUCUAAGCUAUUAAAAGUCAGUACCAUAAAAACAGGGGAAAACAUAUGUACGUAAAACCGUGAAAGCUUCUUCAAAUCACUUGUAUAUGAUGGAUAUUCUUUCCUUUUCUUUUUUAAGUUCUUCAUUUUAAAUAGUAGAUAUGAGAAUUUCAGUUUGGGUCCUAACAUGGCUGAUCAGGUUUUGAUCAGAUGAUGCAUGCAGCGUGCUAUUAUAGAAAUAGUUCAUACUCAAUGAUACAAUAAGCAGGAGCGUCGUCUUUGUUUGGUUUUUGUCGUUGGGAAUCUCUUGAAUACAGCUUUGAUUAUUCAUUCCAUUGCUUCUGUACCCUUUGUCACACAAGCAUGAGUAACUUCCAGGUGAAUUUUCACACAGUCCAUUGGUGCAGGGGUUUGAAACCUUGCACUCAUCAAUAUCUGAAAAACCCAGGAAAACAAAUUGUUAUUAACAAACAAGUAAACUUAAAUCCAUAACCGUGGCUUUAAUUUCCGGCUGCAGCAACUGAAUCACAGACACAAACACGCAUGUACCCUCAAACAUAUCAAAUGAAAAGUGCACACAGAGACACACACACAUAUACUGUGUAUUGUUAUUUACAUAUUUCACCUUGGCAACCAUCGGGGAGGUACGGGUUCCCUUGAUAACCCGACUGGCAUUGGCAAUAAUAACCAGAUAGCUCAUCACUGAUGGUCCGUUUGACACACUUGCUAUUUGCCUUGCAUGCAUAAUCAUCUCUCUGUUCAGCUUCAUCACAUGUGCCUUCCCCAAUUUCCCAAUUAAGAAUAAUGGGAAGCUCUUCGGUGUUGUUUAGUGUAUGAAAACUUGUAUUCGGGGAAUAGGUGAACUUGCCUUCUUCCACAAUGAAGGCAUAGCUGCAUGGAUUGAAGUCCAGUAUGUAUGUGUGAUUAUAAUAGCUUUCCAGUGUGAGAGUGUAAUUCUCAAGUCCGCUGGGGAUGUCAGUUUGACAACACCCAACCCCGGAGCAAGACUGUUCAAGGCUGUUAAGGUUGUCACAUAUGGACAUGCAUCCGGUCAUUAACCUCUGUUCGUCUGCACGGUAACCUCUGAAAGCUGCAGAAGUGUCGCAACCAACGGCAAUGAACUUGUUUCUAGUAUGAGAGACGGUGAAAGGAGGCACGGCAAGCAAUGGUUGGUCGUAAUCAUUAUCGCCCAGGCUGUUAUAGCAAUCGUAGGCUACGUACUGCGUUAUUUGCAUCUCACCCGCAGGCAGGUAUAUGUUGUAAAUAGCUAUGGAACUAUCUCUCCACGUUGCUAUAGGAGGUUCAGUUGAUGUGUUACAAGUGACAGAAAAGGUUUCUGUCAUGUAACAACCAAGCUCUAUGCCGAAUGGAUAUGGAAUGGUGAGAUUGCCGCAGUGGUCAGUGCAGCCAGGAAUGGCUUGAGGCGGGAGGGCUUCAGCUGCUUCUGCUUCUUUGUCUGCGGCCGCAAAUGCGAGGAGAACCAGUACCACCAGCAGCAUGGAUUGCAUACUUGUUUACCUGCUUGCACCAAUUGAUUCAGUACUUAAGUUGAGAGGUAUAAACGUUUGAACUGUAUUUCUUAUGAGUGAAGACUGUGAAGUUGUGCUUGCAAGCUCGCUUUUUGUAGACAAAUGGAAGGAAGAGGUUGUGAACGAAUCAAAAUGUCUUGGUCGUCUCUCUUAUUUCCCGGAGCCACUUGGUAAGCCCAAAAGCUUGGUAUCUUUUAGUUUAUAUGCAAGCAGUUAAUAUAGAAGAGAUGUUAUAUCAAAGUCAAGCACAAGUUAUGAGAUCAAUCGGUUUCAAGAAAAGGAAAGCUUUGAGGUACCUCAUUUGCCAAGCCAGGACCCUUCUGCCUAUACGUGAUUUGUUUUCUGAUCACACAUCACUACAAAUUGACUGACGGGGCACAACUUCCAUUUUCACCGAUAAAUUUAUGCAAGUAACUAAUUAUUCUAUACAAUGUCAAUGUGACAGUUCGUUUUCCGUUACAGUUGAUGACCACGGUGACAAGUUGAGGUAGAAGACUAGAAGUUGUAAGCUGUAACUUGUUUGGUUUAAUAUAUAGUUUAUGUCAAUUUCUAGACAUUAAGAUGAAGUCGUCAAGGUGCCAAGUAAUCUAAAUGGAAUUAAACAAUUUCUUUUUCCAAUACGAUAUGUCUGGUGGAAAUUUUCUAAUUUGCGGUAUAUAUGAAUAUGACAUGACUGGUGGAAAUGUUCCAAGCGAAAACUAGUGACGGCAUGCAAAUUCAACUAGUGUAAUACAUAUCUACCUAGUUUGCAUAUUAUGUAAUAUACAUGUCUCCUCAACUAGUAGACGUGUGGAAGGCAAAGGCCUUGACCUCAUAGCUAGCUAAGGCAAAUCCAGUUGCUUGCUAAGUGUGCACAAUAGCUGGAAAAGAACACCAGUAAGACUGUAAGACCACACUUCAUUACUUACAUACAACUAUUGCAAAAUGUGAAAACGCACUUAUCUGACAGAAACAGCCAUACUAAAAUACAUACAAGCGACACCGAUCCAACUAACGUCCACCACCAUGUGGCAUUAACUGCACUUGGUUUUGCAUGCUGUCAUAUGCCUUGGCCUUACCACUGGUUAGACCACUAGAACUGCAAUCAUCUCCAACACCAACGACGUAACUGUCUGAAUUGAGUGACCCCAGCAAGUACUCACUCUCUUCUCCGCAGAAACUAGCAUUAAAUCCACAUGGAUGUUUUGCCGUGACACUCAUUUCCCCUCGAGCUCUUUCGCAACUUCUUUCAUGGUAGGCCUUUCCUCCCCUUUUACCAUCAAGCAUCGCUUUGCGAGAUUGGCCACUUUCUUUACCAUCUCAAUGUUUCCCUCGUUCACUAUAUCAUCGUCAAGAAUUUGAUUCAACCAACAUUCUUGAUAAAGUAGUCUGAGGUUCACAUCCAAAAUCAAUUGGCAAUGGAUGGAGUGGCCCAAACCCUUAUAAACCACAGGCAAGGUCCCAUUUUUCCCGAUGUGAGAUAUAUAUCUCAACACUUCUUCCAUGGAAGCAAGAAAGAUGCUUGUUAAGCAUCUAUCUUUGAAAAUUGGCACUUUGCUUGUUAGUAGUUCCACUAGGACAACUCUUUUCUGUUAGUUGGUUUUAUUGCAUAUAUUCAGGGUCUAGGUAUCCAAAUGUCCCGAGCACUAAAGUUUGUAUAUCACUUUGACCUAAAGGAACCAGUCGGGAAGCUCCAAAAUCUGACACUUUCGCCGUAUACUCAUCAUCUAACAGAAUAUUUGCUGUCUUCACAUCUCGAUGUAUGAUUGGUGUGGAAAUUGAGGAGUGUAAGUGAGACAGUGCUUCUGCGCUUUGAGUUGCUAUCUUCAUUCGUAAUUCAGAAGGGAGUGGUGAUCUUCGUUUAUGAAUGUGCUCAUAAAGAGUGCCAUGAGUGAUGAAUUCAUAUACUAGUAAAGGCACUUCUGUUUCUAAACAACAACCUAAUAGCUUUACCACAUUUUUGUGGUUGAUUUGAGAAAGGAUAAUCACCUCGUUAACAAAUUGAUCACUUUGGGUUAGGGCGCCAGUACCUUUCGACUUCUUUAUGGCAACCACUGUGUCAUCCGGUAGUACUCCUUUGUAAACUGUUCCAUAACCGCCUUCUCCAAGGACUCUACUCUCAUGGUAGUUGUUUGUUGCCUUCUCAAGUUCAUCAGCAGUAAACAAUUUUGUUGUCUUCAUCGAGCUUCCAUGACUUGCGAGUUGUUGCAGUAAUAAUAAGCCACCAUUCUCUUUAAAGUGCUUUUUUUUAGUUUAAUAAGUUCUCUUUUCUUUAUUCCACAGCAUAUCCACGAAAUUUCAAGGAAUAAAACCAAGAAGCCCAUGCACACACCUGCAAAUAUAUAAUUGAAUUACUUUAACAGGAUUUGUUUUUGAUAAGCUAUAUGAUUUUGUAUUAUACCAAAAGAAAAAAGAAAGAAAAAAAAACUAUUUAUAUGAUGUAUUGUUUAAAGGUAUAUAUAGGCUGGGUGGUUGUUUCUUUUCUGUGCUUUUAUAUUUUUCUUUGAUUCUAGUUGGGGUUCCCCUUAACUAAUUGUUGCACUUAAUUUUCUUUACAAAAAAUAAAAUAAAAGGGAUCUUGUUUCCCUCUCCUUUAUCAAACACAAUAGAUAAAUUAAUUAAACGUUUAUUUGUAAGCAUUAAACGUUUUCUUUUAUAAUAUGGAAAUGACUUACGCAUUCUCUUUUCAUCACUUCUUUUAAUUUGAAGAAAAAGUAUGAGAACACUUGGUUAAUUUGAAUUCAAAACGAAAGUAGCUGAAGCUAAAAAAAUUCAGUCCGUCGAUACUGUUCAAUAGAAGUUUAGGGUGUUUGACUCAAAAAAAAAGAAAAAGAAAAAAAAGGGUAGUAGGAUCACCGAUCAUGCAUGUUAAUAUCUAAUUCUACGUAACGUACCCAAUGAAAUUUUAAGCAGGAGAACGAUCUUUGAGCGUCUUUCGGAAUCGUCUUUGAUGCAACUCUUGUCAUUCUUGUCGUCGUUUUUGUAUCCUUUGUUACAUAAACAAGAGUAAUUUUGUGGAGGCUGAUGAUUUAAGCACUAUCCGUUCUAGCAGAGGUUAACGUUUGAGGCUUUGCACUCGUCAAUAUCUGAAAGGAAAAUUAGAAACGGAGGAGCCUAUCAGAAAUAACUAAUUUUAUUUGGUAAAAUUGCAAUUCCGAUGGAGAGGUUUAAUUAAUUUAUAUUGAUAUAAUAUUAGCUGAAUAGGUAAAUCAAAGAUAAUCAUCACCUGUGCAACCAUCUGGGUGGUACGGGUUUCCUUCAUAACCAGGCAAACGCUCGCACAAGUAACCUACAGACCCUUUGAUAGGCCGGUUGGAGCACUUGCUAUUGGCCUUGCAUGCGAAAUCCUUCCUGUUCUGAGCUUCAUGACAGGGGUCUGUGACAUUCCCAAUGGCCCAAUUAAGAACCAUCGGAAGCUGUUUAGUGCCAUUCAGUCUUUCAAAACUAGAAGAGUUGAAAUUGAACUGGCUUUGCUCUUCAAUGAAGGCGUAGCUGCAGGGGUUAAACACUUAAACCCCCACACACCUGAGUGAUUGUUGUAGGUACUCAACUUUACAGAAAGAUUGUGCAAUCCACCGGGGAUGUUAGCUUGGCAACAGCCAGCGCCAGAGCAAGAAUUCUUAUCAACACUGUCAAUGCUGUUGCAUAUUGACAUGCAACCAGUAAUGAAUUCUUCUUCCCCUCGGAAGCCUCGCAUGAUUGCGUAAGUGUCACAACCAACGGCGUAGAACUUGUUUUUGGUAUCGGAUAUGGUGUAUGGAGGACUCAUCCAGAGCUCCGGACUGUUUCUGUGAGUUUGAUUGCCUUCUUCAUUGUAACAAUCUCGCCCUCUAUAGUGCAAUAUUCGCAACUCCCCGACGUCUAUAGAUAUGUUUGUAACAAUGAUUUCGCCGGUCGUCAAGUAGGGUGUUGGGGGUUGGUCCAGAUUGGGCCCCUGGCUACAGUUGAUGAAGAACCUAUCUCCCAGGUAACAACGCUCCUCCAUGCCAAAUGGAUAUGGAACUGUGAGAUCACCGCACUUGUCAGAGCAGCCAGGCAGGGCAUUAGCAGCAGCAGCUGUUUUCACCGUACUAGCCGCCGAUAAUAGGAGAAGGACUGCCGCCAAUGGGAAUUGCAAGGCCAUGAUCGACAUGCAUGCAGUGAUGCCGCACUAGCUUGUUUGUGGAAUUUGUAACUGAUCGAGAGGAUAUUUGGUAUAUACCAAAUGGUUGUUUUGUUGAAUUUUGAUGAUAAGUGAAGCAGUAUAUUCCGGAUUCGGCCUUUUGUAGUCGUAGGCGGGGGGAAGUUUCCGGACAACUUCACUCUCUGCUCGAGCUAGCUUUCUAUUCCAGACUGGGUAGUCGUCAUUUGCUGGAUUUUAAAUAAAACACAAACCAUGGAAAGACUCAUGAGUCUUCUGUUCUCGGGUUGACGUUUGGUCAAUUGCAGUAUAUGAAGAAUUGAAGAUGAACCGGUCCCUCCUUUUAAUCAUCUCCAGCUACCACGCAAAAACAAAAAAAGACAAGAAAAAAAAAAAAAGUACUUGCAUCAUCCGCGCGACUUGGACUUUAGUAGUCGACAUUAAAGUGAUGUCAUCCACUCAUCCUUAUCACUUGGGGUUAAUUUGCUCGAUCAAGAUUCUCCUCCAUUUUAUAAAAAGAAAACCUUAAUCUAAUUACAAUCGGAAAAUCAAUAUCUCACAACUGACAACUCUCAUGCAUUUGGUAAUUGUUUGACUAGUUUGCAUGUAUAGACUAAUAGACACAUCGCGGUUAGCUGUGAUAUGGCCAGUCGGGGCCAAAAUGACAUCUAAUCUAAUUAAGAUUGCAAUCGGAUGAUCUAUAUGAUUUCAUGAGACAAUAAGGUCUUCUCUCAUGAGAAUAUGAUAUGAAUCAUAAGCUUUGAGAGUGCUAAUCUCAUAAUCACUUGAGUUUGUAUAAGUCACACUCAUUGUGUUGUUCUCAUUGUUUUUUAAUACUAAGUUGAACAAUAACAAUGCUCAUUAUCCCCUGCAUAAUCUAAUUGAAGGCUAUAUCUUUACAUAUAUUGGUGGACAAGAUACACCGUUGCAUCUCAAUUUAGAUAUAAAACUGGUGAGUUAGGUGCCUUUAAUUAGGGUCUUGUACGUUGAUUUUCAAGUCGAGCUAUAAUCGUUAUAUUGUCCACUGUUUUAGACAAAUAUUUUUGAUUGUUUAAUUUUCUUAGGGAUUGAUGUAGUCGUGUCUUUGGGCAACAAAUGAUAUGAGAUGUCCUCCGACGUCUCUAACUUGAUCUUAUAAUUUUCAUCAAUAUAUGGAAUUUAUCCUGUUAUUAAAAGAUGUCUUACAAUUUACUAUUCGUCUCAUGUUUGCUACUUUCGUUGCACAGCUAUGCGAUAUUUUAACAUCAAUCAUUAUCCAAGUUGGUAAUGUUGAAUUCUCAAUUCCACAAAUUCAACUAUGCAAGGUUGUAUAAUUAGUCUAUAAUAUUAGUUCACACAAUCCCAUUCCAUACGUAGCCAACGAGUCUGACUGCAUGUUCUAACAAGGUAAUUGCUGUUAAACUCAAGUAUAAGUUAGACUCCAACGAGCCACAUGUGGUUUAUAAUAUGGAGACUUUAUAAAAUAAAAUGUCAGUUUUAUUUAGGAAGAAUCUUGAAGAAUACGUUAAGCCAGUUUUAUUUAGAACUAUUUUAUAAUCAAAUGUUUUAUUUGGAACAUUAAGCCAGUUUUAUUUAGAACUGUUAAGCCAGUUUUAUUUAAUCAAAAUAAAAUUUUUGUUAGUACUUGUGGAACACUAGCAAUUACUAAAUCAGAAUACAUUUCUAUUGUAGAAUCUCAUCGGCAUUAACUCGAUCAGUCCACUCGUUAAUCAUCAUGCAUGGUCAUAUUCAAGUUAAAUUACAAAUAAUUGAUAACUAUUUUGCAUCAUAUACAUCAAUCGAUACGUAUAUAUAUGAUACAACAUAGUUAUGAGGAUUACCAACAUGGAAAAUAUCAUAUCGAGCAUACCAUUCUUUUACGUGUUUGCUGGUCAUGGACUGUUGGACAUGAAGACUUGGCGAAAGUGUUAACUUCGUAUAUAUGCACACGUACGCACAAGCUAGACUUUGUUUUCAUGUCAUAAUAAAGAGUUGAAGACUAGCUAGCUAGUAGCUUUGAUACAGUAAUGGACCAUUUGCCAGUCAAUGCUGUGCAAAUUAGUGUGGCAAAUGAGAAAUAUCGAUUUGUUCCCUGAUAAUUAUUGGCAUUAUUCCACUUGGUAAUCCUGAAAAUUGAGUGAGAGGAACAAAGUCUUUAGUAAUUUGUUUGCUGUGUGAAGGCAAGCAGGUGAUGGUGAUAUAUAAACCAAUUGUUUAAUUUCCACAAUAGAUUAGUUGGCGUGCCAAGCAACAUUCUUUUCUUAUUUUUCAUGCUAUUAAUUGACUUGAGAAAAAGAAGACCUACAAAAGCACCUAUCAAAAAAAAUCAUAUACAUGUAUAUGUGUAAACAAGUUACGACAUAUAUAUUUCAUAUGACUGAUUAAAGGAAUUACAACUCGAAUUUUUAGCCAAAAUAAAAUUUACAACUCGAAUUACAAACCGAGUUGCAUAGUCUUUAACCAAGGUCUGUUUACUAGUUCUGUGUUAAUCAUGCUGGUUUUAUAUUUCUGGUGAUGACGAAUAACAUAGAUGGCACAACUCAAGAUAAUGAUGUAUAGUUGUAUACUCAACAUGAUGAGAUAUGUGCAUACAUAUUUGAUGACAACGAAUACACACACAGAUGUUUAUGUAUACCUCAUGACCCCUUCAACAAAAAAAUGAAUAUUAAUUUAACUACUUAGUACGUAAUCAAAGUUAACAGUACUCUAUCUGUAUUGUUUAAAUCUAGUAGUCAACCCUUAUGUGUUCAUAUUUGCUAGUGAUUUUUUGGUGUAGAUUUGUUUAUGCACCUAUUGAAGAAAAACGGUUGUUACAACCUUACAUCUCAUUUUAUGUUUGAGGAUAUAUAGUUUGUUGUAAUUAGUCCUAUCUAAUGUUUUAUUUUUUAAUUAAAUAACAGAUUCAGCGAUAUAAUUUUUCUGAGAGAAGAGGCGAAUAAUUUUCAUGAAGCGAAGUACAAAUAUUUUACCACUCACAUUUUGGCCAAAAUGGAAAAUGUACAACAGAUCGAUAUUACCGUCAUUACAUGCAUAUGCAGCAUUGCACUAACUGCAGCAGUAUGAUCAGACAUCUUUUAUUUAACGCGCAACAUAAUCGAAAGUAGCAAAAAAAGUUAAGAACAACUCCACAUAUAACUAGCUAGCUAUGGAAGAUAAGCUAGCUAAUUGAUGAACUAUCUCCCACCAUCAUAAGGCUUCAUCAUCUGGGAUUGAUUAUGCAUGCUCUGGUCAUAAUCUAUGCUGGUUAUGACUUCACCUUCAUCACUUCUAACAUCAACAACGUAAGCGUUUGAAGGUGACGCUGCAAGCAAGUAAUCGGUCUCUUUGGGGGAGGAGUCGGGCUUUCCUCCAGGAUGCUUUGCCAUAACAGCCAGUAUUACCUCUAGCUCCAUUGCUACUUCUUUCAUGGUAGGCCUAUCUCCUCCUUUCAAACUUAAACUUCUUUUGGCGAGAUGGGCUACUUGUUCAGCUAUUUCAAAGCUUCCCUCCUUGAUAAUUUCAAGAUCAAGAAUAUCAGCCAAGCGAUUCUCUUCCACCGACGUUACAAAACAGUUCGCUAGGUUUCUCUCUGCCUCAGGCUUCUUGUGAGAAAUUGCCACUUGACUCGUUAUAAGCUCAACACGAACAACGCCGAAGCUAUAGACAUCACUCUUUUCUGUCAGUGUGUUUGACUGGAGAUAUUCAGGGUCUAGGUAACCCAGCGUUCCUUGUACUAAAGUGGACAGCUGAUUUUGAUCUUCAGGAACCAAUUUCGAAGCUCCAAAGUCUGAUACUUUGGCUGUGAAAUUCUCAUCCAAUAGUAUAUUGGUUGCUUUCACAUCUCGGUGCACGAUUUGCAUGGAAGUGGAGUAGUGCAAGUAUGAUAGAGAUCCUGCAGUUUCUGCUGCUAUCUUCAUUCGUAACCCAAAAGAAAGCGGACCCUUGCCAUUCUUCUUAUGAAUGUGCUCAUAAAGUGUGCCAUUGCUAACAAACUCGUAAACUAACAAAGGAGUUUGAGUCUCUAAGCAACAACCUAGGAGCCUCACCACAUUUCUAUGGUUGAUUUGUGAAAGAACAAUCACCUCAUUGAUGAACUGAUUACUUUGGGUCAUUGGGGCAUUACUCUUCGACACCUUUAUGGCAACCUCCUUUCUAUCCGUCAAUGUUCCUUUGAAAACAAAUCCGUAGCCUCCUUCGCCAAUUUUUCCGCGGUCAUCGAAGUUGUUUGUGGCCUUCUUAAGCUCUUCUCUUGUAAAGAUUUUGGCUGCUUUUUUUUUUGGCGAAUGGAUAGUUAUAUUAAACCAACAAAGAGAAAUACAACAACAAUACAAUAGUCAACAGACCCAACACACUGGGCCAAGACCAGAGUAAGACGGAAACAAAUGGACUUAAACCAGGCAAGCCCAAAGAUACAAUUGCAUAACAGCAAACAGAGGACCCAAGACCUACUUCCACGACAGCGCCGCCGACCACAAAACUGGAGUCGCGAUCCGGCCGAGAUCGGAGAAGAAGGCAAGAGAAACUUGCUGCACCUUCAUGUAUCUGAGUUCCAAACAAGCACCAAACCAACUGCAAUUCAAAUAAGAAAACAAUCUUCGUGAGGAAGAGCUUCUUCUGCCAAGAUAUCAACUAGAUUUUGGCUGCUUGAGGUCCGUUAAAAUUCUCCAAUUUUUGUUGUAACAAGAAGCCACCAUUGUCUUUGAAGUACUUCUCUUUGAGUUGCUUGAACUUUCUUCUUUUCAUUCCGCAGUAUAUCCAAAAUGUUAUAAUUAAUACGACUAGGAAGCUCAAACAGAUACCUGCACAUAAUCAUGAUACAACUCAAUAUGACGUACAAACGAUAAUCAGAAGUAAAUUAUGCUCAGUGAUAGCAAAUCCAUACCCAGUGAAAUUUGGAGGGAAGUAUUCUUUGGUUUUCCGAUGAUUUUGACACAAGGAUUGUUGUUAUUGUCGUCAUUUGUUUGGCCCUUGGGACAUUUACAAGUGUAACUUCCUACUAAAUUUUGGCAUGUUGAACUAGGAUGGCAGAUGGUCAAAUUAGUACACUCGUUAACAUAUGAAAGUAAAACCGAAAAACAAACGUAUAUAUUAGUUAGAUGUGGAUCAGGUAAACAUUUACGAGCUUAAUGUAAAAGAUUUUUACCUUCGCAACCACCAAGCACGUAAGGGUUCCCUUGGUAACCUUUCUGGCAGCGGCAGAAAUAUCCACCUGAAGUGCCGUUGACACAUUCAGUAUUUGCGGCCUUGCAUGCAUAAGAAGUUUGAUUAUUGAGGGCAACUUCACAGUUGUUCUUUCCAAUUUCCCAGUUAACAGUCACCGGAAGCUUCGGCGCGUUUGUGCGGCUGUCCAUCUCUUUAAAAGUUGCAUUCCCUGCGAAGGUGAAAUUGCGAUCAUCCACAAUGAAACCGUAGCUGCACGGGUAGUCUAGUGUCCACUGUGAUGUGCUUCCAAGGCCUGCACCGAUUGUCCACACAUCCAAGUUAAUACUGUGAAGUCCACUUAUGAUGGUCCUUUGGGUACACCCGACGCCACUGCAAUUGUUGGACAACGCUCCGAGUAGAUCUUGGCACAAGCUCACGCCGGUUGUCCCCAGCUUCUCGAUUUCUGUUCGCUCUGGCUCGACUUGGGUAACUAAACCUUGGUAUAGUGCUAUUUUGUUACAUCCAAUGAUAUAAACCUUGUUCUUAUCAGAGAUGGUGUAACCAGAGGGGAGGAUGAGCUCACUGUUUCUGUACAAAGAAUCGUUGUAGUAACCGUCGGUGUAGCAGUUCCGGGAUGUGGGCAGCAUUACUUGCAUCUCACUCUCACCUACAGAAAUGUUAGUAAUGCUUUGGUUGAGGAUAUCACCGUUCAAGAACUUGAGUAACGGUGGCGUGGUGGCCUGGUCACAGGUGACCUUGAAUUUCUGUUCAUCUUGUUCCGGCACCUCCAUGUAACAGCUAGGCUCUAUGCCUAAUGGAUAUGGGAUUUCGACAUCACCGCAGCGGUCGGAGCAGGUUGCAGGCCUUGGCGCUUGAGUGAUGCUAGGGUUACUGACACCGUUAACAAAUUAAAGAGAGUUGGAUAAUAAGCAUUUGCAUCCUACCAUGUAUUAAGGCCAUGGCAUUCAAGUAUUGCGCGAGUGAUUAUAUAUAAGGAAUAUCCUCACGAUAUAUGCUACUAAUUUGUGUAUGUUUAUGAUCUGAAAGUGAGUUGUGCAAUGUCUUUUAUAGGGGUCUUCUGUCUAUCAAUCUAUCAUAUAUGUUCCCAUUCUGGUAUUUCUUUAGAAUUUAACUGGACAUAAUGAUAGUCUUUUCAAAUUUUUUUUUUUCUGGCCAAAACGGAAGUAUGAAACUAAUGGUCAAUGAAGCCCGCAUGCAUUAAUAGUCAAUUAGCUAGCCAGCGAAGGGAGCAGAGUCCUUUUUGUUUUCCUUUCUUGGUCCUAAUCAAUCUCACAUUAUUGAGAUACCAAAUGAAAAACAUUAUACAUUGUUUCACAUUCUAUAUAAAUUAUCAAUUAAAAGAAGAAGGAAUAACGGUGUAUAGAUUAGACUGAACUUAUUUUUUUUGUUUGGAAAAUGAUUUUAGGCCUUAUUAAGGUCUAAGAUUUUAGGCCUCAAAUCUAUGUGGCAUGCUAAAUCAUUUAGACAUAUCACAUAUUAAAAAUCUUAUGCCAUGUAAUACUGAAGUAUAAAGACCAUCUUAUCAUUUGGUCCAUUUCAAACAAUGACUCUAAUAAAUUUCAGUUUUUCAUUGAAAAAUAAAACUAUUUUAGCUUUCCUUCUUCUAAAUAUCCAAUUAGAUAUAAAAAAUAUAACAUCAAAAUAACAUUAUAUUAUAUAUUUAUAAUACAUGUAUAUUAUAAAAAAAACACAUGUAUAUUAUAUAUAUAAAUAAUCUGUAUGUAAAUCAUUUAGAGAAAUUAUUUGUAUAUAAAUUAUUUUUUAGACGAAUUAUAGAAUAUUUUGAUGAAUUAUAUCCGAAUUAUCUUAUAUUAGUGUUUUCUUUUUGAUGAAUUAUAAUUGUUUUUUGGACGAAUUAGGGUUAGGGUUAGAGUUUAUUUGACAAAACUAAUUAUUAUUUAAAAAAUUGUUAAUCUUCAUAUUGAUGUAAGAAACAUUCCUUAAAAUAUGUAAUAUUUGUUUCCAUUACCUAAUAAAGUACAUUAAUAUCAUUGAUUCACCCCUUAAAAUAUAAAAGGAAAUAGAAAUAGUAAAAUUGGUAAUGCAAUGUUUUGAUUUGGCAAGAUAUAUUAUGUGGAAUUGAAAAUAAAUAUUUUUAUUUACUUACAUGGCAUGCACUACCCUUUUUGUUUAGUUGAUAGCAUCUUUGUUUAUGUCUGUUAACUCAAAAAAUAAGGCUUGAAUAAUAAAGAAGUACGUUGCGUUUACACCUAACUAGACUAAUUAAUCGAACUCGUAAUUUAUGUUACAAAACUUGAACCUAAAGUCUUGGUGUCACAUCCCGACCCUUAAAUUUUUACCUUAUUUACUAGCUUGGUUAUAAUAAGAAUUUUACCGUCUCCGUCAUUGAUGUAAUAGUUUAAUCGGUCCCUAGAGGUGUUUUGAGGGACGAUUAAUUUCGGUGAAUUAUUCGUAGGAGAAAAUAUGGCAACGGUAAAAAUGGUAAAUUUUAGCUAGUAAAAGGUAAUUUCUAUUCGGGUAUUAUUUUUCGGGGUGUUUUAUUUUGGAUUUGGGUGGUAUAAGAAGGUUGGACCGGGCCAAGGUGUGGUCAAAGCCCAGCCCUUUUUCUCUCUCUCUCUCUCUCCUUCCCGGUUUUCCCGCACCCGAGCCCUCUCUCCCCGCCGGUUUUCUUCUUGGCUGUCCGCCGUCGUCCGGCCACCAACCGCCGCCGCACCGGUCCCGUUCGGUUGCCCUCCGACCCAGCUACAUCCCUGGACUAGUGACAGCCACCCUAGCGCCGCCGUGAAGGAGUUCUCCCGCCUAGAACCUCGGGCUGCCCAAAGUCCUCCAUCGCCGGAACUCCCUCCUCCGGCCACCAAUCCGGACAAGCUUGGUAUGGUUUUGUAGGUCUCCAACCUAGCUGCCUUGCCCUAAAAGGACUCACUCCGGUUCGCUUCAGGUAAAGAGAAAUUUGAGGUGGAAGUUCUAGGGCGAUUUUGAUGUUUUUGCUUGAUUGGCAUAGCUAGGCUUGGAUUUUGGGUUUGUGCUAGUUAGGAAAGUUGUAGAGUAUGAUGAGAGGAUUAUUCUGUCAAAAUUUCAUAGGCAUUGGAGGUCGCCGGAAUCGGCCUCCGGCCGGCGCCGGUGCCGCCACUGUUUGGAAGAUUUUUAGGGUUUUAAAUUUAGAAUAUUAAGAGGAGUUUGUUGAAGUGAGUUAUGGAAUUUUCGGAUGAGUUUUGAAUAGAUUUGUGAUUUUCCGAAGUUUGGUAUUUUUGGCAGUUAAUUAAUGUAGAAUCCGGCCGUAGGAUUUAAGUUGUUGUUCUGGGGAGAUUGUAAUUACGGCUGCCGUUUAUGGUAUUAAAGUUGGAUCGUUUCGUUUUAGGAAAGGCGAAGUUGGGCAAGGAUGAGCGUGGUUGCGGCUCAUAUUUAAUUUUGCCUAUUUUGUUUUAAUAUUGGAUUUUAGUUGGGAAUUUAAUUAUAAAUUUGUGUCAGGGUUCAAGGAAACCUCAUUGGAGUGGCGAUUUGGAUUUCGUUGGGCUUAUGCCUAGAGUUGUGAGUGGACUUUUGUUUUAAAUAAAAUGCAUGCUAUAGUUCAUAGAUGAACAAUUAAUGUUGUGGAGCAUUUUGAUGUCAUUUUAUUUUGACGGUUUUAUUUCUCUUGGAGAGUUACCGAAAAUGGGAUUUUCGGUGAAUAUAAAUAUGUAUUUAUGAGGAGAGUAUGUAUAAAAAUGCUAGCUAGCCCUAUGUGUCUGUCCACCUUAAUGGCGUAGCAUAUAGCCGCAUUAUGGUGUGAUGUGAGCGUUGGACGCGAGCGUAGUAACCCUAUAUGAGUGUUUAAUUCGCGGGAUCCUUUGUUUCAGUUCGUGUAGGAUUCUGCAGUGCAUGGCGAGGUAGAGUUGGAAAUGGACUGUAGUACUCCGCAGGAUAGGAUCGCUUAGUGUUUGAGUUUGCGUACGACGCUACAGUGAGAUGAUGCGGGGCGGUGAGCGAGACCUAGGCGAAGUCUGUUCUGGACACGUGUUACAUGGAUCGCGCGGCUCGCGAGCUGAUCGUAUCCUUGUGGAAUUCUAAUUGCUGAGUCCGAAUGGGUUGUGAUUAGGUCUCUGCGAAUUGCUUGCGGAUCGCUAUAUAAGGGAGCUUGACACAAUCAAAAGACACACACAAUCAAUCACACAAAAACAAGUAAAAUCCUCGAGCAUCCUCGAAACGCUAAGUUCUAAGUGCACUUUGCCUUAGUUCUCAGACCCCUUCCUGAUUCGCCUUUCUCCUUAUUUGUGGCUCUGCUCGCUCUAACAGUGAGUAUCGAUUCACAGGUGACAAGAGGUUUUACUCGUAAUCCCUCGUCCGCGAGGUGGCACCGGUAACCCCUUCUUCGCUUGUUUAGAAGUCUAGCCACAGCGCAUUUCUUUCCUCGUCUGCGAGGUGGCACGCCCCGCAAUCUCCUUUUUUACUUUUGAGUCACCGGAGUUCCGACUCUGCCCCUGCUGAGACGUGUGGCCAAAACAUUGGCACGCCCAGUGGGACCGGGAGUAUAACAUUCUCGUCAUCAUUGGGAAAUCAGGCGGAUCCCCAUACGGGAGACCCUCGAUUUCUUGUUUGAAACAUAAAUCUCCACAAUACAAGCCCCAUAACAACGCAGCUUGCAGAUCUCUCACCCAAGAAGAGGUUCUCGCUCGGUUUGGCAACCCCGACCAUAGCGAAACCACAAUGACAGGUUUACGACCAACCCAGGACGCAGGACCUACUUUGCCCGCGGACGAAGUCCGCCAGAUGUUUGGGGAACUGAAGAAUAAUCUCAACUCGCUCAGCUCGAAAGUCGACACCACCCAGCAAAGCGUUAAAGACCUCUCUGAACAGGUCACUAAGGAUAGAACUAUCUAGCUCGCUAACCAAGAAAACCUUUCUAGGCUCAGCGAGGAGUUUAACUACGUUACUGGUCAAGUCAGGGAAGAUAAAGACUUGGUGGAAGGUUCCCUUCAAAGGAUCCAGAAAGAAUUGGAUCAGAGCAAGGCGGCUUUCACAAAAACCUUGGAUGAGCAAACCCGUCGCUUGGACGAACACGACACCAAGCUACAACAACAGCAGGACGCUUCUUUCUUUGGAAGUAAGAAUGGCAUGGAAAAGCUUGAGGACUACAAAGAGCGACAUGAUAAUCUGAGCUUAAGGGUCCUGCAAGUGGAAGACUGGAUACAGGCUCAGGCACCAAAAAAUCAUACCUUGAACUUAGCUAGUUCAAGUGCAACUGAGGGCUCAAGGUACAUUCCACCUAAUGAAAGCCCUAGAGGAAAUCCGAAGGUCGGGGCCCAGAAGACUCCCCAAUUCACAUUGGGGGCCAGUUCGUCAAAGACGCCACCCCUUCUACCCUCGCCGGGCAGCCCUGGAGUUACACUCAGGGGCUCUGGUGUCUUCCCAUCUCAAGGGAUCGGGACACCAGAUGACCCAGUUAUAGCUUAUUCCAGUUCGACCCCUAAGAACAUCGUGCAGGCCCCUAGCCUCUCUGCAUGGCACGGCCACGAUCAGGGGGCAGAGUCCACACCAGUAACGGCAACCGAUUGGCGCCAGCUCAUCUCGAGCAUAGUCAAGGAGCAAACUGGAAAAGGUGAUGCUAACUUGCAUUAUCGUGAUCCCUAUCCUGAUAGCAUGGCACAAUAUCCCUUCCCUCAUGGGUUUAAGAAUAUUGUCUUCACCACUUUCUCCGGGGAGACAAGGGAAGAUGCAGCAACACAUAUGGCUCGUUUCAAAGUCCAAUGCGGCCAAUACGGGAAUGAUGAUAUGCUUAAACUCAAGCUUUUUGGGACUUCUCUAUCCGGAGCUGCUUUUACCUGGUACUCCAGAUUGAAGCUUGGGUCAAUAGCCGACUGGCCUACUAUGGAGAGACUUUUCCGAGAGACAUACGGCACAAUUGAACCUGAAGUCGGCCUCGAUUCCCUCACACAGAUGAGCCAGCAAAGCAUGGAGUCUGGAGUUUCUUUCCUCCAGCGUUUCAAGAUCCAGCAAGCCAAGUGUGAUUACCUGUUACCUGAGCAGGAAGCCAUUAAGUUGGCUAUUAGAGGCCUGGAGCACCGCCAGCGGUUGAAAGCAUCACGGAGAGCGCUUUACUUCCAUGGGUGACCUGAUUAACAAAGUCGGUAGCUACGAGCUAAUCUUGAACGAGUUGGAUGACAAAACAAAUGCCUCCAAAGGAACCUACAUACCAGGGAAGAAUCGGACAGUGGGGGCAUUAAGCCUGCAGGCCCCUACUUAUGAUUCAUAUUAUCAAAGGUCUGAGGAAGCUCGCCCGGAUCAGGAACAUGAAGAUAUUGGCGCAGUAGAACUGACUGGCAAGCCGUUGGCUCACAAAUUGAAAAACCUGAAAAUAACGCGCGAGCCAAUCACCAUCCAGUCCUUUGCAUGGACCAAGCCAGAGUACGAGUCGUACACCUAUGAUGCUAAGAACGCCCAUCUGGUCUUUAAUGACCUAAUCGAGGCAAGAUACGUGCGCUUGGAUCACAAGAUGCCGCCCAAGGAGGAGCUGAAGGACAAGAAGUACUGCGCCUUCCACAAUGUUUACAAUCAUGACACCAAAGAUUGUGUCAAGCUUCGAGACCAGCUGCAGACAUGGCUGAACUUAGGCGAACUAAAGAUGAAAACACCGGGUAGUACGGCCUCGUUGGUUGAUAUAGACCCUUUCCCGCCUGUAGUUGGCAUGGUCGAGGUAAACUGGGCCGAUCAGACCGAGGAUGAAGAUCGACGCCGGGCACCUAAAAGGGGCCGCGAGGAAGGUGACGAUGGUGCCCGCCGGCCACGUCGCCAAUACACCUACAACGAAGAUCUUGCACAUGAGGUUUUAAACGAUUUCAUUGAUGACGGGCUCGUCACAGUGGCCAAUUCCUUGCCUUACAUAAAAUAUAAGGAGGGGCGCAUUCACUGCAAGUUUCAUAAUAGCUGGGGGCACAGAACCUGCGAAUGCCAGCAACUCAGAGACCAGGUUCAAGACUGGCUCGACCUCGGGUAUAUUCGCUUUGAGAAUAAGGGUGAUUUCAUGAUCGCAACGGCUGACUUCGCUUGGCCUCGAGUCGGCCAACGAAGAAUCACAUUAGACUUGUCGCCAAAUGCAGGUUUACGUGAACCGCCGGGCCGAAACGGCAAACGGCCGGCGAAUAACUAUACUGUCCCGAAUAACCAAAAGGGGAAAGCAGACGACCCAACUCGACAGUUGGUCGCUCAGCUCGAACCAGACCGCCCCUCCCGCAAAGAUAAGGGCAAAGCAGUCAUAAGGGACGAUGGAUCGUCCCCCGUUGAAGAUUCCCAGCCUAUGAGUCCCAGGACUCGAGAAGAGCUGCAAAGGAGGAUAGAACGUCUCGAGACAUUCGUCUAUACACAUUGGGCAGAGGCGGUACCUUCAUCCCUUACCACAAGUGAGAUGGACAUGUUAGACUCCAACAGUGAGCGUCACAACAACGAGGCCUCGAGCCCUCGUAAAGGCGUCCUAACCGACCCAUAUAUUGCCCCGACGUCCAAGUCAGCAAUCAAGGAUGGGGUCUGGUACACACAGCAAGGGGGCAAGGCAGUUACCAUCAGCAAGUCUAAAAAGCGAAAGCUCCAAAAGCGAUACGGUAGCAUCCUACGUGCCUCAAGGGCUGUCGAAGAGGGCGCUGUAGGCCCCUCACAGCUCGCACAGACGCCUGAGCGGAUGUGGAGGGAAGCAGAGGGUUUGCGCGCAUUCCUUCAAAUGCCGCCUAUCACACCCCCAAGGAUUUGCGAGCAGUUUGGCGACGAGCCUGCGCCCAAAGCAAACGUCUUUUGCCGACUCGCGGUUCCACCAAAGCAGGAUCCACAGCCUUCCAGACGCAAGCCAUCACCAGAACCUGAAAGAAGAAGGGAUCCACAACUUGCUAGGCCCAAACCGUCACCAGAGCCUGAAAAGAGAAAGGAUCAACAAGCUCCUCGGCACAGGCCGUCACCGGAGCCCGAGCGGAGAAGGGCUCCGCCUACCGGUCCUAGGCGUAAGCUGUUCACGACCCCGGACCCAGAGUCAAAACGCGAACCGUCUCAGCCCUCAUGGCAACGGGAACGUCAAAAUCCGGAGGCCAAUAUCAGAAGGGAGCCACCACCACCACACCAGCCUCAGGCACGGUCUACCCCGGAGCCCGAGACCCGGAUGGUUCCCCGAGUAUCCGCCCUACAACGGUUGAAAAAGGAAGACAACAAUAAGGCUCCUUUGGCAACAGACAAACAACCAGCCAGGGACCAUCAGCCUUCAACCAAGUCAGUAUGGCUCUCGCGGCAACCCGAGGCUUAAGAGCCACCAAUAGCCACACAGGCAUCCUCUAGUCCUAACCUCGCCCAACAAAAGGCCCAACGUUUCCGCGAGAAUUCAGAAGACGACGAGGCACAUUCCGAACCUCGACUUAACCUAGAGGAAGACCGGGACGAAGAGCAGGCAGAAUCAUUCACCUGUAAUAUGGUAGAGGUCUCAGGAUGGGGUGCUGAUGAAGGGUUUAGCCGCGAAGCAGACGCUUUCGCGGUGCUCGAAGGGGAACACGGGGUCAUUGACACUCCUCUGGUCCUAGUUCAUAUACAAUUCUCCUUUCAAGUCGGGAUGGUGUUCUUCAUUUCGGAAAGAUACGCUCUCCCACCAAACACAACCUGCAGUGCGGCGGAUAUUCCCGUCAACAGCGUGGAUGUCAGUAGCAUACUCCCGCCAUGCAGCAGCGAAAUGGGCCUAGUUCUGGCACCGGCCGACGAAGCCCCACAAGUGGAAAUUACGAGCAGUAUCAAACAUAAGCAAACUCUAACCUUCUCCACACCAACUUUGGACAUGGCCACUCACAUACGGCCACUGUAUAUCACGGCCGAAGUCGAAGGGAAAAUGAUCAACAAGGUCAUGGUCGACACCGGUGCCGCGGUCAAUGUUGUCACAACCCGUACCAUGGGACUCCUAGACAUCUAGACAUCCCGCGCUCGAUGAUCCAAACCACGUCCUUAACAGUCAAGAACUUCACCGGGCAGAUGUCCAGGACCCUAGGCUUGCUAUUUCUACGGGUCAAGUUCGGGCCGGCAUCACGGGUUUACACUUUUUUCGUCGCCGAAUGCGCUUCCUCUUACAGCAUGAUUCUUGGCCGAGAUUGGAUCCACAGAAGCUUUUGCGUGCCUUCCUCCAUGCACCAAGAACUCAUGAUUUGGGACACCGAGAACCGUGAAGCGGUCAUCAUCAAAGCCGACCCACGGCCAUUCUCCAUCUCCGCCAACUUCAACGAUGCCCGAUAUUAUACCACAUACAUGGGUCCGUUGGAUGUUCAAGGCGUCAAUAACAAGGGCCGUCCAUAUGGAAUAACGGUCUCCAAUCUAACGCGAUGGGGACUUACCCAGGCGAAGGACGACUUGCAACGUCCUCACACCAUCGCGGAUCCCACACCCCGUUCUGAUGAAUAGUGCCUUCUCAGAGGAGGCACGCGAGGCUGGCGAGUCCUUGUGCGAAAGACUCCUUUCGUACUGGGCAGAACGCGAAACCUACGACAAGGUCGCGACUAUGAAAUAUGUAGAUGAAGUGGUGGAUUAUUCCGAUACCAAGGAGGAAGUUAUUCAGUUAGCUCCCACCGCCUUGGACGACACACCACCUCAAGUCCGCGACCCCAUUUCACAAGUUGACGUAGGGACUGCAGAAAAGCCCUUACUUAUUUCUAUCAGUGCUAAGUUGGCGGAGAACGAAAAGGAAAACCUUCUUGCCCUGUUACGCGAGUACAGGGAUUGCUUCGCUGAAAAAUAUGAAGAUAUGCCCGGCUUGUCCCCGGACUUGGUCUGCCACCGGUUACCAACUUAUCCCGACCGAUGUCCAGUACGGUAGGACGGCCGAUUCAUGCGAACUGAGACUCAUAUCAUAGUCAAGGAAGAGAUCGAAAGCAUGCACCGAUCGGGCAUCAUUCGCGUGGCAAAGUAUAACGAGUGGCUGUCCAAUGUUGUCCCCGUUCGCAAGAAAAAUGGCAAGAUGCGCGUCUGUGUUGAUUACCGCGACCUAAACAAUGCAACGCCGAAGGAUAUAUACCCCAUGCCUGUGGCUGACCUACUCAUUGAUGCCGCUGCGGGGCACGAGGUGUUAUCCUUUAUGGAUGGAACGACCGGAUACCAUCAGAUUCCCGUCGCUGAGGAAGAUCGACAUAAGACCGCUUUCCGCUGCCCUGGUUUUGCCAGCGCGUUCGAGUAUGUUGUCAUGCCUUUCGAACUUAAAAACGCGGGGGCAACGUACCAGCGCACCAUGAACCUCAUCUUUCAUGACAUCUUGGGGAAGUUGAUCGAAGUAUACAUCGACGAUGUGGUAGUCAAAACCAAAACACGGGAAACCCACGUUGAAGACCUGCGGUAGGUGUUUACACGGAUGCGCCGACAUAUGGCCAAAACAUUUUACCUAUGAAAUCGAUAACCUGUCCCAUCUGCUUCUUGAGCUCCGUGAUCUCUUUAGAAUUAGCCUGUUGACCUGUCACUAAAGCUUGAGUUGCAGAUGUUAAGUUCUGUUGCCCUUGAGCAAGGGACUUCAAGAGUUCAUCAUAAUUAGGAGUAGAAGAACUAGCAUUAUUAUUUGAACCUUGAACAUUGGCAUUAUUAGGCGCGAAAUUAGAAGAGUUAGGAACAAAACCUUGAGGUACCUGAGGCCUCAUGAACAAACCUGAAGGACGAGGUCCUUGACCUUGAAUAUUGGCCGGUUGAGCAUUGUUGUUACUCCACCGAAAAUUCGGAUGAUCUCUAAUUCCAGGAUUGUAAGUGUUCGAAUAUGGAUCAUAACGUUGCCUCUGUUGUCCCAUAAAGUUCAACUCCGCCUCACUCAAGGCACCAUUCGGACAUGAAUCUGUAGAGUGAUCCGAAAGUGAGCAAAUUCCACAAGCUUGGUUGCCAAGAUUCGAACCAUUGAAAGCCUUGACCAAGACAUCAAGCUUCCUAUCCAACGUGAUCAUCUGAUUCUGAGCUUCAAUGUCAUAGACACCACCACGGCCUCCUGCCGACUUCCUUGAGUUCUUGGUGCUGAAUUGACCAUUGUUAUCUGCCAAGUCCUCAAUUAAGUUAUAUGCUUGCCGUCCGGUCUUGUUCAUAAAUGUGCAUCCACAUGCAGAGUCCACCAUACCCUUGUUGGUGUUGUCAAGUCCCUCAUAAAAAGCUUGAACUAACUCGUCCAAAGUAAUUCCAUGAUGAGGGCACUUCCUCUGAAGUUCCUGAAACUCUUCCCAUGCCUCAUAGAGACUGUCACCAUCCUUUUGAGUGAAAUUCUGAAUCUCCCUCCUUAGCUUCUUCGUGAGUUGCGCAGGGAAGAAUUGUUUCAAGAACUUCGAGGUCAUCUCAUUCCAAUUGGUGAUGAUUCCUGCAGACAAAGAAUACAACCAACGCUUAGCAUCAUCUUUAAGAGUAAAAGGAAAUAAAAGAAAUCUGCAGAUAUCGAGAAACUCUCUAAGGUGAACAUUAGGGUCCUCCAUUGGAGAACCCGAGUACUUAGGCAAUUGCCCAAGCAACUGAACCGGUAUGGAGAAGUUGGCUUCAUUAGGCACAGUAAAAGCAAUGCAUGAAGAUGAUUCCGGGGCUGUGGGGAUGAAAGCAGAUUUGAGUGGUGAGUCGGUCAUGUCGAUGUCGGACUUGUCUUCCUCACAGUCAAUCUCGGAUUCGGAUGAAGAUGAAGAUUCGGACUAGAUUCGAAAGGGAGAAGGAGGAUCUUGCUCUUCAAAUUCCAAAGGUCCAACCGUGCUACUUGAUGGUCCUUUUUGCUUCUUUAUUUGUUCUUUACAAGCACGGUCAAUCUCCGGAUUCAAUGGAACAAGAGCUCCUUGUGAAGACGAACGAGUGAGUCGAGGUUGCAUGCACGUCUAGCACCUGAAAAACCAUUUGGCCAAGAUCAAGUUAGAAUGCAUGAGUAUAAAACGAAAUCAAAAGCAAUAAACUAAACUAAGCUAAGAACCAAGGGUUCUUAUAAAUAAGAGAAAGGAACCAAGGGUUCCAAAAAUCAAUCAAAGGAAAAACAAAACAAAGGAAAACAAAAGAAAUUCGAAAAUCAAGAGAUAAAUUUCGAAUCAAAUUAAAUACAAAAUCAUACAUGCAUGGCACCAAUCUUUAAGAUUACAAAGUCAUACAAGCUUAUUCUCGAGUUGCUACUAAAACACUUAAAUAAAUAAUGAUUCUAGAUGGUAAGACACGGUGGACGUGCGGCCUAGAUAUAGAUGUUUCGAUCACCAGCUUGAAGCGUGGUUUCUAAAGGUCAAUAGCUCAAUCUAGAGAUAGUGAACAUGGUAGGACUCGUUUAGUGAGCAAUGAGAACUCCAUCACCGAGAUGUAUGUCUUCAAGGCUCUUGAGAUCCAAUUUUGGUCCCAUGCACCAGAGUAAUAGAAGGAGCGUACCGAUGUACUCAGCUAGCAACAAACUUAUGAACCAAACAUGACUCCAAGUGUUAAUAAAAGCCGCCCACAACCUCAUGCAAACCCGAAAGUAAACAAGAAGGGUUAAGGCUAGAAUUAACAAAAGGGAUCUUACCUAUUCCUGUGCAUUACAACCUACAACAUUAUUUAUACAAGUAUUAAAGUAGAAAGACAAAAAUAAAACACAAUUACAUCAUAUACAAAUUCAUGGUUUUAACUUUACAAAUAUAAACAUAUAGACAUAUAUACAAUGCAAAUUUCGACAAUUCAAAAAGAUCGAGGAUCCCGAAGGAUCCCCGGCAACGGCGCCAUUUGAUAAAACGUAUUUGCACACGCAUCAAUUAACCCUGUCAACAAAUCAAUCGUAGUAUAAAGCAAGCAGGGAUCGUUCUAAACCGGGGAUCCAACUACAGGGUAGAUCCACUAACCUAAUAUAAAUGUCGAAAUAAGCAUAUAGGGUUUAAAGGUUUGAUGAUUUCAGAAUAGACAUUUGAAAUAAAUCCUAAAUUACCUCUAUACAUAUUUACAUGUGAUCAACCAACCAUCAUGCAAACACAACUAAACAACCAUGCAAGAACAAAGAAGAUGAUCUCUAAUCUCAAUUAAGUCCACACCGUGAGCAAAUACACAACCUAAAUUUGAUAUGCACAUAAGUUCCUACGUGGUUCCUAUGACAUAGACAUACUUUGAAUUAGACUACGGGUUUUAUUCAACAUCGUGACACAAACAAGCUUGGCUACGUGCUCUACUUAUAGGUCACACACAUAAACCAAUCAUGCAAUUACGUAUCACAUAAAGAAUCGAUGUGCUUAAGCACAAGUCCAAAUCAAACAUAGGUAGAAAAUCGGUGAAAUAACAAAGACAAUGCAACUUAUCAACUACUUGUAUCAAAGUCGAACCUUGGAUGAUUAACACAUGCAACAUCAACUACUUGUAUCAAUUACACAUGAAAAUAGAAGAAUACACCGAAAAUCUUAAAGUACAUGGACAUAAAACCUAAAAUCAUUGACCAUAAAUCAUAAACUUCAAUUCAACACAUGGCUUAAAAGUACUUCUAUCUCAUAGACAAGAAUCGAAAUAUACUUAAGCAAAAACCUAAAACAAACAUAAAAAAGAACGAACACAUUCUAAUCCGAAAGUAAAAGAUGGAAUUCACUCUCAAAAUAUCCCUACUUGUUCUAUUCUUCGAGUGAGCGGAACCCUAGGCUACUUGCUUCGGAUCAAGGAUGAUGGUGAGUUCGGAUUAUGGUGUUUGGAGAAUGAUGGAGUUUCGGCAAAGCUUUGGUGUAAUUUUGCACGGGUUGAUGAUGAUAAACUGCUGCCAUGCCGUGCCCUAUAUAUAGAGUAACAAGACUUGAUCUCCAAGAAUUCCUCAAGCACAAGGAAUCCUUAUUAAAUCGGCAAAACCAAGUCCAAGUUGGAUUUAACUUCCUCUCUUGGUCUUCAAGUAAUCCUUAUGCAUUAAGGAAUGACAAAACCAUCUUGAACUUGGAAAACCUUCUCUCUUAGGCCGCACGAUCUCUUUCCUUGGUGACUUGGGAAAUCUCACGGCAUCUUCCAUACAUAUCUCGGAUUGUACUUCUCCUAGCUCAAGCAGGAACUCCUAGCUGCCGGCCACCUUUCCCUCAUGAGUUAGGAAAACAUUUCCUGGUCAACACGGGUUUAGACUUUCCUGAAAUAGAAAUAAGAAAAUUAGAAACUAGGAAAGAGGAAAGAUGGAAUCCUGAUCAAGACAGGAAUCAUGAGUAAACAAGGAUCUCCAACACUUAGCACAAUUUCAACACCAAAUUAUUCAAAUCCGAAAAUACUAUGUAUUCUAACACUAAAACCUACAUAUUUCUAUAUUAAGCAAUUAUUCUAUACUAAACACAAAUAUAAAGCUAAAACAAUUAAAUAGGAGUUAACAAAGGGUAAAUAAAGGGUAUAAACAUAUUAAGAACAUGACACUUUGUGCUCCUAUCAUAAGGCCUUUUCUCUUAUCCGUUGCGAAAUGGAUUAAGCUCAAGGCCUAGGGGGCAAUGUUUGAGCCCAGUGGGUAUUUUGGUCCAAGACUCGGGGUACGUUUUGGAUAACAUUUGGGCUAGUACCUGUGGCCCUUUUUUAAUGCAAAGCCCACGAAGGGUGGCGAGGUCUGGCAACACGCGAGCUGGAGUUUUGCAAGGAUUCUGAUACCCCGCGGGAUUUGAUGUCCUCGCGGGAUCCUUUGUUUCAGUUCGUGUAGGAUUCUGCAGUGCAUGGCGAGGUAGAGUUGGAAAUGGACUGUAGUACUCCGCGGGAUAGGAUCGCUUAGUGUUCGAGUUUGCGUACGACGCUACAGUGAGAUGAUGCGGGGCGGUGAGCGAGACCUAGGCGAAGUCUGUUCUGGACACGUGUUGCAUGGAUCGCGCGGCUCGCGAGCUGAUCGUAUCCUUGUGGAAUUCUAAUUGCUGAGUCCGAAUGAGUUGUGAUUAGGUCUCUGCGAAUUACUUGCGAAUCGCUAUAUAAGGGAGCUUGACACAAUCAAUCACACAAAAACAAGUACAAAUCCUCGAGCAUCCUCGAAACGCUAAGUUCUAAGUGCACUUCGCCUUAGUUCUCAGACCCCUUCCUGAUUCACCUUUCUCCCUAUUUAUUGCUCUGCUCGCUCUAACAGUGAGUAUCGAUUCACAUGUGACAAGAGGUUUUACUCGUAAUCCCUCGUCCGCGAGGUGGCACCGGUAACCCCUUCUUCGCUUGUUUAGAAGUCUAGCCGCAACGCAUUUCUUUCCUCGUCCGUGAGGUGGCACGUCCCGCAAUCUCUUUUUUUACUUUUGAAUCACCAAAGUUCCGACUCUGCCCCUGCUGAGACGUGUGGCCAAAACAAUAGUUAUACAAAUACACACUAAUAAGCAAAUGAUCAUUGGUUUUUCCAAGCCGGCUACUGGAACUGGGAAUUCACUCCAGGUUUCUGCUGCACAUUUCUACCAUUUGUUUUGAUCUGACUUGCUGAUGCCUACUUUCCACCAGUUUUCACAUUUGGCAACUACACUUUUCAAGUCCUUGGCCGUCAGAACAAAGCCUUCUACUUUUGAAUCGCAUUUCACAUUGAAGGCAGAGUUGGGGAAGCUGGCUAAAAUCCUUGUCUUGUGUUACCCACUCGAUCAGUUCUUCCACGCCGUAGAAGUCACCUUUGCCAAGGUUGCUACCUGAUGGGGAACUUGAAAUACUACCCCUUUUUGCGUUCUCAGAUGCGACACAACUAUCAUUACUGGUAGUUCUGUAUAUGAAUAAUGUACCUUCUGUAAUGAGUAGCAUGCUACGUAUCGGAUCUCCAAUUUGAAAUAGCGGGGUGUCCUCGGCGUAUAUCACCGGCUUUAGAUUGUCGCACAUCAUUUGCAACACUAUUUCAUCCAUCCUUUCAAGCUUUGGUACGUACGGAAUAAUGGAUCGCAGAAUUAGCUACGUGUUGAGAGAGAGAGAGAGAGAGAGAGAGAGAGAGAGAUUUGGGACAUACUUUCUUUAGCGUUUCAUGCAGAGGAACCGCUUUAGAAAUUUCUUGGUAUACACCGGAAGAAUAGAGAAUAUAUUCUCAAGAUCAGCAUCUUUGUUCUCUUCCAGUUUAUCGUUUAUGUUCUUCAUAAUUUGUUUCUUCAUAUCGUCUGGGAGGUCAUUUCUUUCCAUCCAUCCUAAUAUAUCUCUCUCCUUUAACUGUAUCUUGUUUCUUAUCUCCUCCCAUCUUUGAGUUUCCAUGGAUAUAAAUGUCUGUUUCACCACAAACGAUUAAGAAGCUCGAUUAUUAUCUUGUUAAUUCCAGCCUAACUAUAGGUUAUAAACUAUACAUAUGAAAACACCAUAAAGUGAAUCAUGAUGUUUGUAUUUAAACUGAACAUAUAUCUUCUAAAAAAAGAAAAAAGAAAUUUGAACACAUGAACCCAAAGAUACAUAUACAGUACCAUGCCAUUAGAGAGAUUUAUAACCAACCUGUACAUUUCCGAUGAGAUAUAGAAAUAGUAGCAAGCCAAUAACAGAAAUAAAAACUGCAAAGCAUGUCUCCAAUAACAGAAAUAAAGUACUUGUUUCGAGAUUCGUACCAAAAUUACUGCAAAAAGCCGAAAGUAAGAUUAAGAUGUUAACAAUGCAUGCACUAGUGUGAUUACGCGAAAAAAUUACUAUAAUUUUUUUUAAAGAGAUUUGGAACUCAGUCUAGCUGGAAAGCUCAUCCCCACGUCUAGUAAAGAUUCAAACUUAAUGUAAAACAAGUAUGGAGACUUCCAUGCAUAUACACAAACCUUAGAUUACGUAAUCCCCACCAAAAAGAGUAUGAUAACUUCGUCCCAAAAUGGAUCUUCCUCGUGAUAUUAUUUUUGAGGGAAUCCAAAAAUAUUCCAAAAUCAAAAGGGGCCGUGGCAUUCUCAUCAACGUUUAUUGGGCAAAAUUGAUUAAUGAACGUGGCAUUUCUUUCAGUAGUAUUGUGACCCUCACAGUAAAAGGUACUCAUACAUCCUUCAUUUGAACUGUUGUAUGCCCGACACCAACAAGAAGUUUCUCGUUGAAUAGAAAAGAAAUACCAAAAAGCUCCCAGGACCUGAAAAAUAUUUACUGAGAAUAUUAUUAGACGAAUAAGGAAAACUCAUGUAGCUAUAUAUCUAAUCGAUCUGUUUUCGUUUAAUGAAAAUAAAACUGAUAACUAAACAAAUCUGUCUUAAUAAGUCAGCAGUUUUUGAGCAACACUAUUCAUCGAGUAGCUAGUUUGCACACCAAAGAUUAAAAUGAAGCGACAUGAUUGAUGAAAACAAAACUUACAUGACUUGCAAGGAGAUAUAAGAAAAAAUUAAACAAUGCUUUAGCCCAUAUUCCAGUAGUUUGUCUGAGAUUCUGAGAUGAUCGGUAAAUUCGAUAAAUCCUUGGCAGGUAUUGAGCGAGGAGAAAGACAUUGAGAAUUUUUCUACGCUCCAAGUAACCACGGCCUCUCAUGUUGUAGAAGACAAAUACUAAAAGAAACUAGGAAAAAAAAAAAAAAAAAAAAAAAAAACAAAUUUUGGUAAGAUAGCUAACCUUUCUAGCUAGCAAUGUAAAAUGACUGGAUUCACUCAAAUUAUGAUCUGCAUACCUGUGGCAUUGGAAAAACAGCUAAAAUGCUGGUUAGCGUAUAGUGCCAUGCUAGCUUCCAAGCAACUAAUUUAGCAAAUGGAAUUAUCUCAGCUGCCGAUACCUUUGAAAAUUCCCAAUCCCAUUCUAAUUCAUUCUUAUUUCCUUUGUGUGCUUUGUAAGCAGCGUUAAUGGCGAUGCAAACAUGAUAUAUGAUAUUCACAACGAUAGUAACAUCAGUGAGAGAUCGCAGAAUGAGAGCUAUAGUCCUCAACUCUUUGUCUACUCCAAGGCACUUUUCUUCUCCAUCGAUGAUGGGAAUGUAGAAGAACAAUGGGUCUAGUGAGACUGCAAUCACACAUGCGAUUACGAACAUCUUAUUCCAGAAUGAAACUGAAAGAAGUUUUCCUUCCAAAUUUUGUUUUGUUGAAAAAGAAUCUCGGUCUCUCCAUGGGGGAUCUUGCGAUUCCUUCUCAAUAUUGUCAAAAUUGUACAUCCUUCUCCGUGUGACGCUGAUAAAAAGAAAAUAUGAUCAAAUGGAAUUGAUGAGAAAUUAAAGAGAAAAUCAAAACGAAAUAGACUCCGUCAUAUAUCUAUGUGAUGCAUGUUGUACAUUUUAAAGUCAAUACAUGCAGUAAAACAUCGAAUAGCCUCAAUUAAAUAGUGAAUUUCUCUAGUCCCAACUUGGAACCAGUUCAUAUUACUAAGAAUCUCGCUAAAUACAUAAGAUAAUAAUUUUUAUAGACUCUAUUUAGGUCCCAACAAAUAUAUAAAGUAAUAAUUGAUUAAAUAAAUAUUUAAAAAUUAUAGUUCUUUGCUUUUUCCGUGUAUCAUAGUUCUUUGCUUUUUUCGUGUGUUAUGAAAAAUGAAGGAAACUCUUAACAAAUUAAGUAACUCUUGAGACUAGCUUGUUCUCAACCCUAAGAGCAAGUUCACCCGUUGGGUUAGAAUAAAUACAGUGACCUGGGUCACUCUGGGUCACUGUGACUAGGCAGCAGACUGUGACUGGGCAGCAGUUUCCACCCGUUUAAAAUGUGAGAUUGCUGCCACGUGGCAGUGACUGUUUAUUAAAUUUUAAAAUACAUUUUUAAAUGUAAUUAAUCGUUUUAUGUAUAAAUAAAUAAUAAUUUAUGUGUAAAUAAAUGCAAUUUAUAUGACAUAUUAAAAUUAAUGUUUUAUUUCAUGACAUAUAAGUAACAAGAAGCUUAAAAAAUAUUUAUUUCAUGACAUUUAUUUAUUUUUACAGAUUUUUCCUAUAAAUUUAUAAAUAAAAAAAAGAAAAAAAAAACUAAAAAUUCUGCUCUGGGCACCCAAUCGAUUCUGCUCUGGGCACCCAGUCGAUUCUGCUCUUGACGGCCGACGGCGAACCUUCUGACGGCGAGCACGCCCAGCAGCUCUGCAUGCACGCACAGCCCCCCUGCCUUGCGCCACCUCUGCAGCGAGUGGACCAGGCCUCCUCCGGCGUCGAAGAAAGGGAGGCGAGCGCCCUCAGGCUUGGUCCCUGUCUCCUUGUCGGUGGAGUCAAGCGCUUAGCACGUCGCUGCGGUUGGUUCGUGCAUGAAACGUUCCUUCCUAGCGCGUCGGGCGAUGCAGGCGUCAUUGCUGACGCAAGCCACGAGCUUGGGCCUGGGCUGAGGUGGCUGCAACUCGCCUGGGUCACUCUUCUCCUCUCACUAGGUUAGUUUUCUCCCCACCCAAUUAACCUGGGCUAGAAAAUGAGUGAUCUCAUUUUGUGGGUGGAAACAAAUAAUUCUGGACUGGGUUACUUUGCUGAGGUGGAUCCAACCUGGGUUGGAUUUUUUUCCCGCCGGUGGACUUCCUCUAAGGCAGCCGCUUAGCAACCCUGCCACCAAUCCUUAAACACAAAGGCCGCCAUCUAGCGGCGUCACCACCAAGCCAAAGUCUCCUCUGGCACCAAUCCCAAUCAUGAUGCUACAACGCAGUGUUCUUUGGCCUUCUCCAGCCUCUCCUCUAAGUGGUACGUUCCUCUCCACACUUUAUGGCCUCUCAUCGGCUUUGAAUCACCGAUUGCUUCCAGUACAUUCCCCGCUAAUUCAAUCUAUUCCCCAGAUUAUCUCACUUGGAUAUGGCUCUCCAAACACUAAAACAACAACUAGCCUCCGUUGUUAGAGUAUCAAGUUUUGCCGGUACCUUUCUACGGGUAAAACUACAGCAGGAUGAAUCUGACCCAUGCCAAUCGAGCAAGGCUGAAGGAUGAAGGAUGAAAGGAUGUUUGUGUUGAUAGAAGCGACAAGAUCCAGACUUUUGGAUCGGUUGACUUUGCCUAGAAUUUUGAGGUCGGCUGGCCAAUAUGUGGUGCGACAAUCUGAUCAGAGGUAAGUUUGAUCUCAGCGUUAGGAUAUAAAGAUGGUUGGUUGGAAAUCACAGUGUGCUAUUCCAAUGGUGGUAUGAGGGCAAGAACGCCAGCAAUGGAGCACUAUACAACAGGGAUACGACUGUUGUUUGGGUGUAGGAAUAGAGGGCAGGGGUCUGCUUGGGUGCCCCAACCAUGUUUUAGGGCCAAAUCAGCCUGGGUGCCCAAAGAAAAAUCUGAUUGGAGGCCCAAUAAUGGUUCAGGACCUAAAUCAAUAAACUGGAAAAGGGUCUUGUGGGCCAAAAUAAGGAGCUCUAAUCAGUUAGGGUUUCACAUUUGGGAUCCUGGAGGUUUUGAUCCGGUAAGCUAUGAAUAUUUUGGCGUAACCGAGACUUUUGAAUCGUUUGGAGUGGUAUUGAAGAAUGAUUCAAGUUAUUAUGCUGAGCAUAAAAUGUCAAAUGAGUGGACCACGAGACAUUUACCACCAUGUGUACUACCACAACGUCUUGUUAUAUCUUUACAUGGCAGCGGACGAGUAUUUAAUAGCCACUCUCGCUUUAGGCUACCUCAACUUUCAAAUAGCUCAAAUACACUCCACGUUUGUUAUCUAGAGGUGUUUCGAUAUGCUUGUCACAAAGUUUUAUUUUCUGUUUUUCGAUUUGCUUAUCACCAAACUCUAUUCUGUAACUUUUUUAGUUGGUUAAGCAACUAACGCUAUCAAUGAAAAUUGUUUGUAGUUCCAAAAAAAAAAAAGUAAACUCUUAAUAACAAAACUCUCUCUAAAGUAAUAAAUAUUUAUUUAUCGAUAAUAUAAUAACCUCUCUAAAGUAAUAAUUUUUUGUAGCCCAAAUAUUAUUCAUUUAUAGAGGUUUUAGUAUGAUUUUAGAAAAAUAUAUAGUUCUUUUUCUUAAAGUACACUAGCUUUUACCCGUGCAUAUUUGCACGUUAUCAUAAAAUCACCUAAAAUUAAUUAGUGACUCACGGUUAACUAUCUAUUUUCUCAAGGUGGAAGUUUUCAAUCUUGUAAUCCCACACUAUCUAUCCACGUUUCUUUCAUAAUUAUCUUUUUCUUUGCUAUUUAUAUAUUUAUUUAUAUUUUUUUUCUUUUUACUAUAAUAACCCUGAAUUUAUUGUCUCAAUUGACAUAUAAGGGUAAUAUAGGCAUAACACAUUUUGAUAAAUUUUUGAAUGUUUGGCUAUAUUAUAGUAGAGAUAUACUUGGUCUUAAAAAGCUAAUGCACGUAGCAAAGAGAAAACCCUACUGCCUAGGAAAAUUUUAUUAGAUAAAACCAUAUCAACAAAAUAGUUAUCUAAUAAUCAGACUUAUUUUGUUAGCCAGAUUUGUAUGAACAAAGAACAGUAGUUCAUAGAAUAAGAAAGAACAACAAAAAAGUCAAUUACAACAAAAGUUACUAACAAAUUUCAGCUAAAAGUUUAUGUAGAUUGUAAUUAAUGGUGUGUGAAUUUCACUAAAAAAAAUUCAGCUAAAUGUAUCAAAACUAGGGGAAAUUCAAUGAUAUCAUUAGUGAUGAAACGAUGUAGAUGUUGAAGGAAAAACCGAUUAACAAUACGUGGAGCACCAAAACUCUUCUAAUAAUACUCUUUUAAUCGUACAGUAGUCUCAAGUUUCUGAUGUACGUAUAUCUCUACUUAUUAAGCGGACAGGGGGUUUACUGUUCACGGAACAGUGCCCUCACCAUCUUGCCCCCAUGUUGUGUUUUUUUUAACGGCCAGCCCAUCCACACUGAAUUCACCCUUUCACCCUUAGUUGUUGUUUUGUCGUCUGUGUUGUUUUAUCUUUGACGCACUGCUUCAGAAGUUUAGAUCGAAAACUAUAUUGGGAACACAGAGAGAGAAAAAGAGAGGCAAUCAGAGAAGAAAGAGAGAGUGAAUUGGAGAGAGGUAGUGGAAACUGAAAAGAGUGUUCCUCUUCAGACGCCGGGGUUUUCGCAAGUGCAAGAGCAUCAAGAGAUUUGUCCAGGCAAGUGAUCACAUCCUUUUUUUCCUUUUGGUUUCUAGGGAUGCAACUUCGGAGAGACAAUUUUAGUGUUUAUUGCUGGGUUCUCUCUCUGAUCUAUGAUAUUGAUUUAGUUUUAGUUUAAGAGAGAAAGAAACAAUCGGAGAAGAAAGAACAAAAUAGAUUGGGGAGAGAGAAAGAAAGAGUGAAUCGCUUUGGUUUGGUUUUGAUUUCCUUGGAAUUGGUUUAGGGUCUACGUAUUUUGUUUAUCUUCUUCUUCAUUUUUUUUUUUUUUUUUUAGAAUUUUCUAAUCGACAGAUGGUUUCGGCCGGCUAUUUUCCCACCAUGAAGCGUCGUCGCAACGAUUGAUCGGGUCGGAACCCGAAGGCCUAAGCAUCAGCUUUAAGGCCGUCAGCCUGCCCAAAGCCGCCUUCGAAAUAGCUGAUGUCAUACCUGUAUGUAACUCUCUCUUUCACUUUGGUUAGAAGGAAUUAAUAGCCGUAGGAAUAUCCAAAAAUUGUGCAACUAAUGAAGCAAAAUUUAGUGUGAAAUUCAGGUGUUACCGUAUAAUUUUGUAUCUUUAAAUUUUACUGGCUGCAUGUGUUUCUUUGUCUAUGAGAGGAUGGAUAUUUGUUUUAUUUUUGAACAUGUACUUCACAUAUUUGAUUUUGUGGGCUUCUAGGGUUUAUGAGGUUAUUGUGAUUGAGAUUAAGUUAAGAGCUGUAUGAUGAUCCAUUUUGUUGAAUGGUAUUAUUAAUUAUAGAUCGAGGAUAUGUGUUUUGAUCAAAUCAAUUAAUUGAGGUUGAGGUUCGGUAUCUACAAACUCAGGAAACUAGCUAGAUUGUUAUCCCAAAUUUUGUCAUAUUUGUUUUUUUUCUUUUUCUUUUUUUGUGCAGAGGCUUGAGGAUUAUGUGACCAUUAUAAGCUCAAGCUCAAAAGAUAGUGAUAAUGGAAUAACUGAUGCAGAGAAUGCACGGCAGCUAUGGUUGGCUUAAUUCUGAAGGUGAUAAGCCAUUUUAGUUUUCAUUAUCAAGUUGUUAUGCUACAAUUCACAGUAUGAAAUCACAAUUGUAAAAUAUGCUUCUGGAUAAUAAUUAUUGAACUUGAAUUAUUGUAUUUUUUAUGCUACAGAAGACUGCAAACAACUUAUUGGAAUAGGAAAUAAAGGUUCUCCAUUCCUUUAAAACAUAUGGUAGAACUUAGAAGCAUGCCGAUGCAUGCAGGUGUGUUUUUAACUAUAUUCUACCUAAUACUUUUACUUCAUAUGGUAGUUUGAAGUCAUUACAUCAUUUAGAUUUAGAUUACAAUUCUCCUCUUUUCCUCUUUAUUUGCCUCUGCUGUUCGUAUAUGUUCAAUUCCUUCUAUCAUCAAGGUGACUCACUAAAUGGACCUUCUGUUUCAUAACAAAAUCCUAUUAAAAUAAUCUCAAAUGUUCAUUUAUCUGUUACUAACUACUAUACAAAUCUUAAUUUUUAACUUUCAGAAUUGCAACAAGAAAAGUAAUGGCUAAACCCAAGGAAGACUCUUGCGGCAAGAGUAAGCAUUAAAACCCUUUUUUUUUUUUCUUUUUUUUUUACUUUCAACUAGAUAUACCUUAGUUUUUCAUUAUAACCUAUUCUCUGAAUUUUGAUGUUAAAUUGACACAGGGGUAGAAAGAAAAAGCAGGAACAAAUCCAAACAAGACUGAAAUAGGCACACAUGAUCCUUUUUUCAAUUAUGGUGACAUAUUAAAUUGCCAGCUGCAGCUCGAUUAACAUAGAUGUUGUUAAUCUAUAAUAAUUUCUGCUUUCAUACUUAAUGGCUCCGGUAUAUAUUGAGAUCAUUAUAAGCUCUUCUUCCCAAUUGAUUUUAUGUGGUGGAAUAGCUGCCAGCAGAAAUUAGAAAUGAGGGUAGGAAUAUGUACGUGCCUAAUAACCUAACCCUGUGCUCAUUAGUCAACAAUUUAUUGCCUUGAGUAAGCAACCAGGUAAAGGUUUUUCACUUAGGUGGUAGUACUUUAACGAUAAUUCCAUAAGGUACUUAUGAUAUUCUAUAAGUAAACCUUUGGCAGCUUUUGUUUAGUGAGUGACUAGAGAGCUUGAAAAUUUAGCUUCAGAUGAUGAACUUGAGGAAGAGAUUGGUUGACUAUGGUUGUGUUUGAUUGCUGUAAGUUUUGGAAUGCAAACAAGGUUGGAAAUACAUGGAGAUUUUUUGUAACUGAGAUUUUAAAUGUAAAUGUUUAAUGCUCAAUGGGUUGCAUUUGCUUAAUGCUACUAGAUUUUCCUUUUCUUCGAUCUGAUCGUUUUGUAAUAUGUAAUCUUUACUUUUGAGGUUCUUAUGCACGUUAAUGUGAAUUAUUAUGUUUAUUUUAGUAUGAGUUUGUGAGUGUUGUUAUGAUACAUCAGACCGAAAAAUUCUCAAACUAAGUUGUAUCUAAAACAACAGAUACAAUGCACCCGCGCAUGCUGGAAGGUUGGAAGGUUAGUAUAUAUAAAUUGCACAUGCAGCACUUUAUACUCUUAAAUCUUAAUUAGUAUGAUCACUCUAACAUUGAAAUGAUAAUGGUAAGAGCCAGCAGUUGGUCGUCAUAACUACAACACAAGGGAAAAUCAAAUAAAACAUAUCUGGAUAUCAUACAAUUAAACGGUAACACAAACACGACCAAAAAAAAAACGGUAACACAAAGACGCAAAUCCAUAAAAUCGUGCUUAUUUGGGAAAACAAAUACGAGGAAAAGAACUAACCUCGUCAUAGGGACAUCAUUGGGUUCCUGCUUGGUAGGCAUAUAUACGUUGGAUAUGAUAUAGGACUCUCUGUAAAUCAGUGAAAAUUUAUAUAUGGAAACUGCAGGUGAUAAGUGAUAACCUUAAGCUUAAUAUAGUAAUAAGAAACGCUUGCAGUGAGGUUGUGUAUAAGCAUAUAUAUAUAUAUAUAUAUAUAUAUAUAUAUAUAUAUAGUAGUAGUAGNNNNNNNNNNNNNNNNNNNNACAUAUAUAUAUAUAUAUAUAUAUAUAUAUAUAUAUAUAAAUGAAGUUUGAACGAGGAUGGAGAAGGGGAACCUCUGGAUCGGUGAUUGAGAGCAGAUAUAGCAGCAGGAGACUGUGCUGCCGGAAGCAAGAUUCUGGUUGGUGGAACUUUGUCAACAAUGUCAGUAAGCUAGUGAAAUGAAAGCCGAAUGGCUAGUAAGAACUAGAAGCCAGUAUGGACAUCACUGGUUAGAUUCAAUUAUAUAGGAAAUUAAGGACGUACGUACAGUAAGAGUAGCUCACAGUAUGUCUAACAAGGAGAGCCCCAGAGAUUCUAUUCCCCAAAGUGACUGUUGGCAAAACUACAUGAAUUAUUAAGAUUUGCAUUCACAUAAUACUAGCCUUUAUAUUUGCACGGAAUCACAAAUUCACAAUCAUUGCAUCUCACUACCCACUUUUCUCUCUACGAUUAUUUAUUUAUUUUACUAUUUUAUUUUUUAAUUUGGCUUCUUACUAUAAUAACCCUUAUCUUUUAGGGUAUUUAACAUUAAACUACUAUUUGAAGGUACAAAUGAUAAAAUAGUUUUCAAAUGUUCCACAUGAUAAAAAGGUCACCAUUAAAACAUGUUACAUGAUAAAAUGGUCACCUUAAAACAUCUUAAAUGUUAUAAAGAUCUAUUUUCACUCUUUUUACAUGACUAUUCUACCCUCCUCUCUCGUUUAACCUAUUUUUGAUCGAUCUCAGUUUCGUCAUCUCUCUCUCUCUNNNNNNNNNNNNNNNNNNNNNNNNNNNNNNNNNNNNNNNNNNNNNNNNNNNNNNNNNNNNNNNNNNNNNNNNNNNNNNNNNNNNNNNNNNCUUCUCUNUCUCUCUCUCUCUCUCUCUCUCUCUCUCUCUCUCUCUCUCUCUCUCUCUCUCUCUCUCUCUCUCUCUCUUAUCGCCAACGAUUGUCGACAUGGAUCGUGAACGGAGCUUUGGUCUCCGAUUGCAAAUACAUGCACUUCAUCGGAGCUCCGCACCGUACCGCUCACCCUCAACUAAUACCUCUUCUCCGCUGCGCUCAGCCGCCGCUCUCAGCAGCCGCAUCUCUCUCUCCCUCUCCAUCUCCGGCUUGGUCCUUCUUCUUCAUCGCCGUCCAAGUCUUCGAUCGUCUUCUUCUUUUCAAGGUAAUCGGAGAGGAUCUAAUAGCUUCUUUUCUGUUUAAACAUCUUUUCUGUUGUGUAAUUCUGCUAGAGAUUGAAGUUUCUGGUGUGAAUUUUAGAGCGAUUGAAGUAUAUGUGUUUGAUCUGGAAGAUUUUGUGAUGCGGAUGCGGUGGAGAAGUUCGGAAAGGAGUCUGGAAUUGAACAUAUCCUUUUUUGUUUUGUUAUUGAUGUGAUGUUUUGUUUGUGUAGUUGGUUCGAUUUGAAUUGUGUUUGUGGCAUUGUUAUGCUUGAUGGUGUUGUGAUGUGUUUGUCCUUACGAGUGUUUAGCAGAUAUUGAUCUUGCAAUAAUCACAUAACGCAUAGCAGUCAAGAAUGCAGUACAAUGUGGUAAUGUGGAGGAUGCAAUCGAUAAGGUGAAUGACUUAAACCUGGAGGUGAGAUUCCCUUUUUAUUGAGCCCUUAAUGGUAGCAUAUAAUUAUGAUUCAGUACUGUCUCUACUUUUCUCAUUUUGUUAAUGGAUAUGGUACAUAUUUGAUAUGAAAGUUAAACCAACUUUUAUGAAGUUGCUUAGAAUUGAGGCAGGAACAAUAUCAAACAGUUAUCCAUUAUGUUAUAAACCAAACCAAUUAACCAGCCAUGUAUCCGUGAAUAUAGAAAUUUGAUUUCGUUCUUUGUCUCUUAUGUGGUUACAUGGCCUUUUUCGGAUACGAGUUCACCUGACAUUAUUAGAGUAACAGGUGAUAGCAUGGUACUUCAUAUCUGCAACCAUGACAUGAUUAGUUUUCUUGUGGUUAUGCUGCUGUGAUUAGUUUUCUGGGACUGAAGCACUAGAGAGACAUUAAGUGCAUGUGUUUUGACUUUAGAGUAAUAGAGUUCAUCUUGUACUUGUCAGUUAGGCCAACCAAUCUUUUAAAAGAAAUAAACUAAACAAAGAGAAAGGCAGGGUGCUAUGUCAAAACCAUGGGUGAAAGAAUUCACUCCUUCUCCUGAGUUUAGUAGUAGUGUUUGGUUUUAUUCAGAAUGCUCUAGAUAGAAAUCUUCUUAACUACACGUUAUCAAUGUUGUGAGUAACCAUAGCACUCAUCACUGUGGUGAAUCUUGGCAGAAUUUGUUGUGUGUGCCUUGGACCUUAAUAUUUUAGGGACCAAACNCUUGGAUUCCAAGAAUAGACAUGAAUUAUCUAUACUAGUAUGAUUCUGUUGCUGUGUUCAUUGUCAAUCUGUUCAUCAUUGCUUCGAUAAAGAAAGUGUUUCUGUUAAGAUCUUUACAUGUAGUUUUUUGAUUUAGCGUAUUAUAUUAGAAAAUAUAUCCCGUCUAUUUCAAUUUAUAUGAUGAUCUGUGAAAAUUCUGUCUGCAGAAGUGGACUCCCGACGAAGAUGAGAAACUAAUCGAGGUUGUUGCCCUUCAUGGUGCAAAGAAAUGGACCUUAAUAGCCUCCAAAGCAGGUAUGUAUUGUAUAUAUGCAUGAAUGUAACCCAAAUCAAUCACAUUAUGUACUUAAUGAUCCAAAGAAUAAUGGGUUUUCGGUGUAGGGCUGAAUCGGAGCAGCAAGAGUUGCAGGCUGAGAUGGGUGAACCAUCUGAGACCCAACAUCAAGAGAGGCGACAUGUCUGAAUAGGAAGAGGUUUUGAUUAUUAGGCUGCACAAGCUUCUUGGAAAUAGGUAACUCUUCAGCUCAUUUCAUUUUCCUUGCUUAUGUAGUCGAUCAUUAUCAAAUUCUCGGACUUGCAUUGUGUGAUGUAUGUGCAAAUUUUAUUGUUCUAAGGUGGUCUUUGAUUGCGGGGAGAUUGCCGGGUCGAACAAACAAUGUAAUCAAGAACUACUGGUACACUUGUUUAAGCAAGAAAAUACUAGCAGAAAGAGAAGCAAAGUAACAAUGAAGCUAAUGGGACGAUACAAUUUCCGGUAGUAGAUGAGAAACUAAGUGUAGCAGAUGAUGAUCAGAAGGUCCAUGUGGAAAUGAAGCAAGAGUGCUUGGCAGCAGUAGCGGGUACAAGUGCGACUCUAAUCAAGAAAGAGGAGGUGAUCGAUUCUGAGGACUACUCCAACGCCUACAUCAACAAUAUUGAUGCUGACGAGUUCCUUAAUCUGCUCAAUGAAGAAGAACCUUUGAGUUGGGAGGUUCCGCAAAUUUCUUGAGCUAGAAGAUGUACCAUUGCAUAAUGAAGUUAAAUAUUUGAUGAAUCUAGUAUUCUAGUAGGUUUCAUGUGAGUGCACUAACACUUUUGGAUGCUCCUCUAAUCAUGGUUUUUGUAAAUUUUGUUAUAUAACUAGCUACCAUGAACAAAAUGUCUACUAAAUCACUUGAACAUGAUCUGCUCUGUAGUGUCUAUCGUGUAUUACAGUAGUAGAGUUAUUGCAUUUCGGGUGCUGUUCGAAUGUUAUUGAGAUAUGACUUGCAGUUUCUUAUUACUAGUGUAAGAUUCUUUAGAGAUGUUUCAACUUAUAUAGAUGUGGUUAUUUCAAAUUGUUCAAACAGUGGUAUCUGUUUUUGAAUAUUUACAAUGACAAGAAGAACCAUAAUUAUAUACUAGGUGGUUGCAAGGUGCAGUAUAUUGCUUCAAAUCAUUUCCAUGGAACUGAUUGAUGCAUGCGACGACUGCGUAGGUUUUUAUAUGGUCAGUCUAUUGUUGCGGUGCAGCGGCAUGCUACAAAUAUUUAGUUACUUGAGUAGUUACACAGUCAGUUAUAUUUAGUUACUUGAGUAGAUACACGGUCAGUUACAUAACAUCUAUAUAACUAUGCAUGUAACUAUCCAUCUAUGUAACUAUGCAUGUAACUAUCCAUGUAAGUAUCUAUCUAUGUAAUUAUUCAUCUAUGUAACUAUCCAUGUAACUAUCGAUCUAUGUAAGUAUCCAUCUAUGUAACUAUGUAUGUAACUAUCUAUCUAUGUAAUUAUCCAUCUAUGUAACUAUGCAUGUAACUAUCCAUGUAACUAUGUAUCUAUGUAACUAUCCAUAAAACUAUUCAUCUAUGUAUAUGUCUAUUUAUAUAACUAUGUAUGUAACUAUUCAUCUAUGAAACUAUGCAUGUAUUUAUCCAUCUAUGUAACUAUCCAUCUAUGUAACUACCCAUGUAACUAUCCAUCUAUGUAACUAUCCAUGUAACUAUGCAUGUAAAUAUCUAUGUAACUAUGCAUGUAACUAUCCAUGUAACUAUGUAUGUAAAUAUCUAUGUAACUAUCCAUGUAACUAUCCAUCUAUGUAACUAUCCAUGUAACUAUCUAUGUAAUUAUGCAUGUAACUAUGCAUGUAACUAUCCAUGUAACUAUGCAUAUAAAUAUCUAUGUAAAUAUCUAUGUAACUAUCCAUGUAACUAUCCAUGUAACUAUCAUCCAUGUAACUAUGCAUAUAAAUAUCUAUGUAACUAUCUAUGUAAUUAUGCAUGUAACUAUCUAUGUAACUAUCCAUGUUACGAUUCAUUUAUAUAACUAUUCAUCUAACUAUCUAUGUAACUAUCCAUGUAACUAUCCAUCUAUGUAACUAUCCAUGUAACUCCAUGUAACUAUGCAUGUAAAUAUCCAUGUAACUAUCUAUGUAACUAUCAAUCUAUGUAACUAUCCAUGUAACUAUCAAUCUAUGUAACUAUCCAUGUAACUACAUAUUGAUAGUUACCUGGGUAGUUACAUACAUGCUACAUUUGUGCAAUUACAUUAACCUGCCUAUGUAACUAUCCAUGAGACUGACCAUGUAACUUGCUUAAUUUCAUGAGACUGACCAUAUAACUUGUCAUAUAACCGCCAGUUACAUUACCAGUUACAUAGCUUGUUGCAUUCCAAUCACUUCUAUUAUCAAUUACAUCACAGUUCUUGCCAACUUGAAUAUGCCAAAACAAAAACGAAGAAGAAGGAAUUGUAAAACUCAAACAUGAUAAAUUUGAUUCAUAGCAACAAUCACGAUUCCAAUCCUCUGAGGCUGUGCUUGACAAAAAGCAAGCAUGAUUCAUGUAUCAAGAAUACAAUAACACACAAGAACUACUUAGCCAAAUCGUUAGUUUGGCUAAGUAGCUAAACUUUUCCUCAUCUCUUCAACGCUCUUGUUCAACAACCCAGAGAAGAAGUCCCAGCUGCUUAUCCUAUGCCCAAUCCAAUUCUAACCUGCGCACCCAGCUAGCAACAUUCCCUUCAAAGUCCCAUCUUUUCUCCUAUUCUCAAACUCGUCCUCAUACACAGGUUUCGUCGUCGUAGGUGGACAGAUCGGAACUGGGAGUGCAACAAGAUCGAUGCGACACCUCAUGGAGGUUGGUGGUCCAGCCGGAGUUGGUGGUUCGACGGGUUGGAUAACCGGUGUGCCGAGAAAGCUUAGGUUUCGCCGGAUCUUGCUUUGGACUCCGAUCUAGUUAUCUAUUGGGUGAGUGGUUUGAAGUGGUGGCAAGGCGGUACUCCUGUAGUGGUGGUGGUUUGGCGGUGUAAUCCCGCACUGGUGGUGGAAGCCGGAUCUCUAAGGUGCUGCUCACCCGUGCCGGCGGAGGUCGUCGGCUCUCAAAAGGUUGACGGAGAUCUCGUCGGCGAGUUGAGAGAGAGAGAGAGAGAGAGAGAGAGAGAGAGAGAGAGNNNNNNNNNNNNNNNNNNNNCUAUUUUAUCAUUGCCCUUUUUUUAUUCACACUCUCGACAGCCCUUCCCGGUUUGUUCCUUUUCUUUUGGUGGUGGGCAGUCAAAAGGAGGAAGAGUCCAAACCCCACGUUCAUCACGCCAACCAUAUCAUGUCAUCUUGUCAAUUUUAUUUUAUUUUUAUUUUUUUUUUUUUUUUUUAAGAGGAGCAGAUCAUAUCAUGUUAGAACUUUGGGGAAGAAAAAAAAAAAAAAAGGUUUAAUUCAAACCACAUCCCAAUUACCACAUAUUGGCACUUAAUUAAAAACUAAAGAGAGUAGCUACAAGUAAUUAUCGAUCUCAACAUCUGAUCAUGGUUCUUGACCAAAAAAAACAAAAAACAUCUGAUCAUGGUUCAAUUUCCUUUAGUUGUCCUGUGGCGCGGACUGAAUAGUGUUUAAUUAGGUUUAGCGCGCAUUUACCAAAUAUUAGUUGGAGAUAUAGUUAAUUGAUGACUAGAUGUAGAAAAACAUAAUAUGUGGUUCUGGAGAAGCAAUAUCACUAGUCUCUUGUAACUAAAACCAAGUAAAGUUUAUACCUAGUCCUGAUUUAAACAGAUAAAACAUUGCCAUGUGAUUCGGCAAACAAUCUCUUAAUGACUCCUAGUAAGCAGAAAAAAGAUAAUAAAUUCAUCAAUUUAUCUAAUUAAACUCCCGGCCUAGAGGUGAUAGAAACUUGUGUGUAUAUAUCAUUUAAUUUAGUUGGAAGGCCAACCAUGAUUCCGAUUCCUCUAUUCCAAUUUCUAUAAAUUGCAAUAAGAGAAACUUUAAAUUGCAGAAACCCUCAAGUCUUAUGCCCUUGGUACAUGGGAAAAUGCUUCUCAUGGAACUACUCUUAUUAGUUUCAUUAGCAGCAGCUGCAACGGUAUUGCUAGCAGCAGAAGAAGCUGAUAAACCCCUCCCACUGCCUCAAGCAAAGCCAAACUGCCCAGAUCGCUGUGGUAACCUUACAAUUCCAUAUCCAUUUGGCAUCGGCGACCGCUGUUACAUGUCACCGAUGGGACAGGAAACCCGAUUUAGUCUCGUCUGUGAUAAUUCCACAACAGCCCCAUCGUUGAACUGGACGUCCAGCAAUGUCCGUAUUACUGGAUUUGUCGUUGCUCAGGGUGAGUUGCUAGUUAUGAAUUAUAUUACCAAGGAUUGUUACAACGAGUUCGGUGCUAGUUGGUCAUCAAACAGACCUUCGCUCUCUUUUCCACCUCCGUUCAGCAUUUCCGGUCCCAAAAACAGGUUCUUCGCCCUAGGCUGCGACUCUUCUGCUGCUUUCAGGGGUUUUAUUGGCGAAGAAGUGUUCAUCAUGACGGGGUGCAUUUCCGUGUGCCUCAACAGAACCACCGUGAAAGAAACUUGCUCUGGUGCCGGGUGUUGCAAGACCGAAAUCCCUGAAGGACUGACGAAUCUUACUCUCAGAUUGGGCAGCUAUUUCAACCACAUUGGUAUAUGGGACUUUAAUCCCUGCAGCUAUGCCUUCCUUGUGCAAGAUGGCUACUUUAAAUUCAAAGGAACGAGUAGUUUCGAAGAGCUGAAGAACAUAGAGGAGAUGCCAGUGGUCGUUAAUUGGCAGAUUGGAAAUGAGACGUGCGAGGUAGCUGAAAAGAAUGCUGAGCGUUAUGCAUGCAAGGGAAAUUCCACCUGUGUCAACCAGAGAAAGCAGGCCCCGUACCCUGGUUACUAUUGCCAAUGCUCACCAGGCUACGAAGGGAACCCAUACAUCGGUUGCCAAGGUGAUCUCUUUGCCGAUACAGAUGAAAUACUAUUUAUAUGUACAUGCAGUUGUAUAUGUAUAUAUUUCUCUGUGUGUUUCUGAACUUUUUAUGUUCUUUCAGAUAUCAACGAGUGUUUGAAUGAAACUAAUCCAUGCCGGAACGGAACGUGCGAAAAUUUAAGUGGAACUUACUCUUGUAAAUGUGAUGAAGGGUUCGAAAAUGAUGGCCAAGGGAAAUGCGUUGCUCGCCCGGCAAACAACACUACUCCCCUCAAAAUUGCAUUGGGUAUGCUGUAGCCUUAGUGAUAUAUAGCUGCUUCUACUAUAUAAAUAUUAUAUACAUACAUGACUGAGAAAAGUGACAAGUGACAAGUGACAAGUGUCUAUCUUUUCGAACCCAAAAAUGCUCUACAAUAUUGAUAUUUAGAAAGUAUUUAUUAUAAUUAUUAACGUGAGAUGAAAUUGAAACCGCAAGACCACAACUAAUUUAAUUAAAGUGUAAAUGUUAAACAACAUUAUUAUAUAUCAAUAAUAUGUCACUACGUACGACAUUGGAAGUUUAAUGGUACAUUCAUUUGCAUAAUUUGUUUUUGUUACGGUCACUAAGCCGUGACAUGAUUACAUGUAUUGUUAUGCGAAUAUGUGAAAGUGUUUAUAGAAAUUCAAAAUUUACUACCAUCCGAUCUAGAUUUUAUUCAUUUUGAAACACGGUUAUGAUUCUUCUUUCAACUGCAGGUAUUUGUAUAGGCUUCUUUGUUCUAUUAGUCGUAAGUUUUGUGUUAUAUCGUGAAUACAAAAGAAGACAGUUCAACAAGAUAAGAAAAAAGUACUUUGAUGCGAACGGCGGGCCAAUAUUGGAAGCAAAACUAAAGCAAUUGGCUAGUCAAAAAGAUUCCUCACUUGCGGCCCAAAUCUUUUCUGCAGAAGAUCUCAAGAAAGCAACAAAGGAUUACAAUGAAAAUGAAAAAAUUGGUGAAGGUGGCUAUGAAAUAGUCUACAGAGGCGUAUUUGAUAAAAGAGUGGUUGCUGUGAAGAAGUCCAAAAUGACUGUUCAGAAAAGUGAUCAGUUUAUUAACGAGGUCAUUGUUCUUUCUCAAAUCAGUCAUAGAAAUGUGGUGAGGCUGCUAGGCUGUUGUUUGGAGACAAAAACGCCUAUCCUGGUUUACGAGUAUGUUGGUAAUGGAACUCUCUGCGAUCAUAUUCAUAAGAAGAAAGGAGAACUACCACUUUCAUUUGCACAACGAUUGAAGAUAGCAGCAGAGACUGCAACCGCACUUUCAUACUUGCAUCACUCGACCACCACGCAAAUUGUUCAUCGAGAUGUCAAGGCAACAAAUAUACUGUUGGAUGAGAAACUUACGGCCAAAGUGUCGGAUUUCGGGGCUUCGAAACUGGUUCCUGACGACGAAACUCAACUUCCAACUUUAGUGCAGGGGACAAUGGGAUACUUGGAUCCUGAAUAUCUUCAGUCCAACACACUCACAGAAAAGAGUGACGUUUAUAACUUUGGGGUUGUCCUGGUGGAGCUACUGACAAGUCAAAAUGCAGUUCGUUCAGAUAAACCCGAGGCGGAGAGAAACUUGGCCAACGUCUUUGUUUCUACAAUGGAAAAUAAAGAUCCGCUGGAUCCACUUCUUGAUCCUGCAAUAGUCAAGGAUGGAAAUCGGGAGAUGAUCGGAAAACUUGCCGAGCUCGCCAAAAGAUGCUUAAGUGUGAAAGGAGACGACAGGCCUACCAUGAGAGAAGUAGAGAGGGAGCUAGAAGAAAUGCUGAGAACUUUGGCAAAGCAACCAGGAGGAAAUGCCUCCUCAUCGAACGAGAUAGACCACUCUCUUGUUGAGGUUAGUGAUGAAGUCGAUGGUGGCUCUACUGGGAUUAAUAGCAGUGCAGAGUAUGACGCCAGCAUGCAGAAACAAGCCCAAAAGCCGUCCGGUUAUGGUCGCUGAAUAUUCUUCGGCCUUUCUAGACGUUUCGCAUUGGAUUAGGAAACCCAAAUCAAUUGUGUUUCUAUGUGUUUCUUGUUUUUCUUAUGUUGUUUCUCUCUAUUCCAAUGUGAUCAUUCGAGUGUCUUGUAAGAUAAACAAAGUCAUGUAGUAUGCAUGCAAUCCCAUGCAAUCCUGUUUGUUUUGUUUUCGUUUUUUUUAGGUCAAAGUCAUGUGUAUAUGCAUAAAAUCUGGAUUUCCUAGAUUUAGUAUGUUUAACUUGCUCAGUUGCUCCGUAUUAUUGUAAGUUCAAGAAGUUCUCUUUAGAUAGUUAUAAAUUCUAAUGAUUAAGACACAGUUACAAAUGUUUGAUCUUGUGAGAUGCAUUUUACAUUUUUCGGUGCUAACUGCUAAAAAUCAAGGUUCAGAUAAUAAAAUCUUGAAAGUAAAUCAACAAUGGUGAAAAUUGAAAACAUAACUAGAGGUUGACGAAGAAGAAACAAAGAGAAGGGUAGCAAUUUUUGUAUGAGAAAAUGAUGCGAUCAGUUCUUGAAAAUACAGAGAAAGAACUCCAAUUUAUUCUACAGUUGGUUAUAGCUGAUAGCAAAAGCAAGCAAAAUAUUACUUAUUCUCCAAGCUGCUGAUGUCACGGUUGGGAAUGGACUGGGCCGCCUAGAUAUGGACUAGGCUUAACACUAACCAAUCAUGAGUUUUCUCCAAAAACUCGGUGUUAAAUAAUACAAGAACUAAAUACUAUUUAGUCCAUAUACUUAAUGUCUCAAAGUUUCAGUCCAUGACCUUUUGAUUUCAGUAAUAACAACUAAACCAGGUUCUCGACUUUUCAAUUAUUCUUUUUGCAUUUCUCUGAAACAAAUUCGUUUUGGAAAUUUAUAAAACGUUAUUCAGUGAAAAAGAGUUGUAAUAGAUCAUUAUACAUACAUGGCUACCAAGUUUUCAUUUCGACAGGACAAGUCCUUUUUUUUUUUUUUUUUUCUAGAAUGACAGAACAAGUCCUUUGAAAAUUAAAUUAAAUUAAGUCUUCUAGAGAGAGAACAAUUAUAAUCUUAUAGAUUAUACAUACUACACUACUUCAAAUCAUGACAUAUAUACGACUGGGCAUACUGACGUACGUACCGUACGCCUACCAACUUAUUGCUAAUCACUCUUAAAAUACAAUUACAACCAGUUUUGCAAUGACGACUCAGUACUACUAGAACUCUAGAUCUGAUGUGAUCAAUCAUCGCCCGUCAUCGUAGGGCAUUAACAUUUGAAUUUGCAUGCUGUCAUAACCAGUAUUUGUAACGCUCGAACCACCGUCACCUCCGCCUCCAAUAUUCACCACGGAAGCAGCUGAAUCAUGUGACCCGAGCAAGUACUCAGUCUCCUCGAAGCCGGAAUCGCCAUUUUUCCAUGUAUGCUUUGCCGUAAUUCUCAUCCCUUCUAACUCCAUGGCAACUUCCCUCAUCGUAGGCCUUUCGUCGCCUUUUAUCAUCAAACAUCUUUUUGCCAGUCUCGCUACUUGCUCUACUGUCUCUAUGUUCCCCUCAUUCACCAUAUCAGCAUCAAGAAUCUGAAUCAAGCGAUCGUUUUCAAUUGAAGAAACAAAGAAGCUUGCUAGACAUCUCUCCUUGUCCGGCCUAGCAAAAGAAAGUGCAACUCUACUUGUUAGUAGCUCCGCUAGGACAACUCCAAAGCUAUAGACGUCGCUCUUUUCGGUCAGCUGGUUUGAAUGAAAGUAUUCAGGAUCCAAGUACCCAAGCGUCCCUUGAACUAGUGUUGCAAGUUGAGUUUGAUCUAGAGGAAUGAAACGUGAAGCUCCGAAAUCAGACACUUUGGCAGUGUAUUUGUCAUCCAAUAAUAUAUUCAUAGAUUUCACGUCUCGAUGUAUGAUUGGAGUGGAAGUAGAGGAGUGUAAGUAUGCUAAUGCCCCUGCCGUUUCUGAUGCUAUCUUCAAUCGUAAUUCCCAUGAAAGCGAGGAAUAUCCUUUUCCAUUUUUGAAUAGAUGCUCGAAAAGAGUACCAUGAGUGAUGUACUCGUAUACUAAUAAAGGCACUUCGGUCUCGAAACAACAACCUAAUAGUUUCACUAUAUUUCUGUGUUUGAUUUGAGAAAGAACGAUAACCUCAUUAACGAACUGAUCACUUUCAGUUGGAGCGCCAAUCUUUGGCUUCUUUAUGGCAACAACAUUCUUAUCAUGUAGCGUCCCUUUGUAAACUGUUCCAUAGCCUCCUUCUCCAAGGAUUUCAUCUACAUGGUAAUUGUUUGUGGCUUUCUUAAGUUCCUCCGCAGUAAAGAUUUUUGCUGUCUCAACAGAUCCUCCAUGACUAGCGAGCUGUUGUUGUAGUGUUGGGCCGCCGUUUUCUCUGAAGUUCUUUUUUUUGAGUCUCACGAGUCUCCUUUUGUUCACUCCCCGAUAAAUCCACAAGAUUAAAAACCAUUAAAAACCAAGAAGCCUAUACUGAAACCUGUAAAUGGUUGAAAUAUCAUACGCAAANNNNNNNNNNNNNNNNNNNNGUCUGUUGUUGUCAUAGUUAGAUGAUAUCGAAAAGAUUUCUGUAAUCUUGAUUUGGAAUUUUGGAUGGAAAACGAUUCCCCUUUCAGUGUCGCUUAUGCAUGUUUCUACAAAUGCACAAGCAAAUUUUCCUGGUAAUUGAACUCACAGAGCAUCAUUUUGAUGUUGACACAACGAUGUGACCAAUAUAUAUAUGUAUACUUACACAUACAUAUAUGUGUGUAUAUGAUGAGUUGUUAUCCCUAGAAAUGAACAAAAAAAGAGAUCCCUCAUUGAAAGGGCCUUAUAUAUAUAUAUAUAAUUUCCGCAUGAAAAUAAAAAUAUUAACUUGAUGAUGAAAACAUGCAAUUGCAUGCAAUGCAUGAAUCGAAUGAGAAUUUCCCUUGUCAUGUCCAAACCCUAAAUCGCAUAUCCAAUUACUGCAUUAUAUAUGUUCGGCUUUCAAGUGGGGAAUUUUUCACGUUUUGUUACUGAGAAAUACCUCAUAUAGAAAUUUAGAAGUUAAGUUACGAUCCAAUCCAUCCCCAGCAUCGUUUUGCCUAGUUUGUUUCGAGCUUACAAUUAAACAGACUCCACUGAGUUACUUGAUCGUGGACCCAUUGGAAACUAUAUAUGCAUAGCUAUUAUAGAUUUAACCCUAAUUAAGCACUACAUUUUCAUCAUUUUGGGGAUAGCAAGAAACACGUAGACAAAAUCAUCUCGAUGGUAUUCAUAUUAACGAGCAAACAUAUCACGAGCCAUAAGCGCUCAAUAUCAAACUUGCCAAAGCAAAAUGCGAGUGCAGCCAAUUUGGUAGCUAGGAGCUGAGAGCCAGCUAAGAACCAAUCAAAAACUUCUUGACAAGGGGUACGUAUAUCGUUGUAUUUGAAUAUUGAGUUCGAUCAAUGUUGUACUCGAUCACCCUUACUUGAAAUUCCUUUGACGGACCAUUCGAUCGUAUCUAUAUGCAUGCCUUUCUUUCUUUUUUUUCUUUUUUUUGAGAAGAAUCUCUAUAUGGCUUUCGUAUUUGUCUGUGUAUUGAAAGAUCUCGAUCAGCCCCUAGCUGAAGGACCAAUUAUUAAUAUAUAUUUUGUAGAGAGUACCACAAGAAACAAAGAAACCGGUCAAAGAAUAAUCAAAUUGACAGUGAGCUAGCUAGAAAUGGAAUGUACGUCCACUGUCGCAUAUCCGCAGGUGCUCUUGUUUUCUCUCAAUUAUAUAUAGCCAAUCACAGGUUCUAUAUUGGGAAAUCACAAGUUCACAACAUGACAAGAGCAAAUUGGCCACUCUGUUUCUCUUUGCUUCUUUUGUUAUCGUUUCCUUUUCCUUCUCCUUUAUUUUUGUUGACACAGCUAGAUGCAACUCUUCUUAUUGGCCUGGCAAUGCAGCCAAUAUCAAUGAGCCUCAGCCACCAAUGCAAGUGAGGUUCUUCCUUCCCUUCCUUCCUUUCAAAAAAAAAGAAAAGAAAAAGACAAGUGAGAGGUUCUAAGGGAAACACAAAUUCUUCUUAAUUAAUCACUCCACCCUUUUGCAGUUUGUAGAUAUAGUUUGAUGAUUCCGAUUUUCAGACCCUUCUUUUCCUGAUUCUUUCUCAAGUUUAAGAUUGAUAAUGCAUAUAUAUGCGUUUGUAUCCAAAACUGCGUAUAUAUAGUAAAUAUCAUGUUAGGGUAAACCUUCUAUAACAAACUGAAAAAAUCGUUCAAACAAUACCAGAAUUUUUCCUACUAUAUAUAUAUAUAUAUAUAUAUAUAUAUAUAUAUAUAUAUGCACACACAUACAAGAUUGAAGGGUAUAUUUAAUUUAAAAGUCUGGGUUUAGUGUUUGUGUUGUGCCUAUGGAGCAGAUAGUAGAAAUUUCUUCAAGAUCAGAAACACCAAUUAUAUAAGCCUAUUGAAUGGGAAAAGUAAUUAGAUAUUUAAUAUUUAGCCAGUUAAGAAUUAAACACGAACAUACCCAAUGAAAUUUUCCAGGAAGUAGUGUUGUUUGACGAGGAAUUGGGUAUACAAGUCAUGGCGUCUAGGUUUUUAAAUCCUUUACUGCACUCGCAUGAGUAAUUUCCUGGAGGUGAAUUUACGCACCUCCCAUACUCACAGCGUCCCGGUACUAAAGCGGUGCACUCGUCAAUAUCUGAAACAAACCAAGAAAAGCAUGCUUAAUUCUUAGUAUCGGAGAACAACGUUCAAUUAAUUAUAUGUGUGUAUACGUAUGUAUGUAUGUGUAUUAAGGGAUUUUUUUUGAUAUAUAAGAGGGAUGGGGGAUUACACCAACUUUUCAAUCAUAUUUUUGAAUCUCCAUCGUUCAGUUUGUUGGUCCUUAUAUAUAGAUCAAUUCUGCAAAUUUUCAGCCGAUUUGGUGAUCGUUAAGGUGUCAAACAAGAUUAAAUCAAUGAACGAACCAAAUCUGCCAUACCUGAACCGUUCAUGCUUAUAAUUAUAAAUCGAAGUUCUGAAUGUCUUAACGAUCACCAAAAUUUCUGAAAAUUUACAGAAGUGAUCUACUCAUAUAGAACUACAUAUUAAACGGUGGAGAUGUGAUUUUGUGAUAAAAAAGUUGGUGUAAUCCUCCAUCCCUCAUAUAUGUCAAAAAGAGGAUCCCUUAGUUGAAGGCCCUUGUGUGUGUGUGUGUGAACAGAUACCUUGGCAACCGAGAUAAGGAUUUCCUUCGUAACCUGGCCAGCACCGGCAAAUAUAACCAACCAUCCCAUCGGUGAUGGUACUUCGGUCGACACAGGACGCAUUUCCUGCGCAUAAAUGAGUUGCUUCUUCACAAGACUUAUCCCCGACAGCCCAAUUCACAGCCACUGGAAGCUGCUGCCUUGUGGUUUUCAGUUGCUGAAAACUUGAUUCCGGGUCGAACGUGAAAUUUCCGUCUUUCACAAUGAAGGCGUAGCUGCACGGGUAGUUUGAUUGCCACAGGUCGGUUGCGUUAAAGUCGUUCAUUUUCUCCAUGAGAAUACUAACAUUUUGCAUUCCACCGGGGACGGUAGUUCUGGAGCACCCAACGCCGGAGCAAGACUUGGUCAAAUUGGGAAGAAAAUCCAUACAGAAGGCCGAAUUUAUUCCUGUUUCGUAUCCCACAUCCACACCUUCCCCAAAGACUCCUAAAACGUUACAGCCAAUGAUGAAGAAGUCGUUUCUGGUAGAUAUGGUGUAAGAAGGAGGUAGCUGUAGCACACUCCCGAUGUUUGUAGUAUUACCCUCCUCGUCAAAACAAUCUCGGGCUAUGGCCUGCAGUACUUGUAACUCACCGUCAACAAGAGAAAAGUUAGAAAUGGUGAUGGGAAAGGUGAAGGUACUGUUUGUAAAGUUUGCUGAUGAGGGUGCUGCUGUAGUGGAUUGAUCGCAAGUAACGGUGAACUCUGGUCGCAUCGAACAGAAUUCGCCUACGCCAAACGGGUAUGGGAUUAUGAGAUCACCGCACUUCUCUUGGCAUCCUGGCUUGGCUUGAGGAAGCGCUGUGGACUCUGCAGCUAGAAGAAUUGUGAUCGUUGCAGCCGCUAUGAAAUAGAGCUGCAUAAUAGUAAGCAUCUUCUCAGGUACCAAGGCCAUCAUAUAUUAAGUAUUGCUUGUGUUAGGAGGUAGCUAGGGUAAGUAGUGACUAGCUAGCCUGGCAGAGCCUUUAUAGGCGGGCGAGGAAUACUGAGUCUCCUGUUCGGGGUUGACCGAUAUGGUCACUGUGUUCCUUCCGGUACACAAACGAUGAACUUCAACACAAAAACAAAAACAGAAAAUUUAAGUAUUUGGAUCAAAUCCCAACUUGGUGGGACUGUAUCAUCCCAAAAACAAAAGAACUAGGUUGGACGUAUCCGCGUGAGUUGCAAUAUGAUAAUGCUGCCAGAAACGCGGAACGUUGUGAUUCCGGAAUGCGGUACGGGUACGUGAUACGUUAGUUUUUAAAAACGUGGUACGUUAGGAUAUAUAGUUAAUAUUUAAUUAAAAAUAAACUACAUAUGAUAAAUCAUUUUUACAUGACCACCCCUUAUAAAAACACUAUGAAAACCACAUUAUUAAGAAAGGAUAAAUAGGUAAACUUAUAAAUAACAUAAAGUUAGCAUUAUCUUUUUUGUUUGUUUUGAAAGUAAUAAUAUUAAUCUCUUCCGGAAAAGGGAGGCUAAACCCAAGAAAAUGGUGUAAAUUGCUUAAGAUAGAUCUCAGCAGUUAUUCCCUGAUUUCUCUCUUUGGGUUCUCUAAUACUUGAUUUCAUCUACAGUUUUUCUAGAUUAGUCUAACUAGGACUUCAUUAUGCUUUGGUCAAGGGGAACGCAAGGUUUAGUGAUCGGGAUCGUGAACGCACCGCGAUUGGGUUCGUCCGAUCCGGAACGCAUGAUCGCUGGACAGUUGAGCGUUUCCGGUAACUCUGGACUAUGAUGCCUAAAGUCAGUCAGUGGUCACUGUUAAUGAGUUCAACUUCAUGCCAAGCACGAAUAUACAGGAAGACUAGCUAGUAUUGUGCGUCUGUGCUAAGGAAAUAUAACAGUAUAACCCAGAACGUACACUACUGUGGUUAUAGUAAGUCACUCAUCCCGAUAAUUUCACGGAGGGUAAAUAUCUAUCCAAUUAAUCUAAUUGGUAAAAAUCUAUUCUAAUUAGCUUGUGGGAUAGGCUUGAUCAAGUGUUGAGGGUUGGUUAGAAAUUGUGCUAGGAUCAAGUUAGAUCAGUGGUUUGAUUUUCCUCCGAUUUAAUCAAAAUAAUACAAUUGGAGUGGGAAAAUCAAUAUCCCAUGACUCAUGUACCUGGUUGUUGUUUGACUAGUUGCAUAUAUAGACAUAUCGUCGUUAGCAUCAACGUUACUUCACGCCAUCUGUCAUCACUAUACAUCCGUUUAAGCUCUAAUUAUUUUUGAUAUUAAGUUAAACAAUAACAAUAUUCCGCAAGCAACACGGUAUUUCAACGCCAAUCAAUAUCCAACAAGGUACUGCUCUGUACUGAAUUCUCAAUUGCACGAAUUCAACUAUGAUCGUUUUCUUCACAAAAAAAUAAAAAAAUAUGAUCGUUUAAGUCUAUAAGAUUCGUCCACAUGAAUCACAUUAAAACUCUGUUUUUACGUGGGAAUCGGCUUUGGACUCAAAUACUAGUUGGGUACUUGGGUUGCUGAGAGCCAUAUAUGGUUUAUAAUAUUCCACGACUAGUGCAUGGGUUGCGCGCCGCCUCUUCCCGAUCCAUAUAUCGUUGUCCAAAAUAAAAUAUCACAGGCCAAACAAAAGUUCCAUGGUAUGUCUGUUCCAUGCCUUCUCUACAAUUUUCUGAUAAUUUUCCAUUAGAAGGACAAGUCUCCGUCUAUAGAUAUGCCAAACAAAUUGUAGAGAGAAGGGAGAGAUGAGCAGUGUAGAGAGAAGGCAGAAAAUUCUGGUUGCUCCGGCGGCGCGCAGGGACGGAACCAGGAAUCGAAAAUGGGGUGGGCUAAUUUUCACACAGCACACUUACAAAAUAUUUUUUGAGGUUUGGAACCAGUGGGAGGCUCAUCCUCACGCCUUUAUAUUAAAAACAUAUGAGGGGGACAUAAAACCAAAACCUCAUAAAUUGAAAACUACAACGAAAAUGAUUGUAAGAAAAUAACAAACAAUAACCUAUAACUAUCUAAAUCGUACCCUCCGGGUUCCACUAACUUCAAACUCCUGAAUCACAGAAUCAUUAUCAACACUAUCAGCAAACUCUUUUUCAAUGUAGAGAACCAUCAAAUCAUCAAGAAAAUCAUCUUCCAUCUUAUUUCGAAGUCUACUUUUUAUGAUGUUCAUAGAUGAAAAAGCUCUCUCUGUUGUGGCUGUAGAAACUGGUAGAGUCAACACAAGACAAAUCAACCUAUAAAUCAUAGGAAAGAAUGCAGACUUUUUUGAUUCAACUAACCGCCGAGACAAAUCAGAUAUAGAAGAUGUGUUGACAAAUCUUGGAUCAGCUAGAAUAUUUGCUACAAAAAACCCACACUCCAUAUCUAGAGUUGACAAAUCAUAUUCUCAGGAUAAAACUUCAAAGCAAGAUUGCAAACAUCUUCUGAUUUGAAUGCAACAAAAUUAUCACGAGGAUCCAAUGUAGCACUAAGAACAAGGAGCUCUAAUGAAUCAUCUGGAAGUCUAUUACAGCAUUAAGUAUGUUGACCCGAUAAUAAUGCUCAUUUGUAAUAUUCUGUUCACAAGCUCUAACACCUUUCUUGUAAGGUAAUGACAUAUCAGGCAUAAUAAUAUCAUUCUCACAACAAAUGAUGCAACCCUUGUAAUCAAAGCAUCCCAACCAUUCUCUCUCAACUCUUGAAGUCUUCUUUUUGCUAAUUUUAGGAAGGUUAGAGCAUUCAAAAUAUCUAUGGCUUUUUUUGCAAUGAUUGACAAAGAAAAUCAGUUAUCUUCAUGACAGAUUGCAUCAAAAGCAAGCAAAAGACAAAUUAAAACGCUUCAUAGCCUUACCCACAUUCUUUGCUUCUGCUUGUAUCUUUUUUGGUCCAUUUGCAGCCAGUUCUGCAAGAGUUGUUCGGGUAGCUCCAAAUAGAUUAAUCAAACUUGUUAUAGAGCGAAAAUGUGAACCCCAACGAGUUGCCCCUGCUCGUUGCAAAGUGCAAGCCUGAUUAGCCCCUGUACCUGUUUGAAGUUUGCCAGCAGCCACUAAUUCUGCAAUCUCUUCUUCUCUGGUAGCUUUCAAAGCUGAAUGUCUCUUUGCAAAAGAAUCUACAAAAUUCACAACGAAGCUCAAUGUACCAAAAAAUGUAUAAAUAUCAUCCACCCCUUUGGCAGCGGCAUUUAAAGCUAAUUGCAAGCGAUGAGCAAAGCAAUGCACAUAAUAUGCAUACGGACACUCUUCACGAAACAAAGCUUGUAAACCAUUANNNNNNNNNNNNNNNNNNNNNNNNNNNNNNNNNNNNNNNNNNNNNNNNNNNNNNNNNNNNNNNNNNNNNNNNNNNNNNNNNNNNNNNNNNNNNNNNNNNNNNNNNNNNNNNNNNNNNNNNNNNNNNNNNNNNNNNNNNNNNNNNNNNNNNNNNNNNNNNNNNNNNNNNNNNNNNNNNNNNNNNNNNNNNNNNNNNNNNNNNNNNNNNNNNNNNNNNNNNNNNNNNNNNNNNNNNNNNNNNNNNNNNNNNNNNNNNNNNNNNNNNNNNNNNNNNNNNNNNNNNNNNNNNNNNNNNNNNNNNNNNNNNNNNNNNNNNNNNNNNNNNNNNNNNNNNNNNNNNNNNNNNNNNNNNNNNNNNNNNNNNNNNNNNNNNNNNNNNNNNNNNNNNNNNNNNNNNNNNNNNNNNNNNNNNNNNNNNNNNNNNNNNNNNNNNNNNNNNNNNNNNNNNNNNNNNNNNNNNNNNNNNNNNNNNNNNNNNNNNNNNNNNNNNNNNNNNNNNNNNNNNNNNNNNNNNNNNNNNNNNNNNNNNNNNNNNNNNNNNNNNNNNNNNNNNNNNNNNNNNNNNNNNNNNNNNNNNNNNNNNNNNNNNNNNNNNNNNNNNNNNNNNNNNNNNNNNNNNNNNNNNNNNNNNNNNNNNNNNNNNNNNNNNNNNNNNNNNNNNNNNNNNNNNNNNNNNNNNNNNNNNNNNNNNNNNNNNNNNNNNNNNNNNNNNNNNNNNNNNNNNNNNNNNNNNNNNNNNNNNNNNNNNNNNNNNNNNNNNNNNNNNNNNNNNNNNNNNNNNNNNNNNNNNNNNNNNNNNNNNNNNNNNNNNNNNNNNNNNNNNNNNNNNNNNNNNNNNNNNNNNNNNNNNNNNNNNNNNNNNNNNNNNNNNNNNNNNNNNNNNNNNNNNNNNNNNNNNNNNNNNNNNNNNNNNNNNNNNNNNNNNNNNNNNNNNNNNNNNNNNNNNNNNNNNNNNNNNNNNNNNNNNNNNNNNNNNNNNNNNNNNNNNNNNNNNNNNNNNNNNNNNNNNNNNNNNNNNNNNNNNNNNNNNNNNNNNNNNNNNNNNNNNNNNNNNNNNNNNNNNNNNNNNNNNNNNNNNNNNNNNNNNNNNNNNNNNNNNNNNNNNNNNNNNNNNNNNNNNNNNNNNNNNNNNNNNNNNNNNNNNNNNNNNNNNNNNNNNNNNNNNNNNNNNNNNNNNNNNNNNNNNNNNNNNNNNNNNNNNNNNNNNNNNNNNNNNNNNNNNNNNNNNNNNNNNNNNNNNNNNNNNNNNNNNNNNNNNNNNNNNNNNNNNNNNNNNNNNNNNNNNNNNNNAAGGUUCCAUGGAGACUUGUCCUUCUAAUAGAAAAUUAUCAGGCAAGUUAAGUUAAUUAGUUCAUGCCUGUAAUUACUUGGCCGUGAGAUUGUCACAGUGGUCCACUGUGCUAAAAAUCAAGGUUCAGUAAUAAAAUCUUUAAAGUAAAGCAACAAUAGUGAAAAUUGAAAACAUAACUAGAGGUUGAAGAAGAAGAAACAAAGAGAAGAUGGGUAGCAAUUUUUGUAUGAGAAAAUGAUGCGAAUGUUGAUGAUAAGUAAAGCGGUACGUAUAUUCCGGAUUCGGCCUUUUGUAGUCGUAGGCGGGAAGUUUCCGGACAACUUCACUCUCUGCUCGAGCUAGCUUUCUAUUCCAGACUGGGUCGUCGUCAAUUACUGGAUUUUAAUAAAACACAAACCAUAUAUAUAUAGAAAGACUGAGUCUUCUGUUCUCGGUUGACCUUUGGUCACAGUGUUCAUUGCAGUACAUGCAUGAACUUUUGAUUAUCUCCAACUUCCACACAAAAACAAAAACAGAAAAAUUCAAGUGGUAUUGAAUCCCAACUUGGACAUUAGUCGACACUGAAGUGAUGCCAACCACUCAUCCCUAUAAUAAUUUCAUGGAGGGGAAAUAUCUAAUUAAUCUAGUUGGCUCUUGGGGUUUGCUCGAUCAAGUGGUGAUGGUGGUUAGAAAUUGUGUUGGGAUUAAGUCAGAUCAGUGGUUUGAUUAUCCUCCAUUUAAUAAUAAAAAUAAACUUUAAUCUAAUUAGAAUCCGAAAAUCAAUGUCUCACAACUCAUGCACUUGGUAAUUGUUAAUUUGAUCAACACUACUUGACGAGCUUGACUGGUGUCAGCUGUCAUGGCCAAAAUGUUAUCUAAUCUAAUGAAGACUGCAAAUCUGACCAAAAUAAUAAUAAUUAAGAUUGCAAUUGAAUGACUAAUAUAUAUGAUUUCAUGAGAAAAUAUGAUUGAGGUCCUCUCUCAUAUAUAUGAGGGUUGAUUUGAGUCGUAAGUUUUGACUUUUGAGAGUGCCGAGCUCACAAUUGAGGACCUCUCUCAUAUAUAUAUAUGGGUCACACUAAAUGUGUUAAUUAAGUUCUCUUUUUUUCUUUUUUAAUAUUAAGUUGAACAACAACUAUCUCAUCCUGUGCAUAAUCUAAUUGAAGGCUACAUAUACCAAUAUAUUGGUGGCUACACCUUAAACCGGUGUGUUAGGUGCCUUUAUUUAGGGUCUUGUGCGAUUAUUUUCAAGUCGAUCGAGUCUUAGUCUUUAGAUAUAUUGUCUGCCUUUUUAGAAAUUAAAAAAAAUUUAGAUUGUUUUAAUUUUUCAGGAAUUGAUGUAGUGGUGUCUUUGGGCAACAAACGAUAUGAGAUGUCCUCUGAUCCCACGUCUCCAACUUGAUCUUGUAAGGUAUUUCUAAGUUAUAAAAAAAGUGUUGGUUCACGAUUUAUUUUUCAUCUCAUAUGUACACACAUUUUUGAUACUUUAUCUAAUCAUCUUCCACAGCUACGCGAUAUUUCAACAUCAAUCAUUAUCCAACUUGGUAAUGUUUAAUGCUCAAUUUCACAAAUUCAAUUAUGGUUGUUUAAGUCUAGGGUGAUGUUAUUAACACACUCUAUAUAUAUGAUGAGAGUCAAUCAUGAACAAUAUUAUAAAUAACAAGUUUGUAAAUAAAAUUAAAAUAUAUGGAUAUAAAAACAGAUGAGGUGUGUUAAUAACAUUAACAAAAAAAAUAUAUAAUACAAAUGUAUUAGAGCUUACCGCACGUAAAACGCGCUUGACAUCCGUGUCACAGGAGUUUUAAAUUUACUCCCUAAUUUUAUGUAAUUAGAGGAAAAAAAUCAGAAAUUUAGAGUGGUUGAGUGUCCAAUUUUACUCUUUGGCGUCCUUAGAAAUUUCAUAACUUGGCCCAAUUCACACAAGAAUUCCUCUAAUGGACUAGAGGAGCUUUCACGAGAACAUCACUACCAUUACCACACCAGGAUCUUGGUCUUGCCUGCUGAGAGCAGCAAAUGCAACAGCUGCACAGCAUUUCCAGUUCCUACAUUUCUCUGGUAGUGCACAAGUCCAAACGCAUCACCCUUCUGCAUCACCUUCGUCACGCGACAGUUUUUGGUGCUCAUCAUCUCCAAGAACAUCUGCAGUAGUUGAAGUUGGUGAUCCCAGCAAGUCCUCAUCAACAGAAUUCUCUUGAAAUAACAGCUGAUGCUUAAUCAUAUCGUAAAUAGGACUAAAUCCUUUAUAUAAACACUCUAGCUCCAUUGCUACUUCUCUCAUGGUAGGCCUUUCGUCACCUUUUACUCUCAAACAUCUUGUUGCCAGAUACGCCACAUUUUCUAACACAUUUCCAUCAUUCAUAUUCGCACCAUCGACCAUCUCAUUGUCUAGAAUUUCAUUCAAGCGACCCUCUUCCACCGAAGAAACAAACAAUUUGGAAAGGUUUCUCUCUGCUUCUGGCCUAGCAAAAGAAAAUGCUUUUUUACUGUCAGUAGCUCCACCAGGACAACUCCAAAGCUAUAGACGUCGCUUUUUUCUGUAAAUUCAUCGGAAUGAAAAUAUUCAGGGUCCAAGUAUCCGAGUGUGCCUUGCACAAAAGUUGUCAUUUGCUUUUCAUCAAGAGGUCUAAUUAGUUGUGAAGCUCCAAAAUCAGCUACUUUCGCGUUGUAGUUUUCAUCUAGAAGUAUGUUCAUUGUCUUCACAUCUCUAUGUAAUAUUGGCAUCGAGGUUGAGGAGUGUAAGUAUGCCAAUGCACCUGCAGUUUCUGUUGCUAUCUUCAAUCGUAAAUCCCAAAGAAGUGGCGGUGAUGAUCUUUUUCCCCCUGUAUCUCCAUGAAGGUGCUUAAAAAGGGUGCCAUUAGUGAUGAACUCGUAAACGAGUAUAGGCACUGAUGUCUCCAAGCAACAACCUAAUAACAUCACCACAUUUAUGUGAUUGAUUUGUGAAAGAAUAACCACUUCAUUAACAAACUGCUGGCUGGGAGUGUUGUUGGUUGGGGUAGUGUAGCUGCUGUGAGAUGAGGCACCAACUUUGGGCUUCUUUAUAGCAACCGUUCUGCUAUCCUGCAACAUUCCCUUGUAAACUAUCCCACAACCUCCUUCACCAAGGACUCUGCUUUCGUCGUAAUUGUUUGUGGCCUUCUCAAGCUCUUCUGCAGUAAAUAUUUUGGCCAUCUCCACUCCAUGACGACUAGCAAGCUGUUGUAACAACAAACCACCAUUUUUUUCGAAGUACUUAUCUUUCAAAUUUAUGGACUCUCGUUUCUUCAUUCCCCAAUAUAUCGAUCCUAAACCACCAACCACUAUCAUAAAGAGUACUGAUGCAGAGAUACCUGCACACAUUUGAACAUUUAAAUUAACAUAACCAAUUCAAGGGUGUUUAGGCCUAUAUGGCCUCACUAGCUCAUUUGCACAUUAUUCAUAUGGUGAUUGUGAUCUCAUAGUUAGCUUAACGUAUCUAAAAAGAUCGAUUUAUUGAAAAGAUACCAACAAAAUUGAUAAAAACUACUGUGAUCAUAUCUCUUAAGUUAAAAACAAUUGAUAUAUACGUACGUACCCAAAGAAAUUGAAACCCGGAGAGAGGUCUUCAAUUGAUUGGGAACACAUUUAUACUGUCCUGGUAGAUUUACGCAGUGUUCUUCUAUCCUACAGGGCUUUGAGCUCUGGCAUUCAUUGAUAUCUGAACAAAAAAUUAGGAAAAGUAUGCAUUCAAAUAUCACACAAAUUAAGCAGUAUAACUAUCAAUAUAUUUAUAUUGAAGCUAAAUACCUUGACAACCGUCUGGAAGAUAUGGAUUCCCUUGGUAACCCGGCAAGCACCGGCAAAUGUAGCCUAGAGGCCAUCCAUCAUAUGAUUCAUAUCCACCCUCACUGACAUUGGACCGAUUUACGCAGAUGCUAUUUCCCUUGCAAGCAUAAUUUCCCUUGUUCUUUUGAGCUUCUUCACAUGGCACAUCCCCAAUUUGCCAGUUAACCACCGUUGUCGUUGGGACCGGCAGACUUCUGUACAUUCGGAGUUCGACAUAACUUAUAUUUGGGGAGGAUGAGAAGUAGCCUUGUUCCGCAAGGAAUCCAUAGUUGCACUCUAACUCUAGGUGUUUACUGGACCAGUUUCCCCAUAUAGGGACAUGGACCCUAAUUAUACUGAUGGUUAACAAAGACUCUACAGUGAAAUUUUGCAGUCCACUCGGGAUUGAAGCUUGCGAACAGCCAUUGCCAGAGCAAGAGGUGCCAAGACUAUCAUCACAUUGCGUUACAGCGAAGCCGCUUUUGUUGUAGGCUUGAUCUUCAUAUGGGGUCAGCAUCCUGCCAGAGGGACGAUAUUGGUAACCUCGAUAUUUUGCAAAAGUGGCACAGCCGACGGCAAAGAAGAUGUUCUUGGUGGAAAAUGCAAAAGGAGAGGGCAACCGUAGCCACUGGUUCAGGGUCUCUCCUCCGCCGCAGUCUCUGUAUACCGAGGACCGGACACGCAACUCAGGACUGUCGAGGUUUAUGUCAGUAACAAUGAGAUCAGUCAAUGGUGAUGUUGGUGACGAUGAGAAAGGACUGUUGAGUUUUGCUACUAGGCCGGCAUUGUCUUCAGUACUAGUACAGUUGAUAGAAAACUCAUCUCGCAGGUAACAACCUUCAACAAUGCCAAAUGGAUAUGGGAUUUUCACAUCACCGCAGCGAUCGGGGCAGUUAGGCAAGGCUUGUGCAGAUGCUGUUCUAGUUGUUGCUGCUGCUAAUACAACCACCACCAAUAUUGGUACUACUACUACUGCUCCUAAAAAUGUAUAAAAGCGAAUGAUCGGAUUAUUAGUUUCAAUGGCAGAGUUAGCAGAUAUUUAUAUUAGGGAAGCUAGCUUAUAUACAUACCUGAAUUCAUCGCUUCGAGUUAGAUGAAUCUUCCACUCUUCUGCCUUCUAGAUUUGCUAAAUCAGAAAUGGUGAGCAGAGAGAUCUCCCAAAUAUAUAUGACUUUUAUUGUUCACACAAAUUACGGGCAAUAACAUAAUAUAUUUCAAUAGUUUUCUCUUGAAAUUGCAUUGAUUUUGCUGAAAUGAUUCUGUUUAAUUUUUUUUUUUCUCCAUCGAUGUGUUAAUUCCACCCUAAGCCCGCUAAUUUGAUUUGUUUCCUUCAUUGAUUUGUUAAGCUUUUUUUUUUUAAUAGAUUCAUUGAUUUGUUAAGGAGUAAAAUUUUUAAAUACACACCUCUAAUCUCUUAAUACACACCUCUAUUAUUUUAUAUUUCACAUCAGAUUUUAUAGAUAUGUUUAAUUACAAAAACAUCCAUCAAUUAUUAAGGGAAAAAAAAAAAAAAANNNNNNNNNNNNNNNNNNNNAUUUGGUUUUUUUUUAUCAACUUAGUUUUUAUCUUGCAGGCUAAAAACUAGUUUUUAUGCUAUUGUACUUCUACUACUUUCUUAACUUUGAAAAAAUUAUGUAUGUUCAAUAUUUUUUUUUUCCCUUCAAAUUCUAGCCGAUUGAUGUCAUAUUGGAGAUUUAGAGUUCGAAUAUAAUAUUGCUCUUUUGAUUAUAAAUUAAAAAAUAUCAAGAAAAAAUUUCUAACCCGAUAAAAAAAAUCUAACAGAAAAUAAAAGAGAAUACGUGAAGAGAGUUGUGAAAUAGUAAAUAUAUAAUAAUUAUAUUAAAUAACAGAUUAUUAUUAAGUUUCGAUAUUAAGGGUAUUUUAGGCAGUUUGGAAUGUGUAUUUAGUAUAAUAUUGAAAUAAAAAACUAGAUGAGUAGUGUAUUAAGUAAGGGGUGUGAAUUAAGAGAUUAAGGGUGUGUAUUUAAAAUUUCUCUUUGUUAAGCUUGUUGAUUCUAGUGAUGAAGUUUCACAAGAAAUCAGUGCUAUACAUAUAAAUUGCUAAAUUUGUUCUACAUUGAUGUUAAGCAAGAAAUUAGUGUAAACACUGUACGUGCCAAUGCCGGUGAGGUUCAAAUCUUGAGAAUACCAAAUAAAGAUCGAGCUUGGCUCGUUCUUGAUUUAUUGCUGUUAUGUAAAUCAAGAACAUGGUCGUGAUCAAGUCGAUAUAAUAUGAAAUGAUGGAGUUCGUCACUAGCCACAUUAGUGAUUUUCAAUUAAGUAUUUUUUUUUUAUUUUGGUUUUCAAAUUGACCUUUAGAUUCGACAUUUAAAAAUCAUUAUCUCAAAUACUUAUUGUUAGAACUAUAUAAAAUUCUUGAUGUACGUACGAGAUGUUUAUUGCUUACAGCUUAAUUUUUUUUGCCCUAAACUUGAGAACCGUGUUGUAUUACGCGUGAGGUGUAGUGUACAUAUGAGUAUAUGAACCGAUUCAAUGGUGCCACUCCAAAAGAAGAGUUGAGAAAAGGAAGGAAAAGGUAGGAGUAGAACUUUCAAUUUCCAAAACAAAAGUCAGUAUGGUUGGGUCUUGGGUGUCCAUAUAAUUUUGAUACUUCUCAUGGGCUUUGUUUGGAGAUCCACACAAAGUGAAAUUCAAAUAAAUUUGUUCAUCUAUGCCCCCCUCCCUUCUUUGUCUAGAAUAUGGAUUGGAGGUAAUUGACAACCCCUCUAUCAACUUGCAAUGCCUUCACAAGAAUGUCACUACCAAUACUUGGCCUGGACCCAAAGACAGCACUUGCAAGUAUUACCACACCAGGAUUUUGGCUGCUCAGAGCAGCAAUAGCAACAGCAUUGCCACUUCCCACAUUUCUCUGGUAGUGAACUAGACCGAUUGGGAAAACAAACACAUCACCCUUGUGCAACACCUUGGUGAUGUGACGAUUCUCGGGGCUCGACGUUACGAACCCAACUUCAAGGCUGCCUUCAAGGAGGGUCAAGACUUCGGAGGCACGAGGAUGAGUGUGGGGAGGGUUGAUGCCUGAUGAUGCAUAGUCGAUGCGCACUAGUGAAAUGCCAAGGGUGUUGAGUCCUGGAAGUUGGGAUACAGUCACUGGUGUCACACUAGACCCUAUUGGGUUUGAUGUAUUGGCUGCUAAGUGAAGCCCACCAAAUGAGAAGUCGUUGGCUUCAACUGCCUUGGGGUCCUUGCAAGCUAGGCCAUUCAUCAGCACUGCCAAAUUAACUCGUAAGUUGGUUUUGUUUGAUUUAAAUUUCUAAUUCAUUCAACAAAAGAUGAAAUUACUGUACAAAGAUUCAUAAUGUAAAUGUGUAUGCAAAAUAUCUAAUUAGAUUUGGAAUAAAUUGUGGUAAUUUUAGAAUUUAUAUCGCAAAAUUAUAAUGAAAGUAUUUGUAGAAGUGUCUCAAAAGACUCUAAAAGAACAAUAUACAUAAGAGCAAAGCGAGGUAUGUACUACUAUGUGUGAUUCUGCGUUUUCUUUUUAUGUUGUUCUUGAGAAUUAUUUGUGGAUGUGCACUACAACACAGUCAUACUACAUGGUAGGCUGUUCAACCUAACACAUAAAUUGUUAGCUAUGCUACCAUGCAAGGUAAUUUGUAUAUAUCAUCCAUUUUAAUCUUUGUAGAUAUAAUAGUAAACUUUGAGAUAAAAUUCUAUUAGCUUCAACCAAGAAUUGUUAAGAUUGAAAAGAAGAUAAUCAUGAAGGUACCUCCACUUUCUGGGUCUGCCACACAGAAAUCUUGAAGUGGACUAUUAUCAGAUGCAGUGGCAACCGACAAAGAGAAAGAUAAUAGGAGCCCAAAGAAGAUAUUAUAAGUGACCAUUUGAUAAAUAGGGUAAUCCUUUUCUAUGAAAAAAAAAUCCAACAGAAGCUGCUGAAUUUGUGGAAUAAUGAUAUAAAAGCUGUGGGAAUAGCUGUUUGUAGCCUUGUAUAUACAAGAAAACAACAAGAAAGGAAUUGCAGAAGGGUCUAAAACCAAAAGCUGUAUAUUAUAUAUGCCGUUCAAGCACUGAGAUUAUAUAUAGCCAGUUUCCGGCCUCAGUAGGAAAAGCAAUAGUAUAAUUGCUUGAGCUAGCUCAGGGAAGCAUGCAUUUCUAAAUUUGAGAGCUUAGCUUAAGUGGUCGGCCCUGCAUUUGUUUAAUUUGGCCUACCAGUGACCAUGGUGUUUAUAUAUAAGGGACAGAGUUAUAUUUCUCUCCCAUGCGCCACUUUGAGGUUACACUAUUAUAGCUUUAAGUCUUUAACAAGUAACAACAUGAUAGAUAGAAGUGGGUGUGCCCUUAUAUUGAUUAGAAGUCAAAUGAAUGUAAUAAGAUUUCAGCUUCAAUUACAUUGCUAAUUGAGCUGAAAUAACACUAACAAAUCUCUGAACUCAUCCAAAACAAUUGUAUGAUCGAACUGUCAAUUGAUUCAAACUUAUUAGAUAGAGCUGAAUCCAGUAAUGAAAUCUAAAAUCUUGACUGUAUGUUGUAGAUUGCUUCCUUAUCCACUAAGAAAGCCUUUGUAAGAAUGUCGCUAGAGAUGUGAGGCCUUGCUCCGAAUACUGUGUUGGCAAGGGUAAUAGUUCCUGGAUUUUGGCUGCUGAAAGCUGAAUAGGCUACUGCUAUAGUAUAUCCAACAUUAUAUUGGAAAUGCACAAGACCUUCCGGGAACACAAACACAUCACCUGGCUGAAGUAUUUUUGUAAUGAGUUUGUUUUCGGGGUUGGAGGUGACAAAACCCACUUGGAGGCUUCCUUCAAGGACUGUCAAGAUUUCAGUCGCUCUAGGAUGAGUGUGUGGAGGAUUAACACCCCAUGCAGCGAAAUCGAUGCGUGCAAUGGAGAUGCCAAAGGUGUUGAGUCCUGGAAUUUGGUUCACCCUAACAGAGGUCACACGUGAACCAAAUACGGUUGAUGUGUUGCCUGCUAUGUCAAGUCCACUAUAGAAGAAGUCAUUGGCUUCAACAAGAUUAGGGUCCUUGCAGACAAUGCCAUUCACUGCACCUGAAAUUAGUCGUGACAAAAAAUACAUUACAACAUAACUAAAUAAUAGUGGAAAGAAGUUUGAUUGUUGUACUAAUUACCUAAGCGUGUUGGCUGCGGUACACAGAAAUCUUGCAGACUCUCAGCUGCGAAAGCAAUGGAGCAAGUCAUGGCUAGGAGUAAUGCUAGAAACAGAAGUUGAGAGGCCAUUUCUGGAUUUAAUUCUCACUAGACAGAGAUGGACAAAAUUUGCUUAAACUUUGUAAGUAAGAACAAACUCAAUUGUAGACUGAGACCACCAUAUGAGCCUUCCUUUAUAGAUCUAAACCUUGGAACCGUGUAUAAAGAUUUGUAUCACUGGAAGCUUGUUUCACUUAUCUUGUCUGUUUUAUAUAUAUACCUUAAUGUGCUCUUAUUAGUCACAUAUCUUGAACUGCAAAGUUGGUAGUUGGCUUGGAAAUUUGCUGCUUCAUUUGUAAUGCAAAGAUUUAAGUCAUUCAUAACUUGUGCUGUAGCUAUUUUUUGUAUAGGCAUAUAGUACCCAGCUGGGAUCUUUACAGUGUAAACCAACUAUGUGAGGGUAAUUUUGUUUAUAAAGUAAAUUAAUAGAGAACUGGUUUCUGCUCUCUAAUAAUUUUGUACAAGUAACCGAGACAAUUUCCAGACUUAUGAUUUGGAUUUUAUUCAAUUUUGUGUCUUUCUUGCUCUAAACUCCUACCUGACGAAAGUAUCCAAAUUUUUGUUCUGUUUUUUCAUUUUCUGUUUUGGGAAGAGGAAGCAAAUGUUUUUGUGUAAAAAACUCUAGGGGAGAAUUGCAGGAAUUAAGAAAAAACAAGGCAUUUUAGAGAAACAGAAUCAAACAAAUUCAUAAGUAACAAUUAUUACAUGGAUCACUAAGUGAUCAGAAACAAAUAAUAGUCUUGAAUAGAAGAAUCAAACGAAAAAUCAGACUGAACAUGAUUGUACUGGUAAAUGAACUGUAACAGAUUUCUACACACUUUAAGAGUAAAUAAACCGUAUGUCAAACCCCUCAAAAGGUUCCAAGUUGGCUAGAACUUGGACUGGAAAUCAUAGAUUGUGUCCUUGUCAACCUGGAAUGCCUUUGCAAGAACAUCAGCAGAAAUGGCAGGCUUUGAUCCAAAGACUACAUUAGCAAUGCUAAUAACACCUGGAUUUUGGCUGCUCAGAGCUGCAAUGGCGACUGCAUUAACCUUUCCAACGUUGUGCUGGAAAUGCACAAGUCCCACUGGGAAUACAAACACAUCACCCUUCUGAAGCACCUUUGUGAUAAGUCUGUUUUCGGGGUUGGAGGUGACAAAACCCACUUGGAGGCUCCCUUCAAGGACUGUCAAGAUUUCAGUCGCUCUAGGAUGAGUGUGUGGAGCAUUGAUACCCCAUGGUGCAUAGUCGAUACGAACAAGGGAGAUGCCAAAAGUAUUGAGUCCUGGAAUUUGGGCUACAUUAGCAGGGGUCACCCUUGAACCAGCAGGGUUGGAUGUGUUGCCUGCUAAGUGAAGUCCACUGAAGAAGAAGUCAUCUGCAACAACAAGCUUGGGGUCCUUGCAUACAUGUCCAUUCACUGGUACUGAAAUUUGAUCAUGUCAAAAAUGCAUCAGAAGCAUUACUAACUAGUGCUAAUUCAUUAAUAUCAAGUUAUCAACUAUGUACUUCUAUUCACAUAAAAAAAAAAAACUAAUGUACUUCUACUUGGGAAAUUGAAUCACAUAUUUUUAAGAAUAUUAUUGUAGAGGUUACCUGAGGUUGAUGGAUCAGCCACACAGAAAUCCUGAAGGGAACUUGGGUCGGAUGCUAAAGCAAUGGAAGCUGUUAUAGCAAGGCAUGCUAACAAAAGAAACUGCGAGGCCAUUGGAACUUUGGAUUUUGUUUCUUUGUUUGGAAAUACUUUGUUUAAGCUUGGAAAGCAAGGAAACUUGAUUGUGGAAUGAGACCAGCAUGUUUCUGUGUAUUUAUAGGGAGAGACCAUGGAGCCUUAGUGGUGUGCCGAACAUGUCUACUCUGGUAAUGUGUAUGAAAAGUUCUUCGAUUACUGACAGUUUGUCAUCACUUACCUGGGUUUAUUUUCAGGGGCCGGCUAUUGUCGCCAGCAUUGAAGUAGUUUCUUACCCUAUAUGACAUGAAGCCAGGUCAAACUUCUUUAGCACCUCAAUUUGUUGCUGCUUCUUUUUCUUUUUCUUCUCCUUUAUUUUGAAUAAAGGGCUGGUUUGGAUCAAUUUGAAAUUUGAAACCAUUAAAUAUAGUUAUCAUUGUCUAAUUCUUGCCUGCAAUUGCUGUAUGGAUUCAUAUUUAUGGCUCAUUCUAUAAAAGACGAUAUCUGCUGGUAGCAUCAGAUAACAUUUAUCCUAUCAGUAGUUAAAUAUUCGGACUGUGAUGGUGUCUUUCUUAGAAAUUCUAGUUUGGACUAAAUGUGGACUCAUUCAAUUUUGAUGUAUGAACACACAAAUCCGACACUUGAUUCCUUAAAGAGUCCUAAACUUCUCUGUCAAUAUCCUUAGUAUGAGAUCUGAUACCUACAAUCUUCUUCAUAUAUUAAUAUAAAUUGUGUUAUGUUUUUUCUUUUCUAUUUUGUUAACACGAAAAGCAUGCAUAAAAGUCGGUUUUCUCUUGCUAUUGCUAAUUCUUAACAAUAGGCCUUGUUACUUUGCUAGAAGCUUAUAAGUAUUACAAGCCUCCAUUUGUAACGCAGACUUUUCCUCCAAGAACUGGGAAGUUUACAAAUCAGUUCCAGAACCCCUAGUAUCUAAAGCCCUUUCAUAUAUAAAUGCCAAACAUUGAGGUCCUUAUCCAUUUUCCUUUAAUUAGUCCAUAUCUCUAUAAAAUCAGUAUUUUGGUAAGCAUGGUGGUUGUCCAUCGGUUCAAAAAAUUUCUAUGCAGGUUGACAGCUAGCUUUACAUUGUAGAAUCCUGUUGUAUCACAUCAAGAGUGAGUAUAUAUGUAGUUUCCUGGCCUGUUGAUCUAAUAAUUUUUCUUGCCUUGCUAAAGACAUGAAUACUGAUGAUAGUAUGACUGGUUAGGCAGAGAAUACGGCACUACAUAAAUUGAAAGCACAUCAUUCCACAACGUAAAGCCCGUUUUAUUGAUGCAUACGUUUUAAGAAUGAAGAAUAAUCCGUGGAGCAGUGUGUAUUGGUUGCAUGAUAUGCUAUGGAUAUCAUAUCAGUAAGGAAAUGUAACUGCUGGGAGUACUGGCAGUAAACGUCACAGCAAAAUCUAAAUAUUGUUACAUACAUAUAUAUUUAUAGAGGAUCAGAAGCUUAAAGUGCGGACGUCCAUUCAUUCUCCACCCCAGAAGACUCCAGCAGCGUCCCCGACCACUUUCCCUCCCCGGCGAGUCCGUUUUUUUCCAGUUUGCCGGCGAGAUCGACUUUGUUUGAAGUUUUGGGUGAUCUCGCCGGAAAACUGGAAAAGAACGAACUCACCGGGGAGAGAAAGUGGUUGGGGACGCUGCUGGAGUCUUCUGGGGUGGAGGCGCGCCCUCGCCGGCGCCGGAGGGUGGAGAACGGACGGACGUCCGCACUUUAAGGCCUGUGCGGACGUCCGCUCCUGAUCCGGCCUAUAUAUAUAUAUAUAUAUAUAUCCCUUCUAUAAUGUUGAUGAUCAAAGCUCAAGCUGCAAUAGUACAAUUAUUGAGCAGAUGUUUUAUCUUUUGGCCAUGCCCUUCAUGGGGCUGAAAUACCAUUAAUGGAAAGUUUAUCCUUUCUGUUAUAUAUACUGAGACAGUACCACACAGUUCUGUUAAUAAAAGUUCCAUGUGAACAUCUUGCAACGGUUUUUAAGUUUUUCACCAUCAAAAGUCUUUUGAAGGAUGCAUGUUGUCAUAAAAUUACUCAUCGAUCUUGAAUGAAAAAAUAGACGCAAUAAUAUAUGGAUCAACCUUGAUUUAGAGUACUUCGAGUACAGAAUCAAACAAACAAUUGACUAACAUGGUUGCACUGAUAAAUGAAUCAUAACAAUUUGCAAUACAUCGAGACACUUUAACAUGAACUGGAUUCUGUAAAUCAUUUUAAAUUGAUCGGAUCUGGUUCUGCAUAUUGGAGUCUAAAACUUUGACUGAAAGUUGUAGACUAUGCUCUUAUCCACUUGGAAAGCCUUUGCAAGAACACCGGCAGAAAUGUCUGGCUUUGAUCCGAACACUGCGUUGGCAAGGGUAAUAGCACCUGGAUUUUGGCUGCUGAGAGCUGCAAUGGCAACUGCAUUACCAGUACCAACAUUGUGCUGGAAAUGUGGUAGUCCUACUGGGAACACAAACACAUCACCCUUCUGAAGCACCUUGGAAAUGAGACGGUUUUCAGGGUUAGAGGUGACAAAACCCACUUGGAGGCUCCCUUCAAGGACGGUCAAGAUCUCAGUUGCUCUAGGAUGAGUGUGUGGAGCAUUGAUACCCCAUGGUGCAUAGUCGAUACGAACAAGGGAGAUACCAAAAGUAUUAAGUCCUGGAAUUUGGGCUACAUUAGCAGGGGUCACCUUUGAACCUGCAGGGUUAGAUGUGUUGCCUGCUAGGUGAAGUCCACUGAAGAAGAAAUCCUCGGCGACAACAAGCUUGGAGUCCUUGCACACAUGUCCAUUCACUGGUACUGAAAUUAAAAUUCAUCACAGAAAUGUAUCAGAAACAUAAACAUUAGGUGAUGUCUUUUUAAUUGACAAAUAUAGUCACAUUGACAUAUGUGAAUAUGAUUCUAGCUUGCUAGCUACCUGAGCCUGUUGGGUCAGCAACACAGAAAUCCUGAAGAGAACUUGGGUCAGAUGCCAAAGCUAUGAAAACAGUUACGGCAAGGCACACUAAAAACAGAAACCGAGAGGCCAUUGUUGGGAAUCAAGCUAGUAAUGAAUUGCUGAAUGAAGGUAUAAGGAUAGUUGGCAAUCCUUUUAUCCUGCAAAACACCUUGAGAUGUUGUUGUCUGAUCAAGAACAAGUGGCACUAAUAUCUCUUAUGGUUUCAGGUAAAACAUGCAUCUGCAUAUCACUGUUUUUUCACAGAGGUUAGCAGCUUCGCUUGCUAUCCUAAGUACUGAGUCUUCUGCUGUCUUGAGUUUCAAAGUCUGUUAUAUUAGUAUAAUAAGUCUUUUGUUUUCAAUUGGACAACUGAGUUUGUGGGAAGCGCCUUAGUGCUCAAACCAGUCAAAGGGUUGAGAUCUUGUGCUUAUGCCAACCCGUGACCAAAUGGUUUGAUGCUCAAGGCUCCAGCUGGGAUUUCAUGAUACGUUAUCCGAUGUAUAAGCUGGUCCCUGUAUGGUUCAAAGACCAGUUGCUAUCAGCUGUGUCAAGGUCCACUAAUGGACUGAGUAAGAGGGUUUGAAACCUCUUUGCUCCUUGUUUGAAUCAUUCAUGUUUUAGGAAAGGGUUAUUUGUCUUAUUGAGAUUGCUUGUGUCAUCUCUAUGUUUUAGACACAUCACUUUCAGUAUGGGAGCCAAACACUUCUGUCCAAACCUUUCUGAAACAUGUUGAGGUCAGCGUGCAUCAUCCUUGAUGCCCCGUUUGGCCUAUAUAUAUCUACAGCUUUGGCUUUGCUCAAUGGUUGUAGAAAACUGCCUUAUUGCGUUUUCUUUAUUGAGUCUUGUUUUUAGCUUGCAUUGUUCAUGCUGCUCUAAGUCUUCUUCGUGACUGUAAACCUUAGAGCUUGAACUCAAAACUUCUUUCAUCAACUCAUAUCAUGUUGCAUACCAUGAGGGAUGUGUAGUGCAACCAACCCAAGAAGCGUUCAAGGUUGAAUCUGCUAGUGGUUAGCUGAAUUCACGAACAAGGCUUCGAAAAGUGUCCCAUGUUGUAAGAACUUAGAAACAAGAGAGGGAAUAGGUCUAGACUAGUUCGGGACUAGGAAGGAUAGCACUGUGGGAGUGUAUCACUAGAACUAUUAUUCUUGUAAGAAGUUUCUUCAACUUAGUGGAAGUUUUUGUCUCUCAAGAGUUAGAGACACGCAGUUUUUCUCCCUGCAUUCAGGAUUUCUGCGAGUAAAAAACAUCCUUGUGUUGUUUCUUUAUUUGCUGCAAUUUACUUUCUGCAAACUCGUAUCCUGUGAUUCAGGGAUAUCACAAGUCAUUGCUAUCCUCGGAUACAAAAGACAACGAAAAUUUGAAAAAUGCCUAUUCCCCACCCCCCCCCCCCCCCCCCCCUCUAGGACCUUUACUGAAACUUUCCCUCAAGGUUACGCUUGAAUUGCUCAGAUUGUGGAUUGAGACCAGCAAAUAUGUCUGCUUUUAUAGAGACAUCAGGGAGAUCCUAUACGGCUGUACCUGUGUUUUUUCAAUGAUCUGAAAUUCUGAAAGAGUCUUCAUUCUGUAACUGUGUAUGACAAUUUGUUCACAGAAAGCUUGUCCUCACUACCCUGGAUUUAUCUUCAUAGGCCGGUAAUUGGUGCUGCAUUCAGAUGGUUCAUUUCUCCAAAAUGAAAAGGGUAAGCUAUAAUAUUACUAACCAAUUAAAAUUGCACUAAAAUGGAACAUAUAUAUGGCAGCUUGUUAAGUGAAUCACCAUAAGAAAUUGUUAUAGCAUGCAGCUCUUUCUCCACGCUGCUCUUUUUAUAACGGAUAGGUUUACGUGAUCCAGAAUUAUGCAAAUCGUAAACCAUUCGUAGUUGCAUGUAAUUCAUUCAGUUUAGGAUAGCUGAGUUCUGAUGAAUUCCACGUGCAGACCUAAAAAGUUAGGUUGCACGUAAUGGGGAGUGUUGGAGAGGAAAUAUCCCACAUCAGAAAAGAGACAAAUAAAACAUAACUUAUAAGUGAAUGGAUCGUAUUCAAUGUACCGAGGCUUUUUGUAAUUAAAACCCAACACCUUUAAGGUGGUUUAGUUAGGACAAUAUCGGUACAAUAAUGAUCCACAUGCCACGCUUGUCUAUGUUCAAGUGUUUGAGACUAGGUAGGAUAGCAAGUCGUUGUUGUAUCGCUAUAUUAUAAUUUUGUAAGAAGUGAGUUUUACAUAGUGGAAAAGUUUGUCCCUCAAGAGUUAGGGGCAUGUAGUUUUGUAAGAAGUGAGUUUUAUAUAGUGGAAUGGUUUGUCCCUCAAAAGUUAGGGGCAAGUAGUUUUUCUCCCUGGAUCUCCCUGGAUGCAGGGUUUCUGCAGUAAAAAAAUCUUAUUGGUGUUUCUUGUUUUUACCUAUCCCUGAGAACGAAUUUAUACGAAAAAAAGUUCCCCCCUCUUUCUCUCGGACCUUCAAGCAGGCAGCCAGACAAUCAAUGUCUCUGGAGUCUGGACUUAAGGUGGACUUGUUCAAUUUGGUUGUAAUUUGGAGACAAAUGUGACACCUUCUCUAUCAGAAACUAUUGGAAACUAUUAUAUCUUAUAUCACCAUGCCUUUGUUUUUUGCAAACAUUGAUGGACUUAUUAAACAAAGAUUUACGAUUCAGUCUUGCAGAUCUAGACAAGGUUGUGCACUGGCGGCCUCUUCAGGUAUUACUUAUGAUCCAAGUCAUCUCGUUCUUGAAUUGUUUCGUCACUGAACAUAUAUGCUUACAGUUUUAUGGUUUUUACGUUCAUGGUUACGAUUAAGGGUGCUUCACAUUUACAUUUCAAGCUUCAGUUUACCCAUGCCAUUUCCCUUUCAGAUUCAUUUUUGAAGACAAGGUUGUAGAUCAGUAGCUCAGACAUUAGAACAUGCUUUCAAGUUACAAGAUUACCUGAUUAACUCUGUAACCAAUUUUAACUCCGGUGUUCUGCAUUGGAACCAAGAAUAAGCUUGGACAGGGCAGCCAUUAAACUCCACCCCGAAACAAAGAGUACAGUGCAUGGCACCAUUCCAACUCAACUACAAAUGUCUGAUCAAUUCAAUUGCAUCGAUCAUGGAUGUCCCUGCAUAACUAAUUAUAUAUCAAACGUCUUUGGGACUGUAGUUCAAGGAAACCAACAUAACAUUUUCUGAUGUUCAUUCUAUUAGCUAUGUUCUAUCAACAAGGUUUAGCUAAUUUGGCUAGGAACACAUAUGGUUAGGCCAAUUUGGGAAAGCUGCCAUGUGACUGGUAAUGAGAAAGAAUACCACCAAUAGUAUGUGAGAUUCAUCUCAGAAUGUGGAUCUGUCAGCGUCACAACAGAAAUUUCCGCUUCACAAAUUACUGAUAUAAGACAGCCAUUUAGUGCAAAAUUAUAAAUAAAUAUACAACCAUAUUAUUAGGCUGUUAGAGUAUUUACUAAAGGGUUCUCAUGCAUAAUUUUACAAAAUGGAUGAAUCGGGUUCCUAUAGUUUGCGCAUUUAGGCCGCCCUAACAAAGACAUGAAUCUGUUUAUGACUCAAAAAAUAGAGGAGAUAAGCUAUGGUGCUGGGAUGUAUAUCCUACUUUUAUUUUACAUGUACUUAAACAAAAAUUACAAUGUUAAUUAUGAAUAAAAUUACAACAUUGAGAACAAAUUUACCAAAUUUAUUUACACUAUUUACAUAAAGUUAAACAAAAUUACAACUAUGAGAACAAUUUGGUCAAAAAGUUGUAAAAUGGUUGUACAUUUUGUAAUUACAAUUAUUAGAACAAGAUUACAAACAAUACGACUCAACAUUACCACUUUGACUACAAAUAUGUUGUCACAUUUGUAAAUGUAGGUAUCACAUACGGGUAGGUACCAUAGAAUUUCCCAAAAGAGGAAGGGGAAAAAGUGUGUAUCCUACAGAGGUCUCUUCUCUGAAGAAAUAAAAAAGGUGCAAAUUAACAAAAGUCUAUAUGAUUUCUUGAACCAUGAAAUGAAAGAAAUUAUCUGAUCAACUCUGGUAACAGUAUUGCUAAAUGAGCUCAAACAAAUCUUCUACUUGAGGUAACAGAAUCAAACAAAUAAACGCCAAUGUGGCUACAAUGACAAAUCAACUGCAACAAUUCUCAAAACAAAUCACACAAACUUAAACGAAUAUUCAACCCCUUUGGACUAAAUCAUAGAUAGCUCCAUCUUGGAGUCUAGAACUUGGACUGGAAAUCAUAGAUAGUAUCCUUGUCAACUUGGAAUGCCUUUGCAAGAACAUCAGCAGAAAUGGCAGGAUUUGAUCCAAACACUGCAUUAGCAAUGCUAAUAACACCUGGAUUUUGGCUGCUGAGAGCAGCAAUGGCGACUGCAUUAACCUUUCCAACGUUGUGCUGGAAAUGCACGAGUCCUACUGGGAACACAAACACAUCACCCUUUUGAAGCACCUUUGUGAUAAGUUUGUUUUCGGGGUUGGAGGUGACAAAACCCACUUGGAGGCUCCCUUCAAGGACUGUCAAGAUUUCAGUCGCCCUAGGAUGAGUGUGUGGAGCAUUGAUGCCCCACGGUGCAUAGUCAAUACGAACAAGGGAGAUACCAAAAGUAUUGAGUCCUGGAAUUUGGGCUACAUUAGCAGGAGUCACCUUUGAACCAGCAGGGUUUGAUGUGUUGCCUGCUAGGUGAAGUCCACUGAAGAAGAAAUCCUCAGCGACAACAAGCUUGGGGUCCUUGCACACAUGUCCAUUCACUGGAACUGAAAUUAAAAUUCAUCACAUAAAUGUAUCAGAAACAUAAACAUUAGGUGAUGUCUUUUUAAUUGAUAAAUAUAGUCACAUUGACAUAUGUGAGUAUGAUUCUAGCUUGCUAGCUACCUGAGCCUGUUGGGUCAGCAACACAGAAAUCCUGAAGAGAACUUGGGUCAGAUGCCAAAGCUAUGGAAACAGUUACGGCAAGGCACACUAAAAACAGAAACCGAGAGGCCAUUGUUGGGAAUCAAGCUAGUAAUUGCUGAAGCUUUCUAGUCAAGGUUACGCUUGCUCAGAUUGUGGAUUGAGAUCCAGCAAAUAUGUCUGCUUUUAUAGAGACAUCAGGGAGAUCCUUUACGGCUGUACCUGUGUUUUUUCUAUGAUCUGAAAGAGUAUUCAUUCUGUAACUGUGUAUGACAAUUUGUUCACAGAAAGUUUGUCCUUGCUACCCUGGAUUUAUCUUCAUAGGCCGGUAAUUGGUGCUGCAUUCAGAUGGUUCAUUUCUCCAAAAUGAAAAGGGUAAGCUAUAAUAUUACUAACCAAUUAAAAUUGCACUAAAAUGGAACAUAUGGCAGCUUGUUAAGUGAAUCACCAUAUGAAAAUGUUAUAGCAGCUCUUUCUCCACGCUGCUCUUUUUAUAACGGAUUGGUUUACGUGAUCCAGAAUCAUAUGAAUCGUAAUCCAUCCGUAGUUGCAUGUAAGUAGUUUAUCUUAUCAUCGAUGUAUAUUAAAAUUAUAUGUUAAGACAAUAGCAGCAGCUGGCAUGGUAGCAUCAGAUAUUCUAAUCCGAUUGGAAAACUUGGAUCUUGUUCUUUGUUUCAAGCUGGCUUACAAGCGUACCUUGACCUGUUUGAAGGAGCAGGCAGAUAAUUAACGUCUGGACUUAAGGUGGACUUGUUCAAUCUGGUUGUAAUUUGGAGACAAAUGUGACACCUUCUCUGUCAGAAACUAUUAUAUCUUAUAUAACCAUGCCUUAGUUUUUGCAAACAUUGAUUGACUUAUUAAACAAAGGUUGUGCAAUGGCGGCCUCUUCAGGUAUUACUUAUGAUCCAAGUAAUCUCGUUCUUGUAUUGUUUGAUCUCUAAGCAUGAUUCAUUAAUUUUUAUGCAUGUUUACGAUUAAUUCAUUAGAUCAGACCUUAGAACAUGCUUACAACUUACAAGAACACCUAAGUAAUUCUGAAACCAAUUUUAACUCCGCUGUUCUGCAUCGGAUGCAAGAAUAAGUUUGAGCGAAAAAGAGAGACAGACUUGAAACCGCCAAAGAAAGAGUACAGUGCAUGGCACCAUUCCAAGUUUUCCAACUCAACUGCAGAUGAGUGUCUUUAUUAAAGCUUCAAUCCCAAUCAAUUCGAUCAUGGAUGUCCCUCCAUAACUAGUUGUCAAACUUCUUUUGGGACUGUAGGUCAAGGAAACCAACAUCACAUUGUCUGAUGUUCAUUCUAUUAGCUGUGUUUUAUCAGCAAGGUUUAGCUGAUUUGGCUAGGAACACAUAUGGUUAGGUCAUUUUGGGCAAGUUGCAAUGUGACUGGUAAUGAGAAAGAACACCCAAUGUACGUGCGAUUCAUCUCAGAAUGUGGAUCUGUCAGUGUCACAACAGAAAUUUCUGCUUCACAACUUACUGAUAAGACAGUAAUUUACGCUAUAAUAUUAUAUAAUUGCAAAAUCUAAUGACUGCAACCAUAUACGCUAUAAUAUCAAAACGUUAGAGAAUUUACUGAAGGGUUCUCAUGCAUAAUUUUACAAAAUGGAUGAAUAGGCGUUCCAUAGUUUGCCAUUUAGGACGCCCUAACAAAGACAUGAAUCUGUUUAUGACCCAAAAAACAAAAAGUGUAUAUAUGUUUGUGAAGACAGAGGUCUCUUCUCUGAAGAAAUAAAAGGUGUAAAUUAACAAGCCUAUAUGUUUUCUUGAACCAUGAAAUGAGAGAAAAUAUUUGAUCAACUCUGGUAACAAUAUUGCUAAAUGAGCUCAAACAAAUUUUCUUCUUGAAGUAACAGAAUCAGACAAAUAAACGCCAAUGUGGCUACAAUGACAAAUCAACUGCAACAAUUCUCAAAACAAAUCACACAAACUUAAACGAAUAUUCAACCCCUUUGGACUUAAUCAUAGAUAGCUUCAUCUUGGAGUCUAGAACUUGGACUGGAAAUCAUAGAUAGUCUCCUUGUCUACUUGGAAUGCCUUUGCAAGAACAUCAGCAGAAAUGGCAGGAUUUGAUCCAAACACUGCAUUAGCAAUGCUAAUAACACCUGGAUUUUGGCUGCUGAGAGCAGCAAUGGCGACUGCAUUAACCUUUCCAACGUUGUGCUGGAAAUGCACAAGUCCUACUGGGAACACAAACACAUCACCCUUCUGAAGCACCUUUGUGAUGAGUUUGUUUUCGGGGUUGGAGGUGACAAAACCCACUUGGAGGCUCCCUUCAAGGACUGUCAAGAUUUCAGUCGCCCUAGGAUGAGUGUGUGGAGCAUUGAUGCCCCAAGGUGCAUAGUCGAUACGAACAAGGGAGAUACCAAAAGUAUUGAGUCCUGGAAUUUGGGCUACAUUAGCAGGGGUCACCUUUGAACCAGCAGGGUUUGAUGUGUUCCCUGCUAGGUGAAGUCCACUGAAGAAGAAAUCAUCGGCGACAACAAGCUUGGGAUCCUUGCACACAUGUCCAUUCACUGGUACUGAAAUUAAAAUUCAUGAGAGAAAUGCAUCAGAAACAUAUAUAAAUAACAGUAGCUUAUUUCUUUCUUUAACUGAAAAAUGCAGUCACAUUGAUAUAUGAAAAUGAUUCUAGCUUGCUAGCUACCUGAGCCAGUUGGAUCAGCAACACAGAAAUCCUGAAGAGAACUUGGGUCAGAAGCCAAAGCAAUGGAACAAACACUUACGGCAAGGAAUGCCAACAACAGAAACUUAGAGGCCAUUGGAAAUUAAUUAACCCUCUCAAGAUUAAUGUCACACUAUACGAUCAAGGCUGGAAACACUAAGCAGAGAGAUGAACCAAGUUAAAUCUGCUCAACUUUGUGGAUUCUUUGGAUAUGAUACACAAUAUGUGUCUGCUUUUAUAGUGAGAGCUAUGAAGCUUGUAUUUGCAUGCUGUCGCAUUCAUUGAAAAGGUCUGGUUUGUGUAACCGUGUGAGACGUUGAGUUGUGGAUAAAGAACGUAAUGUGCUGUCUCUGCACUAAAGCUUGUCAUCUUUUGCCUAAUGUUUUUUUCCCAAGCGCCGGCGUUGAAUUGAUUCCUUUCAUGUAUGAUAAGUGAGAAUGGCCAGGUCAAAGUUUGUGUGGUAAUUUUUCAGUUAAAAGACUUGUACAUUUUCUUUCUCUUAACUCGUGAGGUAAGCUCAAGUACGUCGAUUAAAGGUAACAUGUUGGUUAGCUAGCCUAACUGAGACCAUGGAGAUUAUAAUCGAGCAUCGGUUAGGGAUAUGUGUGUUUAGGGUGGAGUGGGGAUUUAGAUAAUAAUAAUAAAAGUGCUCCAACAUAUGAUCAUCUGACCUUAAGUACAACAUGUGUUUGUUGGUCAUACAGACAGCCUGCAUAAAUAGUUUGCUUUGUUAAUGUGAAUUUCAAUGAGAUGGCAUCGGUUAAAAAACUUGCUAUGCAUGUUUGUACUGAAAUGUGAAACAAAACUAAUCUGGUAUAGUCAUGCACAAGUCAUUUCCUUUUUGACAUGAAUUUCAGUUUGCAAAUGCAUAACAUGAUGGCAAGGCAUAAAUCAAUAAAACGAAGAACUUUUUCACUUGAUGUUUAUUUAUUUGCUUUCUGCCGAGUUAUAUACUACAUGAAUUGCACCAAGUACUCUAAACUAAGAUAGUAGAGGAAACUAAAGUUAUAACCGUAAGUUUCUAUAUUUAUUUUGAUAUAGAUCUAUAGCAUUCAUCUGAUAGCUAGAAGGAAGCUAAAUACCCAGGGGAGGGGAAGAUUAAUCUACUUGACACAAGCAAGGACACAUAUGAACUGAGAGUGUUCUAGCACAUUAGUUACUGAUAGGAAUCAGAGUUUAUUGAAUUGAAAAGCAGAGAAACGUAAAGGAAAACAUAGAAGAGGAUUGAGGACUACAUUGUGACUGUUGUAUUAGAUCAGCAAGAGAGGUUUACAGCAAUAUAUAGGCAAUCAUAGAAGAUGACUAUACUACCUUUUUGCAAUACAAUUGCUACACUCUUAACAGUUACACAGCGAGUCGAGCUAGUAGAAUGAAUCUGACCCAGAAUAUAAUAAUUCACCUCAAUGACUACGGGAAAGCGGAUCAUAAAGCCCUGUAUACCCAAUACCAACUUAGAACAUUAAUAGAUGAAAUCCUUCCAGAACUUGGUUAUAGGCUCUUCAACUUCCUUUGGCAUUUAAGGAAUUGACUUUCAAUCUCAUAAAUGCCAAAUGUUCUUCAAGGUUUUAACUUGGUUGCACUCUUUGCAAUGUUAAUCGGUUUCAUUGAAUGAUGUAUAUUGGAGUAUCUUGUAUUGGAAGGAAAAAUAAAUUAUAACACGUUUCUAAUUUCCAAGAGAGAUAAAGCUUUAUGAAUUGAGGGUCUGGACCUUCUUAGUUUUUUCUGGUUGGGAAAUGUUACUCAUGCAUAUAUUACUCUAUCCAUCAAUGUCUUUGUAUAUCACCUGUCGUAGUCACUUUAAAUUGGUUUAGAUGACUCUGCAAACAUGUUUCUUCCCAGAAGGAGUUGAGGGUGUUUAAAGUUAACUGAAGUGACAUAUAGUAGACAUUAUUAAACUUCUUCUGACCAAGCCUGAUUGUUUUUAACUAAAGAUCAGGAUUCAGAUUUAUCAUCCUCUGAUUACUUUGGCAUUUUCAUGCGUAUCUAGAAAAGAUGAAAACCCUCCCCUUUAAAUUGCCCAAGGUUUCAUAUGAGGAGAAAAUUAGAACAAUGUCCUAUGAAACGAAAUAGUAAAUUGAUCACAAUUGCUAAGAAAUUUACUUGUUUAACUAACUGAAUCAAACAAACAAAAGACACCAACAUGGUGCACUGACUAAUGAACUGUAAACAAAUUGCUUAGCAAAUUACAGAAACUCGAAUGAAAUUGCAUUUCCCUUCAACUUAAUCAUAGCUGGCGAUCCAUAAUGAAGUUUAAAACUUUUCUUGAAAAUUGAAGACAAUGUUCUUAUCCACUUGGAAAGCCUUUGCAAGAACAUCGGCAGAGAUGUCUGGCUUUGAUCCGAACACUGCGUUGGCAAGGGUAAUAGCACCUGGAUUUUGGCUGCUGAGAGCUGCAAUGGCAACCGCAUUACUAUUCCAAAUAUUGUGCUGGAAAUGCGCUAGUCCUACAGGGAAGACAAACACAUCACCCUUCUGUAGCACCUUGGAGAUGAGACGGUUUUCAGGGUUGGAGGUGACAAAACCCACUUCUAGGCUACCUUCCACCACUGUCAAGAUUUCAGUGGCUCUAGGAUGAGUGUGUGGAGGAUUUAUGCCCAUUGGUGCAUAGUCGAUGCGAACAAGGGAGAUGCCGAAAGUAUUAAGUCCUGGAAUUUGGGUUACGGUCGCAGGGGUCACCUUUGAACCAGCAGGGUUUGAUGUGUUGCCUGCUAGGUGAAGUCCACUGAAGAAGAAGUCGUUGGCUCCAACUAGCUUGGGGUCCUUGCACACAUGUCCAUUCACUGGUACUGAAAUUAGUACAUUGGGAAGUUAGAAUCAUAUAUAUAAUAAACAUCAACUGAUUGUUAUAUCACACAUGAAUAUGAAUAUGAUUCGAGUUACAUAGCCUACCUGAGCUUGUAGGCUCAGCCACACAAAAGUCCUGAAGAGAACUUGGGUCAGAAGCAAUAGCAACGGAACAAGUUAUGGCAAGGAACGCCACCAACAGAAACUGAGAGGCCAUUGGGAAGUAAACAGAGCGAGAUCGACCCUAGUUACUUUGCUUAACUUUGUAAAGGAGUAGGAUGAACUUGAAUUAUGGAUAAAGACCAUUGUAUGACGCUGCUUUUAUAGGGAGAGCUAUGGAGCUUAUUGUACAUUUGUACCUGCAUGUUAUCCUACACUCGUAUGCAUUGAAAAGGUCUAGCUUCUUUAACAGUAUAUGAAAAAUUUUUCACCGAAUGCUUGUCAUCAUUCUCCUCAUUUUGUUUCAGAUGCCGGCACUGAAUUUAUUUCUUUCUGUGUAUGAAGAAGAUUAUUAAAGGAUAGCAAGGUAACUCUUAAACUUAUACCAGCUGUUUUGCCUAUUCUUGAUUCUUGAGGAUCAGGUUCAGGAGACUUGUUCAGUUUUUCCCCUUUGGCAGUAGGAGAAUUGUUCAGAACAGAAAUCUUAGGAUUUCAUAUUUCAGUGCUUCUUCUUUCCAAAAAAUGUCUUUUACAAGAUUUAAAAUCUGUGAAACUAGGGGGUUUCUGGUAAUAUUUUAUUUUUUAUUUUGUUGAUAUGUUAAUGUCUGUGGUUUUGGUUUUCAGUUUAUGUUUGUACUUUGAUAAAGAGAAUAGUUUCAGGCGUUUAGGGACCUUUGCCAUUUGUCAUAGAGAGAGAUAGAAAAUGCAGCAAAACAUAUCAUCAUAGCUGUGAGGAAAGAGUGCAGAAAAUACCAGUAGAAACAGACUUAUAUACUUUCAAGUACACACUUACAAAAACUUAUUUUGUGUCUUGUAUUUUGUGUCAGCUCUCAAUUAUAAGCUUCCCCUUGCUUCCUCUAAUAUUGCUCUGCACUAAAAACCAAAGGCAUCACCAGACAAUCUUAAUUCUUAAAGGGCCAAAAGAAGAUGGUAGGUCUGCAUGUUGUACAAGAAGAUAUAAAAAUACAAGUUUAUCCAAACAAACACAAUUCUUGAGUAAAUUUGCACAAAGAUCACUACAGAAAAUUCAUCAUCAAAACAUAUUCUUCACAUUAUAAGCCCUACUCGGGUGCAACAGAACAUUCAAAUCCAACACAAAAUUGUUUUUAUCAAAAACUUAACUCUUAUACAAUACCCCCACAAAAGAUUUCAUGUCGAUUCUAAAUUGAAUGAGCAUUCGACAAGUAACCCAACACAACAUAAUAUAGAAACUGCAAAGAUACAUCAAGCAGCAACCUCCUCUUCCUCCUCCUCCUCAUACUCCUCCUCAUACUCAGCAGUUGCAUCCUGGUAUUGCUGGUACUCGGCCACCAGAUCAUUCAUGUUACUCUCAGCCUCGGUGAACUCCAUCUCAUCCAUUCCCUCCCCAGUGUACCAAUGUAAGAAAGCCUUUCGCCUGAACAUAGCAGUGAAUUGCUCGCUAACCCUCCUGAACAUUUCCUGGAUGGAAGUUGAGUUCCCAAUAAAGGUGGAAGCCAUUGUCAAACCCUUUGGUGGGAUGUCACACACACUGGACUUGACAUUAUUGGGAAUCCACUCAACAAAGUAUGAGGAGUUCUUGUUCUGGACGUUAAUCAUCUGCUCAUCAACUUCUUUGGUGCUCAUCUUACCACGGAACAUGGCAGAAGCAGUAAGGUAACGUCCAUGGCGUGGAUCAGCAGCGCACAUCAUGUUUUUGGCAUCCCACAUCUGCUGGGUCAAUUCAGGCACAGUCAGAGAACGGUACUGCUGUGAUCCUCUCGAGGUCAGGGGUGCAAAUCCGACCAUAAAGAAAUGGAGCCGCGGAAAAGGGAUUAGGUUGACUGCAAGCUUUCGAAGGUCAGAGUUCAGCUGUCCAGGGAACCGAAGACAGCAAGUGACACCACUCAUGGUUGCAGAGAUUAGGUGGUUAAGAUCACCAACUACAAUAGAAAUGCAAAGAAAUAUGUAUCAUGAGCAUCACAUGACAUCAAUUCAAAUCACAUAAGAUAAACAAGGAUGUCAUAGUUAUUCCGUUAUAGAAACUUGUUUUUCAACUGUUUGAUCAUGUUAUUUUGGUUUUCUUUCCUGAUCUGAGAUUUAAAUCUAACAUUUACUGAUUUGAAAGCAGCUGCUCAUUUAAGAGGUUGCUAAUUUAUAAGCUCUAUGUGCUUGUGGGGUUGCAAUUACCUAAUUUUUUUAAGGUAGAUAACCAUUAUAAAUAAACCCUUGUACAGCCACCAUAAAGAUGACAGCAGUAGACCUCACUAGUCAUAGCUCACCUAUCCAUGGUUACAACUUAUGAGACAUUAUCAGAAAACCGAAUUCUGACGUAAAUAAAUUUUCCAUAGUAUGUACUUUAAACAUCUCAACCAUUUCAACUACUAUAUAUUAAGACUUGACUUACAAGUAGGGGUGGAAAGCUUGAGAGUCCGAAAACAGAUAUCAUACAGAGCCUCAUUGUCCAACACCAUACAUUCAUCAGCAUUCUCUACAAGCUGGUGCACGGAGAGGGUCGCAUUGUACGGCUCCACAACAGUGUCCGACACCUUUGGAGAAGGAAAGACCGAAAAUGUCAGCAUCAUCCUAUCCGGAUACUCCUCCCUGAUCUUUGAAAUAAGAAGAGUUCCCAUUCCAGAGCCAGUGCCACCUCCCAGAGAAUGACACACUUGAAAUCCUGUUCAAAAACACAAGAUUAAAAAUCUGAAUCAAAGCAUCAAACACUCCUCCCCAUUCAAAACCAAAUAGAAAACUAAUCAGGUAUUCUAAUUAGAACAAUCGCAAAUGAUAAUAAUUAAAAAAUAAAAAAUCACUGUCACACUGAUGUAUAAAUCCAGAGAUAGAAUCUCACUGUUGCGGAAUCACAUACAAUAAUUACAAUAAAUUAACCUAACAGAUAAGAUUUCAAUCAUUUCAAUUCCUCAAAUAAACAAAUCCUAACAACAAAUCUCAUCAUGCUUAACAAUUUCAUCACCAAAAUUAAACCAAAAAAAUCAAUCACAUGAUCAUUUCUUCAAGUUUUUUCGAUCAAUUACCUUGUAAGCAAUCGCAAUUCUCAGCUUCCUUACGCACAACAUCAAGAACCGAAUCGAUCAGCUCGGCGCCUUCGGUGUAAUGCCCCUUGGCCCAGUUAUUCCCGGCGCCGGACUGGCCGAAGACAAAGUUAUCAGGCCGGAAAAUCUGACCGAACGGGCCGGAUCGGACCGAGUCCAUAGUCCCCGGCUCGAGAUCCAUCAAGACGGCUCGUGGGACGUACCUGCCGCCGCUGGCCUCGUUGUAAUAGACGUUGAUGCGCUCGAGCUGGAGGUCGGCGUCGCCGCAGUAACGGCCGGUGGUGUCGAUGCCGUGCUCGUCGCAGAUGACUUCCCAGAACUUGGCGCCGAUCUGGUUGCCGCACUGGCCGCCCUGGAUGUGGAGGAUUUCUCUCAUGGUGGUUUCAAGGGUUUCGGGUUUUUUUGGUGCGACAAAAUGGGAGGGAAAGAAGAAGAAGAAGAUUGUAGAAGAUGGAGGGGGAGGGUGAGACUAUAAAGGAGGGGUGUGGGUGGGGAUUGUGGGGUUUGUGGAGGGGUAGUUUGGGGUUACUAUUGGUGGGGUUGAAUUGGUUUCUAAUUUUUGGUUGUGAUGAGUUGUAUUUUUUUUUUUUUUUUUGAGGAAUUAUUGGAGUGGUUUUUAUUUUCUAGUAAUUUUUCUUUUUUGGAUAAUCCAAUAGUAAUUUUUCUCUUUGGGAGAGCAACAGCUAAUAUAAUUGGUUUUUUUUUUCUAUAAUUAUUGUAAUAAGUGAACUGGAUUUGGAUUUAUGAAAUCAACACUUUAUUGGUAUUUUCUUGUUUCAACUUUUGCUCUUAAUUUGUGUACGAGUGUCUCUUUUGCUGGCCUUAACAAGUUUGGGUACAAGAUGAACCAAUGAUGGUGAUAAUUAGGUAAACUUACUGAAAUUGUUAGUCUGAAAAUGUAAAUGUACUUUUACAAGUCCAUCAAGGAAAAAUUUCAUCACAUUGAUAUACACAAGUUUAUACAUGCAUCAACUCAAGUUUCCUUGAAAUAAAAGAUACAUCAACGGUGUCCUCUUGCUUAUCUGAGUGAAUGAACAUCAUGCAUCUAUUCAUGUUGCAUUGCUUCAUUAUUAGAUUGAAACCCUACAAAAACCCAAAAAACAUGCUACCUGUUUAAGUGACGCUCAGAACAUCACUUUUCAAGUAGGCGGAGCCAAAGAUUAUACAUAUGGGAUACCACUAUAUGUUAUUAACCCAAAUUUGAGCUCAUUUGAACCAACAUACCAAUAAGAAAUACAUAUAUUAGCCAAAUCGUGAUCAACAUUAUUGACGUAUCGAUCAAUCAACUAAUUGCUAACCGUUUUCUUCUAGGAAAAAAAAAAAUUUAACUAACGUUCUAGUAAUACACAGAUGAAGAUUGAUAAUCGGCCAAAAUUAUCUACCAGCAUCAUAGGACUUCAACAUUUCAAUUUGCACGCUGGCAUUGGCAUAUCUACUGGUUGAACCACUAGAAAUUACUUCACCUUCACCUUCAAUGUAAGCCUUGGUUUUAGGAGACCCCAACAAGUACUCAGUCUCCCCUGCGCAUAAAUCAUCAUUUUUCCAUGGAUGUUUUGCUGCAAUUCUCAUUCCAUCCAACUCCGCGGCCACUUCUUUCAUUGUAGGCCUUUCCUCCCCUCUUACCCUUAGACAAAUUUUUGCUAAAUUUGCCACCUGCUCAAUCGUCUCGACAUUUCCCUCGUUCACCAUCUCAGCAUCAAGAAUUUGAAUCAGGCAUUGUUUUUCAAUUGAGGAAACAAACAAAUAUGCUAAGCUUCUUUCUGACUCGGGCCUGGCAAAAGAAAGUGCAACUUUGCCUGUUAAUAGCUCAGCUAGGACGACUCCAAAGCUAUAGACAUCGCUCUUUUCUGUCAACGUAUUCGAUUGGAGAUACUCAGGAUCCAAGUAUCCCAUUGUCCCUUGCACUAAUGUAGCUACUUCGGUUUGAUCUAGAGGAAUGAAACGCGAAGCUCCGAAAUCUGACACUUUGGCUGUGUAGUUUUCGUCCAGCAAUAUGUUUGUUGUUUUCACAUCUCGGUGUAUGAUUGGUGUGGAAAUGGAAGAGUGUAAGUAUGCGAGUGCUCCUGCAGUUUCUGAUGCUAUAUUCAAUCGCAAUUCCCACGGAAGUAGUGAUGAUCUUUUGCCCUUUCUAUUACUGAACAAAUGCUCAGAGAGAGUGCCAUUGGUGAUGUACUCGUACACUAGUAAAGGCACUUCUGUCUCAAAACAACAACCUAGAAGUCUCACCACAUUUCUAUGGUUUAUUUGAGAGAGAAAAAUCACCUCGUUAACAAAUUGAUCAUUUUGAGUUCUGGCAGCAACUUUAGACUUCUUUAUGGCCACCAUUUUGUUAUCCGGUAAUGUUCCUUUAUAAACGGUUCCAUAGCCUCCUUCACCGAUGACUCUACUUUCAUGGUAAUUGUUUGAGGCCUUCUCAAGUUCUUCUGCAGUAAAGACUCUUGUUGUGUCUAACCUUCCUCCAUGACGAGCGAGUUGUUGUUGCAACAUUGCUCCCCCAUUUUCUUUGAAGUACUUCUCUUUAAGUUUGAUAACCCUCCUGUUAUUCAUUCCCCAGUGAAUCCAUAUUAUUACAGCCAGUAAAACUGAGAAGCCUAAACUGACGCCUGCAUACAAGAAAAAAUUAGUACUAAAAGUCCCUAGUGUUUUCAGAACUAUAUAUACCAAAAGUUGAAACAUACCCAACGAUAUUUUCAGGGACUUGUUCUUCGGUGUUGGAUUAUUGUUUUGUAUGCAAGUCUUGUGGUCUUUGUUUCUGAAACCUUUCCGACAUGAACACCUGUAACUUCCAGCCAAGUUUAUGCACUUACCAUUGUUGCAGGGAUUUGCUGGAGCUAGGCACUCAUUAACAUCUGAUUGCAGUUAAAUCAGAUAUAUUUAAUUAAACAUAUAUAAUUCUGAGCUUUCCAGCUGCAACAGUGGACAAUUGGACAUAAUUUAUAGAAGAAGCUAGAGAUGAUUAGAGAUCACACGCACCUCGGCAACCACCUGGGGGUGAGAGAUAUGGAUUCCCUUCGAAGCCUAUCGGGCACUGGCAAUAGUAACCAGACGGUUCAGUCAGUAAGUUGACAGUCCGGUUCGCACACUUGCUAAUUCCCUUGCAUGCAUAAUCCUUUCUUUUUUUAGCUUCAGCGCAACCCCCAUCCUGAAUUUCCCAAUCAACAAUCAUCGGAAGUUGUUGAGUCUUGGAUAGUUCUUGAAAACUUGUAUUCGGUAAGAAUGUGAACUCGCCUUCUUCCACGAUGAAGGAGUAGCUGCAUCGGUUGAAAUUCCAUGCGACGUCCUUGUACUCAAGGAAGCUACCCAAAGUGAGAGUAAAAUUUUGGAGACCGUUAGGGAUCGGAAUUUGGCAACACCCAACGCUAGCACCGAGGGAGCAGGAGCCGUUAACAGCACCGGCAAGAUUGUUACAUACGGACAUGCACGCAAGUAUGUGCCUCCCUUCCUCGUAAGGGUGAAGAAAGUUCCCUCUGAAAAGUGCAGAAGUGUCGCAACCAACUGCAAUGAACUUGUUCUUGGCACUAAUGGUGAAAGGAGGAUUCAGCCGGAGUGAUUGGGAAUUGCGCAUGCUUUCCGUUUGAUUCCCUCCUUGUUCAUCAUAACAAUCGUAGCCUAUGGUGUUCCAAAUUUGUAGCUGACCUUCAUUCAGGGAUAUGUUAGUAGCAAUGAUACUACUAUCCGCCAAUAUUGCUCUUGGGGGUUGAGCAGAUUCGUCGCAAGUGAUUUUGAAACCUUCUCGCAGAUAACAAUCAUCCCCUAUCCCGAAAGGAUACGGGAUUAUAAGAUUACCACACCGGCUGAGGCAUCCAGGCUUGGCUUGAGGAGGAUCAGAUGAUGAUGAUGAUGCUUCUAUAGCCACCAGUAGUACCAUUGACAUCAAAUGCACACUAAGCAGCCUCCCAAGUAAGGCCAUUAGGAAAACUUCAAAUAAAGAACACUCCUAUUUCCUUAUCAAUCUGAGUGUGUACGUACAUAUAGUACUGCUAGAAAGCCUUCCUCAUUUUAUAGGCACUUGGAUGGAAGAAUGAGUCUUACCGUAAGUUGUAGCUCAAAGAAUUGAAGUUGUUUACCAAGGGAAAUACCCAGCUAGUUUAAGAAGCAUAUUGUGAUUCUAGAUUCGAUCGUCCUCUUAGCUAGUUUGACAUCGUCCAUAGAUAUCUUUUUUUAUUUCAUUUUUUAUUUUUUCCAGAAAAGAUUAUACAUAAGACUUUGACUUUAAGAACUAAUUAAAUCUCAAAGACCAAGACAAUUAAAUAAAUUAAUAACCUCACCCCCAUAUUCUCUCUCCUACUGUUUUUUCUUUUUGUAAUUUGAGAGUGAGGUAGCAAGCUAGUUAGGUAUUUCGAUUAGCUUAACAAGUUAGAAAUAAAUUCAUGUAGUAAAUAUUUCGACCGAGAUCCAUAAAAGUAUCCCACCAAAUUAAGCUAGACUAAUCCCCGUUGUUGCCGCACGAACCCAAAAGGCACCCCUCAAAUUUUUAACCACAAAUUGAUGGGACUCAUGGGAGUUACGACUCCAACUCUAGACAUCAGGUUCUUAACUAUAGGCAAUAUAAUCGACCUACUUUACCACAUGCAAUAACCGUUUUGUUUUCUUUCAUUACUUUUAUUUCUAUUUUUUAAAACAUAAAAGGAAAAGUACUUUGCACAUGCAGAACAUGUGGGCGGAGAAAUGCUAAUGUUGGUGAAGUAAACACAAAAUGUUGAUUUAUAUCAACUUAUCGUUAACUAUUUGUAGCUUCAUAGGGUCGCAAAUCAUCCCAAACCUAAAUAUUCAUAGAUUCAUCAGGAAAAAAAAAUUUAAAAUAAAAACCGUCCGACUAAGACCCUGUUUGGUAUAGCUUCACUUAAAAAAAAAAUCAGCUUCUAUCUGAAUUUAAAAUGUUUGGUAAAUUAAACAAAAUCAGCUUUUCAAAAAAAAUUAUAGAUCACUGACAGCAGUUUUUAGAAGCUGAUGUCAUUAAAAACAUUAGAAAUUAAUAUAUUUUGUCUUGGCAUCAUUUUUAAAAUUAAUAUUUACCAAACACAAAACUGUUUAAAUUCAUAUAUGAUUAUUUUCGCAGUAUAGCAGCAAUAAAUUUUGUUUAAAGUCACAACAACACCAAACUAACCCUGAAUCAUAAGGCAAUGCAAGCCAAAUUCCCACAAAUUCCUUCACUAUGUCAUUUCUUUCUUGUUAAGCACACCUUCACAAUUUUUUAGAUUAUCAAUGAAAUAUGAGUUUUUAUAAUUUAAUAAAUCCGACUAUCUCCUCUUUGUUUGAAAAUUGAGUUAGCUUCCGGUGGGGGCGUCAGCUCCCAACCCUAACCCCCUCGACAAAAACAAAAACCUCCAAUGAAGCGCGAACAAAAUGACUCGUUUGAAAACGAUGCCCUCUCUGCAUUAUCGAUUAUUAAUCCUUCUAGUUUGGCACCCAAGUACGUAGUAGGGAGACUCAGUCCCAAUACUUUUUCUUAUCGAUCAGAUCUAGCAUUAUUUUAGGAUUCAGCUCUAGUGAUAUCUCAAGUUAAUGAAUAAAAGAAUGGUUAUCAAUUAGGUAUGUUUUAUGGGUUAGAAAUUUGGGCUUAGGACUUGGAUAUGUAUGUAGAUCCAUAUUUAUGCAUUUGCAGAUCUUCCUGAUAAGAUAGUCGGAGACGGGUAUUUUGGAACCUUUUUUUUUUUUUUUUUAAAGUUAAAGGGCUGGUCGUGCGGCUGCUCUCACUCAAGUUUGAACUCAUUUGAACCAACAUACGAAUGAGAAAUACAUAUACAAACCAAAACGUGAUCAAUAAAUUGCAGGGCAUUACAAUAUUGACACAUCCAUCGAUCAACUAAUUGCUAAAAAAAUUCUUCUAGGAAAAAAAUCAACUAACGUUCUAAUUAAUAAUACAAGGAUAAUGAAGAUGGAUAAUCGGCCAAUAAUUAUCUACCAUCAUCAUAGGACUUUAACAUUUCAAUUUGCAUGCUGGCAUUGGCAUACCUACUAGUUGAACCACUAGAAAUAACUUCACCUUCAAUGUAUGCCUUGGAAUUAGAAGACCCUAACAAGUACUCAUGAGUCUCCCCUACGCACAAAUCAUCAUUUUUCCAUGGAUGUUUUGCUGCAAUUCUCAUUCCAUCUAACUCUGCGGCCACUUCUUUCAUUGUAGGCCUUUCCUCCCCUCUUACCUUUAGACAAAUUUUUGCCAGAUUUGCCACCUGCUCAACCGUCUCGACAUUUCCCUCGUUCACCAUGUCAGCAUCAAGAACUUGAAUCAGGCAUUGUUUUUCAAUUGAGGAAACAAACAAAUAUGCUAGGCUUCUUUCUGACUCGGGCCUGGCAAAAGAAACUGCAACUUUGCCUGUUAAUAGCUCAGCUAGGACGACUCCAAAGCUAUAGACAUCGCUCUUUUCUGUCAACGUAUUCGAUUGGAGAUAUUCGGGAUCUAAGUAUCCCAUUGUCCCCUGCACUAAUGUAGCUACUUCGGUUUGAUCUAGAGGAAUGAAACGCGAAGCUCCGAAAUCUGACACUUUGGCUGUGUAGUUUUCGUCCAGCAAUAUGUUUGUUGUUUUCACAUCUCGGUGUAUGAUUGGUGUAGAAGUGGAAGAGUGUAAGUACGCGAGUGCUCCUGCAGUUUCUGAUGCUAUUUUCAAUCGCAAUUCCCACGGAAGUAGUGAUGAUCUUUUGCCCUUUCUAUUAUGGAACAAAUGCUCAGAAAGAGUGCCAUUGGUGAUGUACUCGUAUACUAGUAAAGGCACUUCUGUCUCAAAACAACAACCUAAAAGUCUCACCACAUUUCUGUGUUUGAUUUGAGAAAGAACUAUGAGCUCAUUAACAAAUUGAUCACUUUGAGUUCGAGCCCCAACUCUCGACUUCUUUAUGGCGACCACUUUGUUAUCUGCUGAUAAUAUUCCUUUGUAUACAGUUCCAUGGCCUCCUUCACCGAUGACUCUACUUUCAUGGUAAUUGUUUGUGGCCUUCUCAAGUUCUUCUGCAGUAAAGAUUUUUGUUGCGUCUACCCUUCCUCCAUGACUAACAAGUUUCUCUUGCAACAUUAUGCCGCCAUUUUCUUUAAAAUACUUUUCUUUCAGUUUGUUGAUUCUUCUGUUUUUCAUAACCCAAAGUAUCCAUACUGACACAACUAGUAAAGCCAAGAAGGCUAGAGAGACACCUGCAUAUUUGAUAUAAAAUCACAAGCAAUUCAUCAAAGGUGUAAGCUAUUUGCAGAAAAACUGACUAGACAUAAGAUUGAUUUUUAUUCAAAACGUAGAGGCUAAUAGACGUACCCCAACGAAAUUUUCAGGGACUUGUUCUUUGAGGUUGAAUUGUUUUGUAUGCAAGUCCUCUUAUUAUCUCCGUUUCUGAACCCUUUGUUACAUGAACACCUGUAAUCUCCAAGUAAAUUUUCACACGUUCCAUUGUUGCAGGGGUUAAUUGCAGCCAUGCACUCAUCAAUAUCUGAUCACAAUAUAACGAAUCAGGUAGUUCAAUUCUAAGCUUCAAUUCAAUAUAUAUUCAACAUACAUAUUAAAGAAGCUAGAGAUGAAGAUCACUCACCUCGGCAACCAUCUGGGAGAUAUGGGUUCCCUUCGAAGCCUGGUAAACACUGGCAAUAGUAACCGGACGGUUCAGUCUGCAUGUUGAUGGUUCUGUUCACACACUUGCUAUUUGCCUUGCAAGCAUAGUCCAACCUCUUUUGAGCUUUGGCACACGGCCCGUCCUGAAUUUCCCAGUUAAGAAUCAUGGGAAGCUUUUCAGUGUUGUUCAGAUCUUGCAAAAUUGUUUUGGGGUUGAAUGUGAACUUGUCUUCUUCCACAAUGAAGGCGUAGCUGCAUGGGUUGAAGUUCCAUACGUCCUUAUGUUCAGAGAAGCUACUCAAAGCGAUACUACCAUUUUUGAGUCCGCUAGGGAUUACAGUUUGGCAACACCCAAGGACGACGCCGUCCGAGCACGAGUUGGUAACAGCACUGUCAAGGUUACUACAAGUGGACAUGCAGGUUCUUAUGUACCCGCCUUCAUUAGGGUAAGGGCGGCUCCCUCUGAGAACUGCUAUGGUGUCGCAGCCGAUGGCGGUGAGCUUGUUUCGGGUACUGGAGAUGGUGAACGGAGGAGAGAGCCCGAGCCAAGAGGGACUGGACUGCGUUAGAUUACCCUGUUUGUUAUAACAAUCAUGAGCUAUGUAACCGAGAAUUUGCAACUCACCGUCGGAGAGGAAUAUGUUAGUAGCGGUGACACUAUGGCCGCCGCCCCAUAAUGCUGUCGCGGGUUGUGAAGAUUCGUUACAAGUGAUGUUGAACCUUUCUCGCAAGUAACAACCUUCCCCUAUCCCGAAGGGAUAAGGAACUGUAAGGUUACCACACUGGCCAGGGCAGCCAGGCAGGGAUUGAGGAGGCAGUGCCUGAAAAUCAGAUGUUGCUGCUUCUGUAGCUACCAGUAACAACGGCAUCAGGUGCAUGAGAGUUAGCAGCCUCCCGUGCAAGGCCAUUACAAAUACAACAAGAUUGUAUUGCUUAUGGGACAUUAGAGUGUGCCUAUGAGUACGUUGUAGCUCGAUCAGAGGACUCACUUAUUCCUCGAGAUCUAUAUAUACUGCAUAAUUGCAUAUUGUACGUUGUAGUGUAACUGUGUAACUACCGUUGAACUUCCCGUAAGUUGAGGUCUCUGAUAAUUAUUUGCGGGAAGUAAACGCAAUUAUAUAUCUUGUGUGUGUUACAUCAAGCAAUAUCAAAUUCUACAAUCAAGCAUCAAGCAUAUUAGGUAGCAGCUGUGAAUAGUGUUCAAUCUCAAUCACUAAACCAUUUGGUACUACGUAAUUCGUCGAUUCAAAUUCUAAACUCAUUCACAACCUUCUUUUUUUUUUUUUUUUUUAAAAUUCGAAAAUGAAUUGAAAAGAAAAGAAAAUGACUAACAUAUUACAUAUGUACACGCCAUCUAAUAAACAAAACUUUUGAGAGCAAACAAUGUGUAACGCGUAACCUCAAAUAUUGUCUACAAACAAUAUGUUGCUCGACUUAUGUAAUAUCUUUUAAUAGAAAGAAAAAGAUGUGAAGUUUAUUUUAGGGCAAAUAACACUAAUUGCAAUAAUGUGGUAAAUCAAGUACCUGUCACUUGGUGUCCAAGAAACACGAGUUAAGAAACAACAAAAAAAAUCCAGUGAAGACUUCUUAGUGAUUGAGGGGAGGCUGGAAUUAAAUGUAUUUAUGCCAAUGCCUAAGUAACCUAAGUUGAAAAUCCAGUGUAAACUUUUUCCUUGUGAAAUGCACAACUCGGAUUUAACUUUGCUCACCACUACCUUCUUAGGCGGUGAUACCAUCAUUCAAUAAAAUGUUGUCACGUAUUACGUAAACCGGCAAGCCCACCUGAACUCUAGUGAACUCGUUACCACACAUCACGAAGCUUGAACCCAACAACCCUAUGACCCAUUCAGCCUAAACAGCCCAAUUCCCAUCAACCCUUCAUGAUCACAACCAACACCACCCGUCGCCGAGCAAGCUUCGACUCAUAAUAUAAAGCACCAAGUCGGCCCAAGCUAAACCCAAUACAAAAAGUUCAUACAACCAGGCCCAAACCCACAUCCAAAUGCUAUGGGCACCCAAAAUUAUGGGCACCGCCGUCAAUCUGUUUAUAGCAGUGCCAAAAUUGUUAUUAUAUUGUGAUGUAUAUCACGUUUAGUCAAGCCUCAUUAAUUUUCUAGAAAACAAAAAAACAAAAUUCAGACAGUUAUUACAAAUUCAUUCUAGGCCUCUGAAAUCUAAGGUCCAGGUUAUAAGGAGGAAGUGUUAUGACCUCUAAAAUCUAAGAUCCAGGUUAUAAGAAAGAAGUGUUCUGAGAUGAUCGCCGAUAAUAAUUAAUAUUUAUACAUAGAAAACAUACGCUUUGUCCCACCACAAUCCUAGCGGGUCACAAGUGAAACUGAUCUUAGACCGUUUAAUGUGCUUAGGGCUUUCUAGCUUUUUGGAAAGGAAGUCCAUUUUGAAUUUCUAGAAAUUAAGAGAGUCCCAUGCCAGUUUGGAGCUUUCAACCUUCCUUUCACUUCCACGCGUUCAACUUUGUGUUUUCCCUUUCAGCUUUGGAAGUAUAGUAAAGAACCAAACAGCUGCAGCUGCACACAGUAUCGAUCACAAAGCACGUACGUAGCAGCUGUAUAAACCAAAAGAAAUUCAAAGAAACUUACGAGUAGAAUUCCACGUGCUUCUCAUUCUAAUCGUUCCAUAAACCUCAAAUUAUUGAUCAAAUCCUACGUGCUUGAUUCUCAGGCUGAUUAGCAUGCAUGUUUCAUUUGUUUUUACUGUUCUCGUUUUAAUCCCCCAGAUAUUUGUUUUAUUUUAUCUCUUGCUUUCUGGGAUUAAAGAACCAUCUGCUACUAGAUUCGAAUCGUGUCAAUGGUGAUCGGGUCCCAAGCUUUAGAGAAAAAAUCUUGAUUAUUAAGUUGUCCAAUUAUGGUGGUUUUCAGUGAAGAGUAGCCAGUGGGGAACAUCUCUCACAUGAAUUAUAAAGCUUGUGGAUCGAAAUUGGGAUUGUUGGUGAAAUUGGGUUUACACUUGGCAGAUUUUCUGUGAUUUGAUUUCUAUUUUAUUUUCUUGAAUUUAUAAUCAAAUAUGUAGAAGAGCAAAUGGGGCAAAGUCUUAUCUGAACAACUGGAUCAUGAAGGGGAUUGGAUUGGUUCAUGGCACCAAUUAUUCAUUUUGAGCACUAGCCUUGGAUUAGAAUUGCGUAUUGGAGAAAGGUUAGGUUGAAUAGCAACUUGUAAAAGAUUCAUAUUAUUAUGCCGCUAAAGCUAAAAAGACCUUCAAAGUUCAAACAAAACAAAACAAAAUGAUAAAGUUACCCAAAAAGCUCAAUUAUAUGAUACACUUGAAUAUUUCUAUGGUUAUUUUAUAUUUUUAACUUGUUGGAGAUGUAUGACACGUGUUAUUAUUGAUUUUAGUCACAUUAUUACAUACAUGAAAAUUGUGAAUUACUGUCUAUUUUUAUUGAUAAAAGACUACACGAGAAGUAGGUUUAACACACCAUAUUUCUUUCACUCAAUGAACAAUCAACAAAAACUUCAUCAAGUUCUUCAUUACAUUGGCCAUCGAUAAUAGAAAAUAGAAAGACGUCUAUGUAUAUACUAUUGAAAUUCGGUUUUCUUGGAAUUUGGCCUAAAUGUUGGUUUUUUACCAACUUAUUAAUUAGGGAAGCUAAUUAGGAAACUAAAUGGACAACCUAACUUUCUCAAAAUUCAUAUACAAAAACUAUAACGGGAAAGUCCUUUUAUUCACAAUUAAUCAAAAAUAAAAAGUCAGAAAUUAAUUAAAGGAGAUAAAACGAGAUAAAAUUAAGUGUAAUAAAUCAAUUUAAAACCGUUUUUAGUUUGAAUUCUACUCGUUUUCUUCUCUUCACUCAUUUCACCAACCACUCACUUCAAAUUUCAGUUCAGAAAACAGAAAGAACAAAAUUAACAGAAACGUUACAAAACUCCUCUUUAUUACAAGAAACUCAGAAAAUCCCAGAAACCCAUAAAAUUCCAAACAGAGACCACAAAGCCAAAGCCUUUCCGACUUUCAACGUAGUCGUCUCGUGUCAGAAGUCCCUGUUAUAAAAGCACACAGGCCUUUGUUCAAAGUUUCAACCUUUCAACAACCCACAACACGCUUCCACUCACAGUUUCCUCUCGGGUACCCUUUCCUCUCGCUUUUUGUUUAUUCUAUUUAAAUCGCACCCAAAAACCCCCAGUUUUCCUUGUGCUAUAAAACCAAGUGAGUUCUCUCGAAUCUAGACGAAGUUUCCGACUUUCUUUGGUUUCCUUUACACUGUGGGAAACCCAAUUUAAACAUUCUAAUUGAGUCCCCAGUUUCUCACAUUUUAAUAGUAGUGAGUAAAGAUGCCGCUGCUAUGGAAAAAAGGGCGGAUUUCCCAGAUGGUGGCGGAUCUCCAAUCCCCGAAAAGGAGAGGCGGAUCGAUGGUUGUGCAGACCGGAUUCCCAACCUCUCUUAUAGAUCUCUUCGUCAAAAACCGCGAUCGGUUGAGAAAACAGUCCAAAAAAAACCAGUCUCGGAAAAAUUCCCAAAAAAGUUCCGAUUUUGAUCCCGUUGACCGGGUCUCCGAUCAGAUCGCUGAAAAGGGUUCGGAUGAUUUGUCGAUUUUGGCGGUACCCAGUUCGGGAGAGAUCGAGAAUUUGGUCGCUCGAAAAGAUGAUCAUGCUGUUUCGGAAGACACUGAUUCUCGGGUUUCGGAUGCGGAAAGUUCUGGAAUUGUCGCCGAGGAAUCUCCACGUGGCGGCUCUGGAGAUUUGAGUUCGGUUUUUGUGGCGGCGGCGAAGGUGUUUGCGGUGGUGGUUUUGGCUCUGUGCACUACCAAGUUCGCCGUUGGGAUCACACUGUCGGCUUUCCUGCUUCUGUUUCUGGAAUGUGUGGGUAAGCGCCUUUCUUGUUUAGUGAAACCUUGGUCGAAUGCGAAAUCGGGUUUGCAGUGUGUGGCUAGGAGGAUGGGGUAUGCAUUGUUGGUUUUGAGGAGUGAUGUGAUUGUGAAAGAAAAGAGUGAGGGGGUUGUGUUUGAGUUGGUUGAACCUGGGGUUGAAUCAGACUCUUCGAUGGAGGAGAUUGAGGUUAUGAGUUGUGGUAUUGUGUGUAUUGACGAAGGUGUUAGUGAGAUGGGUUUGAACGAGUAUUUGAGUAUGGAUGGUGAGAAGGGGGAGAAGGUUGAAGUGGGUGAUCAUACGGAUGACUUAUCGGAUUCGGUUUGUGAGAAGAGUAAGGGUAAGGGUAGAAAGAAGUUUGUGCCUAAGAUGGGAGCCAAGUUCAUCAAGAAGUUGGUGUCUAAGAAAUUGCGCAAGAACAGUAUGAAGCAUCAGUCGGGGACUGAGCCAGAGCCAAAGGCAAGUACUGAAGUUUGUGAAGAGGGACUGGUAGAACAUGAAGACCGAAGGGAAGGGUUUAGUGCUGAGGAAGAAGAAAGUGAGAACGGUUCACCGCUGUCGGUAAAUUCAGAAAACAAGUGUGAAAAACAAGAAGCUGAUGGAAUAGUAACUUCGUUGAUUGUUGAAAAGAAGGGAGCAGAAAGCAAAGGGAAUUUUGGGUAUCUCAUUCUGUUUUUGAUAGCUCUUGCUGGACUUAUUGGAGGUCGGGUUGUAGCUCUGAUGCUGACAAUCACUUGGUGCUUUAUGUUGAAGUUGAUCAGGUAUUGGAGUGGAUCAGGCAAUAUGCUCGUCUCCAUGAAAAGGUCUUCUCUCCCAAUUUCCUUAUAGAAAUCUGGUGUUGGUAUAGUGAUCUUUUUUUUGGUUUUAGAUGUAGUGUUCUUCAAGUCUCACUUUAAGUCUGGCAGUGAAAGCUUAGUGAUAGAAUUUCCAACCUUUUCGUUGGCCAGCCAGCUUGAAGUUUUGUACUUAAACUGUAAAUUUGUUAAAAAUACAAAUCAUAACAUAGUUUUGUUUGCUUGUAUCAAUUUCACUUUUGUGAUGCUCAAUUUACUUUGUCAUGGUUUCUGUUUCUCAGUAGAACAGCUAACUUCGUUUUCCAGAUGGUGAGAAUUUAUUCAAUCUUAAUAUGUACAAAUACUGUAACAGGCUAGGCUUAAGGUGGAAUUAGAUUCUAAGUUUCUCUCUUUUAGAAGUUUGUAUUAGGAUUGCCAAUGUUGCGAGCAAGUCGGGUUGGUGCUAACCAGAACAAUGAUAGCAGAAGUGAAAAAGUUAUGGAGAAAUAUUCUAGAUUUACUUAGCUAUCACAACUCAUUACUUUAUACUGAUUCUAAAUUCCGCUCGGCUAUUUGGAAAUUCGUCUUCAUCCAUUAUGUCGAUCACUGAAUUGUAAUUCCUUUUGAAUAAAAUAAAAGAAAAAGGAAAAAGGUUUUGAACUGGGAACCAGAAUAUGGAAGCUUCUUAUGAACCUUGGACCUAUUCUCCACCUUCUUUAAUUCUGUACCAUCUCAUGUGGUCUUUUUAGUUCUUUAUUAGAUCGUGACUUGACUUCUAGGUGAUCAUAUUAUCACCAAAACUCUCUUUAUCACUCUUAAAUUGCCAACUGAUUGUUCCUUGGUUAUUGGUUGUUUGGUGAUUCUUCUUGUGUCUGCAACUUUCAGCUUAUUGACCUACCUUUCCAUAAGAUUUGCACCACAUGACAUGAGCUUGUAUGGAAACGUGGUGUUGUUCGUUGAUUUCCUCAGUAUUGGAACAAUCUAUGCGUUCUCUCCGUAGGCAGCAGCUGCAGUUGCAGUAAUGCCUGCUCUUAAGGAGUCCUUGGCCUGUUAUGGGAAUCCUGCUCUGCACAAGAGAUCAACUAGACAGCGAAAGUGCUGAAUCAAUUUGGUUAAGGUAACUUCUCACCAUCUCAUUGAAAGAUUCAGCAGACCUUAUUGCCCUGAAUAAUUGUCGUAUCUUUUGGUUCUCCAAUAUAGUAAUUCUUCACAGAUUCUUUUUCAUGCACAUCAUUGAAGUCCUUGAAUUACUGGUCACUAAGUAAAGGCAUUAUUCGUAGCGAUCCUUGUCAUUCUCCUGACCCUCGCACUUCAGUUGGUGCUCUUCCCCACACAUCUGGUACAUUGUACUAGUGAAGAUUCAUUUCCAACAAUGUGAAUACAAAGUUGCAGAUAAUAUAUUGAGCGGAUAGACUGUCUUACAGAUUUAACUUCAGACGAUACAAGCCUUAAAAUCUGCCCUGAUCAUAUCUGUCAUAUCCAGUCUUAUUUUCUUGGAAACGUUUGAACUUGCAUCAGUCGGCGCAUGUACCAUAGAAUUUAAUGAAACAUUGCCUUUGUGUCACCCAUCUAAGCAGAAGCUUUGAUCUAAAUCUUGUAGGUUAGGAGUUACUUUAGCUAACAAUCCUAGUGAUGAGACCAAAUUGAAACUGAGCUGUGCUUUAUGAAAUAAAAUUAGAAAAAAUUGAUUUCUUGAAAAUUUUGGUACACACUUCAAUAAAUGUAAUUCACAAUAUGCAUAUCACAAUUGAUCUUAGCACACAAUUCUACAAGUCUAACACACAUGAUGCAAAUGAAUAGCCCUGAUCAUGAAUCAGAAACUCUUCUUCAGACUAAUUACGGAGAGGGCGACAUGAAUCAGAAACUCUUCCACAGAAAUUAUCUAAAAUUGUGCCUGCAGACUGCUGAUAAUGGAUUUGUCAACUUGGAAAGCCUUGGCCAGAACAUCAUCUGAAAUUGAGGGAUUGGGUCCAAAAACUGAGUUUGCAACAGUGAUGACUCCAGGGUUUUGGCUGCUCAAAGAAGACUGCGAAAUGGCUGUUCCAGAUCCCAGAUUUUGCUGGAAGUGGACUAGUCCAACAGGGAAUACAAACACGUCACCUUUCUUGAGGACCUUUGAGAUGAGCUUAUUCUCUGGGUUGGAAGUCACAAAGCCAACAUAGAGCUUGCCUUUAACAACUGUCAGAAUCUCAGUCGCACGAGGAUGAGUGUGAGGUGGGGUAACACCACCUGGUGCAUAGUCAAUUCGAGCCAGUGAGAUGCCGAGGGUGUUGAGUCCUGGAAUUUGAGCCACGUUGACUGGGGUAACAUUAACGCCAAGAGGGUUUGAGGUGUUUCCAGGGAUGUGAAGUCCUCCAAAGGAGAAAUGGUCAGCUUGUACUAGCUUGGAGUCCAAGCAAGGCAAGCCAUUCACUCUUAUUACUGUACACAAAUUGAAUAUACACAAACGUUAAGUAUACAUGAAUGCAAAGAAAGCUUAGUUAAGAAGAAGUAGAGUACUGAAACGUUUUGAUAUAAACCUGAGCUAGUAGUGUCAGCAAUGCAGAAAUCUUGUAGUGGUUUAGGCUCGAAAGCAAGGACCAGAGAACAUGUCAUGGCUACAAAAGCCAAAAGUACAAUCUGGUUUGCCAUUUUAGUUUUGAGAUUAUGAAGUUAUCUGCAAAUGAAAGAUUUGAAGGAUUAAGAGAGUUGUGAACCAAUAGGUUAUCAACUCGGUUAUUUAUAGAGAAGGUUAGAGAAGUAGAUGAUGGCUCUGAAUGAAGAACAAUUAAGCUGCCGGCUUUUGCAUUAUAGACACUGAAAGAGUCUCAGACAGCCGGUUCUUAGAUAAGCUAAAUUCAGCAACAGCGCAUAGAUUAGGUUCCAAAAUUGUUCAAAAUUUUUUAUGGUCUCUUAAUUUUCUAUUCCUUGUGAAUUUGAAUGGAUAUAUCACCAUGCAUAUGUUAAACAUAUCAAGCCAAAGCAUUAUGUUAGAAUUUCUGUCUCCAAAUUUAGAGGAAUGCUCCUGCUGGUUGAUAAGGUCAGAUUAUCAGUUAGUUAUCUUGCCAUUUGUCUGGUUCAAAAACUGGCCAGCUUUUCCUAAUGACCAAGUCGCAGUGCCAUACUUGAGUUGAUAAAAACUUAAUACAGGGAAAGAUUGAGGAUUUUUUUUAACGAGUUCAAGGAUUAGGAAAUUGAUUAAUUAUUUCAACAAUUACAGAGGCUUCUGCAGCUUCUGCAUCCAUGUUUCAUAUGAACUUGCUUCUUGUCGCUUCACAAACACAAGAUAUCAACCAGAAGUUGUAUUGCUUCUACAGUUGCCUUUGAUGGGAAAGUCUUUGAAGCCAUGGAGAAACAUCAUCAAACGAUACCAGAGUUGCCACCGGAGAAUCAACCAGCCAGAUUUCUGGACUAAAUUUGUGGUUCAUCUAAUUAUUCCUUCUGAGAUGGUCAAAAUAAAUUUGGUCGGAAUCUGUACACAGUUGCAAGUGGAGGGUCUAAAGGAUUGAACAAUAAGGAGUCAAAAGUUACAAAAGAAUAAAGACUUUGAAUGUAGGUGGUCUCAUGGCUAAUUACCCAGACAUUUUUGGAUAAAAAUGCCACACCUAAAAGGCUAAAAAUAAUGGUCAAGUUAGAGACAAUAGCAGAACAAAAACCCACAAACAGUGCCAAACUGCCUACAUUAGCUUGUUGCUUAUCGAUUUCCAAUUCCGCCAUGAGUGCAUUCUUGCGCUUAUGAGCAACUCUCUAGGACAAAGAAGAGGCCCUGAAUUUAAAAUAAGUAUGUGCGACCUUCGUGUGGACAUAAUAAGUAUGUGUGACCUUCUUGUGCAACAUUUUCAUCCACAUACUUCUAAGUCGCAAAUGAGGAGGCGUGUUGAAAAUCAAAGAGUCACAGUAGUAUGAGUGAAUGAAAGAAUUCGAAUGUGGGUGUUCGCCGCUCUCGAUACCAAGAAGUUUAGAUGAUAUAUUUAUGAAAUUGCAAGAUUUUUCAUUUCACUCUUGCCCAUUUUCUCCAUCUAAUAACGCAGGAAAGUGAAGAAGACCACACAGAAGAGAACGAAGAAAUGGCAGAUCAACAUGGGGAGAGCUUGAAAAUAUAAAACAGGGUUAUGAAUGAAAGAUUGAAAGAGAGCGACACAAAGCUCCCUAUAUAUAUACACAGUUGACACGUACAGAUAAUUCAGACUGCUGCAGGGCGCUUACAAUUCAACGUUCAAAUCAAAUAUCUGAUCCAAAAAAAAAAAAACGUUCAAAUCAAAUAUGGCAGCAUGCGAUUCAAAUCAAACAUUGCUACCUAAAAUUAGAAGCUCCCUGUACACUGUUGGUCUUAAGAUUAAGGGUGUGUUACUUUUGCCGCCCAAGGUUCAAGAAUAUACUUCAAAAGUUAACAGCACAACCCCAUUAGUUGCAGAACGUGUUUGAAGGGUGUGCCACUAAAAUGUGAUUCAUGCGAAGCUUACAAAAGUGACGCCCGGCUUCACAUAAAACAUUUGUAACCAAAAUGGGUUAGACAUAUGUCACAGACAGGGAGCCGGGCAUCAUCUUUCUAAGAAAAGUGAAGACUUCUUGGCUCCAUACAUCUUAGCGAUCUUACAACGUAAUUUUAUCAUGAGAAUCUUAGGGCGCGUUCAGUAUUUUGAGUUUAUUUGUAAAAAUUUUCUAAUCAUCAUAAAGUUUCUAUCCACAUAUAAUCGGUCAACUAAAAUAACGAUUUUGAUAUCAGUCACAUGAUGAAAACAAAUUUCGAUGAUAAAUGAGAACCGUACGUAUGUAUUAAUGAUUCUGAUAAUUGAAUUGCACAACAUAAUUAUGUAAAAUUUAAGCUUAAUGAAACGCGUGGCAAAAGACCGUGAAACAGUCCUAUUGUUAUGGGAAAAUUCUGCACAGCGGACAAACCCAUUGUUAUGAACAAAAAUCAGUUUUUGGAAAGUCGAAAGUGAAAAUUAUUGGCGGAAUAAAGAGACGGAGAGCAUCUGAACAUGUCUAAUAUUGCAAGUGGAAGACAAAAUCAUGAAAGUUUGUAAUUGUUGGAAUUGACCACCACCAAAUUUCAUCUAAAUUCGUCUCAACGUGUUACAGUUAGAUAUGCCUUUUCUAAUCUGCUUAAACAGAUAGAUAGAUAUAGUAGAACAGACCAACAUUGGUAGUAUAAUGAAAACAAAGAGAACUAAUUUCAAACAAUAUAGGCAAAUUAUAUGUACAUGUAAUUAAAAGCUUGUUAUACAAGAAGCCUGCAAUUCAUACAACUCAAGAAAAAAAAAAUGAAAAUAAAAAACCUUCAAGGAAAACUAACAGUCUAACACAAAUCAUGAAGCCAGCACGUACAUUUUGAUCCAGUUUCUUCUUGGAUGCACUGCAAAACACCAUUGACAUGAAACUGUAUCGAUUUCAUCCCCAUCUAAGUGAACUGACCAUAUUUAUAUUGACAGAGCCGGCCGUGAAGUAUUCGCCUUCUCCGGUCAUGGCUCCCCGAUCGGAUUGCUAACUGUUGAGGAAAGCAAAGAUGAGAAAGAAGAAGAAGAAGAAAUGAGCAAUCACCAUGCUUGAGAGCCCUGAAGGAGCACAAAGCUGUCAAAGAAACUAGGACAGAACUGCCUAGCUAUAUAUGUGGUGUAAAUGUGUAAUAAUAUAUGGUUGACACAGAGAGAAGCAACACUAACAUAAAUUCAAAUCAAGCUCGACUGAGCAACCCUACUAGAUUUCAAAAUUUGAAAAUGCCAGAUCUGAUGCUUGAUGGGUUGCACUGGCUGUUCAUGGUUUCAAGGUAUAUAUUUUAAACCGUUGCAGCAUCUUCAAUUAUUUGCAGCCAACUGGCUAAAGGUGUGGUUGCACAUGAUGUGAUGCUAACGUUUUGCAUCAAGUCCAAAUGAAGAAGCGUACAGCACUACCUAACAGGCUUCCCGUACCCUAAAAUAUCUAUGAUAAUAAUGAUAUUAUAACAUCCAAUUACGAGAAGAAGAGGGUUAUAUUUUAAUUUUUUUUGAAUACGACUCGCAGAGAUAUUAUGUGUUUGGUAGUAUAAAUUUACUUUGGAGUUGCUUGUGAAAAUGACAAAAACGUUUUGAUACGAUCAUAAAUAUCUGUUUUGCGUAGUAUUUUUUCGCUAAAACAAAUUUAGAGAGAGAAAUGACAUCUUAUACCUUCACGUCAAGACCUAACGCAAGAUUUAUGAUAAAAACAUCAAAUUUAAAUUAAGACUCAACUCGCUUAACCACAAGUACACGCACACUAACUGAAACAACUCAUUUUGGUAUAAACUUUAUGUGCUUAUCAAAUCUAGUUUAUUUGGCAUUUUGUUGUAGCUAUUUUUGUUAUCAUUAAUAGUGUCUAUGUGCUAGAGAUGUUUUAGUUCUGUCUUCUUAUGUCACUUAACUAGUUUCGGUUUGUAUUGUUAUUCGUAUACAUUUUACUUUAUACUUAGAUAAAAUCCAUUUAUUAUGAUAAAGUAUAUAUGAAAAUAAUGUUACUUGCAUAACAAAAUCAUCCUUAGAGAAGCAAUCACAAACGACUUUACCUGGUAAGUUGCAUCAUCCAACUAAACACUAGAUGAAAACAAAGUAAAAAACUAAACCCCGUUAGAUGAAAAGUUCGAUUCUUUUGUGUUGUUUAGGGAUUGGGUAAAAGUGAAAAAGUAAUAAUUUGAAACGGUGAAAAAGAACAGAAAUUGAUAGAGAGCUGGAAAGGACAGGUGGCACACUGUCACUGGCAAACGGCUGGAACUAUGAAGGUAGAGUACGAAGGGGGGCUUCUGGUUUCAGAUAUAAGCCGCGAUUCGUUCUCAAUCGCCUUCUGAUCACGAGUUUGUUUCUCUACGCUUUUAACCUCUUCAGCUCGUGGUCGUGGUCUCUCUUUUUCCACCGAGAACAAAACACAACCCAACUUUGAACUUUAACAAUCUUUCUGGGUGUUUUCCCAGUACAAUUGGUCCUGCAUUGUACUCAAAAGGUUGGUGCUUUAUCUUUGAUGUUCAGAAAGUUGUCAACUUGUAUAGGAAUUAUUGAAGAUUCUAUGCAGAUUUGAUCUGGGUUGUGUAUUACGAUCAUGAUCUUGUUAAUUAUUGAACUGGGCUCUAUAGAAUUUGUAUAUCAGAGAUGCAUCGUUGGAUGAGUUUUGUGUCUGGGUUUGUUUAUACUCUGCUGCAUUGUGUGGUGAUUGGAUUUGUAAAAUAGAUGCAGUUUAGUUUCUUAGGUAUUUGAUUUGAUGUUUCUCUGCUAUUUAAAGAUCUUACGUUUCCAUUUACUUUUUAUGAUAUGUAGAAAUCUCCAGCAGUGCUUGAAGUUAUAUGUAAUGAGUUGGUGUUUAACAUUCAAAGUAGUGUAUUUCCUUGAUCAAAUUGCAUAUAGGACUAAAAAGACUUGCUUUUGGAAGAUUAGAACAAAGUUGAGAAAGUUAUAACAGUAACAAUGAUUUUUCAAACACAGUCAGUUUAAAAGGUUGCCUCUAGAGGAGUUUAGUAAUGUAGUUCCUAGUUGCGUCGAAUUGUUUCUAUUGGUUAAUUUUUUUUUUUCAUGUUAGAAGAAUGUCAAUGCCCGGGUACGCUUUGGUUCAGACUUGUGCACACUUUAUAAUGGUUGGUUAUAGAAACAAGGAAUAAGAAAAAUAAUGGGAUGGAAAGCCAAACUAAGAAUGAACUAAUUCAAUGGAUUAGACUGUACCACCUGCACUUCUGGUGUUCAGCCAAAGUACAAAACUCCCUAUUAUUGUAUAUUUGCUUGAGUAUCUGAUGUGGAAUUGCUUUGCUAUUCACUUUCUGGUUUUGAAGUUAAUUUUCUCACUACUCCAGUUACUUAAAAAGCCUGCGUAGAUGGUUGUCAAACCUUUUACUGUGGACUUGGAUAAGCCUCUCGUCUUCCAGGUUACAAUUCUUCACUGUUCUACAUUUUGUACUUUUCUGUAUGCCUAUCUGUGUUAAUGUUUUAGUCAUAUCUCCGAUUCUUCUUCCUUCAUCCAAUGAGUUUUGGUGCUAUGUUUAUACAUGUAAGUAUCCAGCAGCAGAAUGGUGUUUCAGAAGUAGUUGUUAUCUUUCGCUGGUUCUUCAGAUUGCACUGCCUUGCUUAAUUGAAAUUAUUUUCAUAAACGUUACUUUCUUUUCUUGUCAAGUUAAUUUAACUUCCAAUUGUUGAGGGGUGGCAGAGGCUUAGCUUGAUUUCCCUCCAUAUAUAUGCAUUCCAGAAGGCAUCAGAAACAAAAGUAUAAACAAUUUGUUGUCAAUUCUAAAAGACUAGUAUCAUUGAUAUAAGUAUACAUAUAUAAGAAUAUCUAUCGGGUUCCACUUAUUUUUGAGCGCCUUUGCACCUUUAAACUUCAGAUCUACUAAUUUACAACACUUACUUGACAUAUAAUGUUUGUUGCGAGUCAAUUUUUUUGUUUUAGUAAUUCAUCUCACUUUGGCCUUCUACACCCCUGGAACUUUUACAGGUUGGUCAUCUUGGCAAAGGUUACAAUGAAUGGGUUCACCAACCUAUCGUCAGCAAGGAAGGCCCCAGAUUCUUUGCAAAUGACUAUUUGGAGGUAUUACUUUAAGAUCUUGCACUCGUAAAUUCAAACAGGCAUACAAUACCUGAAUACCACAUAACUAAGUGCAGCCAAUAUUUGUGGCGGUAUAUAGCCACAAGUCAUAGCCUUAGUAACCCUCUUCAAGUAAUACAGCAAAUUUGGGUUUAGAGACCUUCUUUUCAGUUAAAAUAUGUUGAGUAUGAUCAAACUUUUUAGCACUGGAACUAUAGAAUAUCUGUUAUGGUUAUAGAACAGCGAAGAAGCAUUAAUAACUAAGCCUAAAUGAGAUGAAAUAAAAUGGAUAUGCUAAAUGUUUGUGUAUCAGGCAGGUUAUAAUUAUUUUUUAGUAAAAUCAGUUCUGCAAGUUUGUCAUGAUGUCUUUUAUGUGAGUUCAAAUUUUGGUAAACUUCUCAUCAAUACUGUUGUGGUCGUCUAUUGACCCAUUAACUUGAAACAGCUCUUGACCCGCACAGCAUGGUGGGUGAUUCCACUAGUUUGGCUGCCUGUAGCAUCCUGGUUAGUCUCUGUGUCUCUCCGAAUGGGGCUCACUUUACCUCAGGCAGCUUUAGCAGUGGUUGGUGGAAUCUUUAUUUGGACAUUGAUGGAGUAUGUUUUGCAUCGCUUCCUUUUUCAUAUGAAAACAAUAAGCUAUUGGUUGGUUCCCUAUCCAUGUCUGUCAUCUCUUCUUUCCCCCUUUUGAUAUAUUGCCUUCCUAAUUUGGUCACUUAUUGUAGGGGAAACACCAUUCAUUAUCUUUUUCAUGGUUGCCAUCACAAGCACCCUACGGAUGGGAUGCGCCUUGUUUUCCCCCCUGCAGCGGCAGCUAUUCUGUGUGUGCCGGUAGGAUCCAUUUCACAAUCUCGACUAGAUUAGUCUGCCUAAACACUUAGCAAUGAAUAGGCUGACACGAUCGAUCAGGAUAGGAUGCAAUUAAGGAUUCUGCUGCUGUAGUAUGCAUAUAAGUUUCACCCACUUAUAAUUUAUCUGAGCGGAAGAAGAAAUUACAUGCUGCUCAACGCAAAUAAUUUUUUGAUGAAAGAAAUCACACUUUGAUAAUUGGCUCAUAAGAUUGCACUAUUCUAGUUUGAGAGUGAUUUAUUAUUUUUGCUAUAUAAAUCAUCUUGGUUAUAUUUACUAUCUGCUGUUUCUGAUAUAUCAUGGUAUAUGUCUGCUAGUUUUGGAAUAUGUUUAGGCUUUUAUCACCUACAUCAGUUGCUCCGGCUUUGUUUGGAGGAACCUUAUUUGGAUAUGUAGCAUAUGAUGUUACUCAUUACUACCUGCACCAUGGGAAGCCAUCUAAUAGAUUGACUCAAGAUAUGAAGGUAACAAUUUGGUGACUACUUAAGACAUCCUGUCCUGUGCACUUGUUCUGUCAUGUUUGAUAGUAUUUGUUUCUAUUUGACAGAAAUAUCACUUGAACCAUCACUUCAGAAUUCAGAGUAAGGGAUUCGGGAUCACUUCCUCCUUAUGGGACAAUGUUUUCGGAACAGUGCCUUCAACAAAAGCAGCAGAGAAAAUGAGUAACCAGUAGCACUGGCUGGUUAACAUGGAUCUUCUUGCUACUGUUGUAGUAACUAGUAAGCCUUUCUGCCUCUCAUAUCUCAUUUUCUAGCAACAUCUUGCAUAUUUUAUUUUUUCUUUUCUUAAAACAGCUGGACCGCUGGAGCCAUAGUUUUUUGUCUCACUUUUCUCUAAACCCAAAAAUUGUCUGGAAAAUGAAAUGAUUUCCUACAUUGUACUGUAAACUUCUUUAACCACUACCUACAUGAUUUUUCUACCAACAGCUUGACCACCUAGAGAACAAUAACUUGCCGAUUAUAUCCAGUUCACUUUUGAUUUUAACUCGAGAACAAUAACUGCAGUAUUUGGGGCUAUGGAACAUGACCGGCAAGACUGACAAACUCUCCAUCAAUACAUGAAGGACUUCUGGCUGCUUUGCAUAUGUAAAACUAUUGAUGGGGUUUGGUUUCUUUGGCUCCAUAUGACCCCCAGAAACUGACACUGAUAUUCUUGUUCAUGUAUCAUGUGUGUUUGUUACUACAAUAGUCGAUUGCAGAUGUAUGUUCAUGCUCUAUGCUGUUGAUUAUUCUUCUGCUUGUAUUUUCAUAUGGAUAGAAUUAAUUCGAGUAGUGUAGAGGCAUAUCAUUUACUGAUGUAAACUUGGAUUUGGGAGACAAUCCUUUAACUAGCCAAGAGUCUCUGCCCAUCUCCACCGUGCCCCUCCGUCGGGGAGAAGAUGGAGGAGGGAGGCAAGUUGAAGGUUGUGGUACCAGACUACCAGAUAUGUAAUCUUGCCCGCAGUCACCAAAUUAAGGCAUAUUUAUUAUUUAGGCGGUUUCGAUGGAGACUAGUAUACAGAAUACAAAGCCGUGCGUUACAAGUUAGCCGGAUUGUGUAAUUAUCUCUACUCAUUAUUAGAAGUUGGAUUUAAUUAGUUAAAUACCGUGACUAAUGUAUGGUAGCAAAGCCAUGAUAUUGAUUUAUCCAAAAAAAAAAAAAACACUUGUUUCACGCCAUAACCAAUACUUUGUUUCUUAAUAUUAAGAAAUAUAGAAGCAACGGAUUUGAAAAUAAUUCAAGUAACGUGUAGGAGAUUGAAUCACUAAUCUCUCAAGUGAUGGGUCCUUGGUUAGGUGGGUUGUACUGCUGAAACCUUUCAUACAUAGGCAAUUGGCAAUUCAUGCAAUUGGAAGCAAAUUAAAGUCUAGCUUAAUUAGCUUCUUUAUUUCAUGAUGUCUCCUUCAUCUUUAAAUUUGCCGUCACCUUCAACUUGAGCACAAGGCCGGCUACAACAAUUAAUAAGGAACAGUCUUUGUUCUGGUUUAAAUUGGUUCCGAAGUAAUAUAGGUGACAAGAUGGUUGCUCUGGACUUCCAAGUUAAUUUGAAUAAAGCCCUUGUGUUCCAGGUAAAAGUGUGCGGACACUGCAUUUCAGAUAUUGUAUUUUUCUGUAUCUAUACUUCUAUCACUGUAGAUGAAAAAGUAGGCUCAGUAAUACUUGGUGUUGUGUUAACAAUUUCUUUUACCUAUGCUGAAGAUAUUUAAUGAAACAUUGCCUUUGUGAACACAGUUUUCACCCAUCUAAGCAGAAGCUUUGAUCUAAAUCUUGUAGGUUAGGAGUUACUUUAGCUAACAAUCCUAGUGAUGAGACUGUUUGAGCCCAGUGGGGAUUUUGGUCCAAGACUCGUAAUAAGUUUUGGAUAGCAUUUGAGCCAGUAUUUGUGGCCCUUUUUAAAAUAUGAAACUCAUGUAGGGUGGCGAGCUCUGGAAAUACUGGCCCUUUUUAAAAUAUGAAACCCAUGUAGGGUGGCGAGCUCUGGAGGCGCGCGAGAUGGAAUUUGACAAGGACUGUGUUACUUCGCGAGGUCCACGUUUCAGUUUGCGUAUGAGUCUACAGUGCUUGGCGAGGCGGGGUAGUAUUAAAAGCCUAAGCGGAGUCUAUUAUGACACGUGUUACGUGGAUAGCUCUGUUCGCGGGCGGGUCGUGUCCUUGUGGAAUUCUAAUUGUUGAGUCCGAAUGGGUUUGUGGUUUAUCUCUAUCAGCUAGCCGCGGGAUGCUAUAUGAAGGAGCUCGAGGAUUAUUCAACACACACAAUCAAAUCAUACAAAACUACAAACAAAUCUUCGAGCAUCCUCGAAACCCUAAAGUUCUAAGUGCACCUCGUCUUAGUUCUUAGAGCCCGUUCGGACUUGCUCUUUCUUCAUGAUUAUUGCUCUGCUCACUCUAACAGUGAGUAUCGAUUCACAGGUGAAUAGAGGUUUGCUCGUAAUCCCUCGUCCGCGAGGUGGCACCGGAAACCUUUUCGCUUGAUUAGAAGUCCAGCACAACGCACUCAUUCCGUGCCCGCGCGUUGGCACGCCUCGCAACCUUGUUUUUUACUUUUGACGUCACCGGAGUUACAACUCUACCCCUGUUGAGACGCGUGGCCAAAACAGAGACCAAAUUGAAACUGAGCUGUGCUUUAUGAAAUAAAAUUAGAAAAAAUUGAUUUCUUGAAAAUUUUGGUACACACUUCAAUAAAUGUAAUUCACAAUAUGCAUAUCACAAUUGAGCUUAGCACACAAUUCUACAAGUCUAACACACAUGAUGCAAAUGAAUAGCCCUGAUCAUGAAUCAGAAACUCUUCUUCAGGCUAAUUACGGAGAGGGCGACAUGAAUCAGAAAGUCUUCCACAUAAAUUAUCUAAAAUUGUGCUUGCAGACCGCUGAUAAUGGAUUUGUCAACUUGGAAAGCCGUGGCCAGAACAUCAUCUGAAAUUGAGGGAUUGGGUCCAAAAACUGAGUUUGCAACAGUGAUGACUCCAGGGUUUUGGCUGCUCAAAGAAGACUGCGAAAUGGCUGUUCCAGAUCCCAGAUUUUGCUGGAAGUGGACUAGUCCAACAGGGAAUACAAACACAUCACCCUUAUUGAGGACCUUUGAGAUGAGCUUAUUCUCUGGGUUGGAAGUCACAAAGCCAACAUAGAGCUUGCCUUUAACAACUGUCAGAAUCUCAGUCGCACGAGGAUGAGUGUGGGGAGGGGUAACACCACCUGGUGCAUAGUGAAUUCGAGCCAGUGAGAUGCCGAGGGUGUUGAGUCCUGGAAUUUGAGCCACAUUUACUGGGGUAACAUUAACGCCAAGAGGGUUUGAGGUGUUUCCAGGGAUGUGAAGUCCUCCAAAGGAGAAAUUGUCAGCUUGUGCUAGCUUGGAGUAACAGCACAACCCCAUUAGUUGCCAUUAGUUGCAGAACGUGUUUGAAGGGUGUGCCACUAAAAUGUGAUUCAUGCGAGGCUUACAAAGGUGAUGCCCGGCUUCACAUAAAACAUUUGUAACCAAAAUGGGUUAGACAUGUGUCACAGACAAGGAGUCGGGCAUCAUCUUUUUAAGAAAAGUAAAAACUUCUUCGCUUCAUACGUCUUAGUGAUCUUACAAUAUAAUUACGUCAUGAUAAUCUUAGGUAUUUUGAGUUUAUUUGUAAGAAUUAUCUAAUUAUCAUAGAGUUUCUAUCAACAUAUAAUUAGUCGACUAAAAUAACGAUUUUGAUAUCAGUCACAUGAUGAAGACAAAUUUCGAUAAAUGAGAAACUGUACGUAUGUAUUAUUAAUGAUUCCGAUAAUUGAAUUACACAACAUAAUUAUGUAAAAUUUAAGCUUUACGAAACGCGUGGCAAAAGACCGUGAAAUAGUCCUAUUGUUAUGGGAAAAUUUUGCACAGCGGACAAACCCAUUGUUAUGAACAAAAAUCAGUUUAUUAUUGGCGAAAUAAAGAGAUGGAGAGCAUCUGAACAUGUCUAAUAUUGCAAGUGGAAGACAAAAUCAUGAAAGUUUGUAAUUGUUGGAAUUGAAUUAUUGACCACCACCAAAUUUCAUCUGAAUUCAUCUCACCGUGUUACAGUUAGAUAUGUCUUUUUCUAAUCGAAAAUUCUUCAGUGCACCAUGGUUCAAGAGAACCAAUUGUCAUUGACCAAUCACAAUCAUUCAUUUAAUCUAGUAAAUUAUUUAACACUAACAACGAUGUAAACACCGUUAAAAAAUUAAGAUAAAAACACAAUUAACAUGGUAAAAACACUUAAAAGCUAAGGUAAAUGUAAGACUAGGGUAAACACUUUGGUUCCAGUCUCUCCUCCCCUCUCCGCUGCUCACUUUCUCUCCUCUGUCCUUUUCCCCCCUCUCUCUCCACGUCCACCUUGUCACCCCUCCUUCCCUUCCUCCUCCGCCAAUCUCCGCCUCUCGGGCCGCCGUUCACUUCCACAUCAUCGCCCUCGUCGACGCCGCCGACUCUCACCGCUUGGCCAUCAAGCAACCCCUACACUCGAGGUCACUCACUCCUCUCCAAAACUCUCGGCUCCGAGCUCGCUAAUCAAAUUGUGAAGCCGCUAUUGAAGACGUGGAAGGAAGCAAUCCUAAGUAAUUAGGAUUGGUAUCCCUGUUAGUUUGAUGUAAUCUUCUCACGUUAGGGAAAAUCUAGUCUUACCUUAUUCAGUCCUAGUACAACUAGAAUUGUGGAUCUAGACAGCUUGAUAGAUGUGUAUAUAUGUUGUACAAACUGUUAAAAGUUAAUUAAGAAAAUUAGUUCUUCACAAUAUCACUUUCUUUAGCCUCCAAUCUCGAAUAAGCAUGUGGUGGCUGCAGAAAGCGAUGAGGAGGAUUAGAUGUUGGUGAGUUUGAACAUUGAGCAGAGGAGGGAUGAAUAAGAAGAAUGAUUUCCAGUUCUUUGUUUUCUAAAGGGAUGAAUAAGAUAGAUGUUAUGUAUCUGAUUGGGUUUUGGGGAAGAAUUGGUUUUGGAGAAAGAAUUGGGUUUUGGCUACGUUUAGUGUGUUAUUUGAAGAGAGUUUUCUAGAUUUCUGAAUUUUAAGUGUUUUUUACUGCAUUUUGACUUUUCAAGUCAUUAACGACGUUUGUUGAAUCCGUUAGCACAUAUGAGCGGUUCAAGUGCACCAUGAUGCACUGAAUCCGCUCCGCUUUUCUAACUUGCUUAAAUAGAUAGUUAUAGAAGAACAGACCAACAUUGGUAGGAGAGCAUUUGCACCAAUGCACCAAUUAGAUGACCGAUUGGUUGAUUUCCUCUAGUUUGCAAUGCACCGGGCAAUUAUUACCCGACUGAUUAAUGGGUCCCAUGUGAAUAGUUAUUGCCUAGGCAAUCUAAUUGCUAUAAUUGCCCAUCGUUUUGCCUGACCAAUUUGGUGGGCUCCAUUUUCUUCUCCUAUCUAUUUUGCAACGGGUAAAUCUCGGCACCUAUGUAUUGGAAACAAUAGCUUAAUUAUGGCCGUUGGAUUGGGAUCUAAUGGGUAUUAUUAAAUAGCAACAGUAAUUCUUUUGUCUAUUUAAAAAAUCACAAUAUUUUUUCUUUAAAAAGUUACAUCACUCCCUAUAAUUUCUAGCACCUAAAUUUUUGAAAGUUUCUCUCAAUUUUCUUCCUUCAUCGAUUUAUUCUUCAUUGAUUAAGUUUUAUCAAAGUUAUUCAAAAAAAUAAAAAGUUUUAUCAAAGAUAAUCUUGUUUAUCAAAUUAUAAGUUUAACGUUUUCAGUCUAAAUUAUUCAAAAUUGUAUUAUGAAUAGUGAAUUAGCAUGCAAAUUGUAUUCAAUUGGUGCAUUGACAAAAGGAGAGCAAGUUGUCAAUUUCAGAUAAAUAGUGAAUUAGCACUGUCAAUUCAAUUGACAAAUUAGCAAUUGCCUUUGGCUCCUUACCUAACAGGUGCAAUUGCUCGUAUAAUAAAAUCAAAGAGAACUAAUUUCGAACAACAUAGGAAAAUUAUAUGUACACAUGUAAUUAAAAGCUUGUUAUACAAGAAGCCUGCAAAUCAUCCAACUCAAGAAAAAAAAAAUUAAAAACAAAAACCUUCAAGGAAAACUAACAGUCUAACACAAAUCAUGAAGCCAGUACAUUUUGAUCUAGUUUCUUCUUGGAUGCACUGCAAAACAUCAUUGACAUGAAACCGUAUCGAUUUCGUCCCCAUCUAAGUGAACUAACCAUAUUUAUAUUGAUAGAGCCGGCCGUGAAGUAUUCGCCUUCUCCGGUCAUGGCUCCCCGAUGGGAUUGCAAACAGUUAAGGAAAGCAAAGAUGAGGAAGAAGAGGAAGAAGAAAUGAGCAAUCACCAUGCUUGAGAGCCCUGAAGGAGCACAAAACUGUCAAAGAAACUAGGACAGAACUGCCUAGCUAUAUAUGUGGUGUAAUAAUAUAUGGUUGACACAGAGAGAAGCGACACUAACAUAAAUUCAAAUCAAGCUCGACUGAGCAACCCUACUAGAUUUCAAAAUUUGAAAAUGCCAGAUCUGAUGCUUGAUGGGUUGCUUUGGCUGUUCAUGGUUUCAAGGUAUAUUUUAAGGAGACGUCUGGAAUGUACCCAGAGGGUGCUGCACCCAGAUGUAUGUCCACGUGUCGACGAGACAGAGACCACAUGUGGGUUAUCUGAUAUGUAUAAGGUUGGGGUAAAUACGAGGUUAGUAUUUAGGGGUUAGGGUAAAUAAGGGGUAAGAGAAUGUGGGUAAAUACACAGAUGUAUUUUGGUUUGGAUAAGAUUUUAUUUUUCGUCGUAAACAGAUGUCUUCUUUCCAUUUCCACAUCUCUUUCCAUUUCUUCUUUCUUCUUUCUUCUUCUUCGUCUUUCCCUUUCCUCUGCCAUGGCCUACUUCAGUCCACCUUCAAAUCCGAACCCUCAUCAGAUCAAAACACCAAAUCCGGCUGAGCGAACACGACGGCGGGGAUUCGACACGGUUUAGAUUGGAUUAAGUUGGGGUGGGUUAUAGCUUUUGAGUAAUCCUUUGCAUCUGAUAUCCCAAGUAAUGGAUUUUCAAUUUAUGGGUUAUAAGAAAGAUACCAGAUCUGCAAGUUUUAUGGGUUAUUCAAUGGCACAUCAAAUCAUUGGUAUGAAUGGUAUCUAGAUAUAUAAGAAAACAAUCUGGUAUGAUCUAUAUCAAUAGUUUGGGACUGAAAGAGGAAUAAAUCAUUGGGGAAAUUUUGUUUCUAUUAUCGGAGUGUGUAUUUGGGAAUUUGAUUGACUGAAAGAUUGUAUUGUGGGUGAGCUAGUUGUGAUCGAAGGAGUGAAUUUUUGCGAACUGGGCAAUAGACUUGAUAGAGUUGGAGAAAGAGAAGGAAGAUAUGGAGAGGAUUCUCACGUAGUUGGAGAAGGAAGAAAGAAAUAUUUUAUUUUUAUUUUUUGGGUGAGUGCGGUAUCUCAAUCCAGGAGGUUUGGAUCAGAGUGGGGUCUGUUGGAUUGGCUUGCCGGAGUCGAUGGUCGGAUGGUGCAUAUCGGAGGCGAGUUGGGACCGACAGCAAACGAAGACGACGGAUCCGAAUCCAAUUGAAUGAGUUCUUUGUUUGGAUUGGAGUUGGGUGGCUUGAGGUUUCUCGACGUUGGGUUGACAGCAACAGUGGCGCAAGGGUGGCUCGACUCUGGUCGGAAGGCGGCGACGGUGGUGGGAAGACACAGCCUCUUCUUUGGGCCGGGCAGACUGCAUGCCUUAAGGGUUUGGACCUUUGGUCUUGGAUACUGCAUUUGGGCCCCAUCUGGGCUGGUGAUGGGGUUGGGCCCACUUUUUGGGUCUGGCCCUGUUUGUUGUUUUAUUUAUUGUUUUUACUGUUAUAGGUUAUUUUGUUUUUACGCUCUUCCCUACCUUUCCGUGACCUAAUUUGGUUGAUUCUUCCACACGUUAAACUCUCACAUAGCUGAGACGUAACCACACAUGUAAAAAUUUGGAAACGUUUACCUCCUAAAGAUAAGGCUCCCCAUAGAGAAGAUUAAGCGUAAAAAAGCUGGACCACUUUUAUCGAGAACCAAUCGUUAUCCGAAAUACGUCAUUUUUCAACCAUAGCCGUAUUUCACUAUUUUAAUCACAUCUUAUUUCACGAGAUAUUUGAAAUUUUUGCUUCCAGUGUAUAGUUAGUUCAUAAAGUUGUAUAGUUGCAUAUAAUUUGCUAUAUAAGUUGUAUCAUAUUAGUAGGCACGUUAUGAUUUCGAUUACUAAAAUUCAUAAAAUGAAAAUUCCACCGUCAGAUAUGAUCAUUAUAGUAAAACAUGGCUAUGGUAUAAAAUUCAACUCAAUUUGACAACGUUCGAGGCUCGAUCGAAGCGGUCAACCCUAAUCUAUCGUCACUUAUCACAAGGAUUCGCUAUUUCCUACCUCUCUGUGACCUAGUUUGGUCGAUUCUUCCACACGUUAAACACUCACAUAAAUGAGACACAACUACACAUGUAAAAAUUUAGAGACGUUUACUUCUCGAAGACAGGGCUCCCCAUAGGGAAGAUUAAGCUUUAAAAAGGUUGACCGCUUUUAUCGGGAAUCAAUCUUUAUCCAAAAUACGUGAUUUUUCAACCAUAACCGUAUUUCACUAUUCUGAUCACAUCUUAUUUCACGGGAUUUUUGAAAAUUUUGCUUCCAGUGUGUAACUGGUUCACAAAGUUGUACAGUUGCAUGUAACUUGCUAUAUAAAUUGUAUCAUAUUAGUAGGCACUUUAUGAUUCAGAUGACUAAAAUUCACAAAAAGAAAAUUCCAUCGUCUGAUAUAAUCAUUAUAGUAAAACAUGGCUAUGGUAUAAAAUUCAAUUCUAUUCGACAACGUUCGGGGCUCGAUCAAAGCGGUCAACCAUAAUCUAUCGUCACUUAUCACAAGGAUUCACUAUUUCCUACCUCUCUGUGACCUAGUUUGGUCGAUUCUUCCACACGUUAAACUCUCACAUAGAUGAGACGUAACCACACAUGUAAAAAUUUAGAGACGUUUACCUCUCGAAGAUAGGGCUCCCCAUAGGGAAGAUUAAGCGUGAGAUUUUUGAAAAUUUUGCUUCCUCUCUAUGGUUGGUUCACAAAGUUGUACACUUGCAUAUAACUUCCUAAACAGGUUAUACCACAGUAGUAGGCAUAUUGUGAUUCCGAUGACUAUAAUUCACAAAAUGAAAAUUCCACGGUCUGAUAUGAUCAUUAUAGUAAAACAUGGUUAUGGUAUAAAAUUCAACUCGAUUCGACAACAUUCGAGGCUCGAUCGAAGCGGUCAACCCUAAUCUAUCGUUACUUAUCACACGGAUUCGCUCUUUCCUACCUCUCUGUGACCUAGUUUGGUCGAUUCUUUCACACGUUAAACUCUCACAUAGAUGAGACGUAACCACACAUGUAAAAAUUUAGAGACAUUUACCUCUCGAAUAUAGGGUUCCCCAUAGGGAAGAUUAAGCGUAAAAAAGGUUGACCGCUUUUAUCGGGAACCAAUAUUUAUCCAAAAUACGUGAUUUUUCAACCAUAGCCGUAUUUCACUAUUCUGAUCACAUCUUAUUUCACGAGAUUUUUAAAAAUUUUGCUUCCUCUCUAUAGUUGGUUCACAUCUCUAUAGUUGGUUCACAAAGUUGUACACUUGCAUAUAACUUCCUAAUUAAACAAGUUAUGCCACAUUAGUAGGUACAUUGUGAUUCCGAUGACUAAAUUCACAAAAUAAAAAUUUCACCGUCCGAUAUAAUUAUUAUAGUAAAACAUGGCUAUGGUAUAAAAUUCAACUCAAUUCGACAAAAUUUGGGGCUCGAUCGAAGCGGUCAACCCUAAUCUAUCGUCACGUAACACACGAAAACGUUCUUGCCUACCUCUCCGUGAUCUACUUUGGUCGAUUCUUCCACAAGUUAAACUCUCACAUAGAUGAUACGUAACCACAAAUGUAAAAAUUUGGAGACGUUUACCUCCUGAAGAUAAGGCUCCCCAUAGGGAAGAUAAAGCGUGAAAAGGGUUGACCGCUUUUAUCGGCACCCAAAUGUUACCCGAAAUACGUGAUUUUUUAACUAUAGCCGUAUUUCACUAUUCCAAUCACAUCGUAUUUCAUGAGAUUUUUGAAAAUUUUGCUUUCUCUAUGUAGUUGGUUCACAAAGUUGUACACUUACAAAAAACCAACUAAACAAGUUAUAUCAUAUUAGUAGGCACGUUGUGAUUCCGAUGACUAUAAUUCACAAAAUGAAAAUCCAACCGUCUGAUAUGAUCAUUAUAGCGAAACAUGGCUAUGGUAAAAAAUUCAAUAGGAUUCGACAACAUUCGGGACUCGAUCGAAGCGGUCAACCCUAAUCUAUCGUCACUUAUCACACGAAAACGCUCUUACCUACCUCUCUGUGACCUAGUUUGGUCGAUUCUUCCACAUGUUAAACUCUCACAUAGAUGAGACGUAACCACACAUGUAUAAAUUUGGAGACGUUUACCUCCCAAAGAUAGGGCUCCUCAUAGAGAAGAUAAAACGUAAAAAGAGUUGACCGCUUUUAUCAGCACCCAAACGUUAUCCGAAAUACGUGAUUUUUCAACCAUAUCUGCAUUUCACUAUUGCAAUCACAUCUUAUUUCAUGAGAUUUUUGAAAAUUUUGCUUCCUCUCUAUAAUUGGUUCACAAAGUUGUACAUUUGCAUAUAACUUGUUUAAACAAGUUAUAUCACAUUAGUAGGCACGUUGUGAUUCCGAUGACUAAAAUACACAAAAUGAAAAUUUGACCGUCUGAUAUGAUCAUUAUAGUAAAACAUGACUGUGGUAUAAAAUUCAACUGGAUUUGGCAACAUUCAGGGCUCGAUCGAAGCGAUCAACCCAAAUCUAUAUGUUUUGGGAAUAGGAUUGACCGCUUCGAUCGAGCCCCAAACGUUGCCGAAUCCUGUUGAAUUUUUUAUGAUGGUCAUGUUUCGCUAUAACCAUCAUAUCUGAUGGUCAAAUUUUCAUUUUGUGUAUUUCAGUCAUCGGAAUCACAACGUGCCUACUAAUGUGGUAUAACUUGUUUAGUAAAUUAUAUGCAAGUGUACAACUUUGUGAACCAACUAUAGAGAGGAAGCAAAAUUUUUAAAAAUAUCGUGAAAUAAGAUGUGAUCAGAAUAGUGAAAUACCGCUAUGGUAAAAAAAUCACUUUAAUUCGGCAACAAUAGAACCCCAAUCCAAGCGGUCAACCCUAUUUACGCUUAUGUUGUACUAAGGGGUGCCCUAUCCUCGGGUAGUAAAUGUUCCCAAAUUUUUACAUAGGUGGUUGCAUCUCAUCUAUGUGAGAGAUCAACUUGUAGAAGAAUCGACCAAACUAGGUCACGAAUGGGUACUUAAAAGCGUUUCCGUGUGAUAAGUGACGAUGGAUUAGGGUUGACCGCUUUGAUUAAGCGCCGAACGUUGCCAAAUCCAGUUGAAUUUCAUAUCAUAGCCAUAUUUUACUAAAUUUAUCAUAUCAAAUAGUGAAAUUUUCAUUUUGUGAUUUUUAGUCAUCAGAAUUACAACGUGCUUACUAAUGUGGUAUAACUUGUUUAGUAGAUUACAUACAAAUAUACAACUUUAUGAACCAACUAGAAAAAGGAAACAAAAUUUUCAAAAAUCUCAUGAAAUAAAAUAUGAUCGGAAUAAUGAAAUACAACUAUGGUUAAAAAAUCACGUAUUUCGGGUAAUGUCUAGAUGCUGAUAAAAGCGGUUAAUUUUUCUUACGCUUAAUCUUCUCUAUAGGGAUCCUUAUUUUCGGGAAGUAACUUAUAUUAACCCCAACUGGACAUGAGAGUCUAGACACCAACUUUGUGCUGAUAGAGUUACUACCAUAGGCGGACAUGCCACAGUCUUUCUAAAACUAAACCAAAUUGACAUCUAGGUUCAUUUUUUACUUCAAGAUAAUUGUAAUUGGUUCUAUACAGGUUUUCAAUAACACAAAUCCCAAAUGAACACAGAUAUGAAUGGGAGGGAUAAUUUACCCAUGUCAAGAUAAAUGAGCCUAAGACAAACAUACAAAUCAUUCAAUGGGAGGCCAAGAAAGUACCAAUCUUGGGCACCCAAUUCAGCAAUUAAAUGAAGUAAUUAACACAAACGUACAACUAAUCAUAGAGAUUAAGAACUCAAUAAUAUGAUUCACAUCUCAAGACCAAUUACCCAGCACAAACAAACCCAGAGAUAGAAAAAAAAAAAAAAAAAAAAAUCGAUGAUCUACACCAAAAAGACAACAAAGCAACCAAAACUUGACCAAUUACCUGAAACAAUAUUAAUAUCUUUGCUGGAGAUAUUGAAUCAAAACUAAAAGUAACCAGGGAAACACAGUAAAGACAUUUGUACUCAAGUAUUUAAAAACACCACAUGAAUCAUCUUAUUCUUCGUAAUCUUUAGCUUCCCAUUAAUACACCUUCUCGAAUGAGCAGCAACUUGAGCAUACUUGAAGACAUGUAGACAGAGUAUCAAUAAGCCACAAUGAGAGUAGAUUAGUUACCAACAACAAAGAAUACAUGCAGAAUACUGAUAUAAAGUUUCCAAUUUAAUGGAAGAAGUGAUAACACUAAACUAAGGGAUUUCAACUUUGGCAAGAUCAAAACAUUUUUGAGUUAUCAAUUUUGUUUAGGGAGCUGUACAUGUAAGAACACAAUAUAACAUAUAUUAGAGAAAGAGAUUUCUGAAAUUUAUAUACAAGUGUCAACCAAUUACUAUCAGGUUAGCUACAUUAUCAAAAUUUUGAUUUCAUUAAUUUAGCAUGUCACUCAAUCAAGAUUUGGUAUGCUGGGAAUGAAUUUGGAUCUAUUUUUUGUCUUUCUAGGACCGAUAAAAUGGGUUCUGGAACCUUGCAUGCUAAAACUAAGCAUAUUCUGCAGACAAGACCAAGAAUUAUCUCUACUACAAGAGAUAUUAAAAAAGGGAACUUAUAACCACAACAUGAAAAAUGUAACACAACAGAUCACUCACCAAUAAAAUUAAGCAAGACAAAAUAUGCAUAAUAACAAAUUACUCAUCAAAAGGUUCCAGUGUUUACCUUUUCAUUAAUAACCUACAGCAUCCCUACACCACAAAACAACAACGAAAUUCAGUAAGCCAACCUCAUGAAUUUUAAAAAAUAACACUAAAUAAUAAUUUGAUGAGCAAAAUGGUAUCGUUGCUUAAUGUCAAUAGACCAACAGCUAGCCAAAAAGAAAAUGCCACUAUAAGUUAGGAAUGAAGUGAUCCACUACUCAACUAACACCUUCAAGGAAUAACAAUCCGACUCAUAUGACAGAACUAAUUGUUGGGUCAUCAAGAGACUUCUCUAAAUCCGUGAUAGACCGACGUUUAUGAAAACCUCUUGAGGACAGAACACUUAGCAGUUCCCACCGCAUUCAUAAUGAACGCAUGACAGCUCCAUUGACACACACAACACAAACAAAGCAAGGAACAUCUAUAAGUUUCAUAGCAGAAAAAAUUGCAAAUCCAGUCCACAAAACAUACUUGCCCUAAUGAAAAGUAAUCUGCAGCAACUCAACAAAACCAUAACACAUUAUUCAAAUACACUUGAUUUGUAAAUACCGUGCAAACAAACAGAACAUGCCAACAACAUCAUCUCUUCAUGCAGAAAACCAUAAUAACAUUAUAACAGACGUACAACAUAAGGAAAACUAUUUAGCUUGAUGCCAAAAGUUAACAAAUAGUCAUCCAUCUCAUCAGGUUAAUAUAACUCAACAAAAAAAGAAAGGAUAAUGAGACAAUUACCAGGCCUAUACUACAGUUCUACACAUACAAGCAACAAAUCUACAAUUCCCAUAGUGUAUGCAGAAUCACCUCAAUCCUUAACUGCCAUAUAUCAAAAGAACUUUUAUCUGCCCAAGGGAGCAAAAUAUCAGAAUCAAGAAAAUAUAGAAAAGGAAAACAAGAAAAACCAUGAAUGUAAGCUAUGAAAAUAAUGAAACAAAAGUCAUUAUAACAAUUUGAGUCAACUUCCACCUUAUAAAACUAUAAAGUCAUCCCGACUUGAUCUAAAGGCAUAGAACCCAUAUACGGAAACAAUCAAAUUAAUUAGAGACUAAAAACCAUUCUACAGUAUUAAUACCUGAAAUCGAAUCAAAAAUUUGAACUCAAUUCAGUUCAGUAGAUGAUGGUGGUGCUCCUUGAGCUCCUUCCAACACCACCGAGUCAACGACUUCAACCUCCUCCAAUUUCCCAAUCACCACUUGGACGCCAUAAACCUCCUCGGUGGCAAAUUGAACUUAAUCCCGUUUCGGUCAAUCCCGCUCAACACCAUCUUCAAUAAUUAACAAAUUUCACAUGUCCCGUUAUCCGGUAUCUAAAGAAAAUUAUAGGGAUCUCGAAUUUCUUACGGUUUCUUCCAUGGAUGAUAAGACCGGUUGCCGAUUUUUGGAACGCUCCUUCGAUUGCACCGGAUUUCAAUUUCGGGAUCUAGAUCGGAAACCGGCGACUCAUGGCCGUAUUUUCUGGAAAAACCCACAGUUUGCGCAAGAAUUUGGAUUUCUGCUCCGACGGCUGAUAUGAAGCAACAUAAUCGUUCUGUUUUCGGUCCACACAGAGAAACCCUAGAUUUUGGAGAUAAGAAAAGGAAUCAGAAGAUCUGUUGAAUCGAUCCUCUUAAUUGAUUAUAGAUGGCACGGGCGAGACGCGUGCGUACACGGUAAAAGUAUGAGUGAAAUCUGGGAUACCUAUACAUACUAGCCAAAUACAAACCGUCUUAAUACAGAAUCCAAAGGGACAAUACACAGACAGUAGGAGGGCAGCUGGGUGCAGCACCCUCUGGGUGCAUUCCAGAAUUCUCCAUAUUUUAAACGUUGCAGCAUCUUCAAUUAUUUGCAGCCAACUGGCUAAAGGUGUGGUUGCACAUGAUGUGAUGCUAACGUUUUGCAUCAAAGUCCAAAUGAAGAAGCAUACAGCACUACCUAACAGGCUUCCCAUACCCUAAAAUAUCUAUGACAAUAAUGAUAUUAUAACAUCCAAUUACAAGAAGAGGGUUAUAUUUUAAAUUUUUUGAAUACGACUUGUAAAGAUAUUAUGUGUUUGGUAGUAUAAAACAUACAUCUGUUUACUCUGAAGUUGCUUGUGAAAAUGGCAAAAUGAUCACAAAUAUUUGUUUUGCGUAGUAUUUUUUCACCAGAACAAGUUUAGGGAGAGAAAUGACAUCAUAUACCUUCGCGUCAAGACCUAACGUAAGAUUUAUGAUAAAAACAUCAAAUUUAAGUUUAGACUCAACUCGCUCAACCACAAAUACACACUAAUUGAAACAACUCAUUUUGAUAUAAACUUUAUGUGCUUAUCAAAUCUAGUUUAUUUGGCAUUUUGUUAAAACUAUUUUUGUUAUCAUUAAUAGUGUCUAUAUGCUAGAGAUGUUGUAACUCUGUCUUCUGAUGUCACUUGACCUGUUUCAGUUUGUAUUAUUAUUUGUAUACAUUUUACUUUAUGGUUAGAUAAAAUCCUUUCAUUAUGAUAAAGUAUAUAUGAAAAUAAUGUUACUUGCAUAACAAAAUCAUCCUUAGAGAAGCAAUCACAAACGAGUUUACCUGGUAAGUUGCAUCAUCACUUUUAGGGAUUAGGUAAAAGUGAAAAAGUAAUCAUUUGAAACGGUGAAAAAGAACAGAAAUUAAUAGAGGGUUGGAAAGGACAGGUGGCACACCGUCACUGGCAAACAGCUGGGAACUUGAAAGAGAGGCAAAGCUGUAAAUCCGAAGGUAAAGUACCAAGGGGGGCUUCCGGUGUUGAGGCCCAGUUCACUUCAGUCUAAUCUAGAUUAUCUAGUAGUAGCAAUCACGUGAGUAGCACAUGUCCGGAAGAUAUUUUGUAAUAGCUAGUCUAAGUCUGAGACCAUAUAACUCGGAUGUAUCUCUUUGAUGGACAUCAAUCAAACAUGAACUAGCUUUCUUUAUUUUCUGCAUUUUGCUUUCUUUCCCGUUCUUCUAGUUUAAGACCUCAACAUCCGGUUUCAGAUAUAAGCCGCGAGUCGUUCUCAAUCGCCUUCUGAUCACGAGUUUGUUUCUCUACGCUUUUAACCUCUUCAGCUCGUGGUCAUGGUCUCUCUUUUUCCACCGAGAACAAAACACAACCCAACUUUGAACUUUAACAAUCUUUCUGGGUGUCUUCCCAGUAUAAUUGUUCCUGCAUUGUACUCAAAAGGUUGAUACUUUAACUUUGAUGAUCAGAAAAUUGUCAACUUGUAUAGGAAUUAUUGAAGAUUCUAUGCAGAUUUGAUCUGGGUUGUGUAUUAGGAUCAUGAUCGUGUUAAUUGUUGAUCUGGGCUCUAUAGAAUUUGUAUAUCAGAGACGCAUUGUUGGAUGAGUUUUGUGUCUGGGUUUGUUUAUACUCUGCUGCAUUGUGUGGUGAUUGGAUUUGUAAAAUAGAUGCAGUUUAGUUUCUUAGGUGUUUGAUUUGAGGUUUCUCUGCUAUUUAAAGAUCUUAUGUUUCAUUUACUUUCUAUGAUAUGUAGAAAUCUCUAGCAGUGCUUGAAGUUAUAUGUAACGAGUUGGUGUUUAACAUUCAAAGUAGUGUAUUUCCUUGAUCAAAUUGCAUAUAGGGACAUAUAGGGACUAAAAAGACUUGCUUUUGGAAGAUUGGAACAAAGUUGAGAAAGUUAUAACAGUAACAAUGAUUUUUCAAACACAGUCGGUUUAAAUUUUAAAAGGUUGCCUCUAGAGGAGUUUAGAAAUGUAGUUCCUCGUUGCGUCGAAUUGUUUCUAUUUGUUAAUAUUUUUUUUCAUGUUAGAAGAAUGUCAAUGCCCAGGUACGCUUUGGUUCAGACUUGUGUCACACUUUAUAAUGGUUGGUUACAGAAACAAGGAAUAAGAAAAUUAAUGGGAUGGAAAGCCAAACUAAGAAUAAACUAAUUCAAUGGAUUAGACUGUACCACCUGCACUUCUGGUGUCCAGCCAAAGUACAAAACUCCGUAUUAUUGUUUAUUUGCUUGAGUAUCUGAUGUGGAAUUGCUUUGCUAUUCACUUUCUGAUUUUGAAGUUAAUUUUCUCACUACUCCAGUUACUUAAAAAGCCUGCGUAGAUGGUCGUCAAACCUUUUACUGUGGACUUGGAUAAGCCUCUCGUCUUCCAGGUUACAAUUCUUCACUGUUCUACAUUUUGUACUUUUCUGUAUGCCUAUCUGUGUAAAACGGUAAGGAAAAAUUUUAAGAACAAUACAUGACAAACGGUCCACUCUUAAUUUUGGUGUUUCAAGUUUCAAAACAAUCAAAAUGGUACAUGACGUUUAAAAGCCGACACAUUUUUAGCACAUGCCGUCAAUAACACCGUUAACUUUAUGUAAUUUCUCAUUUUUUAAAUUGUGGUUUCGGGUUUUCUCCAUUCUCUCUUUCUUUAUAUUGUAUUUUUUUUCCUAUUUAUAUACUCUCUUUUUUUUGUGAAUAUUUUUUUUUAUUUACAUACUUUUUUAAUCUUGUAAACUCAUACCAUAUAUUCUCAAAAACUUUUUUAAUCAAAUCAUCUUCCAACUUCCUCUUACAGUCCUACCUCGAUCGCCAUUUUUGUGUAUGCUGGGUUUGAACGGGGACGAAAAAGAGAGACAACAAUAUUCUUUUUCGUUUCUUAUUUCCCUCUCCUUAUUAAUUAUUAAUUUAAUUAUUGAUUUUAAUAAUUUAUUAUUGUUAAAUUAAAGAGUGACUGAUUUGCCCCUCAAAGUUUAACGGAAAACACGUUAGAUAACGGAGAAUGUAACGGAAUGUACAUAUUUUCGGUUAAGAUUACAAGUUCAUGUACCGUUAUGAUUGUUUUGAAACUUAAAACACCAAAAGUAAGAGUGGACUAUUUGUCAUGUAUUGUUCUUAAAAUUUUUCCAAACUGUAAAUGGUUUAGUCAUAUUUCUGAUUCUUCAUCCUUCCACUACCAGGACAAGCACUUUAGCCGACGAAAAAUUUUCGUCGGCCUGUUAUCUUAAUUCGUCGGCUAAGAUCUUAGCCGACGAAGGCUCGUCGGCUAAAGUGUCGUCGGGAAAAGCUCGUCUGUGAUGACUUUAGCCGACGAAAUUUUUUUUUUCGUCGGCUAUAGUCCCACAGUUAGCCGACGAAAAACAUGUCGUCGGUUUUUUUUCCAGACUUUAGCCGACGAAACAAUUAAUAUAUUCGUCGGCUAAAGUGUGUAAUAAAUAAAUUAAAAAAUAACUAUAGCCGANNNNNNNNNNNNNNNNNNNNNNNNNNNNNNNNNNNNNNNNNNNNNNNNNNNNNNNNNNNNNNNNNNNNNNNNNNNNNNNNNNNNNNNNNNNNNNNNNNNNNNNNNNNNNNNNNNNNNNNNNNNNNNNNNNNNNNNNNNNNNNNNNNNNNNNNNNNNNNNNNNNNNNNNNNNNNNNNNNNNNNNNNNNNNNNNNNNNNNNNNNNNNNNNNNNNNNNNNNNNNNNNNNNNNNNNNNNNNNNNNNNNNNNNNNNNNNNNNNNNNNNNNNNNNNNNNNNNNNNNNNNNNNNNNNNNNNNNNNNNNNNNNNNNNNNNNNNNNNNNNNNNNNNNNNNNNNNNNNNNNNNNNNNNNNNNNNNNNNNNNNNNNNNNNNNNNNNNNNNNNNNNNNNNNNNNNNNNNNNNNNNNNNNNNNNNNNNNNNNNNNNNNNNNNNNNNNNNNNNNNNNNNNNNNNNNNNNNNNNNNNNNNNNNNNNNNNNNNNNNNNNNNNNNNNNNNNNNNNNNNNNNNNNNNNNNNNNNNNNNNNNNNNNNNNNNNNNNNNNNNNNNNNNNNNNNNNNNNNNNNNNNNNNNNNNNNNNNNNNNNNNNNNNNNNNNNNNNNNNNNNNNNNNNNNNNNNNNNNNNNNNNNNNNNNNNNNNNNNNNNNNNNNNNNNNNNNNNNNNNNNNNNNNNNNNNNNNNNNNNNNNNNNNNNNNNNNNNNNNNNNNNNNNNNNNNNNNNNNNNNNNNNNNNNNNNNNNNNNNNNNNNNNNNNNNNNNNNNNNNNNNNNNNNNNNNNNNNNNNNNNNNNNNNNNNNNNNNNNNNNNNNNNNNNNNNNNNNNNNNNNNNNNNNNNNNNNNNNNNNNNNNNNNNNNNNNNNNNNNNNNNNNNNNNNNNNNNNNNNNNNNNNNNNNNNNNNNNNNNNNNNNNNNNNNNNNNNNNNNNNNNNNNNNNNNNNNNNNNNNNNNNNNNNNNNNNNNNNNNNNNNNNNNNNNNNNNNNNNNNNNNNNNNNNNNNNNNNNNNNNNNNNNNNNNNNNNNNNNNNNNNNNNNNNNNNNNNNNNNNNNNNNNNNNNNNNNNNNNNNNNNNNNNNNNNNNNNNNNNNNNNNNNNNNNNNNNNNNNNNNNNNNNNNNNNNNNNNNNNNNNNNNNNNNNNNNNNNNNNNNNNNNNNNNNNNNNNNNNNNNNNNNNNNNNNNNNNNNNNNNNNNNNNNNNNNNNNNNNNNNNNNNNNNNNNNNNNNNNNNNNNNNNNNNNNNNNNNNNNNNNNNNNNNNNNNNNNNNNNNNNNNNNNNNNNNNNNNNNNNNNNNNNNNNNNNNNNNNNNNNNNNNNNNNNNNNNNNNNNNNNNNNNNNNNNNNNNNNNNNNNNNNNNNNNNNNNNNNNNNNNNNNNNNNNNNNNNNNNNNNNNNNNNNNNNNNNNNNNNNNNNNNNNNNNNNNNNNNNNNNNNNNNNNGUCGGCUAAAGUUCACAGACUAUAGCCGACGAAAAAAAUUAUUCAGCCGAUGAAAUAUUACUUUCGUCGGCUAAAGUUGACCAUAGCCGACGAAAAUUUUAAAUUAGCCGACGAAAAAAAAAUUCGUCGGCUAAAGUGGACUUUAGCCGACGAAAAAAAAAUUCGUCGGCCUGGUUUUUUAUUUUCGUCGGCUAAAGCCUUUCUUCUGGUAGUGUUCAUCCAAUGAGUUUUGGUGCUAUGUUUAUACAUGCAAGUAUCCAGCAGCAUAAUGGUGUUUCAGAAGUAGUUGUUAUCUUUCUCUGGUUCUUAAGAUUGCACUGCCUUGCUUAAUUGAAAUUAUUUUCAUAAACGUUACUUUCUUUUCUUGUCAAGUUAAUUUAACUUUCAAUUGUUGAGGGGUGGCAGAGGCUUAGCUUGACUUCCCUUCGUAUAUAUGCAUUCCAGAAGGCAUUAGAAACAACAGUGUAAACAAUUUGUUGUCAAUUCUAAAUGACUAGUAUCAUUGAUAUGUGUCCAUAUAUAAGAAUACCUAUCGGGUUCCACUUAUUUUUGAGCGCCUUUGCACAAUUUCAGAUCUACAAUUUACAACACUUACUUGACAUAUAAUGUUUGUUGCGAGUCAAUUUUUUUGUUUUAGUAAUUCAUCUAACUUUGGCCUUCUACACCCCUGGAACUUUUACAGGUUGGUCAUCUUGGCAAAGGUUACUAUGAAUGGGUUCACCAACCUGUUGUCAGCAAGGAAGGCCCCAGAUUCUUUGCAAAUGACUAUUUGGAGGUAUUACUUUAAGAUCUUGCACUCAUAAAUUCAAACAGGCAUACAAUACCCGAAUACCACAUAACUAAGUGCAGCCAAUAUUUGUGGCGGUAUAUAGUCACAAGUCAUAGCCUUAUAGCCUUAGUAAUCCUCUUCAAGUAAUACAACAAAUUUGGAUUUAGAGACCUUCUUUUCAGUUAAAAUAUGUUGAGUGUGAUUAAACUUUUUAGCACUGGAACUAUAGAAUAUCUGUUAUGGUUAUAGAACAGCGAAGAAGCAUUAAUAACUAAGCCUAAAUGAGAUGAAAUAAAAUGGAUAUGCUAAAUGUUUGAAGGUUAUAAUUAUUUUUUGGUAAAAUCAGUUCUGCUAGUUUGUCAUGAUGUCUUUUAUGUGAGUUCAAAUUUUGGUAAACUUCUCAUCAAUACUGUUGUGGUCAUCUAUUGACCCAUUAACUUGAAACAGUUCUUGACCCGCACAACAUGGUGGGUGAUUCCACUAGUUUGGCUGCCUGUAGCAUCCUGGUUAGUCUCUGUGUCUCUCCGAAUGGGGCUUACUUUACCUCAGGCAGCUUUAGCGGUGGUUGGUGGAAUCUUUAUUUGGACAUUGUUGGAGUACGUUAUUCAUCGCUUCCCUCUUCAUAUGAAAACAAUAAGCUAUUGGUUGGUUCCCUAUCCAUGUCUGUCAUCUCUUCUUUCCCCCUUUUGAUGUAUUGCCUUCCUAAUUUGGUCACUUUUUGUAGGGGAAACACCAUUCAUUAUCUUUUUCAUGGUUGCCAUCACAAGCACCCUAUGGAUAGGAUGCACCUUGUUUUCCCCCCUGCAGUGACAGCUAUUCUGUGUGUGCCGGUAGGAUCCAUUUCACAACUCGACUAGACUAGUCUGCCUAAACACUUAGCAAUGAAUAGGCUGACACGAUCGAUCAGGAUAGGGUGCAAUCAAGGAUUCUGCUGCUGUAGUAUGCAUAUAAGUUUCACCCAGUUAUAAUUUAUCUGAGCGGAAGAAGAAAUUACAUGCUGCUCAAUGCAAAUAAUUUUUUGAUGAAAGAAAUCUCAUCACUUUGAUAAUUGGCUCAUAAGAUUGCACUAUUCUAGUUUGAGAGUGAUUUAUUAUUUUUGCUAUAUAAAUCAUCUCGGUUAUAUCUCUCUGCUGUUUCUGAUAUAUCAUGGUAUAUGUCUGCUAGUUUUGGAAUAUGUUUAGGCUUUUAUCACCUCCAUCAGUUGCUCCGGCUUUGUUUGGAGGAACCGUAUUUGGAUAUGUAGCAUACGAUGUUACUCAUUACUUCCUGCACCAUGGGAAGCCGUCCAAUAGAUUGACUCAAGAUAUGAAGGUAACAAUUUGGUGACUACUUAAGACAUCCUGUCCUGUGCACUCGUUCUGUCAUAUUUGAUAGUAUUUGUUUCUAUGCCUUCAUAAAUGUCUGUGUUUGUGUUGACAGAAAUAUCACUUGAACCAUCACUUCAGAAUUCGAAGUAAGGGAUUCGGGAUCACUUCCUCCUUAUGGGACAAUGUUUUCGGAACAGUGCCUUCAACAAAAGCAGCUGAGAAAAUGAGUAACCAGUAGCACUGGCUGGUUAACAUGGUGUUGUUGAGGUUGUUUUGUUGACUCAGUUAGCUUGGCUUAAUCAAAGUUGUUAAUAAGUUCCUGCAUAUUAGGAACAUCCUGUAGAGUUUGAAUUGUUCUGUAACAGGUACCAUGUUUUUAGAACGUGGUUGUUUUGUUUUGAAUUCCUUAUCUUGUAAAGGCUAUAUAAAGCCUAGUUCUGCAUUCAAUAAAAUUACUGAAGUCAUUCAGAUAAACUGAGUUCUAUUGUGAGUGCUUUGGUCUUACAAAUUCUGGUAUCAGAGCCCCACAAAGGGGGCCUGAUUGUGUGAUUAGAGUGUUUGAGUGAAACACAGUAAGGAAAAGUGAGUAAGAGAGAAUGGCGGUAGAAGGAAUUUUGUGCCCGUGUCGAUUCCUAAAUUCGACGGACAUUAUGAUCAUCGGUUGAUGCUUAUGGAGAAUUUUCUCCGAUCCAAGGAACUCUGGGGUCUCAUAGAGAAUGGGAUCCCAACGUCGAUGCAAGGAGCUCAACAACCAGUCACUUUCUCCACGGUGGUGGCAGAGAGAGGACAACAGACUGAAGCACAAUGUAAGCAGGUUGAGGAGCAGCGUCAGAGGUCGGUGAGCCGUGGUUUGGUUGGUUAAGGUGUUUAACUGACAACUUUGAGGUCACGGGUUCAAACCUCACGGACAUAUGUAGGGUGUGUGAGUUAUUAAUAAAAUGUUUUUUUAAAAAAAAGGAGCAGCGUCAGAGGAUCGAGGAGAUGAAGUUAAAAGAUCUCAAGGUUAAGAAUUAUUUGUUCCAGGCCAUAGAUUGAACAAUAAUGAAGACAAUCUUUGACAGGGAGAGCUCGAAGAGUAUUUGGGACUCGAUGAGACAGAAAUAUCAAGGUACUACUAGAGUGAAGAGGGCACAUCGGCAGGCCUUAAGGAAAGAGUUUGAAGUUCUCCAGAUGCGAGAAGGAGAAAAGGUGGACGAGUUUUUUGCUCGGACACUCACAAUUGUCAACAAGAUGAAGGUUCAUGGGGGUGCAAACAUGACACAAGUUGAAAUCAUCAAGAAAAUUUUGAGGUCAAUGACCUCAAAAUUUGAUUAUGUUGUGUGCUCAAUUGAGGAAUCCAAUAACUUGGAUACGCUGACGUUAGAUGAGCUACAAAGCAGCCUCCUUGUUCAUGAGCAGAGGUUGAAUCAUCAUACUGGAGAUAUAAAAGAAGAACAAGUUUUAAAGGUUUCUCAUGAGGAAUAGUUUGAAGGAAGAGGCCGAGGCAGGGGAUAUGCAGCUCGAGGCCGAGGAAGAGGUAGAGGGAGGCAAGCUUGGGCACUUCCAAUACGAGUGUCCUAGUUGGGAAAAGAAAACCUAUUAUGCCGAGAUUGAUGAAAAAGAUGAAAUGCUCCUAAUGGCGUAUGAAGAGACUAACAACUCAAAAAGGGAGGAAGUUUGGUUCCUUGAUUCAGGAUGCAGCAAUCAUAUGUGUGGGAAUAAACAGUGGUUUGCAGUUCUCGACGAGACGUAUAGACACUCUGUGAAGCUCGGUGACAACUCAAGGAUGAGAGUAAUGGGCAAAGGCAACAUAAGGCUUGAGAUGAAUGGAAUUAAUCAGGUAUUGACAGAUGUAUACUACGUGCCUAAUUUGAAGAAUAAUUUGUUCAGCAUAGGCCAACUUCAAGAACAUGGUUUGGCUAUUCUUAUACAAAAUGGAGAGUGCAGACUAUAUCACUCAAGGCAAGAUUUGAUUAUGCAAGCAAUGAUGACCACCAAUCGCAUGUUUGUCUUGUUGGCAAGUGUGGUACAUGAAGCUCCAACAUGUUUGCAAGCAACUACAGAUGAUAUUUCAGAGUUGUGGCAUAGGCGGUUUGGGCAGUUGAGCUACAAAGGUCUGCGUACUUUACAGCACAAAGAGAUGGUGAAAGGGCUUCCAUGUUUCAAGGCUGCAACAAGAACUUGUACUGAGUGCUUGGUGGGCAAGCAACAGAGGAAGAUCAUUCCGAAAAAGAGUCAGUGGAGAGCAAGUCACAAAUUGCAGCUUGUACAUGCUGAUCUUUGCACUCCAAUAACACCAUGUUCUAACAGUGGCAAGAGGUACAUCUUGACAUUUAUCGAUGACUUUAGUCGAAAAGUGUGGGUGUUAUUUUUGUUUGAAAAGUCUGAAGCAUUUGCAACUUUCAAAGUUUACAAAAGUCUAGUUGAGAAGGAGUCCAAUGCAUUGAUAUGUUGCCUACUUACUGAUAGAGGGGUAGAAUUUACCUCUAAUGAACUCAAUGAGUUUUGUAAAGUUAAUGGUAUUGGCAGGCAGUUGACGGCAUCUUAUACCCCACAACAAAACGGGGUAGCUGAACGCAAAAACCGAACCAUUAUGAAUGUGGUAAGGUGUUUGCUCUGUGACAAACAAGUGCCCAAGCAAUUCUGGCUAGAAGCUACAAGGUGGACUGCUCAUGUUAUUAAUCGAAGUCCUACACUGGUGAUUAAGGACAAGAUACCAGAAGAGAUGUGGAGUGGAGUGAAGCCUAAAGUAGACUACUUUAGGGUUUUUGGAUGCCUUGCUUAUGUUCAUGUGCUGGACCAGAAAAGAAAGAAGCUAGAUGAUAAGAGUAUUAAGUGUGUGAUUCUCGGAGUCAGUGAGGAGUCCAAAGCCUAUAGAUUGUAUGAUCCAUUUGCAAGGAAAAUUAUUGUGAGCAGGGAUGUAAUUUUUGAAGAAGACAAGAGUUGGAAUUAGGGGAGGACAGAUGAAGAGGUUAAGCUCGAUGUACUUGAUUGGGGAUCGGAGAUGCUGACUGUGUAGAUGGUGAUCAAGAUUUCAGUGACUCUGAUGAGAGUGAAGGAAUUGUAGAAGAUCGAAGAAGAGGACCAAACUGAAACACCUCCUCGAGUUGAUUUGGAAACACCUCCUCGAGUUGAAGCAAGCGCCACAUGCAUGGUACAGCAGAAUUGAAGCUUACUUUGUCAAAGAGGGUUUUGAAUGAUGCAAUUAUGAGCACACUCUUUUUGUCAAAACAGAAGAUGGAGGCAAGAGGUUUCUUAUUGUGAGUCUGUAUGUUGAUGACUUAAUCUUUACUGGGAAUGAUGCAUGCAUGUUUGAAAGCUUUAAGAGUUCCAUGAAGGUUGAGUUCGACAUGACAGACUUAGGGAAGAUGAAGUAUUUCCUUGGUGUCGAAGUUGUGCAAAGUUCAGAAGGUAUCUACUUGAGUCAAAGGAGGUAUGCUUGUGAGUUGAUUGAGAGAUUUGGAUUAUGUAAUGGUAACUCAGUGAAGAGUCCUAUUGUACCCGGUUCUAAGUUGUCAGUAGGUGGAGGAGGCGAUAAGGUUGAUGCAACUGUGUACAAGCAGUUAAUUAGGAGUCUCAUGUACAUUACUGCAACUCGACCUAAUUUAAUGUAUGUGGUAUGUCUCUGGAGCAGAUACAUGGCCAAUCCUACUGAUUUACAUAUGCAAGCAGCAAAAAAGGUUCUUCGGUACUUGAAGGGAACUGUGGGAUUGGGUGUAUUCUAUAUGAGAGAAGGUACUGGGGAACUCUUAGCUUAUUCUGACAGCGUUUAUGCCGGGGAUACUGAUGACAGAAAGAGUACGUCUGGUUAUGUGUUUAUGUUGAAUGGUGGAGUAGUUUCUUGGGCUUCAAAGAAGCAACCGGUGGUGACAUUGUCUACUACUUAUGUUGAAUGGUGGCAGCAGCUUUGUGUGCUUGUCAAUGUAUGUGGUUGCGGAGAGUGCUAGAGAUGAUUGGGAAUUCACAGAGCAAGUGUACUACCAUGAUGUGUGACAACAGUUCGACGAUUAAGUUAUCCAAGAAUCCGGUCAUACAUGGAAGAAGUAAGCAUAUAAAUGUAAGAUUCCAUUUCUUAAGGGAUCUUACAAAGAAGAAGGUGGUGGAGUUGGUUCAUUGUGGAACAGGGGAUCAAUUGGCUGAUAUCAUGACCAAGCCAUUAAAACUUGAUGUUUUCGAGGAGUUGCGUGGUAAGUUGGGAGUUUGUGAGGUACCAAGCAUAAACUGAAAGCAUACUGCUUCAGUUUAAGGGAGGAUAUGUUGAGGUUGUUUUGUUGACUCAGUUAGCUUGGCUUAGUCAAAGUUGUUAAUAAGUUCCUGCAUAUUAGGAACAUCCAGUAGGGUUUGAAUUGUUCUGUAACAGGUACCAUGUUUUUAGAACGUGGUUGUUUUGUUUUGAAUUCCUUAUCUUGUAAAGACUAUAUAAAGCCUAGUUCUGCAUUCAAUAAAAUUACUGAAGUCAUUCAGAUAAACUGAGUUCUAUUGUGAGUGCUUUGGUCUUACACAUGGAUCUUCUUGCUACUGUUGUAGUGUAAGCCUUUCUGCCUCUCAAAUCUCAUUUUCUAGCAACAUCUUGCAUAUUUUAUUUUUUCUUUUAUUAAAAUAGCUACCGCUGGAGCCAUAGUUUUGUCUCACUUUUCUCUAAACCCAAAAAUGAUCUGGAAGAUGAAAUGUUUUUAUACACUGUACUGUAAACUUCUUUAACCACUAUCUACCUGAUUUUUCUACCACAACUUGACCACCUAGAGAACAAUAACGUGCUGAUUAUAUCCAGUUCACAUUUGAUUUUAACUGGAGAACAAUAACUACAGUAUUUGGGGCUAUGGAACAUGACCCGCAAGACUACAAAAUCUCCAUAUACAUGAAGGACUUCUGGCUGCUUUGCAUAUGUAAAACAACUGAUGGGGUUUGGUUUCUUUGGCUCCAUAUGACCCCCGGCCCAGAAAUUGACACUAAUAUUCUUGUUCAUGUAUCAUGUGUGUUUGUUACUACAAUAGUCGAUUGCAGAUGUAUGUUCAUGCUCUAUGCUGUUGAAUAUUCUUCUGCUUGCAUUUUCAUAUGGAUAGAAUUAAUUCGAGUAGCGUAGAGGCAUAUCAUGUACUAAUGUAAACUUGGAUUUGGGAGACAAUCCUUUAACUAGCAAAGAGUCUGUUAGGAUCAUUCCUAAUCCUCAGCCUAAUCCUUCAAGCCCAUCAGCCCAUCAGCCUAAUCUACCUUCAUCAUGUGAUCCCUCAUGUACAGUUGCGUCUUCUUGUGACAGCAACUCAGUUCCCAGUUACAGCAACUCAGCUCCCAGCAAGAGUCUGCAGCUUAUGUUUUGUCUCUCUAGGCAGUGCCUAGUUUGUUGGCAUUCUAGUAGUAGUGGUCCUUGCCAACUGUAACGUUUGAAUUCAUCAACCCACCUAUAUGUAAGGAACUUCCUCUCCUGGAGAAGGCAUGAAUGAAAUGAAUUCAGUUUAAUUUCUUUUGUUUUCCCUUUCCGUUGCUCUUGAGCUUAUCAUUUGGUAUUCAGAACCAGAGCUUGGAGGGUCUCCGAUGAGAAACCUCCAAGUUUCAAACCCAUCCUCCACCCACCCCACAUCUGCCUUAGUCCCACCCAUCCCACCGCCUCGCAACGACAAUAUCCAGCAACCAAACCGCUCGGCAAUACCUCUUUCCACCGACAUUUAGCCACUUUUUAGGCUGCCGUCGAUGGCCUUCAAUCUCAGUAUGAUGAUGUGCAGCACGCCAUCGCGGCGAUAGCACGCAGCCAAACUCACAUGAAUCACCAGUUCGCUGCUAUCCAAAACAUCAUUCUCAAUCGGUGGGAAAACCACCCUCCCUCAACAGCACCACAAUCCGCUGCUGUUGCCCCGUCAUCCGCCCCCAUCAUCCACAGUUUGGAGCCUUACUCGCCACCUACACCUCCCUCACACCCAUUGACCUUUGGGUCAUUCUCUCCGGCGCCAACUACACCUCACCUCACUCUCCCUCAACCCACACUCACUUUAUUCACACCUCCCCAACUCACUUAUAACACCUCCUCUCACCAUCCUCACAUGAGUUCAGCGCCACCACAGUACUCGACCAUCUCAUCACCCCAUCCAUCCCCUCACCAACAACACAUCAACUACAAUCCUCCACCACCAAAUCCUCCGAACAACACCGAUUUUCCCCCUCCACCAAAUCCCAUUCCCGAACACCACCACUACCGACCCCCGCGAGUCGAACUACCACGUUUCAAUGGCGAAGACGUGGUCGGCUGGAUAACCUUGGCAAAGCACUACUUGCGGGUUCAUCACAUACCGCCCUUCGAUCGCGUUCAAACAGCAGCAUUACACUUUGGCAAUGACGCUUCAGUUUGGAUGAGUGCUUAUGAGCUCCGCCACCCCAACCCGACAUGGGACGAGUUUGUGGCAGCCCUCAUAUCUCGUUUUGGCGGUGGCACUCAGUCCAACUUCAAGAGCGCCCUCUCCCACCUACAACAGGCCGGGUCUGUCGACGAUUUCAUUCUUGCCUUCACCAAGCUCUCUUGUCGCGCUUCGGAUUGGCCCGACAAUGAACUUGUGCACAUCUUCAUUGGGGGUCUGCGCCAUGAGCUUCAGCAAGAUAUCCAAGUGUCCAACCCUACCACCCUAGACGAGGCACAACGCCUUGCAAGCUUAUUUGAGGCGCGCAACGCUGAGCUUCGCCAUUCCCAACCUUACAGACCCCGCACCUUUUCCAACCCACUUCCCAAUCGUUUCCACACAACCUCCCUUUCCACUUCACAUCGCCCCCCCCCCCCCCCCCCUGCACGCCUACCCCCAACAAACCCCACACCUCCCACUACCAGAACACACCUUCCCACUCCGCCACAAAACACCAAUCCUCGUUCCCCCUUCCGCCUCCUUUCCACUACAGAACAGAGAGAAAGGCGAGCCAAAAACCUUUGCUUCAACUGUGAUGAGCAGUAUUCCACCACCCAUGUGUGCAAACGGCCAUUUAUGGCCAUCCUCGACUUCGCCCAACCACCUGACGAGUACCCGGAGGUUGACACUGACCCACCGUUGCUCACCGAGGAGCCAACCCUUGAUUCCUCCGACCCCUUUACCCACUUCACGCCAUCACCAACACAAAGCUCUGUGAUAUGAUGCGUUUCAAGGGCUCCAUUGGCAAUGUCACCAUUAACAUCUUCAUUGAUUGCGGGGCCGCAAUGAACUUCCUUAACCCGGCUGUCAUCAACAAAUUGGGUCUGCCAAUUGCCCUCGCCGGGCCUCUUCGAUUCACAGCUGCAUCGGGCCAUUCACUCACUCCUUCUGGGGUCGCACACAACGUCACGGUACAAGCCCAAGCCUACAGUUUCACCGACUCCUUCUUUUUGUUGCCGGUGAUUGGCUGCGACCUUGUAUUGGGGGCACAAUGGCUGGAAACCUUGGGAUUUAUUGGUUGGCACUUCCGCAACAAACUCAUGGUCUUUGCAGUGGAUGGCCAGCGCCAUGUUUUGCGCGGCGAAACCUCCAACCCAGAGGCCGACAUCGAUGCUGUCGAUAUCUUUGACCUCAUCCCACACAAGCAGCUUGAGUCUUUCUCCCCUCCCCUUGCCAUUCUAGCCGCAGUCGCGCCACCAGCGCAUCCACCAGAGAUCACCCUUCUUCUCCAGCAGUUUGGGCCUCUUUUUGACGCCCUAGUGGGCCUUCCUCCCCACCGAGCCAUCGACCAUAGGAUCCCACUCCUUCCUAAUUGUGGGCCGGUCAAUGUUCGCCCUUACACUUAUGGUCACUCCCAAAAGUUUGAACUUGAAGCCCAAGUCACCACCAUGCUAGCUCAAGGCAUCAUUCGCCCGAGUUCUAGCCCAUUCUCGUCACCGGUGCUUCUUGUGCGCAAGAAAGACGACAAUUGGCGCUUUUGUGUGGAUUACCGGGAGUUGAAUGCGGUCACGGUCAAAGAUUGUUUUCCGAUCCCCGUGGCCGAUGAACUAUUUGCCGAGUUACAUGGGUCGUCCGUUAUACCAAGCUUGACCUCCGGUCCGGUUAUCAUCAAAUUCGGAUGCACGAGGCCGACAUCUACAAGACCGCAUUCCGCACACACGAUGGACACUACGAAUUUGUGGUGAUGCCCUUUGGCCUCUCGAAUGCUCCAUCCACUUUUCAAAGCCUCAUGAAUGGUACAUUUCGGCCCCUCCUUCGUAAAGGCGUGCUCGUUUUUCUUGAUGACAUAUUGGUGUAUAGCAAGGAUUGUGAAUCACAUUUGAUACUUUUGGAAAUGGUUUUGUGCAUCUUGCAAUCUAACCAACUGUUUGUUAAGUUAUCGAAAUGCGAGUUUGCUCAAUCAAGUGUGCACUAUUUGGGUCAUAUAGUCUCAGCCCAAGGUGUUUCAAUGGACCCAGAAAAGAUCAGCUGCAUUGUCAACUGGCCCAAGCCCAAGACAAUUAAAGCAUUGAGAGGAUUCCUAGGUCUAGCGGGGUACUACCGCCGUUUUGUCAGGCAUUUCAGCAUCAUUGCACGUCCUCUCACUGAUAUGCUCAAGAAGGAGAACUUUGUAUGGUCGUCAGCUUCCGAGCAAGCUUUCGUCGAUCUCAAAUCAGCCAUCACCUCAGCUCCGGUCUUAGCUCUGCCCAACUUCAAUGAGGAGUUCUUCAUCGAAACAGAUGCCAGUGGAUUGGGGAUCGGUGCCGUGCUCUCUCAAAGCAAACACCCCAUCGAAUUCCUCAGUCAAGCUCUCUCUCCACGUAACCAAUUGCUCUCUACAUAUGAGAAGGAGAUGUUGGCAGUGCUACAUGCGAUUUCUAAAUGGCGUCAGUAUCUUUUGGGUCACCACUUCACCAUCAUCACUGAUCACCAACCUUUGGUACACAUGUUUCAACAGCGGGUUCACACUCCGACACAACAGAAAUGGAUCUCCAAACUCUUGGGCUUCGAUUAUGCAGUCCAAUACCGAGCGGGUAAGCUGAACACUGUGGCUGAUACCUUGUCCCGCCGUGCAGAAUUUCUCAGUAUUCACGGCAUCUCAACCCCCAUCUUUGAUUGCCUUCCGGCAAUUGACCAGGCCUGCCGCUCUGACCCAAACGCCAGCGCCAUCAUCAGUGCCUUGGCAACAGGUGGCCCUACACCGGCGUGAUUUUCACUUGCUGCCUGUCGCCUCAUGUAUAAGGACAGGGUUUUUGUUCCCGCUACUUCCGAUUGGUGCCCUAAGAUCUUGUUUGAGUUCCAUGAUACUCUCACAGCCGGCCAUUCCGGUUUCCUCAAAACUUUCAAGAGGUUGACACGCAAUUUUGCGUGGCCUGGAGUUCGCCGGGAUGUUAAGAAGUAUGUGGCGUCAUGUGAUCAGUGUCAGCGAGUCAAUUCGGAGCACCGCCACCCUUCUGGUCUUCUCCAACCACUUCCUAUUCCUGACACAAUUUGGACAGAUAUUGCAAUGGAUUUCGUCGAUGGGUUACCGGCCUCUGCUGGCAAGACCUCUAUUUUGGUAGUUGUUGAUCGGUUGUCCAAAUAUGGUCAUUUCGUGCCAAUCAAUCAUCCUUAUACUGCUGCUCAAGUCGCCGAGGUGUUCACCAAAGAGAUAUUUCGGCUCCAUGGCAUGCCCAAGACCAUUGUCAGUGAUCGGGACAGGGUGUUUAUCUCAAAUUUCUGGGAGCAUUUUUCAAGCUUCAGGGCACUAAACUUUGCCGGAGCUCUGCUUACCACCCCCAGAGUGACGGUCAAUCUGAGGUACUCAACCGCACCUUGCAACAUUACUUGUGAUGUUUUGUUAGUGAUCGACCGGACUCCUGGGUUGAUCUACUACACUGGGCUGAAUGGUGGUACAACUCCACUUUCCAUUCAGCCAUCAAAAUGUCCCCCUUUCAGGUAGUCUAUGGGAUUCCACCUCCUUCGAUCCAGCGUUACAUUCCGGGCACUACAACCAAUCAUGCGGUGAAUGUGGCUUUGCAAGACCGCGAUGAGCUGUUGCGCAACCUCAAAGAUCAUCUCACUUUAGCCCAGAAUCAAAUGAAGCAACAAGCUGAUAAGAAACGCACUGAUCAGUCAUUUGAGAUUGGUGACUGGGUGUUUCUGAAAUUGCACCCCUAUCGGCAACAAUCUUUGGUACGCCGCCCUUCACAGAAGCUUGCCCCUCGCUUUUAUGGACCAUUCCAGAUUGCUGCCAAGGUUGGUUCAGUUGCCUACAAGCUCCUUCUACCAGACAAUUGCAAGUUGCACCCUAUUUUUCAUGUGUCUCUUCUUAAACGCCGCAUUGGUGAUCACACACCGGUUGCUUCUACAUUGCCUCAAUUUGAUGAUCAUGGCAUCAUUGAGUGGAAACCAGAGCGUGUGCUCGACAUGGCUAUCUUCACCAAGCAUCGGCGCCCAAUUACGAAAUGGCUUGUGGCUUGGCAGGGUCUUCCUAUGGAAGAUGCGACUUGGGAGGAAGCUCAUGCCAUGGUUCGCAGGUUUCCAGACUUUCAAGCUUGAGGACAAGCUUGUUCUUAUGGGGGGAGGACUUGUUAGGAUCAUUCCUAAUCCUCAGCCCAAUCCUUCAAGCCCAUCAGCCCAAUCUACCUUCAUCAUGUGAUCCCUCAUGUACAGUUGCGUCUUCUUGUGACAGCAACUCAGUUCCCAGUUACAGCAACUCAGCUCCCAGCAAGAGUCUGCAGCUUAUGUUUUGUCUCUCUAGGCAGUGCCUAGUUUGUUGGCAUUCUAGUAGUAGUGGUCCUUGCCAACCGUAACGUUUGAAUUCAUUAACCCACCUAUAUGUAAGGAACUUCCUCUCCUGGAGAGGGCAUGAAUGAAAUGAAUUCAGUUUAAUUUCUUUUGUUUUCUCUUUCCGUUGCUCUUGAGCUUAUCAGAGUCUCUGCUCAUCUCCACCGUGCCCCUCCGUCGGGGAGAAGAUGGAGGGGGGAGGCAAGUUGAAGGUUGUGGUACCAGACUAUCAGAUAUGUAAUCUUGCCAGCAGUCACCAAAUUAAGGCAUAUUUAGGCAGUUUCGAAGGAGACUAGUAUACAAAAUACAAAGCCGUGCGUUACAAGUUAACUGGAUUGUGUAAUUAUCUCAACUCAUUAUUAGAAGUUGGAUUUAAUUAGUUAAAUACCGUGACUGAUGUAUAGUAGCAAAGCCAUGAUAUUGAUUUAUCCAAAAAAAAAAACACUUGUUUCACGCCAUAACCAAUACUUUGUUUCUUAAUAUUAAGAAAUAUAGAAGCAACGAAUUUGAAAAUAACAUCAAGUAACGUGUAGGAGAUUGAAUCACUAUUCUCUCAAGUGAUGGUCCUUGGUUAGGCGGGUUGUAUUGCUGCAACCUUUCAUACAUAGGCAAUUGGCAAUUCAUGCAAUUGGAAGCAAAAGUCUAGCUUAAUUAGCUUCUUUAUUUCAUGAUGUCUCCUUCAUCUUUAAAUUUGCUGCCACCUUCAACUUGAGCACAAGGCCGGCUACAACAAUCAAUAAGGAACACUGACCAUAAAAAGGAACCCAGUUCGGGCGUUUUCUCCACAGCUCUCACUUCAAAACGCAGAAACCCUUCUGGGGGGGUUCUGAAUUCGUUUAGGGAGAGGAAGAGUCUUUGUUCUGGUUAAAAUUGGUUCCGAAGUAUUAUAGGUGACAAGAUGGUUGCUCAGGACUUCCAAGUUGAUUUGAAUAAAGCCCUUGUGUUCCAGGUAAAAAAGUGCGGACACUGCAUUUCAGAUAUUGUAUUUUUCUGUAACUUCUAUCACUGUAGAUGAAAAAGUAUGCUCAGUAAUAGUUGGUGUUGUGUUAACAAUUUCUUUUACCUAUUCUGAAGAUUGACAGUCUAUUAAUUCUCCUCUGAAGUGUUUGUUUGGCACUUCCCAGGGGUAUUUACCACUUGAUGACUUGAAGUUUGCUCCUCCUUAAUUUUCCUUCGCUUUUCUCCUUGAAUCUUUCUUUACUUCUUUCACAAGUAUUAGAGGAUGAGCUUGCUCUUUCCCUGUCUGUUGUGCCUCUGGUGCGUCUGAUUAGUUUUAGUCGUCCAAACUUUUAACCUUUGACAUGUUUCCAGGUUGGCCAUCUUGGAGAGGCAUAUCAACAGUGGGUUCACCAGCCUAUUGUCUGCACAGGGAGCCCUCGAUUUUUCGAUAAUGAAAUUUUUGAGGUACAGCCAGCCCCUUUCUUCGUGCCUAAUAGUCACUCUGUUUACGGAUAUAUAUGCUUACUUGCUACCUUGAAUUAUUAACAUUCACUAACUACUUGAAACAGUUCUUGACUCGCACUGUGUGGUGGGCAGUUCCUACCAUAUGGCUUCCAGUUGUGUGUUACUUAAUCUCCAUGUCCGUUCGGAUGGGCCAUUCUUUUCCUGGAAUAGUUCUGAUGGUUCUUCUUGGCAUUUUUUGUGUGGACAUUGCUUGAAUAUGUGUUGCAUCGUUUCCUUUUCCACAUUGAAACAAAGAGCUACUGGUUAGUCUCUCCCUCUCUCUUCUCUCUGCCCUAUGUCUCUGUGAUUUUUCUUAUUCUUUUUCUUUUUAUGGUAAUAUAUUCUUUGAGAAUACUGUGCUAGCCAGUUUUCUGAUAUUGCUUUAUUAGGGGGAACACCAUGCGUUAUUUUCUCCAGGCUCCCAUCACAAACACCCACUGGAUGAGCUGCGACUAGUUUUCCCUCCGGCUUUAACAGCUAUUUUCAGCCUUCUAGUAUGUAAUUUCCUCUCACAUAUGCAUCUUUACUCGUACCAGUUACCACGCGCGAGGUCACUCUUGCUAUAAUGCUAUGUUGUGCUUCAUGUCUUCAAAAGUCUUCUACUUAUGCAGCAUUAUAAUUCUUUAAAGUCGUCUUCGUCUAGGCAUCAAAUCGAGAGUGAUUUACUUUUUGAAAAUGAUUUUCAGUAUAUGAAAUUAUGAAGCAUAUUGUUUAAACUUACUACUUAUGGAUUUCAUCAGCCAAAUCCGAUUAUCUGAUAUAUCAUGUUAUAUAUAUGUCUAGUUUUGGAAUAUGGUUAGGCUUUUAUCACCUCCAUCUGUGGCUCCGGCUUUGUUUGGAGGGAUGUUAUUGGGAUAUAUAACAUAUGAUGUCACUCAUUACUACCUGCACCAUGGGAAGCCAUCCAAACGAUUGACUCAAGGUCUGAAGGUAACAAAUUGGAUCGAUACCACUUAAGACUAGCUCCCUGCAUCCUGCAUGUCUUCUCCUCUCUUUCUGUCAUAUUUGAUAGCGUCUACUGCAUUUCUAUGCCUUCACAAAUGCCUGCGUUUAUGUUUGACAGAGAUAUCACUUGAACCAUCACUUCAGAAAUCAAAGCAAGGGAUUUGGGGUCACUUCCUCCUUAUGGGACAAGGUUUUCGGAACAUUAUUGUCUUCAACAAAAGCUUCCGAGAAAAUGAAUAACCAGUAGCACUGGCUGUGCAUGGAGCUUCUGGCUACUGCUGUAGUAAACUAGUAACUAGUAAGCCUUUCCCCUUUUCAUAUUUUCUCUUUACUCAUCAUUUUUCACAUUCUAGCAACAUUUUGCCCUUUUUGUAUGCAGCUAAGAGUCAUAGUAUACUGUUCUCUAAUCCCUAUCUAUAUGAUUUCUCGUCCAUUGACUGCAGUAUUUGGAGCUGCGUAACACGACUUAGAAGUACAAUAAUGACUUCUUCAACACAUGAAGGACUUCUGGCUGCUUUGUAUAUGUAAAACUGUUGAGGGGUUUGGUUACUUUGGCUCCAUGAGACCCAAGAAACCGGCUCUGUAAUAAAAUUGUUCUUGUGUCAUGUAUGCUUGUUACUACAAUAAUAAAUUGGACAUCCAUGUUCAUGCUCUAUGCCUUUUAUUUUUCUUCUGCUUCCAUUCUCACAUACAUAGAUCUCAAGCAAUGUGAUGACAUAUUAUUCACUGAUCUAUACCUCUGAGGCUCUGAGCUGCAAGCUGCUUAUUCCUCUUUAGGAGACAUUGAGACAACCGGCCGGCCGAGUACUCUCUAUUCCCCGCCGGUUUGCCCUCCUCCACUUCUCCUCCGGAGAUGGAGGAGGCAGGCAAAUUGAAGGUUGAGCGAACCCGAAUUUUUCCAAGAAUAAAAAUAACACAAAACCUUGUGUUACAAGUUAACUACAUAAUACAAAACCUAGCCAUACGUUACUCUUAUAUUCCAGCGUCAAGAACAAAAUACUACUUCUGUAAUAAGCAACGGAUUUGAAAUAUUAUUAGAGAAAUAAAAACUGUUUUAAGCAUCAAGCAGAGAGGUUACAGAGAGGAGGCCCCUAAAUCUGUUGGCGUUGACUCCCCCUAAAAACUGUUGGCGUUGACGGACGUUGAGGGCGCGCAUGCUGGGACCCAGCGUUUCUAGCAGCCAAUCAUAUCCCGACACGUCAGAAAGAGAGCUGGAAUGUUGAAAAGGCGCCAGAGUGGCCACGGUUAAGGAAAAGGCAGAAUCCAACUAGAACGAUUCGUCGAUGCCCAUACAAAAUUAGACGGCGCAGAUCUCUCCACCCCCUUAAAGAACCCAGCUCGUGAAAAAACUAGAGAGAGAAACUGAGACGUGAGUUUUAGAGAGAGAAACUGAGAGAGAAAAGAUUUGAGGAGUUUUGGGGUUUUUCCUCGCUAUUCUGACUAGAGAGGAGAAAAAGGAAGAGUAUUUUUGUUUCGGGUCUGAUUGGAUCCGAGUGUCCGACCCGGCCCGCAUUUUCAGGUUUGUGCUUGUUUUGUUCCGAUUUCAAUGCUUUUUGUAUGUUUUGUGCGGUUUGUGGAUCUGGGUUGUGCCGGGUUUUGGCUAAUUUGGGGUUCUGGGUUUGGUCAUGCAUUUUAGGGUUUUUGGUUUUGAACUGUGUGUGUGCUAUAUCUGAUUUGAUGAGGUUAGUUCAGUUUGAUUGGUAAGAAGAAUUGGAAAAGGGGAAGAAAGAAUGAGGUUUUGAGGGUUUUGUGGUGACUGGUGAGUGUUAAAAUUUUUGUUGCUCUGAAAGUGGGGUUGGUAUCAAAUGGAAGGUAUUGCUUGAAAUUGAAGCUUUGGGAUAAAGUAAAAAGCUUGGAUCUAAUUGGUGUGGUAGAUGAUGAUCAUGCUGACUUUUUUUUGGUUUUGUUUUGUUUUGGUCAAUACUUUGGCUGAAGAUUGGUUCAUGAUGAUUGCGGUUUUGGUAUUAAACACUUGCAAUGAUGAUGCUGGGUUGAGCUAGAGACUGAUUACUGGUAUAAUAAUGUUACCAAACUAAGUUGGGACUUUUUAGUUCCCGACUGUAUUCUGCCUCGGUGAAUUGAACGAUGUUGGUUGUGCUGCUUUUUGUUUUUGAUGUUUAGGGUAGUGCUGAUAGAAUCAUAGGAAUGAUUCUUUAUAGGAUGAGAGUAUAAAACCUUCGUUGUUUAUUCCUUGACGUUCUUCCGGUUCUGAUUGUGAAAAAUAAUCUGGGGUUUUAAUCAGUCCUUUUCUGCUUGCUGUUCCAGCAGUGCUAUCAGUGACAAGAUGGUUGCUCAGGACUUCCAAGUUGAUUUGAAUAAAGGCCUUGUAUUCCAGGUAAGGCUACAUUCUCAUAUGUCUCUAUACCUUUUGAGGGUAAAGUAUGUGGUCCUGCUCAUUGCCUUUCCAAUCGGCUUCAUUGCCUCAAACCUAUGUCCAUUUAGAUCUCAGGGCUCAAUUAGAAAACCAUUAUAAUGGUUCUCAGAUAUUGUUCUUCUGUUACUUCCUCUACAUGUCUAUAUUUAUCUGGCAUUGUCUGAACAAUUUCUACACCUAUCGUGAAGAUUAUCAGUAUUCUUCUCCUAUAAUGUUUGUUUGGUACUUCCGUGGACCACUUGAAUUUUUCUUCUCCUUUGCCAUCUCGGGCAGUUGUAAACAUACAUUUUCUUUUCUCUUUCAAACUUCUUUACUUUUUUCGUACUAGUAUUUGUCUAUUUGAGGAGCUUGCUCUUUCUUUCUCUAACCCUCUCUUUUGCAUUUCGUGUGUGUGAUUAGUUUUAGUACAAACUUUAACUUUUGAUGUUUGACAGGUUGGCCAUCUUGGAGAAGCAUAUCAAGAAUGGGUUCACCAGCCUAUUGUCUGUGUGGAAGGCCCUCGAUUUUUCGAAAAUGAAUUUUGGGAGGUAGUGCCAGCCCCUUUGUUGCCUAUAGUCACUCUGUUUAUGGAUUUGCUUACUUGCCAACUUGAAUUAUUAAUAUUUAUUCAGCUAUAAUAGAGCUCUGUUUCUGACUUAUUUUGAAUACUUGAAACAGUUCUUGACCCGCACUGUGUGGUGGGCAAUUCCUACCAUAUGGCUUCCGGUGGUGUGUUACUUUAUCUCCAAGUCUGUACGGAUGGGCCAUACCUUUCCUGAAAUAGUUCUGAUGGUUCUUUUUGGCAUUUUUGUGUGGACAUUGCUUGAAUAUACGUUGCAUCGUUUCCUUUUCCACAUUGAAACAAAGAGCUAUUGGUUAGUCUCUCCCUCUCUCUNNNNNNNNNNNNNNNNNNNNNNNNNNNNNNNNNNNNNNNNNNNNNNNNNNNNNNNNNNNNNNNNNNNNNNNNNNNNNNNNNNNNNNNNNNNNNNNNNNNNNNNNNNNNNNNNNNNNNNNNNNNNNNNNNNNNNNNNNNNNNNNNNNNNNNNNNNNNNNNNNNNNNNNNNNNNNNNNNNNNNNNNNNNNNNNNNNNNNNNNNNNNNNNNNNUCUCCUCUCUCUCUCUCUCUCUCUCUCUCUCUCUCUCUCACACACACACACACACACACACAUGUUCCUUAAGUUACUUGUUCAUGUGUAUAUAUGUUUUGUUAUUAUUUGAGAAUAAUAUGGCAGUAUUCUGAUAUUGCGUUAGGGGGAAUACCGUACAUUAUCUUCUCCAUGGCUGCCAUCACAAACACCCAAUGGAUGGUUUGCGACUUGUUUUUCCUCCGACUGCAACAGCAAUCUUAUGUUUUCCGGUAUGUUAUUUUCUCUCAUCCUUGUAGUCUUACCAUGUGGUCACUUACUAUGUUGUGCCUCAGAAUACAAUGUGUGCACAUACUUAAUGAUUAUUCUGAAUCUGGAAUGUUAUAUUAAUAUUUUCUUGUGUAAAACAAUAGUUUAUGCCCUGCAUUGUGUGAACCAUGUUACUUUGCCUAUCUUUGCCAUGUUCUCAAUAUUGGAAAUAACUGAAUAGCUGUUUGCAAUAUUGACAUUGAAUUAUUGUGAUGUAGAAGUAUACUUGCACAUUGUUAUUAUUCUUUAAAAUCGUCUAGGUACCAAAUUGUUCUUUGUGUUCAUGUAUUAAUUUUUUUUUUCCCUUAAAAAAAUGAAUCUUUACCUGUUGUAACUCUACCCUUAUUGUUGCCAGUUCUAUAACUUGGUUAAGCUGAUGUCCUCCCCCUCUGUUGCUCCUGCUUUAUUUGCUGGUGGUUUAUUGGGUUAUGUCAUGUAUGAUGUUACCCAUUACUACCUUCAUCAUGGUCAGCCAUCCAGUAAGGUACCCAAAGAUCUCAAGGUAAACAUCACAAUUUGUUGCAUGCUUGCAAUAGCUUCAUAAUAGACCAAUACUGUUUCUCCUUUCAAGUGUGUUUGCGGUAUCAGGGUCAAUAAGAUGUUUGCUUGUUUUUGCAGAAAUACCACUUGAAUCAUCACUUCAGGAUUCAGGACAAAGGCUUUGGGAUAACUUCAAGUCUAUGGGACUGGGUGUUUGGAACACUUCCUCAAACCAAAGCUGCUAAAAAGAGUAGAUAAUUCUCGUAAUUGGUUAGAAUAGUAAGUAAUAUCAGCAAGCUGCUCAACGUACCUUUGAUUCCUUAACAUUCUUUGUUCUCCUAAAUUUAUUGUUUGCAUAAAUUUAUGUUUUCGGGGUGGGGUAUCACGGUGGUUUCAAAUUUUGUUGUUCUGUAAAUUAAGAAUGAUGUACUCAGAUUCCCUGGUUGUUUAUUAAGCAAUUCCUUGUCUAUAAUGUGUUGUUUCUCGUUUUGCUCCUUAAUCUGAUCCUUGCAUUUUGAGCUGUUUUGUUGAUGAGGGUUCUUUCGUACAUGCUCAAUUCGAGUCUUUCAGAUGUUUCAUGUGGGAUCUGUUAUGCCACCUUGUUUUGAUUGUCCAACCCGCAUAAUCUGAGAUCUUUUAUCCGUUCGUUACCAUGAUCGUAAAGCAUUGCUCAUUGGUAUAGAGCAGACAUUAUAGUCGUAAUGAAAUCUGAAAUCAUCUGUAAAACAAAAUAGAAAUACACGGUUUGACGAUUAAAGGCUAUCAUUUCCAGGUUAGUAAUUGACUAGUUGAAGCACGUUUACUCGUUUAGAAUGAAAGAAGUUAUGAAUCAGAGACAACUUGAAUGUAAGAAGUCAUGAAUGGAUUAGAGACGGAAUGGAUAUGAAAAUGAUUCCUGAACCCAUGUCCCAAGUCCGAGUAAUGAGCACCCAUUAUGAUUCCUUCAUGUAAUUAGUACACGCGAGAAUACUUUUACUUGCAAUCAUUCUGACUACUUUAUGUGCUAUGUUAGUAAAAGAUGAAUUACCUCGUAAUCAUUCAUUUUCAUUCUGAGUAACUAUGAUUAGAAAUAUGAUAACACGGAAGGAAACAUAUUGGGCCCGACCCAAUCCACAAAGCCCAUUCGUUUUCAUAUUUUUACAUUUCCAGAUCCAACACAAAAAAGAAAUAAAAAAGGGAAACAAGAGGCGGUACGGGGGGUUUAAAAGGAUCCGACUAUCCGAGUGAGCGACCCAAAUCCCCUCAUUAGGGUUCCCUCUCUUCUCUCUCUUCUCUCUCCCGAUUUCCUCUCAAUCAACCAAUAUAGGCGUUGCCCUCUCUCUCUCUCUCUCUGCGUAAAAUGGAAAGACUGCGGCUUUAGGGUUCGUUCGCUUCAGCAGCUUCGUCCCUGCUGAAAUUCGCUUCACUUGUCAUCUCUCUCACUCGCAGCAAUGGCGGCGACAGCGCCAGUGGAGCCUGAAAAGGCCAAUCCAUGCUGCGCCGGGGUACGCAUUCUUUCGAAUCGCUUUGAUUUUAUUUUCAAUUAACUUAUUGGAGUGAUUUCUGUUUCGAUUUCGAUAUUCGGCUAAGUUUGUGCUUUUUGUUGUUGUUGUUGUUGUUGUUGUUGCAGUGGCAAAGGAAGUAUUUGAAAAGUGAGAAGCUGCGGAAUCAUCUCCGGGAAGCUGUAAACAUCCUUCAGAAGGGGACCGAAGAGGUUCAGGCACAGCAUUCUGCUCUCAAGAAAGGUAAAUUUCUCAGCGUCUCUCGAAACUAAUACAUCUCCCGGUAUUUGUUAGGUAGAUGUUGAAAUGAUUAUAAUGUCUCGACUUGAUUCGGUGAGAUUGUUGUGGAUUAGAUGCUAAGGUUCAUAGUAAUGCAAUUAGUGUCGGAUGCAAAACAAGGGUACUAAUUGAAUUUUUAUGCAGUACCAGUCUUACGGAAAUGUAAUGAUUGCAAAAUGAAUGUAAGUCUAAGAUUUGAAGAGCCCUCUGUGGCAGGACUAAGUGAAUUAAAAGUUUUCAUGAAAAAGAUUUUGUUUUUUUAAUGUUGGAGAAGAACAAGCUCUCUUUUAGUGUGCUGGGAUGUUGUGCUUAUUAAGCUGGGUAGUGAACAAAUUUUCUAAAUUUCUCUUAUGUUGUUUUGCAUUUUGUAGAAUAUGAGGAGUUGCGAGUGCUGGCAGAUAUUGAGAAAGAGGAGAAAAUGAAAGAAUCUGCUGCAAGGGUCUCUCUAGAGAACGAAAUUUCUGAGUUGAAAUGUGAGAUACUUUCUCUCAAGCAGCGGGAAGGUGCAGAUUCUCAAGAUAAGGAUGAAAUAGAGAUUCUUAAAGGCCAGGUCUCUGACCGGGAAGAGGAGAUUAGUCGUCUUAAGGAGCUGAUUGAGAGAGAGAAGAAAAGAGCAGAAUCAGAAAGUAAGAAAGCAGAAGUGGAGAAGAAAAGGGCUGCCGAAACACAAAAGAAUAUGAAAAUUGAAAAAAAGAAGGCUGAUGAGGAAAGGAAGCGUGCCAAUAUUGAAGGAGAGAAGGCGGAGAAUUAUAGGCUUCAGUUGGAGGUAUUGGAGAAAGAAGUUGCUAAAGCAAAAUCUAAUUCUGAAGGGGAAAAGGAGAUUAGUUCUCUCAAGGAGCUUAUCGAGAGAGAGAAGAAAAGAGCAGAAUCAGAAAGUAAGAAUGCAGAAGUGGAGAAGAAAAAGGCUGCUGAAGCAUUGAAAAGUAUGAAAACUGAAAAACGUAAGGCUGACGAAGAAAGAAAACGUGCCAAUGUUGUAGGAGAGAAGGCUGAGAAUUAUAGGCUCCGGUUGGAGGUAUUGGAAAAAGAAGCUGAUAAAGCAAAAUCUGUUUUGGCUUCUGAAACAUUAAGGCUUGAAGUAACGAACAAAAAUAUUGAAGCAGAAAAACAGAAGGUCGUAAAGGAGAGAGAACGUGCAAAUUCAGAGAAGGCGAAAGCUGAGGAACUGAGGAAGCUUGAGGAAGCCAACAGGAGAAAGACCAUUGAAGAAAAAUCUCGUGCUGAAAGUUUGUCUCUGCAAUUGGUAGAGAGUAGAAAGAGGGUUGAUGAAUUACAAAAAGAGCUAAACGAAGUUAGGUGUUCAACAAAAUUGCAUGCGGAUCUUGGUGUCCAACCUCAUGGUAAUAGAAUUGAUGCAUCCAAUGAGAUUUCAUGUUUGGAGGAAGCAAACAAAAAAUAUGAAGUUGAAAAGCAGAAGGCAAUGAAGGAGAAAAGGCGUGCAGACUCGGAGGCGUUGAAGACUCAAAAGCAGAGACAGCUUGCUGAAGUAAAUUUGAAGAAGGCCGUUGAAGAAAAAUCUCGUGCUGAUCAUCUAUCUCGGCAGUUAGAUGAAGCUAAAAAAGAGAUUGAGGAAUUGUCAACUAGAAAGUUGAUUGAGGUGUCUGCUGUACAACAACUUGCCAAAGGUAUGGAUUCUGAAAGUGUGAAGGUGAAACUCUUAAAGAAACGGCUUAAGCUUGAGAAAAUGCAAAGCAAGCAUUCUAAGGAAGUGGUCAAGCUGGAAAGAAAUCGCAACAGUAUCCUACAUCAAGAACUUGGUCGCUUGAAGUUGGACUGUGAUCAAAUUUCACAGCGGUUGUAUAUGCUUAAUAACUCAUUCUCCUAUAAUGCCGAAGGUAUAGAUGACCUUGAAAAGGUUCGUCCUCUUGUUCAAUUCGUUUUAGUCAACCCUGUUUAAUUUGAAUCUAUGCUGAUAUUGUUAGUAAAGAUGGCACUGGUAAUAUUGUUAGUAAUGAUGGCACUGGUCAGGGAAUCUCUACUCGAAACAUAGUAUUUACAUGUUUUAGCUUUUGCUGCUCUGCUUUGCUUUUAAGUUCUCUUUCCUUUUUUCAGGCGUGGUUGAUGACAAAUGAAACUUGUUCAUCUGAUGGCUUUUAGUGUUGUAUUCUGGUGGGUAGAGAAUAAGCUUGCUCAUUAUACUAAUUAGUGCAUGCUAAGUUGUAAAUAAUGCCGGAGUUUGACAGUGAGGUUCAAAAUGAAGUGUGAUGUUGCCUCCUGACAUUUCUCAAAUAAAGAUAUACAAAUCUGGAGAAACAUAUAUAUUAUUCUGUCUUGUCCAGUUUGUUUAGUUACUGAGCGUCUUAGAUAAUGGAACACUCAUCAAACUCUUCUUCUCACAGCUAAGAUAAGGGAACACACCUUUCAAAAUACAGUUUGGCUUCUAAAUACCACAUUUUAAGUUCUUGUCUUUCAUACUAAAUUAAUUUUUUGGAUAAUUCGAACAUAUAUGUGAUGUUAUCCGUCAUUGCACAAGCUUGUAGUCCUGUAACGUUAACUGAAUGGCUGUUUUCACUUUGCAGACCUGGAAUAUCAUGAAAAAGCAACGGUUAAGCAACAAGAAUUACCAAGAGUCAGAUUCUUUGCAGAUGAAUCUUCAAAGUGGGACUGACUUUCUGAAACCUGGCUUCCCAGUUUUGGAUGCAUCAGAUCCUUUCAGGGAAGCCAUGCAACAUACUGGACCUUAUCCUCUAUCUGGAGGAAACUGCACUGGAUCUAUUUCAGGUAUUGAUUCUAAAUUAGAGUCUCCUAGAGGCUCUAAGAGAAACAUGUUAAAGAGUUCUGCAAUAAAUUCAAGUACAGCAUCUUUUUCUGAUGGACAGUUGGUGGGCUCACAGGAAAAAGGUGCAUUUUCUGUUACCGUGCCAACAAAAUUGGUUGACGAAAAUGUGCAGCCAGCAAUAUCCCACUUGUCUACUGAGGUUAUCAAAAGAAAGUGCGAUGAAACUAUUGAUGUGGUGGCUGAAAACACUGUCAGAAGUCCUGUACGAACUAAUUGUGUUGGAAAAGUUAAUGAGUAUAGCAGGAAGAGAAAGAGGAUAAUAGAUGCAGUUGAAUCAAUUGAGAAUCUAUACUGUGAGGGUAAAAAGUUCCACCAGCAGGUAGAGGAGAAGCUAUCUGAUUUGCAUUGUUUGUUAAGCAAUAAAUCAAAGAAACCGGUUGAAGAAAGACUGCACGAGGAGAGAGAGGCACUUUGUGGAGGAAAAUGGGUAUUGACAAAUGGUUUGGUCAGGAAUGAGCAAAAUAACGCAGAUAGAUUCAAAAAUGAAUGUGCCAAUGUCUGCAGACAAGUUUCGGAAAUUGGGGGUGAGCUGAUAGGGACUGCCCAAGCAAGCAGAGACCGCAUAAGUGAUUCUGAUUUUAGUGAUAUAGCAAGUUUUGAUGAAGUUACAGAUGGGAACUACCUGAAAUUGUUAGAAUUGAACAAUCCUGCUGAUGAAGAGUGCUACAGGAUGGCAAUGGAAGUGCCAUUGUCUCCUACACUUCCCGAGUUUGAGGUUCAAGCUGUUGAAGCUUCUCAGGUCAAUAAGAUCAAUCCUUCAAUAAAGGAAUCCAUCUGCAACGGAUAUUCAAAUAAGAAUGGUGGUCAUGUUGAUUGUUGUGACAUACAAGGCCUGAAUGGGAACGGUUCGGGUAAGUCUGUAGCAAUGGGUAAACCUUGGGACAUCCAGGUGCAUGAUGCUGGUGCUGAAGUGGUGUCUAAUGCACCUAUAUUAAGAAAUAAGGCUAUGUUCCCAUUUGGAAGUGAUGGUGCUGCGGGUGGCAAUAUUUUCCAAUAUCAUGUUGUGUUUUCAAAUACUGAAGACAGCAAUAGCCUCUCUAGGAUAUGUGAUGCAUCCAGAAGUUGUAUUGCACAGUGCUCCUUGGCUACUCAUACGGAGUGGAUCGUGCGAGAUAUUCUGUUUGCUGUUAAGAGUGAAGAAAAACUUCUUCCGAAGUAAGUAAUUCAUGGAAUCGAGACAGUCAAAUUUUCUCUUUCCUUACAAUGUUUCGAUGUGUUCUAUUUCCCUAUCUCCUAAGCAAGCUGUUUAGUUCUCAUUGGAGAUGAUUUUGAUUUUGUUUUUACUUUUUCAAUGUCUAGAUCUUUAUACUGUGGAUAUUUCUGCUAUUUGAUUCAUUUUGUUCUGUACAGGGAAAAGGUUUGUGUAUUAUUUUCCUUGUUGCUGCUUAACUUCACCAUUGCUUCUUCAAGUAAAUUUGGGAGCAUGUGUUGGGAAUCAAAACCCUGCUUAGAUUCUUUUGCUCAACACGUGUGCUCAGGUUGGUGAAUAUUUAUCAUUUUAUUGUUUUCUUAUUCUUCUGUGGUCCGUUUUAGUUAUGAUUAUUUUCCUUUCUGUGCAGUGAAUUCUGAUGGUGAUGGCAGAAGGAUAUUUUCAGAAUUUGGUUGUUUAGAUGAAUCCCUUGGUCUCAUAGAGGAUUUCAUAAUACAAGGGAGAGUUUUUGUCUGUAUGGAUGCACCGACAAUGGAUGAGUGCCACUCUAGCAGCUUCCUACAUGGCAACAUAGAUAUAUCCCCUCGUCCAGCAUCAGCAGAUGAGUUGGUGGCAGGGAGCAUUGUAUUGGCAUCACUAUGUGCAGCAUUUGAUCACAUUGGUUUUAUUUGUGAAACUUCCUACAACAUUUUGCUGAUUAAGGGAUUAGAUCGUUCAUUGGUUCUGAAGAUGCUGCAUGUUUUUGCUUACAUGGGUAGGGAGAAGUUUUUCAACUUCAGCAACUAUAGUUUAGUGAAUGUCUUGAAAUCUAUUGUUAGAUUUCUCGAGGGAGUUAGCAAUUCAGGAAAUGAGUUCUGUCCGUGUGUUGAAUGCCCAUUUUCAGAUGAUUCUGUUUCUGUAGAUACUGCUAUAUCAUUUCUUUUAGAAAGGGUAAUGCAAUCAGACAAUUCAAAUACAGAUCUCACACUGUGUGACCUCAGCGAUCUCCUAUCAUUGGUGGAGUUGGUUGCAUCUAACAUGGUACUUGCUAAAACCUCUUUGAGUUUAUUUUUCACACUAUUUUCUUAUUAUGUUUUCCAAGACCUAGGGAUAGAUUGUUUCUCUGCUUUACAUGAUUGCCUUGUUACACCUUUCUAAUUUAAGACUGUUUGUACAAGUUCCUGCCGUGUUGUUCUUAGCACUUGAUAGCUUGGAGGUGUUAAUCUUUUUGUAUGUAAUGUUCUAUGCUCUCGAAAUGUUUGAGGGAGAUAUUUAAUAGAACUGUUUUGUAGGACCUCGAUAAAAAUGUUUGAUUCAAAUGUAAUCAGUAUAAAAUAGCUGACAGAGGAUCAAAGUAGAUGGAUGAAAAAUGGGAUGCUGAUGUUUGUAUGUUUGGAUACUUUGGCAACUUUUUUAUAAUUAAUACUUUUCCAUAGAAGUAUACAAACUUGUUAUUUUAUCAUAUUGAGGAGUUAAUUCCUUCUAAUGGUUCUUAGAGAGUUUUGUUGUGUUUUGUUUUCUUUGUUUAUUAUUUUUUUUUCGAGCACUUAUUCUUAGAGAAUGAUGCCUGAAAGUUUCCCUGUUUCAAUGUAGAGCUGGACGUGGACCAGUGUCAAAGUUGUUCCUCAGCUGAUGAAAAUUGUGGAAUCAUGCAAUGCGGAGAAUGUUAUUGCUGGAGUUGUUGUCCUCCUUGGUCAACUUGGGAGGUAUGUUUAUCACCUAAUUUGCUUGAAACUUUGUUGUUUUCUUGCGUCAUAUGAUAUGAUUUAAUAGCUGUUUUCAUUUACUGUUUCUUGCUUGGAGCUGCUUUGACAUUAUCUAAUCUUAAAGUAGGCCAAACUUUGUCAUAGCAGUACCUUCUGUUUUUGAUGUGCCAAGUCUAACAACAUGCUCCUGAUUUGUAGGCUUGGAGUUGAUUCUGUUGGCUAUGAAGAUAAAGGGGUGAAAUUCUUGAGAAACGAGUUGUCUGCUUUUUUAUGCCGUGACUCGGCGACCAGUACAGGUCUUCCUACUCAAAUUGCCACCGUCACGUCUAUGCUGAGUCUGAUGUCUUCUGAUUUCAGAACAAUUAUCCAGAGUAAUGUGAAUCCUUCCGGCAUUAGUAGUCAAUCCGAUCCGGCACAGUCGAUAAGAAAGUGGUUUUCUUUGCUGCCAAAAAAGCAACAGGAGUUGUCAUCCAGCCUUUUACAAGCUGCUAGUGUAGAUAAGAGCCGAGAUACUCUGUGAAACUGCAAGGAUGCUCUGACCUGAAGGGGAGAAUUCUUUUAUGCAGGUUGUAGCCAUAGGAUUUUUUUUUGUGAGGGUAGGAGAUUUUGGUCAAAUUUUUGCCAUUCUAUUAGGGUUCAUGACCAAAAGAGAGUAGGGUUAGUAGUGUUAUGACUGUAUCUUGAAGAAAUUGAGGAUUCAUGACAAGAGCAGUGUAUAUAUUCCUUAGCCAUUGGGUUUUGGCUUCUUGUAGCUCAUCUGUAAUUUUUCUCAUGAGAAUGGAAAUGUUGUCCUUCGACAAAUUACGUCCAUUGAAGUCUUUGUACAUGAUGAAAUGUGUGCAAGUCUGAGCUGAGAAGGUUCCAGUAUUCACUAUGGCAGUGAAAAGUGGCAAAUUUCUAACAUCCAUCUCGCUAGUACAUUCUCACUCUGCCCUACCUCUUUGAUUUGGUAGGCGAAGUCCAUCCAAACUCUCUGUGCAGCUCUCCAACGGCUGGUGGCCACUUGUAGCCUCCUUCACAAGCGGCGUUGGACACUUCCUCAUAAACCCUCUGCCUAGGUGUCCCUUUCUCGCCAUCUCUGUAGGACACCUAUGCACAAAAUCACAAGCUAGCUUAGCUUUCCCUCCUUAAUUUAUACCUCACUGGUUGUAGAAAACCCUCGUGAGAUUUGAGGAAGAAUUAGCAAAUAGUGAUGAUGAAGGCAAGUCAUUACACUUGAGAGUAAACCUUUCAUUCAGUAUCACCAUACACUGAUAGAUACUGCACACAAUCUUUUACUUGCAGAGAAGUAGGCAGAGCUUGAAAGUUGAUGCCAAUCGUAUAGUUUAGGUAGCUAUAAGCUUAGUUCACCAAUAUGAUUAAUGUCGACUGUGUUCAAAUAUGUACACUAAAAUUCGGGCAACAUGGUUUUGCUGCAGAUCACAAGACUUUCAAAAGCUUAAUUACAGAACAACAUGAUGGUAUGUCCUCUGUAUCACUGUAUGUGAUAAUAUGCUUUGGUAGAGAAUCUCAUCUUCAGUCUUCACUUGGACAUAUCUCUAAAUUUGUGAUGUAUGUACGUGUGUGUGUGUGUGUGUAUGUAGCACAAAGAUGGACAUGUGUUUUUGAGGGAAUAUGAAGAUGGUGAUAAGAAGCUUAGUAGUCGUAAGGUCAGCCAUGGAUCCAAUUUGGUGAGGGGACAAAUGGACCAUGGAAUGGAAGAUUAUCUCGUGGCAGAAACUAGAGAAGUAAAUGGCUAUGAGUUGGGUUUGUAUGCAAUUUUUGAUGGCCAUUCUGGUACAAAAGUUGCAGAAUACUUUCAAGCUCAUCUAUUUGAUAACAUACUAAGUCAGGUUUAUGUUUUGAUACUUGAUAAGUUAAUAGUGUUUAACUCUCUUUGUGAUUGCCAUAUAUGUUUUACUUGGGACCUUGUUUAUGCAGCAUGAAUUUUGGACCUACCCAAUAGAAGCAAUCAAGAGAGCUUAUAAAGCUACAGAUGAUGAGAUUUUGGAAAAGGUGGCUGAAUCAAGAGGCGGAUCCACUGCUGUCACAGCAAUACUUAUCAAUGGAGAGAAGCUAAUUGUAGCCAAUGUCGGCGACUCCCGAGCAGUUUUAUGCAGAGAUGGUUUGGCUGAGCAGUUAACAGUAGAUCAUGACCCUCAGAAGGAGAAGGAUCUUGUUGAAAGCAGAGGUGGUUGUGUUUUUCAGCUGCCAGGUACUUAAUUAGGCCUCCAUUUUGGGAGCAUUUUAUCUACUUCUUUGCUUAACAUGUUCAUUCUUUUGGCUUAACCCACAUUUUCGUUACUAGCAACUAGCAAGCAUGCAUCUUUAGGGUUUAGGGUUUUUGUUCAUUUCUCUAAUUAGUCUUGAUAAAUAAUAGCAAAGCCUGUGUUGUGAUGAUUCAGGAAAUGUUCCUCGUGUGGAUGCGCAACUUGCUAUGUCGCGGGCAUUUGGGGAUGGUGACCUGAAGGAGCACAUAACUUCAGAACCAGAUAUCAACAUCAACAAGAUCGACACUGAUGCAGAAUUCAUUAUACUGGCAAGUGAUGGUUUGUGGAAAGUGAGUUACAUACACUAUCACAUUUAUGACUUCUCUCUUUCUGAACUGAACAUGAGAUUAAUCGAGUUGAUCAAAAAUUUUAUCUGUUCAUCCAGGUGAUGUCAAACCAGGAUGCUUAUGAUUGCAUUAAGGGUCUAGAUGAUGCUGAAAAAGCAGCAAAGAAGUUGAUUCAGAUAGCAUUAUCCAAGAAAAGCUAUGAUGAUAUCUCUUGCAUAGUUGUGGUCUUCGACUAGAUAGGCCUUUUAGCAUUCAGCAAGUCUUUGUUCAUGUGAAAUUGUGAAAGUUAAUUUCCUUGGAUCAGUUAAGAGUCUGCCAAGCAAGAAUGCAGUAUAUUAAUUUUCAUUGUGUCUUCAGUAUUGUUUUCGUGUUAUGCACUUAUGCAUGCACCUAAAACAAUUUCUGCUAAUAUAGAGAGCUGGAUUGAUUAAUUGGCCAAAUAACUAAAUGGUAGUGACCCUAACGCAAUUCGAUUUGGCAUUGCAUGCAAAUGUAGGACUGUUAUAAUUACUAGGGAAUAGGGAUCAGCUAGUAUAUAUAUGUCACAGUUGGUUACACUAAUAUAUAUCAUAAGCUGGUUACACUAAUAUAUAUCAUAAGCUGAAGACUAUAUUUAACUAGAUAUUUGAAGACUAUAUUUAACUAGAUAUUAUGCGGCCUCGCGCCGUCUCUAUAUAUAUAAGCAAACCGUGUUUUCACUGUUCAUGUGAACAGUGAAGAGACCUUAUACCUCUGUAUUUUUUUUUACGUCUGUCAUUAUAACGUAUUUUGACUGAUUUGUCCUUAAUUGGCUGAAUGACGGUGUUACCCUUAAUUUUAAUUUAUUUACCAUGCUGCCAUUGGUUUCUACCCCUAAUUUAAUUUUAUUUACCAUGUAUGUCAUAAAAAGACAGUAGUGCCUUGUUUGCAUUUUAUUUUUCUUUAAAAAAAAUAAAAAAUUUAUGGUGCUUCCCGUUGUGACCUCUGUCGGGAUUGAUGUCAAAACGUCUCUUCAGUAUCGGUGGGUGACAUCUAUCUCUUUCUAGCUCGCAACAAGACACGGGCAAUUGCAACUUGAAUAUUAAUCUACUGAAUUUAUCCUUAUGUUUUUUAAGCUAUUUUAGUUUUGCCACUCUCUUAGUUUUUUCUUUGAUUUGAAUUCUGUCUCUGCAUUUUUCCUUUAUUUCAGUUCUACCUUUUACCCCUCAGUUUUCUAUUUGAGAUUUGCCCCUCCUUUCUUCCUUUUUUUUUUUUCUUUUUUUUUUUUUCAGUUUUUGGCUUUCUUUCUGUUUUCCUACUCAAUUUUUUUGGUUAAUGGUAUACAUUUUUUUUAUCAAAUGCACAAUUAAUGUACUACACUAUUAUGAGUCGAACUCAUGACUUCUCACUUAUAAAGGGAGACUUAUGUCACUAUACCAAAUGAUACUGGGCAAUGCUAUACAGUUUGCAAAAGAGAAAAUUGUAUUCUAAAAAAAAAACAACAACAAUAAUAAUGAUAUUAAUAUUAAUGAGAGAAAAUUAAAUAUUUUUAUAUUUGAUUAGUGUCAAUUGUGUUUUAAAAGCAAUCUUUUGGUAUUAAUGAGGUUGAUGGCACAGAGCUGAUAUUAUGACUUCAUUCACUUAGAGUAAUUGAUGUUGAACAUGUAAAUGUUUACAAUAAAUUAUGUUUUGAUCAAAUUUAUGGAUUCAACUUACAUAUCUAAAAACAAUAACAUGUUAAUUUCUUAACUUUUGUAUUGUCUGAUGUUCAACUUAUGACAUGUAUUGAUGAACGCUCUUUAUAUAUAUUAUUUGCAAUUCUACAAUUCUUGGUUGUUGAUUUUUGUUCAGCUUUCUUUCAAAAUGACAAGUAGAUUUCAUGGAGCUGUUGUUUGUAAGUUCCGAACAAUAAUUGAUUAAAUUAAUGAAAAAUUACAUAAUAAUUAUUAAACUAGCAGAAACCGCACUCCCACACGCGCGCAAACGUGUACGAAGGCUAGUAUACAUAUAAAUAGACAUCUCUAUCAGCUUAGCUUUUCAUUGCAAUACCUUCACACAAAUUAUAUCUUCUUCAGAAAACUCUUACGCACCCGGUCUAAAUCUCCCAAAAUGAAGCAAUCGGUAGAGAUAGUGUUCAUCCCAUCCCCAGGCAUUGGUCACCUCGUGUCGACGGUGGAGGUGGCAAAGCUCCUCCUGUCUCGAGAUGACCGACUCUUCAUCACUGUCCUCAUCAUGAAGUUUCCGUUCAGCUCAGACCCCAUUGAUGCCUACAUUGAAUCCUUCGCGGACUCAUCCAUAUCACACCGGAUCAAGUUCAUCAACCUCCCACAACAGAAUAUCGAGACACAAGGUAAUAGCACCAUCAACUUCUUGAACUUCAGUGGCAGUCAGAAAACCAACGUUAAAGAUGUUGUCGCCAAACUCAUCGAGUCCAAGACCGAGACUCGACUCGCCGGGUUUGUCAUCGACAUGUUUUGCACAUCCAUGAUCGAUGUAGCCAACGAAUUGGGGGUUCCUACCUACGUGUUCUUCACUUCCAGCGCAGCCUCUCUAGGGGUCUUGCUCCACCUUCAAGCACUUCGUGAUGACCAAAACAAAGACUGUCUUGAGUUUAACGACUCCACUGCUGAUUUGGUAAUUCCGAGUUACGCCAAUCCAUUGCCUGCUAGAGUCUUGCCCGGUGUCCUUUUCGAUCGCGAAAAGGUCGGAGGAAACGGGUUUCUCAACUUAGCCAAAAGGAUUAGAGAUGUCAAGGGUAUUCUCAUAAAUACAAUGACAGAGCUGGAGUCGCAUGCCCUUCUUUCUCUCAGUUCCGAUGGCAAGCUCCCUCCGGUGUAUCCGGUGGGACCUAUACUCAACGUGAAGAGCGAUGACAACAAUGACCAAGUGGAUUCGAAGCAGACGUCUGAUAUCUUGAAAUGGCUCGAUGAUCAGCCUCCGUCGUCUGUAGUGUUUCUAUGCUUCGGGAGCAUGGGAAGCUUCAGUGAAGACCAGAUGAAAGAGAUAGCCCGCGCAUUGGAGCACGGAGGGUUUCGGUUUCUGUGGUCACUGCGUCAGCCUCCACCCAAGGGAAAGAUUGGUGUUCCCAGUGACUAUGCCGAUCACACGGGGGUGUUACCUGAAGGGUUCCUUGAUCGGACGGCGGGAGUCGGAAAAGUUAUAGGCUGGGCGCCACAAGUUGCCAUCUUAUCCCAUCCAGCAGUUGGAGGUUUCGUCUCUCAUUGUGGGUGGAAUUCAACUCUGGAGAGCUUGUGGUUUGGAGUGCCGGUUGCCACUUGGCCCUUGUAUGCUGAGCAGCAACUAAAUGCUUUCCAGCUAGUGAAGGAACUAGGGAUAGCCGUGGAAAUUGAUAUGAGUUAUAGGAAGGACGGUCCGGUUGUUGUGACCGCAGAGAAAAUUGAGCGUGGAAUAAAGGAGCUGAUGGAGCUCGAUAGUGAUAUAAGGAAGAGAGUGAGACAAGUGAGUGAUAAUAGCAAGAAAGCUUUCAUGGAUGGGGGGUCCUCAUAUGCUUCGUUGGGACACUUCAUUGAUCAAAUUUAAAGCUCAUGAUCGAUCACAUUCGGGAUCGAUCGGAAAGCUUUGUUAUUAUUAUGAAAUAUGAGCUAGCACGGUGAAGAAAUGAAUAUGGAGUUCUCUAUUUGCAGAAUGUGCAUUUUGUACUGUUUUUGCUUAUUGAGUCUAUGUUUUGUAAGCGAGAUGCUCUAUAUGGAAAUCUUAUGAUAUUUUCUUGGGUUUUUUUGCACCAACAGUGUCUAACACUUACAUAACUGACAAUAUGGUAUCUGAAUUUACAAAGUGAUACCCAGACUCUAUUUUUCGUAUCUCCGUGGUACCUGCCGUCAACUUCCGUCACGUUCCCGUUAACUUUAACCACAUGCCACGCAUGAGACUCAAUACAUUAGAGUAAAAAGUCCGAUUUAACCUCAAUUUGUUUUAUGACAUGAGAAUCGUAACACUUUUUCCUCCAAAACCUGAUUUUCUGACUAUGACCGACUUUUUCCCCCUCCAAAACUUGACAUUAUGACUAAGACUUGGCUUCUUUUUGCCUCCAAUUUUUCCCUCCCGAAUUUAUCUGAAAUAUGAAUUAUUCCCUCCAAUUUUGAACAAUACAUGUUUAAGUACCAUAUCAAAGACAAAUGUAACUGUUCUCAUUUAUGGAUGUAAACCUCAGAAAUUGACAAUAUAUAUCAAACUGAAUUAUAAGUUAACAACCACAUUCAUUGCUCUAUGGUCCAACAUUUGUUCAAGAAAAUGUCAUCCAAUGUCAUCAAAAGAGAGCAAUUACACCAACUGUUUUUCAUAUCAUCAAACAAUCCGACAUGAAACAUAACAAAAACUAGUUGUCUGAUUCAUAGCAAGUUAACAUCACGCCUCAAAAUCCCACCCAUUCAGAUUCAGUUUGUGCCUUUUUUGCUGCUGGGUUUUGGCUACUUUGAGUUGGAGGUGUGCGCAUGCAUUGUUUGUGAACCAGAAGCCCCUUCAUUGGCACCUUGGUUAGACUCCAUGGCCUUUCGCUUCUUCCAAGCCUUCUUAAACUUAAUGAUCGAUCUAAUCUUUUAAGCUGCUGUUAACCUUUGAGUUGAAGGUGCAUGCAUUGUUUGUGAACUAGAAGCCCCUUCAUUGGCACCUUGGUUAGACUCUAUGGCCUUUCGCUUCUUCCGAGCCUUCUUAAACUUAAUGAUCUGAUCUUUUAAUUAAGCUGCUGUUAACCUUGAUGAGACUCUGGGUGCCUACAUGUGAAAACAUAACCAUAUCCAUCACAACCACAAAAAUAACAAAAGAAAGAGAACAAGCAUAGUAAUAUAGAUAAAUAUAGCAUUUAACUCUGGGUCCCACCAUCCUUGUUAACCUUAGUACAACGUAACAUCCUUCCCAGCAAACAAAGGAAGAACAAGAUCGUUAUGGGGAUCACAUUGAUGAGAUAGAAGAGGAUGUUAAAAAUGCACGCUGGCAUGCCUCAAAAGCAGUACUCAUGUUGCUUCUGGGGACCAUUGUUGCUGCUGCAUGUGGUUGCCGAUCCCCUUGUUGAUGCUGUUGACAACUUCUCAACAGCUACGAGUAUUCCUACAUUCUUCGUCUCCUUUGUUAUUCUGCCUUUUGUUAGCUCCAGUGAGAUUGUGUCCACUCUCAUUUUUGUCAGCCGGAAGAAGCAGAGAUCGGCAUCACUUGCCUACUCCGAGGUUCAAUUCUACACCACAUUUGUGUUAAAUAGCAAUUGCAUGGGGGAGAAGCUCUAACUACAUGUGUACUUUCUGGUGCAGAUAUAUGGAUCAGUAACAAUGAGUGACAUCCUUUCCCUGGCAGUGUUCUUAGGUCUUGUGUACAUCCGAAAUCUGACAUGGAGCUUCUCGGCGGAAGUUCUGGUCAUUAUAAUCGUCUGCAUUCUGAUGGGGGUUGUUGCGAGUUGCCGCACCACCUUCCCUGUUUGGAUGUGUUUUGGGGCUGUAAUGUUAUAUCCCCUAUCUCUGUUGCUAGUUUACAUUCUUGAAUAUGUUUUUGGGUGGUCAUAGACGUCAGUUUUAAGCUGCUUUUCAUUGAUUCAUAAGACAAUAAAUUUGAAAUCAUCUUGUUAUCAUGAAACAAAGCCAAGUUCUUGGCUCAACUAAACUCAGAAGGAACUCUUGGCCUGAUUGAUUAGACUCUUCCUAUGCCAGACAAAACACGAAGAGGAGGGAUGCUUUGCUGGUUUCUGAAGAAGUUAUGUGGAUCAACUUUGCUCUUCACUUCUGCAAGUCUCUUGAAAUUGUUCUUGAAGUACUUUCUCCCCCAACUACUUGCUUCCAUGUAGCUUGUGUUGGUGCCUCUGUUGUUGGUCCCCAACUCAAGGUCCUUAUAAUUGAUAUAGGCACCCCUUGGGGAGUUUGACACAUAAGGCUUCAUAAACCUAUAAAGCAUAUCCAGCCAAUACAUAUGUUUGUUGGCUUCACUAACCUCAUUCACAUCCCACUUCACUAGGUACUGUAUGUUGUACAGAUUCCCUUUCCUAUGAGGAAAUGGAAUUUCAAAUUCCGAAAUCUCAGCCAUUUUUCCACCAUAGGGGUCCAGUAUCAUGAAAACUAGUUGUUCUUGCAUGAACCUCUCCCAAAUCCCUUGUAGCACGAUUUCUGGAAUAGGGUUUACUACAUAGUCGGAUUUGGCCUUGAAAUUGCUCUUGUAGAGUACCUCCUUAGACAACAAGACCUCCAAAGGCUGGUCUUUUUUAUAUCCAGCGAAGUACUGAGCAGAUUGGACCCAACUCAUUUCAAUGCAGUCUUUUGCUUCCAAACCCAACUCUGGAAAGCUCUGUUUCAUCAAUGGCAUGAGUGUCUCGAUCCCUCCCAGAAACAAAGAAUUGAAAUCGGCUUGGACUUGUUUCUGACUCCCACUCCCUACAUUUUGAAGGAUGACUCUCAUGAAAAGAUCCUCAUGGAAGUUGUGUGCAAUGUACUGCCACCUAUUCACAAGGCUACUUCCACCUUGUGAAAUUAACUUGCUCACUGUAAAACCUGUCACAACUUUUGGGACCUGAACCAAUUUGAUCUUCCAUGAAACAAUGAUCCCAAAACUUGCUCCCCCACCUCCUCUAAUGGCCCAAAACAGGUCCUCACCCAUUGUUUUUCUGUUCAUGAUUUUCCCAUUUGCAUCAAUCAAAAUUGCAUCUAUGACAUGGUCAGCUGCUAGGCCAUAUUUUCUAAUCAAAGUCCCAAAUCCACCACCACUAAAAUGACCUCCAACUCCAACAGUUGGGCAAAUCCCAGCUGGGAAUCCAUGGACAUCACUUUUCUUCCCAAUGCUAUAGUAAAGCUCACCUAGUGUAGCUCCUGACUGAACCCAAGCUGUUUCAUCUGCAAGGUUGAUAUCAAUGGACUUGAAGUUGAUCAUGUCAAUGAUGAUGAAGGGGGUCUUGCAGAGAUAUGAGAGCCCUUCAUAGUCAUGACCUCCACUUCUGACCCUGAUUUGUAUGCCACGUUUUUUGCUGCACAGCACAGCUGCAUGGAUUUCGGACUCGUUGAAAGGUGUUAGAAUGAGAAGAGGCUUUGAUGUGGAGUUUAGCCAUCUAGGGUUUUGUUGUGAGGAUUUCAAGAUAGAUGAAUAAGAAGAUGAGUUUGAGGUGUGGAUAAUUUGAGAGACUUCGCUGUAGUAACUGAGUUGAGUUGUCAUGCACAGCCUGAGAGGUUCAGUGGUUGGAUCAGAACUUGCACAUGAAACUAAACUCAGAAACAAAGAAAGCACUAGUACUAAGAACUCCAUCUCUUGCAGAUUUGAGCUUGAGACGUCUUUGGUUGGCCACACAUAUACAUCUGCUUCAUGCACUUAUAUGCUUAGUACGUUCGGCUUGUUAUCCUGCUACACUGCAUAUAAACAAAGAGCUAAAGUGAAAUUAGUGAUGAUUACUAUGCAGCAAACAAGAGGAUCUACCAGUUUUGGCCUUUUUUUAUUUACUUCUGUCGGUAUUCAUCAAUUAAAGUCUGUGCCUUAUCGAAUGCCCAUUGCCAAGUUACCCACAAUGUGUCGACAUGUAAUGUAAGCAACCUCUUGUACUUCUGGCUAUAUUUUCAUGGAUAUUGCUAAACAAUCACCGAGUCCCAAUCUACACCAGAAGAGAUCAACAAAAGGUCUGACGCCCUGGCCUUAUAUAUAUGAUAAAUUGUCAGAAAUUUCUACUAAUUUAACAUGGUAACUCAAACCAAUUUACUGUAAUUGAUUGAAGUAGGUAGCUGCAUGCUUGCUUCCUUGUCAUUGGCAUUUGGUUCUGCUUAUGAUUCGUGUUUGCAUGCAAAAUAAGUAGCUAUGUGUCAAAUUGCAUGCAUAUAUAGUUGAUUAAUGCACUUCUAGUUCUUUCUCGGUCUGUCUGUUUCUUCCGGUUUUUUCCUAGCCUUCUAGUGUCCAAAAUGGAUUGUAUCCAACUCAUUUCCCUGCAGUCCUUGGGCUUCAAACCUAACUCUGGAGCCAAUCAAUCGGACUAAUUGAUCAAUGGUUCCUAGAAAUAAUGCAUUGAAAUUUGCUUGAAUUGUUGCUAUCCCUUUUGAAUCUUUCACUACGAAGAAGAUUAUUCUUAUGAACAAAUCCUCAGGUACUUGGUCCCUUCAACAAAUCAGUUAUUCUUAUGACAUAGCUCUAUAAAAAUGAACCAUGAAUGCGAUUAACAAACAACAAACCAGUUUUUACCGAAAAAAAAGGUCCAUGAGAUCAUACUGUAUGUUGCUUAUUUUGUGUUAUUUCUUUCCUUGGAUUGAGCUCAAUCAGUGCAAUUAGGAAUAAUCAAGAUGUCUCUUCAGAUUCUUCCAUGUUUCAAUACUGUGAAUCUGCUUCUGGCACUUGUAACCCAAUACAGAAAAUGAUGCACUCUAGAAGUUAAUCAUUGAUAAUCUUUACCAACUUAUCAAGGCUAGGUGUUAAAGUUGCCAACACAAAGCUAGUGGUUCUUGGAGAAGCAUUGCGCCUAAAUCAAUAGGUCUUUUGAAGUGGACUACACCGUGCUGAUGAGACACAUAACAGGGGCAAUUCUCUGCAAAUUUAACACAUCAAUCCAUUGAUAGAAUUUCUUGUACAGCACAACACAUUUCAUCCAUCUUUAGGUCCUCUACUCAAGCCUCAGGUUCAACUGUUCAAGUGUUCAACAACACCACAAUCGAAAGCCUCGAGUCAUGUUAGCCAUAGUAGGCUCAGUGGGCAAUCCCAGUUGGUAGUGGGGACUGGGGAGGCCACGUUAUAGGACACUCUGGUGUUAAAUAAUAAUCCACAAAACACUGUGAAGACUAUUUACCCCAAAGGACUGACACCAACAUCACAUGACAUUUGCAUUAGCUCAUCAAGGUGAUACCAAGACACAUUUCAUGCUUCUAUAAAGCAACACACACUAAGCUGAUUCCUCAACAUAAGUACCAAGAGAGUUAAACAAGGCAGCAUGGUGCUUCCAAACUGUUCAAAGUUUCUGCUGUUUCCUUUUCUUCUCCUGCUAUCGUCUUCAUCUUCUUUGGCACAUUCUCCAUCAUCUAGUGAAGACGUUUUUAGCCAGUGCCUCUCGUAUCACUCUAAGGUUUCAAUUUCAUUCUCAAGCACCAUUUUUACCCCAAACAACUCUGCCUUCACCACCAUCCUACAAUCAACUGCGGAGAACCUCAGAUACGUAGUCCCUUCAGCACCAAAGCCAGAGUUCAUUUUUACACCAACACAUGAUUCCCAUGUUCAAACUGCUGUUAUUUGCUCAAAACAGCUGGGAAUACAUCUUAGAGUCCGGAGUGGAGGCCACGACUACGAGGGUCUCUCCUAUGUGUCCGAAAUUGAAACACCUUUCAUCGUCCUAGAUCUUGCCAAACUUCGAUCAGUUAAUGUUGAUAUCCAACAGAACAGUGCAUGGAUUCAAGCUGGUGCCACCAUUGGCGAAGUUUACUACAGAAUUGCAGAGCAAAGCGCAACACAUGGCUUCCCCGCCGGUCUUUGCACGAGUCUAGGUGUGGGAGGUCAUAUAACCGGAGGUGCAUAUGGUUCCAUGAUGAGAAAAUAUGGCCUUGGGGUUGAUAAUGCUGUCGAUGCUCAAAUAGUUGAUGUAGACGGCAGAAUUCUUGACCGAGAGACCAUGGGAGAGGACCUGUUUUGGGCAAUCAGAGGAGGUGGAGGAGCAAGCUUUGGAAUUAUCCUGUGGUGGAAGAUAAAGCUGGUUCCAGUUCCAUCAACUGUGACAGUUUUUACAGUUGCCAGGACCUUGGAACAAGAUGGAACAAAGCUCCUACAUAGGUGGCAACAAGUGGCUGCUACUGAGCUUGAUGAAGAUCUUUUUAUUAGAGUUAUCAUACAACUAACAAGUGACAGCAAAAGUGGCAAGAGAACUGUCACAACUCUUUACCAAGCUCAGUUCCUCGGAGGGGUUGAAAGACUCCUCUAUGUUAUGCAAACAGGCUUCCCGGAACUGGGAUUGACCCGAAAAGAUUGUACUGAAACCAGUUGGAUCAAAUCUGUGAUGUACAUUGCAAACUAUCCUAAUGGAACUCAACCAGAGAUUCUGCUCCAAGGAAAAUCUACAACCAGGAGUUACUUCAAAGCCAAAUCAGACUUUGUCAAAGAUCCGAUCCCUGAGACCGGGCUUGAGGGACUGAGGAAAAGGUUGAUGGAAGAAACCAAUCCUGUGUUGAUUUGGACACCAUAUGGGGGAAUGAUGAGCAAGAUAUCGGAGUCGGAUACACCUUUCCCUCACAGGAAAGGAGUCCUCUUCAAGAUUCAGUACCUGACUAUAUGGCAAGCUGCAAAUCAAGACGAGGCAAAGCACAUGGACUGGAUUAGGAAGCUUUACAACUACAUGGCUCCUUAUGUCACAAUGUUUCCGAGGCAAGCAUAUGUGAACUAUAGGGACCUUGAUUUGGGGAUCAACAAGAAGAGCAAUUUAAGUUUCAUUGAAGCAAGUUCUUGGGGUUAUAGGUAUUUCAAGGACAACUUCAACAGACUGAUAAAAAUUAAGACCAAAGUGGAUCCUUAUAACUUCUUCAGGCAUGAGCAAAGCAUCACACCUCUUCCACUCACUGUAGGAAGAACAAUGAACUAGAUAUGAUGGUGGUAGCAAAGUAAAGGGCUAUGAGUUUUUUUUAUCAAAGUUAGCAUAAAACUUCAUCUGUUUGAAAAAUAGUAAUCCUGAAUCUAAAUUUACCAAGAGUAAUAACCAGCAAAUUGGAGAGUAUAGUCAGACCAAGUUUAUAUGCAGGAAUAAUGAUUGAAUAAAUGUGUCAAUGAUAUGCAGCAAUCUAUGUAGCAAUCCUGAUCACUAAUAUAAUACUAGGUACUAUUGUGUGUAUUUUAUAUUCUAGUGCUCAUUGCCCCAAGUAGUUCAAAAUGAACUCUGGAUUCUGAAAUCUCAACAAUCAUAUUCUUCCUUGAUGGAUGUAAUAUGCUCCUAAGAGUAAUCCUCAAGUCAGUGACCAAGUAAACUAAAUAUAAUUGGACACAAUCAAAGAAUAAAGUUUACAUGCAUUAGAGACUUUACUUGCUACACUUCUUGAAAUUUCAUAAUAUACAGAGGUCAAGAUAUAUCCACAAUUUCUUAAUAUAACUAGUCCUGCUCCUGUUAUAACUUUGUAAUAACAAAGACAAUUUAAUGGAGUUGAACCUCUCAUACGUACCUUCAGUCUUUCUCUUGAUAAGCCACCAAUAGGCCAACAUGAUAAGAAAAAGUGCCAGCAGAACAGGUAAAAGUAGAACAACAAGAGUUCCCCUUCUUCUAAGGAAACCUCUUGGUUUUCUGUCAUUCUCAGCUGCAAGUGAAAGCAAGUAAGAAAUUAAAAACAGAUCACCAUGACAAGGAGCAUUUACAUGCAAGCCAAAAUUUCCAGUACGGUGAUGCCUAGCAAAAUCAUAAUCUCAUUUGAGUAGUACCUGACUCAGUUCCAUCUGCUCGAACAUAGAAAUCUUUUCCCUGCUCUGCCAAUAUUAAACUGUCCAUCAAUUCCCCAUACCAUGCCAUGCAACCACCACCUCCAUCAAUUUGUAGACUUGCAUAUGCGACACAUGAACAAUUGUUCUUCUUACACUCACUUUCACCCAUCUUUGUGUCCAGCAAAGCUGAUAUUGAUGCAUAUGGAAGCUUCACAUGUUCCACCUUCACAAAUUUCUUUCCACACUUGUCAGAUUCUUCUACCUGCUUACUCACACACCCAUCUGACCAGAUCCCCUCAGACCAAUUCACUGAAGAAUUUGGUUGAUACCCUGGCAAACAUGAACACUCGGAUUGUAUAUUGUCAAGACUACAUUCACUGAAGGUGCCACAAUGUCCGUAUGGGUGACACUGAACUUUGGCGCUGCCCACAACUCUGUCCAUUGCCCCUCAACAUCAUUCCAUGUUAGGUGCUGAAGUAUGCCAUUAGUCAACCACAAGUCCUGAAAUUUCAGAGGAUUUCUUAGAAGAAUCAAUCAAAUAUGUCUCAUCUUCAUUAUUGACAAAACUGUAGUUAUAUGCAUAAGGGUGCAGAGAAUCCAUAUGCUUUUCCCAUGUCUAUUAGGUUCUGUGACCUUUUGGCAACUACCAAUAUUCCACCAUCAUACUAACAGUAACAUAACACCUGUAUGAGCAAAUUUUACAUUCAAAUAGGUUCUGAUAUUAUCAGCAUUAAUCAACACAGUUCAUCAAAAGCACCAAUCUUUUCAGUUUAAAACACUAACCCUAUUCACAAAAGCAUCAGUAACAAAACCCCAACACAUAAACAAGCCCAAUCUUUUCAAUCUCUUCUUCCUCUUGUGAAACCCAGACACAGAGUCACUUCACAAACCAAAACCCAAAGCUCCAAAAGCAUAAAGGAAGCAAAUUUCAGGGUCUAGUUUGAAGGUGGGUACCUGAGACCUUAAGAGCCCUCUUGCUGACGUAACGGCCACGCAGAGCUGCGGCCAGAAUCGCCGCGUCUUCCGCCUUGUCUGCUACCAUGAGAGAGAGAGAGAGAGAGAGAGAGAGAGAGCUCAGGUCGUUGUUUAAUGCGGUCCAACACCCACUGCAGGCACUUGGAAUGGUACGAGGCCGUAGCUGAUCAGAAUUUUUCAUAUAGCAAUUCGAUAAACCAAGUCUGGACUUAGUACGCUGGGAGACGUAAUCAAAGAGGGACCGUUCUGAUACUAACUAGAAAAGGGUCAAACGAGGAUCUGGAUCCUCUCCUAAUAAACCUUUGCUAAUAUUUCCUAAUAAGAAGAUCUAGACCGUUCAUUUUUCAUAGACGGUCAAGAUGUUAACAAGGCUAUUUCUCAUCUACUCUCUUAUUACUGUCUCGAUCAAAUUCUCAUCCCAUUCUCUCUCUCUUUCGUCCCGGAAAUCAAUCUCGCCUCUGUUCGAACCUCUUCCCAACCUCCGGCUCCGGUGUGGAGGUGUCCUCCACGCAGAAGACCCAUUUGCUCUGGGACCGAAAUCUCUCUUUGACUCUUCUGAUUACCGGUAGCUUGAAUUGCGUUACAUCAACAGUUGCCCAAAGUGGGACUGUGUUUCGUCUCCAUAAAACUUGUUUUGAAUUGCUUUUUGAAGGCACGAGCACGUUGACAAUUAUUCUGGUGAUUGAGAGUUUUGUUGUUACUUCUGUUUUCGGCAGCAUAUUUCAGUGAUAUGUGUGUUGGUGCAAUUGCGUGCCGACUUGAGAGGAAUGAAGGUGGGGUUGUCUGUACAUCAUGACAUUGAUUUGGUGUUGGGAUGUCCAGGAUGUCCAGAAAGACUCAUAAUUCUGAUAUGCAGUACAAGUUUCUUGGAUUCAAGUUUCUUUGAUCUUUGUCACUUCUCAUUUAUGUUUGAUUAGUCUAGUUGCAGACUUGCUAAAUCAUUAGAAGGCCGAGUCAUGUGAGCAUUUGUUAUGUUUCUACAGACAUGACUCUGCCUCUUUCCAUUAAAUCAUUGUACCGAGACAUGACUGUUAAUUGAAAUUUUUUGAAGUAAGUGGCACCAUGUCUGCAGCUGAAGCAUGCUUUAGUCGGAAAGUUCCUUAAACUUGAUAAAAACCAAUUUUGAUCUGUGAGCAUUAGAUAUUGAACUCUGAAUCAUAAAGUGUUCACAUGACAAAAAUCCAGAUUUGGCUACCCUAAUAUACUAAUUCAUAGAAGACAUAAUUAUGCUUUUGGAAUUCAAAAAGGUUUACAAUGGUUAGUUAGUGAUUGUAUCUCAACUGUGUGGAGUUCAGUAUCAUCUCCACUGAUGCGGAACAUAAAGCAAAAAUAUUAGUAUCUUAAAGAUCCAUAGCCCACAAAAACAAAAAUUAGAAGCUUAAUGCCAUGUACAUGACCUCAUCAAGCUAUAAUCUGGAUGUGGUUGGUCAUUGUACUUCAAGAGUUCAAGGCAUCUAGCUGAACAGCUUCUUCUGCGCUAAACUAGAGCACAAAUCAUAUACAGAGAAAUAAGAUGUCUUUUGUUGCAUUCCGUCCAAAGCCAAGACAUAAGCCUAUCAAAUAACCCACACAAAACGACCUCAUUUGGAUGGUCACCUGGUCACCCACUACUCGAACCGACCCUUCAACUCAAACCCUGCACAACUGAAGUCUCCGGCCAUCCUGUUAUGGGCUCAAAAAUCUUCCGAGAAAAGGAGUCCUCAGUCCGGCGAGCUCGCUAGCCAGAUAUAGAGGGCCCAAGCCGCCGUGGAGGACACCAGAGCCGGAGGUUGAGAAGAGGUCCGGACGGAAGCAAGAUUGAUUUCGGGGACGAGAGAGAGAGAGAGAGAGAGAGAGAGAGAGAGAGAGAGAGAGANNNNNNNNNNNNNNNNNNNNAGAGAGAGAGAGAGAGAAUGGGACGAGAAUUUGAGGGAGAGUCGAGACAGAAAUAAGAGAAUAGAUGAGAAAUAGCCUUGAGUUAAGAGUAUGAGAGAUCUUAGCCGUCUAUUGAAAAUAAACGGUCUAGAUCUUCUUAUUAGGAAGUAUUAGCAGAGGUUCAUUAUGAGAGGAUCUGGAUCCGUCAAAUGAAACCCGAGGAUCAUUAUUGGAUGGAUAUUGUUUAAACUUAAUUAUUUUUAAGACGUUAAGUUUUAAUUACAAAAAACUUCAAUAUAAUUAAAUAUGAUUUAUUUUAUAUCUCUGAUAUGAAACCUUUUCGGUUGUUCCUGAAAGAUCAUAUGCGUUAAUCUAUAGUUAGUUUUGUAGUGUUCAAUUGUCUACAAUGACAGACAGAGAAGAUUGAUUGCAAGUUGCAUAUUUCAUUGUACACUACAGCUAAAUUUUCGUGUGCACCUGUGUCGGUAUAUAUUUUGGAUGGAUGACUCCACUCAUGCAGCUAGGGCGGCUCCGGCUAGGGUACAGAAAAUCCCUCUUUGAGAUAGAUAUUCUGGAAGUUGGAAUCAUGGGAUCAUAAUCAAUAGGUUGGAAAUUUCAUUAUUAUUUCUCUUUCUUUUUGGAAUUUUUCUUUUUUUGGAAUUUAAAUUUAUUUCUCCUUCUUAAUGGUGACUGUGAAGAACAUUGAGAUUAUGACAAUCUUAUGUAAUAGUGAAGGAAUUAUGUACAAGUGAUUACUCUUUUCAACAUGUAGCUUUGAAUUGUUGUAUUUUUGAAUCUUAUCAAUGGUUUCCUUUUCCGUUUAAUGGUUUUUUUAUUGUUUGCUGCACAGAGGCUAUAGAGAAAUUGAAAUUAAAUGUCUUUUCAAAUUAAAUGUAAAUAUGUAAUUUGUUUUUUUUCUUUUAUUAAUCAAAUGAGCCACGUUUCAGCUACAAACGUGGGAUAGUUCUGAUACUUUCAGUGGUGGAGAGUCUCACGAAUACAAGGGAUACAAGGGAAUCGUGACUUUCUGGGGUAAUACCCACGACAGUAAUGCCCAUGUAUGUUCCCAUUAAAUGUUGCUGCACAGUGACAAACAGCUUUCUCCACGAAAAAAUGUGUGUAAAGGUGUCAAUGCCCGCCAAUAAGAAAUGUGGGUGCUGCCUAUAUUUUUUGUAGUGAUAUGACAAUACAGAAGGAGCUGUGUUCAAGAUGGUUUUCCUUGUUUAUUUACAGACAAUAAUAACAUUAGAUUGAGCUACAUAUAUAAUCAGCAUCAGUAUUUGAAUUUUAGUCUUCUUCAAUUUCAAUCAGUCUUGUAUAAAUCCAUAUUCAUAAGCAUACAUUAGUCAAUAAACUAGAAAACAAAUCUCAUUUUAGUUCUGAUGAAAAGCUCCAUGCACUAGAUGACAUUGACCUUCCAAUUCAUUGAACAACGUCUUACGAAAAGUCUAUAAACAGUAGAGCUUAGCUGUCGGCCAAACUGUUAGGAAAACAAACAGAAAGACCGAGGCAGAGGACAUUGACUUGUGUUCGUCGGACUUCAAAUGAAUGUAAGUUCACGCACACACAUAUAUGUAUGUAUGUAAAGUACAGAGCAUUUCACAUAUUUUAAGCAGAGGAAAUGAAUAUGAAGACCUCUCAUGCGAAGCUAUUUCCCCUACUUUUCAUCCUUCUCAACUCAGCUUGGUCCAUAGCUUCAAGCUCCAUUUCUGAAAGCUUUGUGCAAUGCCUUUCCUCCCACAUUCAGAACUCUAACUCCAGUAAUGAAAUCAUUCUCACCAGAACCAGUUCAGCUUAUCCUUCAGUGUUAGAAUCUUCCAUACAGAACCUCAGAUUCUCGAACAAUUCCACACCAAAACCAGAGACCAUCAUAACUCCUUUUGAUGAAUCUCAUGUUCAAGCAGCUGUAAUUUGCUCCAAGAAAAAUGGCCUACAAAUAAGAAGCCGAAGCGGGGGGCACGAUUACGAGGGCCUAUCCUAUGUGUCCAGAGCUCCUUUCAUCAUCAUUGAUCUGUUCAAUCUCCGUUCCAUCGAUGUUGACAUAGAGAAUGAGAGUGCUUGGGUCAAAUCAGGUGCUACUCUUGGAGAGGUGUAUUACAGCAUUGCACAGAAGAGUAAAGUCUAUGGCUUUCCAGCAGCGACUUGUCCCACCGUUGGUGUUGGGGGACAUAUCAGUGGAGGUGGAAUUGGAACCAUGUUCCGAAAAUAUGGUCUAGCAUCUGACAAUGUCAUUGAUGCCAGAAUUGUAGAUGUUAAUGGCAGAAUUCUAGAUAGAAAGUCCAUGGGAGAAGAGCUUUUUUGGGCUAUCAGAGGAGGAGGUGGAUCAAGCUUUGGAGUCAUUCUAGCAUGGAAACUUAGACUGGUUCCUGUUCCCCUUACUGUAACAGUUUGCCACAUUACAAAGACAAAAGAACAAGGCGCAACCAAACUUCUUUUGAAAUGGCAAAACAUUGCAGACAAGCUUCCUGAAGAACUUUUCAUACGUCCAGUUAUAAGAAGUGGUGACAAGACUAUUACAGUUGAAUUCGGUUCCGUGUUUCUUGGCCCGGUUGAGAAACUUUUCCAUUUGAUGCAGGAGAACUUCCCACAGUUGAGCUUAGGAAGAAGCCAUUGCACCGAGAUGAGUUGGAUUCAGUCUGUUUUAGACUUUGCUGGCUACUCGAUACACGAAUCCUUAGAAAUUUUGCUGAAGCGCCGGCAAUUCAGCAUUAUCUUCAAAGCAAAAUCAGACUUUGUGACUGAGCCCAUCUCAGAAGCUGGCUUGGAAGGCUUAUGGCAGAGGUUGGUUGAAGCAAACACAUCCUUCAUGAUACUGACACCAUAUGGAGGAAAAAUGAGUGAGAUUUCUGAUUCAGAAACUGCUUUCCCACAUCGACGAGGAAACAUAUAUGAAAUCCAGUAUAUGGUUGUUUGGGAUGAUGGCAAGGAUACUGAGAAGUAUGUUGGAUUUAUGAGAAGGUUGUAUGCAUACAUGGCACCGUAUGUUUCAAAGUCUCCUAGAGCUGCCUAUCUGAAUUAUAGAGAUCUUGAUUUGGGGAGGAACAAUAAUGGCAAUACAAGCUAUGCACAAGCAAGCAUUUGGGGUUUGAAGUACUUCAAGAACAACUUCAGGAAACUUGUUCAUGUUAAGACCUUGGUUGAUCCUGGCAACUUCUUUAGGAAUGAGCAAAGCAUCCCAGUGUUUUCAUCCGGUAGAAAGUAGAAUGUCAACCAACAAAUGGGCUUAGGUUCCAAAAUAAAGUAAUCUACAAUAAAGCGAUGGAUUGGACUUAAUUUCUCAUUGCUUUAAUUUAUUGUUCCAUCCAUAUGUAUUUACUAUUUAUUUUUAUGUGAAGAGAAAUGAGGAGGGCUGGACGGGAAUCUUUAUUUAUUUAUUUUUUUUUUUUUGAAAAAUGUGUUAAUAACUCACACGUCUUACGUCUUUAUAUGUUAGUUAGGUUUGAAACUAUGAUAUCAAAGUUGUUAGUUAAACACUUUAACCAACUAAGUCACGAGAACCUUAAGAUCAUUGUAUUGUACGCAUCUUUAUCAUGAAAUCACGGUGUAUUUGUAUUAGCAUGAUCAAGUAAAUAAUGUGUUGCAUGUAUUGUUUUUAUGACCAACUCAUAUAUAAUGUCAUGCAUAUGCAGCGAACAGAGAGACCGUGACUUGUUCAUUUUGUUGAGAUAAUGGAGAUAACUAAUCUAGAAAUUUCUAAAUAAUCAUAAAUACGUUAUUUUUAGAAUGAAACUAGCAUGAAAUAUGAAUCUAGAACUAAAGUAUGGAUUAGCAGGAUUGCAAGAUACAUUGUUUCCUUGUUUUGAUUGAUAUGAGCAGAGGAAGUUGUAUAUGCUUACAACAAAUUUCUCAUUUAAUAUCUCUUUAUCAGUAUUAUCCUUUUUUUUCUCUCAUUUAAUUUAUGAAGUUUUCAUUCAUUUCAUCAAACUUGGCAGUUUGAAAUUUGGACCUUCUCACUUAAUUAGACAUUUAUCUUACGUUUACUAAUAAACAAGACGCUAUCCGGUUGUUUUCGUUGUUGCUAAAUGCUAAACAUGUAAAGAGUUAGUAUUGCCCCCACGAAUUCAAUUUAUUUACGGAUACAUAUUGGAUGCGUAUCAAGCCGUUUACCGCCGUACCUGACAGUAUCUGAGAACAUAUUCUUAACCUACAGGUCGGCGGGUACAUUCUGGUAUGGCCGAAAAUGGACGAAGACGGCAGAAAACAGCCUGAUACGCGUCUGAUACACAUUCACAUUCUUCAUUGCAUUUUCUAUGACUUAUCCAUGUGAAACACAAUCACAAUAAAAGAAUUGAAGGGUGACUAUAUAUCGUGGAUGUGAAACUUCAAAUGCUCAAGUACUCGGAAAAAAAAAAAAAAACCCCUAAUGCGCGGGGCACUCUCUGCUACACAUACACCAAAAGAGUGUCGUUGCUCUUCUAAUCCUAAUUGAUUAUGAUCGGAGUUCAACCCAAUUUUCUUUCAUCCCAUCCCCAAGUCCUUCUGCCUCAACUUUAAUCACCAUGCCAAAUUCCAUUGACAGUGUCACGAUGAGUUUCGUCGCAUCACUCGCCCUUGCUGGCAAGGAUGUCCUUGAUGUUUCUCGCCGAUUUGGAGCGACACAACGCCGCAAUACGCAAUCCUAUUUGCUUGCCAAGCCUCUGAUUCCAAAGCGAGUUGUUCCAGCAGAUCUCCAACAGACUUUCAAGCAUAUUUGGACGCUAAAUAGGAAAUUCAAGGUUCAGGCUAGACCUGUUGGUUUGUUCCUCUUCUCGUUUGAUCUCAAGCGUGAUCGGAACCAAGUGCUAUGGGGAGGAUCAUGGUACUAUCUUCGUAUGCUUAUGAUUGUGCAAGAAUACGAUGGUUUGAUGGAUUUCGAUGAAAUUGAUAUGAAUCGACUAUUCUUCUGGGUAUUGAAUUGAGAAGAUUCCCCCCAAAAUUGGAGGUUCCGAAAACAAUUGAGGAUGUUGCUAUUGUUGCUGGUGACAACCCCUUUGUGGAUUUGUCGCUGCUCAACGCAACUGGAGAAGUUAGAGUUUGGGUUUCUAGAUCGGCCUUUCAUCUUUGAGGAGGUACUCAAACUUGUCCUUGGUAUAGUGAAAAUACUUAUGAGAAUCUGGUUGGCAUGUGUUCGGCCUGCAAAUUGUUAGUGCAUAAUGAUGGAGUUUGUAGCUCCAAGCCCUCGAUGGUACAAACAAAUAACAGAGUUGAGUCUCUAGCAAACUUGGUGAACCCAAACUUCUCACAAGGCUUGCUCAAGUUCAUAGGGACAAAAUCUGGAGAGACAAUGGCCCCAAAACCACUGCAGCUUCUUGCUAAGUCGAGUCUGAAACGUAAAUCGGUAGUCCUCAAAAAACCUUCUCUUGAUUUAAUUUCUGGUGUUUCAUAACAAGAUGGUGAAUUAGAGAUGGGGAUUAAACAAGUUGGUAAGGAAAGCAACAAGAUGCCGGUCAUCCCUGGUGAAGCUAUGAAAGAAGCAGUCACUACUACUGAUAAGGUACUUGCUCACUGUGGUUGCAACUACGCCGGUGGCAGGGGCUAUGACAACCCAAGUCAAAGCUAGUGAACAGGUUGUUCAAGAUUCUAAAAGUGAAAAUAUUUCGUUAAAGGAAUGGAUGUCAAAGACUAAUGUGAACAUGGCAGGAAAAGAAAAUUUGAAGCCUGUAAUUUUUGAAGUUGGAGAAGUUGUCAAGCGCCCUUGAUCUCCCCUGAAAGAGCUCCUUGACAAUGUUGUUGCAGCUACAGCAAGUAGUAUGAAAUCUUGUGCGAACAUUCGCUUCCUUGCAAGUGUGCUUGGCCUCAUUCAAGGCCCUAAUGACAGCCUGAUCAUGAAGUCAGCUUCGUUGAUCAAGCCAAAAAUGAAGAAGGGAUGUCCUCUCGGAUCCCUAAACAAAGUACCCAGACAGAGCCAACAGGUAACAAAACCAGAUGAUCUGAGUGUGCUUUGCCCUAACACUCCUCCAAGCCCUGACCUAAAGGGCAAAAAUGCAAUAUAAAGGGUGUUAGUGCAUUGAUAGCUUAGCAAACUAUGCGAGCUGGAUGCAGCGAGAUGAAUUCAUAGGACUUAGAGUACCGCAAUUGAGCGCCUUGGCUCUAGUUUUAUGUUUCUCUGGUAUCUUGUUUUGUUUAUAGUUUAAUCCUCUGCUAAGUCCUCUGCUAAGCUCACUUGAAUAAGUGAGCCAAUUGUCUAAUGUAAUGGUGUUUGGAUGCCAUUUUGGCCUGAGUUUAUUAAUAAAAUUCAUGGGGUUGUUGCCCUUUUCCCCUUAAAAAAAAACAUUGAAGGAAAUUGACCUAACCGGUUACAAUAAGAUUGAGACUCCUUUUGGAAAGAUUCUAUGCUAUCUAUCAAAGUUUUGAAUGAAUACUCAUCCCUAUUUACAGAACUAAUUAUGAUAUAAUUUUUGGUUCAGGCGAGCAACUACUUCUUGUCUCUUCUUCGAUAUCGUGAGUGAGGCAAUUGGUUACGGAUGGUUCAAACAAGUGUCGUCCGCCCACUUUGGGGUGUAUUUUCUUCAGAUAGGGGUUGUACAUCCCUAAGUUAAUCUUGUUAUCUUUCUUAUACAAUGUUUUCUCUUCAUCAACUUGGGGUGAUUGCUUCAGGGUAUUGGUUGUUUUGCUGAGAUUUCUGCACUUGAUCUAUCAAAGGCAGUUUAUCCUACAAAUUUACACAAUGGGAGUCUAGCAAGAGGAUUCGAUCAACAAUCAAAUUAAGACCCAUUGACUGAUUGACAUAUAUUUUUGGUGGUUCAGGAUAUUCGACAGCUUGCUCAACAAUUUGAGUCUAUAGCUUUUACGCAUAUCUAGCCAGAGACAAACUUCUUUGCUGAUUAAAUUCUGGUAUUUGGUCAUUCAUGGAUAACAUACACGAAUGGACUCCUUCUCUCUUCCGUCAUUGCUUUUAAUUUUUAUUUUCAUGGUAUAGGUUGUUUUAUGAGUUUCUAGUUGUAACUUUAUUCUUGUUUUUCUUUUUCUUUUUUUUGAAUGAAAGGAGGUUAAAUGAUUUUAUUCAAUAAGUACAAAGUCAUAUUAUACAGUGACCCGUCCUUGCAGGGCUGUCAAAAAGAGACACUGUUAAAACGUAAUACAACUCACAUAUUGAGCGAGGCUCAGGAGGGGAGUAAACUAAUAAAAUACUGAUAAUAAAUUUUUCUGCAACAUCCAUUAGAAUACUCGUUGACAACCUUCAAUCAAUAAUCCUGACAGUUCCUCGUAGGUUUUGAUCCCAUGAAAAAAAUUGGUACCGAACUAAAAAAACAUCAUGGGUCCCAAACUUUUAUUCUAAAACCAUCUAGAUCCUAAAUCUGAAUCCAAAACUUUAGAGGCCCAACUUUUUUUGCUCUACGUCCCAGACAUAGGCCCAAGUUCAAAGAAAGAACUUGACCCCGCUUCCCUCUAGGUUUCCGCCAAGCAAAAACCACAUAUGCGCCACUGCCUUUAGUGCACUGACAACGCUACCGCCAAAUACAUCGCCGCUGGAUCCAACCGGGAUUUCGUCUCCCCCACACCAAUGUUCACCGUCGCGGUUGGCCACAACAAGAGCAUCUUUUCCGUUUUGCUUCAAGAAAUUCGUCGGAAGGACCAACAUCUCUUUCCACCAAAAGCAAAACCAUUGCUGAGGAGAAUCUGAAAACCUCCUCCGCCACCAAGCAACACGUUGGACCGCCACCAAGAAAGGUGGAGCGAUACCAGAGACGUGAUGGACCCUGGAUCCCAUAUUUGAAUUAGAUCUACCUGAGAAAGCCACCGACCCACCAAGAAAGGUGGAGCGAUACCAGAGACGUGAUGGACCCUGGAUCCCAUAUUUGAAUUAGAUCUAUCUGAGAAAGCCACCGACCCACCGUCCUCUCCCAACAUCUCUGAGCAAAGAAGCGGCAACAAAGCGGCGUUAAGAGGAACAUAGAAGGUUGCAGCAGGCCAAGGCUUGCCUUGGAUAGAUUUGCGAGACCGAGAGGCUCGUCAGCCAAGAACUAGGAUCAGAAAUGACCCCGUUCAAGAGAUCCGCAUGGGCAAACACUAGGAUGGGUCGCCACCAAAGUGAGAGAGCGAGAGGUCUCAUCAGAAUUAUGGUCGAAGACGGCUGAGGUUGACGAUAAACAAACCCUAGCAGAGCGCUAGGAUCGAGAGAAGAAUAUUGAUGUUUGCUUAAUUUGUUAUUUGAUAUCCUUCUUCGACAAAAAGUGUAGUCGACGUUCUUUUUAGAGGAAAUUUUUCAAAUGGUUCCCCAAGUUAAGCUCAUUCAUCAUUUUGACAUCUCAAUCUUAAAAACUAUGAUAAUGGUACCUCAACUCUUAAACCCAACCCAACAUUAGUUCCCUUCAUGAUUGAUUGUCUUUUCAUGUUUUCUCUCCCAAAACCUUUUUCCUCCACAACAUUUAAUUUUCUCCAGAAUAAUGUUCAUUUUCCAAUCACUAUCAAAAUUUGUGGUGAGGCAUGUGUUAAAUUGGAAUUAACAGGCCAGGCAAAGUCCUCCGAUGUGUGAAGCAGUCUUUCAUGAACUGUAGCAGGAGUGCAUCAUUAGCAGAACAUAACCAUUAUUGUCAAAUGCAUCGUCUGCUAUAAAUGGAGUAUUUUCAAAAUAUUUUAUGUGUUUAAUACUUUUUGUGGAGUUGUCAUUAUCCAGUGUUAUCAUUAGAAGCAGAACAGUCAACUUGCCAUGCAUGCCAAAUAGAGAAUGCAUGUAUUUACAUGUGUUCAUCAAAGCAUGAAUAAGCCAUAAAAACGAUGAAUCCUUAACGAAUGCAAUCAAUUUAAAGUGAUUUUGCCAUCGAAACCUCCUUAUCCAGUAAUGAUUCCAAUUCUCACCAUCUCAUGUAACUUAAAUCCGAAACAAAACCACUAGACAAACCCAAUACACAAAUUUAACCCCACGACAAAAUAAAUUCUUCUCUCAUAUGCCGACAAAACAACAAACUCUAAUAAGCUCUUACCAACCUAAACCUUUCUAGUUUCUAUAAGUUAUAACACAGAUUGAAGCAAUAAAUGGUAAAAAAAAAAAAAAAAUCAAAAAGAGUUUGACUUGAAGCAAACGUCAAAAUGGGUGUGUAGUAAAACAAAAUAAGAAGCAUACUGGGGGAGACGUAAGGCUGGCAGCCAAAGACGGAGCUCGUAAUUCGAAGCACAAAGCGAGCAAAAGGAGGUUGUUCUUUAGUCAAACGCGAUUGUUCCAGAAACAAACGAAUAUACAUAUACCGUGUCUGAUUAUUACCCAACAAAAUAACACGACUCAAACCCAAUUCACAACAUAGAAUUUUGAAAAAGAAAGAAAUAAGAGAACAAGAGAUGGUGAGUAGGUACUAGUUCCAGAUUCCGACCUUGAAAGGAUUGGACUUUAAGUAAUUGCAGGGUCCGAAAUUGUCAAUCCUCCACUGGGCGAGUCUUGAGAUGGACUCUACUUUCAGUACUUCGGUUUCCGACGCGGCCAUCAUUAUUUUGGUUUUUCUGGUCUCAGAGUUCUUGCUCGGGGAACCAAAGACUCCUCAACUGACUUGGUGUUUAAGCUUGAUGACACCUGAAAAGAUCUGUGGAGGGAAAACAUGAAGAGACAAUUUUACCUAUGGACAUGAACAAAGUCCAACUUAAUUGUGUCAAUCACGGAGGGAACUAAUAUUAGGUUGGGUUUAAGUGUUGAGGUAUCAUUAUCAUAGUUUUUAAGAUUGAGAUGUUAAAAUGAUGAAUGGGCUUAACUUGGGGCACCAUUUGAAAAUUUUCCUCUUUUUUUUUAAUUUUUUUUAUUGUAUUUUAUUUCCCCAUUGGAAAACAAAACUAGAGGGAAGAGAGCGAGGUAACUACAUAUGAAUGGGCCGGCCCACUCAAGCCCAUUUUAUCAAAUUUGGAGGGAAAACCCAAACUAAAAAGCCGACGUUUGGGAAGGUGCGGAGACUCGAGACUCUCUUCUUUAUUUCUCCGAUGCUCUCCGCCCAUUCAAUCCACUCUCCGGGGGAAGUUCAGGUAAAAGCUUCAGUCUUGGUUUCUUUUUUCAUCUAUUUAAAAAUCACAAAUGAACCCAAUUUGAUUAGCAUGUAAUUCCAGUCCCAAAGUUGGUUCUUUCGCUUGUAAUUUAGGGUUUUAAUUUCAGAUUUCAGGAUCUAGAAUCUGCAUAUUUGAACUGGAUGGCCAAUGGGCAUUGAAAAUUGAACUCACUUUGCUGACUAAAGCCUGGUUUGGUGGUUUCUUCUCUUUUCAUUUUUCCUUUCUGCUGCUUUGCUAUUAUAUAAUAAUACAGACUACUAGAAUUCACAAUGUUGCUGAAAAUUUGCUGCAUAUUGCGAUAUGUAUGUUGAUGCAGGUUACCUGUUAUGUUCAAUUCAUAUUCAUUAAAAUGGUGAUUUGGUAUAAUACUUAUGGUAAGCAUUAACCCAGUUAAAAGUUAAGACCAGGCCUCUUCAGUUUUUUUUCGAGAAUUGAGUUUUAUUUAUUAUUCAUAUUAAUUUGGCCAAACAUCUCAAUCAAGGCCUUGAGAUGUCCCAAAACUAGCAAAACUUUACUCUACUCCUGAAAUAACACAUUCGAACUAAUCUCAAGACUAGCUGAAAAUUGGAUGCCAAUGCGAUUCCGUUUAUAGAGAAGUUAGGCUCUACUCAUCCCCAUGUUAUGGCUAUUCUUGCUAUCUUGGCAAAAUGGCAAAGAUAUUUUUUAUUGAAGGAAAUGAAAGGAAAAAAAAGAAGAAAAAACUCAACAGUCUUAGCUGGCUGAGUGUGUCAUUACCUUCCUAACUAAUUCCUGGUUAUGCCUUGCGCGCAAGAGGUGGGAUGCUCUGUUCGUGCCUGAAGAAGUUAUGAGGAUCAACCUUUGUUUUGAUCUUUAUCAAUCUGUAAAAGUUGUCCUUGAAAUACCUGGUACCCCAAGCACUUGCUUCAGCGAUGCUGGUGUUCUUUUUCUUGUUUAUCCCCAAAUCAAGAUCCCUGUAAUUCACAUAUGCUUGCCUUGGGGACUUUGUAACAUAAGGAGUCAUGUAGCUGUAGAGCUUCCUGAUCCAAUCUAUGUGCUUUGCCUCGUCUUCAUUUGCAGCUAGCCAUCCAGUCAAGUACUGAAUUUUGAAGAGAACUUUUCUGUGUGGGAAUGGUAUUGCUGACUCUGAAAUUUCGCUCAUCACUCCCCCAUAUGGAUUCCAAAUAAUCAGAGAACUGGUUUCUUCCAACAUCCUUUUCCAUAUCCCCUCAAGCGCAGUUUCAGGAAUCGGGUCUUUGACAAAGUCAGAUUUGGCUUUGAAGUAGCUCUUGAAUGGGGGUUUUCCUUGAAGCAAAACCUCAGGUCUAGUUCCAUUUGCGUAACCUGCUAUGUACAUCACAGAGUUGAGCCAAUUUGAUUCUGUACAAUCUUUUCUUGUCAAAUUCAGCUCAGGGAACCCUGUUUGCAUAACAUUGAGGAGCCUUUUAACACCUCCAAGGAAUUGACCUUGGAAAAGAGUUGUGAUAGUUCUCUUCCCACUUAUGCUGUCAACUACUGUUGGUUGUAUCAAAACUCUUAUAUUGAGAUGUCUAUCGAGCUUAGUAGCAGCUACUUGUUGCCAUCGGUGGAGCAGCUUUGUGGCACCUUGUUCCAAGGUCUUGGAAACAGAAAAAACUGUCACAGUUGAUGGAACAGGAACCAACUUUAUCUUCCACCACAGGAUGACUCCAAAGCUUGCUCCUCCGCCACCUCUGAUUGCCCAAAAUAGGUCUUUUCCCAUGGUCUUUCGGUCAAGAAUUCUGCCGUUGACGUCAACUAUUCGGGCAUCCAGGACGUUAUCAGCUGCAAGGCCAUAUUUCCUCAUCAUAGUACCAUAUGCACCUCCAGUUAUAUGACCUCCCACACCUAGACUCGUGUAAAGACCAGCUGGGAAGCCGUGUGUUCUGCUUUUCUCUGCAAUUCUGUAGUAAACUUCACCAAUAGUGGCUCCAGCUUGAAUCCAUGCACUAUUGGAUUGGAUAUCAACAUUAACUGAUCUCAGCUUGGAGAGGUCUACAACAAUGAAAGGUGUUUCAAUUUGGGACACAUACGAGAGACCUUCAUAAUCAUGCCCUCCACUUCGGACCCUGAGAUGUAUUCCAAGCUGUUUUGAACAGACAACAGCCUUUUGAACUUGGGAAUCAUCAGUUGGUGUGAAAAUGAACUCGGGCUUUGGCUUUGAAAGGAGCAGGUACCUGAGGUUUUGUGCAGUUGAAUUUAGGAUGGUAGUGAAUGCAGAACUGUUUGAAGUGAAAAAGGUACUAGAAAAUGGAACAGAAGCAUUAGAAUGAUAUGAGAGGCAUUGGAUAAAUCUGUUUUGUUUUGAAGAUGGUGGUUUUGCCGACGAAGAUGAUAACAAAAUGAAAAGAAACAGGGAGAAAACUGAGUAGUUUGAAAUCAUCUUGUUGCCUUGUUUCAAUGUCUUUGGGUGUUGUGGAGGACUCAGCUUAGUUUCUGUGUUUCUUUAUAGAUGCAUGAAGGUGCAUUGAAUGACACACUCGAAUAUAUUAAGGCAUUCUGAUCAAGUUAGAUUUAACCUCAGAUUCCGGAAAUUUAUCUGGAUUCAAAGGUGUGAUCAAGUGAAUUAUAUAUGAGCAUGGAAAACAACUGGUGUGGUACUGAUCUGCUGUCCAUGUGUUUGAUCUUGAUCACGAAGCUUCAAACAAAUGAAAAUGGUAGUCUUGGUCUAUGGCUUUAUGUUAAAAGUAAUUGAAUCAUGUGCUUAAUCUUUAAUGAUCUCUUUAUGGCUGGAAAAUUCUUUUGGCAUCUGAAAGAAUGAGAUGAUGUGAUGGGAAAGACGGAGCAUGUCUUGAAAAAACUUACCACCCUGAAUUCAAAACAAUCAAAAUAAUUGAAGGAAAUAAUUCCAUAAUACGCUCAAUGUCACUUACAUGCACCCCUUUCCAUCUUUGUUCUGUUCAUGCAUGAUUCCUGUACAUGCUUUGAGGUCUUCAGAUUCCACAAGAAACCCGUAACAUAGAGCGGUGGCGGUUUCUUUCCAGCAAUCUCCAACGGAACAAUAAAUCUCAGUUCAGUUUGAACAUGCUCAUAACUGAAAUCUGCAACCAAAGCACUGCAAACUCAGUGAAUGGAACAGCGAUUCAAAAUGGGCCGGCCCAUCGAAGCCCAACACAACUGGGGUAAACUUUGUAUUUUAUAACCAAAUUUAGAGGGAAAACCCAAACCAACAAAUUGGGGGUGUUCAUAUGAAUUACAGAACACAAAUUUGGAAGGCGCAGACUCUCAGGAAUCCAGAUGAAAUCAAUUUGAGGUAAAGCUUCAAUCUUGACUUCUUUUUCAUCACUUACAAUCCCAAUUGAAACUCAAUUUGAUUAAAUUGUACUUCCCACUCCAAAAUUUAAUUCUUUCACUUUGUAAUUUAGGGUUUCCAUUGACUUCAGAUUUCAGAUAUCAGAAUCCAGAAUCUGUCUAUUUGAACUGCAAUGGCCAAUGGAUAUUCAAAAUUGAAACCCUCUUUGCUGACUUAAGCAUGUGUGGUUGUUUCUUUUAUUUUUCCUUUUUCCUUUCUCCAGCUUUAUAUAAUUUGCUGCGUUUUUCUUUUCUUUUGGUACAAAAUUUGCUGCAUAUUGUGCUAUAAUUUGUCCUCAUAUUCAUAGAAAUUGUGAUUUGGUAUUCAAGUUAUCUGUUAUAUGAAAGCAUCAACCGAUCAUUACAGUUGAAUGUUUUUUUUUCAAUGUUACAUUACAAUUGAAUGCUAAGACUAAGCUUUCCUCAGUUAUUUGAGAAUUAUUUUAACAAAGUACAUACUUUGAAAACCAAUCAAGGCCUUGAGGUUUCUCAAAACUAGCAAAACUUUACUCUUGAAAUAAAUAUCCUUUGAACAAAAUUUCAAGACUAGCCGAAAACUGGAUGCUGAGGCCUUCGGUUUGGUGAGUAGUUAGUCUCUACUCACCCCAUGUUUUGGCUAUUCUUGCUAUCUUGCCAAAGUGAUUAUUAUUUAAGGAAAGAGAGAAAAAAAAACACAACAGUCUGAGCUGACUCUUACUGUGUUAUUACCAUUAUAACUAGGUUCUGGUUUUUCUUGCCUGGAGCGCAAGAGGUGGGAUGCUCUGUUCAUGCCUGAAGAAGUUUUGAGGAUCAACUUUGGUUUUAAUCUUUACCAAUCUGUUAAAGUUGCCCUUGAAAUACCUGUUACCCCAUGCACUUGCUUCAGCGAUGCUAGUGUUCUUUUUCUUGUUUAUCCCCAAAUCAAGAUCCUUGUAAUUCACGUAUGCUUGCCUUGGGGACUUUGUUACAUAAGGUGCCAUGUAGGUGUACAGCUUCCUAAUCCAAUUUAUGUGCUUUGCCUCGUUUUCAUUUGCACCUUGCCAUGUAGUCAAAUACUGAAUUUUGAAGAGAACGUUUCUAUGCGGGAAGGGUAUUGCUGACUCUGAUAUUUUGCUCAUCAUUCCCCCAUAUGGAUUCCAAAUGAUCAGAGGAGCGGUUUCUUCCAACAAUCUUUUCCAUAGCCCCUCAAGCGCAGUUUCAGGAAUAGGGUCCUUGACAAAGUCUGAUUUUGAUUUGAAGUAGUUCUUGAACGUGGGUUUCCCUUGAAGCAAAACCUCAGGCCGAGUUCCAGUUGCAUAACCUGCUAUGUACAUCACAGAGUUGAGCCAGCUUGUUUGUGUACAAUCUUUUCUUGUCAAAUUCAGUUCGGGGAACCCAGUUUGCAUAACAUUGAGGAGCCUUUUAACACCUCCUAGGAAUUGACCUUGGUAAAGAGUUGUGACAGUUCUCUUGCCACUUUUGCUGUCAAGUACUGUUGGUUGUAUCAAAACUCUUAUAUUGAGAUCUUUAUCGAGCUUAGUUGCAGCUACUUGUUGCCAUAUGUGAAGCAGCUUUGUGGCACCUUGUUCCAAGGUCUUGGCAACUGUAAAAACUGUCACAGUUGAUGGAACAGGAACCAACUUUAUCUUCCACCACAGGAUGACUCCAAAGCUUGCUCCUCCACCACCUCGGAUUGCCCAAAACAGGUCUUCUCCCAUGGUCUUUCGGUUAAGAAUUCUGCCGUUGACAUCAACUAUUCUGGCAUCCAGGACGUUAUCAGCUGCAAGGCCAUAUUUCCUCAUCAUAGUACCAUAUGCACCUCCAGUUAUAUGGCCUCCCACUCCUAAGCUCGUGCAAAGACCUGCUGGAAAGCCAUGGUUUCUGCUUUUCUGUGCAAUUCUGUAGUAAACUUCACCUAUAGUUGCUCCAGCUUGAAUCCAUGCACUAUUGGCUCGGAUAUCAACAUUAACUGACCGAAGCUUGGCAAGGUCUACGAUAAUGAAAGGUGUUUCAAUUUGGGACACAUAUGAGAGACCUUCGUAAUCAUGCCCUCCGCUUCGGACCCUGAGAUGUAUCCCAAGCUGUUUUGAACAAAUUACAGCAUAUUGAACUUGGGAGUCAUGCGUUGGUGUGAAAAUGAACUCUGGCUUUGGUUUUGAUGGGACCAAGUACCUGAGGUUUUGUGCUGUUGAAUUUAGGACGGUAGUGAAUGCUGAACUGUCUGGAGUGAAAAAGGUACUAGAGAAUGGAAUAGAAGCUUUAGAAUGAUAUGAGAGGCAUUGGAGAAAACUAUUUUGUUUUGAAGAUGGUGGUAGUGCCAAUGAAGAUGAUAACAAGAUGAAAAGAAACAGGGAGAAAACUGAAGAGUUUGAAUUCAUCUUGUUGCCUUGUUUCAGUGGCUUUGGGUGUUGUUGAGGAAUCAGCUUAGUGUAUGUGUGGGUUCUUUAUAGAAGCAUGAAUGUGCAUUAGUGUUCACUUGAUGAGCUAAUGCACAUGUCAUAUGGUGUUGGGAUCACAUAGCCUAAAUGGUCUCAAUUUUAUGAGUUUUGUGGAAUAUUGACUUCAACCCCCAAAUAUUCUUAGUAGAGUUCCCCGCCUACCAUCACUGAGAUAGUUCACAGCACCACCAAUACGGCAGAGACCUGGUGGGAAGCUGAGACCAUAUGCUGCAAAAAUGUGGUGAGGCUUUUAAUCUAUGGUGUUAGUAAACCUGAAGUUUUGUAAAGAGGACCAAACAUAUAUGAAGUGAAGGGUCGCUGUAUAGCAAUUACGGAACUUCUAGAAAUGAACAAGGUCUGCUGCAGAGGAAAUUGAGCAAAGAGAAAAUACUUCUUAGGUUAGUCUCUCGUGCACUAUCAUUGCUUCUGUUUAGCUUAUGUUUGUUGCCAACUUUUUCAAUAGGAUGUAUUGAAGCAAUUGAAACCGGAAACUACUAUAGUAUCGUUAUGUGAACUGGGCAUGAAUUUUCUUUGAUUGAAUAGUUUAGCACGUUGAUGAAACGAAAGAAAUAGAAGUGUAAACUUUCUUUUGACCUGUAGUAGUAUAAUUUAGUUAUGAUUCCAUUAACAAUAACUUUCACUAUGUAAAAUUGGUCUAAGCAAUGAUCAUUUUCUUUUUGACUUGGGUGACUCUCUCCCUAAACAGAGAUUUUUUGUCAGAAACUCAGAGUUGAGUUUAUAUCAUUAUUAUCAAUCCACCCAUAAAAUUUCUAGCUCCUGAGAAUCUAUGCCCUUUGUUCAUAUAAGAAUGUUUAGGUUACUGUGACUAGUGCGUCUGGCCCAAAAAUCUCAUUCAAAUCAUGGGUGUUGAAGCAUGGGUAAUGACUAAUGAGUAAAAAUGAGAAUUUGUGUUUCAAAGUCAUGUUAUUGGAGAUAUCUAAUUGCCCCCACUAUUUUGGAGACAAAUAUGGAUCUGUAAAUUUACUUAAAAGAGUACUUUGGAACUUAAGCACAAUGCUUCUGGAAGAACAAAACCUUAAUGUUUCACCAACGAGGUGCCUUGUUCAAGUUUAAGGUAAACUGUACACUAAACUCAUGGGCAUAAGUUUGGUCCUCUGUAAUAUAACUAACAUGAAUAUGCACCCUCAUUCAUCCACAGCUUAAGUGGUUUCUUUAUGCAAUAAAUUUGGUUUAUUCAAUUUGUUUUUUCAUCUUUCUAAUUAUUGCAACAGGGACUAUGACUUGCAGGUGCCACAUGCAGGUUCAAGUUUGCUACCUGGAAAACACUUGAAAGAGAUAUGUCUUCAAUUGCUUUUCCGUGUGUAGGAGUAGGUAUUUGUUUGGUUUUGCUUGAUUUGUUAACUACAGGGACUUGAACAAAGUUAACCUAAUCCGUUCACAAUGUAAGGGAAAAACAAAUACAUACAAUUAAUUUACAUAUUACAUUAUCUCCUAAAAGCUAAACAAUCCCAUUGUUCCAGCUCUUUCCUAUAACAAUCCAUUAUUGCAGGUCCCAUGUAAAUUGGAGUACAUCACUAUUUCUACAACAAUUGAAUGUUGAUACCCAGAGACUUAUUUGACAAUUCUGCUCCAGUAUAUAGAAUCAGGCAAACAUUUUCUUAAACAAAACAUACUAACGAAUAACCCAUCAGAUUCUUACCACGCUUCAAACGGCAUAAAUAUGUAGCUGUGGCUUUUCUAUGAUCACCUUGCAGUUGUGGAUGAUGUUCGUAGAGGGAGUGGAAGAGGUGGGAUGCUCUGUUCAUGCCUGAAGAAGUUAUCGGGAUCGACUUUGGUCUUGAUCUUGAUCAGUUUGUUGAAGUUGUCCUUGAAAUACCUGUUACCCCAAGCACUUGCUUCAAUGAAGCUUGUGUUGCUCUUCUUGUUAACCCCCAAAUCAAGAUCCCUGUAGUUCACAUAUGCUUGCCUUGGGAACAUUGUAACAUAAGGAGCCAUGUAAUUGUACAGCUUCCUAAUCCAGUCCAUGUGCUCUGCUUCAUCUUCAGUUCCAUUUUGCCAUGUAGUCAGGUACUGAAUCUUGAAGAGCACUCCUUUUCUGUGUGGGAAAGGUAUCUCCGACUCCGAAAUCUUGCUCAUCAUUCCUCCAUAUGGGUUGAAUAUCAUUAAAGGAGAAGCUUGUUCGUACAACCUUUUCCAUAUCCCCUCAAGCGCAGAUUCUGGUAUUGGGUCUUUGACAAAAUCUGACUUGGCUUUGAAGUAGUUCUUGAAAGUGGAUUUUCCUUGAAGUAAAACCUCAGGUGGAGUGUUACUUGGGUAACCUGCUAUGUACAUUACAGAUUUCAGCCAACUUGUUUGUGUGCAAUCUUUCCUUGUCAGACCAAGUUCCGGGAAGCUUGUUCCCAUAACAUCAAGGAGUCUAUCAACACCUCCAAGAAACUGAGCUUGGUAGAUAGUCAUGAUAGUUUUGUUGCCACUUUUGGCGUCGAAGACCGUUGGUUGUAUGAUAACUCUAAUGAAGAGAUCUUCGUCAAGCUCAGUAGCAGCUACUUGUUGAUAUCUAUGAAGGAGCUUCGUGGCGCCUUGCUCAAGGGUCUUGACAACAGAAAAAACUGUCACGGUUGAUGGAACAGGAACAAGCUUGAUCUUCCACCAGAGAAUGACACCAAAACUAGCUCCACCACCUCCUCUGAUUGCCCAAAACAGAUCCUCUCCCAUCGAUUCUCGAUUGUGAAUCCUGCCACUAGCAUCAACAAUAUGGGCAUCGACGACAUUGUCAGCACCAAGGCCAUACUUCCUCAUCAUGGUACCGUAUGCACCUCCAGUAAUGUGCCCACCAACACCUAGACUUGUGCAAAGUCCGGCAGGGUAGCCAUGUGUUUUACUUUUCUCUGCAAUCCUGUAGUAGACUUCACCAAUGGAGGCACCGGCUUGCACCCAAGCGCUGUUGUCUUCGAUGUCAAUGUUGACUGAUCGAAGCUUGGCAAGGUCUACAAUGAUGAAAGGUGUUUCUGUUUGGGAGACAUAAGAGAGUGCUUCAUAGUCAUGGCCUCCACUUCGGACUCUCAGAUGGAUUCCAAGCUCUUUUGCGCAAAUGACAGCAGCUUGGACAUGAGAGUCGAGCAUUGGAGUGAAAAUGAACUCAGGUUUUGGCACUGAAGGGGUCAAAUAACGGAGGUUUUGUGCAGUGGACUGUAGGGUAGGAAGGAAUGUGGAAUUGUUUGGGGUGAUGAAGGCCUUAGAGAAUGGUAUCAAAAUCUCCGUGUUAUCCGAGAGGCAUUGGCUGAAACUAUCUAGGGUUGAAGUUUUGGGAUGUGCCCAUGAAGCCGAUGAUAACAGAAGGAAAAGAAAGAGGGAAAAUAUUGAAGGGUUUGGAAGCAUCAUUGUGUUGCUUGGUUUGUUUAAGGUAUGAGGUUGUGUUGAAGAAGUGGCUUGAUGUUUGCUGCUUUAUAGAAGCAUGAAGAUGGUGUCUCAGUGACACCAACGAGAGUCUGAUGAGGUAAUGGAGACGUCAGUUGAGAUCAUUUGGGUCACUGGUCACUAUUUCAAAUUUUCAAUUGCAUCUGUUCUUGAAUGUGACUCGUCUAAUGUGAGCUACUCUGUACGGCUCUACCUGUACCGUGAUUUAAGUAUGGAUACAGAUUAUAGAGUGUAUUAUAAAGGAUUAAUGGUUAGAAAUUGGUGAUUAUAUACAAUCUUCCACAUUUGAUGAUGAGUCGGAUUUCCAACUGAUGGAAUGUGGUAUGUUUCGAGUGGUAGACUUCAUUCUGAUUGUAUCGAAUCUUCUAGAUAAAUAAUUCUGAUUAUUUAGAGCCGAAUCUACAAAUUUGAGACUAUAUUGUUCCUGGAUCCGGAAAUUAACUAACUUUUCGUGUCGGCAGUUGCAACAUAGGGCACCUACAAUUGCAAAGGAAGAGACCAACAACAUCCAAUGCCUAAUACCCCAGAAUUGAUAAGCUUCUACUCUUAAUAACAAAAGGACAUUGAUUGCCAACUUUGUGUAAAUAGGGACCAAUUUAUUAUCCCAAAAAAAGGGACCAAUUCAGCAUUCAAUACUGUUCUUCAUGUACGUACUUUUAGAAUCAAUGUCCCAACGACCCAAGAUUUUCUCCUUGUGUUCUUGCUUUGAAUUCAAGUUCACGGGUAUUUUGCAAAAUGUUACUUAAUUUUGUUUAAGCAAAACAAUAAACGAAAUGGAAACUUGGAGUAGAAACAAUUCUGUUUGAGUGAAAAGGAGUGUGUGCUCGGAUUCAUUUGCUUGAUAACAUUUAGAUCGAAUGCUUUGCGGUUUAUGAUCUAUGCUCAAUAGUUUAGGGUCUAGAAAUUGAAACCUCUUCAUUCUUUUAUCUACCCUCGUUCUAAUAUAGAAUUAACCUGCAUAUUUGCAUGAACUCGACCUAACAAAAUUGCUUUUGCUACUUCACGUACGUGCAAGAAAUUAAUCGUAAUCAUUGUUAUUAGAAUAUAAUCUGAUUGUUUAAUAACUAAUUCUGUAGAUUCUGGAUUGGGGAAGAUCGAUUUUAUCGCAUUCAAACUAAAGAAAACACUACGCAAAGAAGAAAAAAAAAAUCAGACAACCAUAUCUUGCUUGUAAAGUUGCAAACAGCACCAUUAUCAUCACCCAAAUUUAACCGCAAUAUCUAAAGCGAAAGGAAGCAUAUGAAAAGAUGGGAAAGGAAACAAAAAUAGUGCAGCAAAGCGCGCAUCAAAAUGUGAUACACAUUCACAGUUCUAUAUAUGUUCAAUUGACAAUUGCGUGUCACUACCAUGUUUCAUCUUGAAAAAGCUUAUAAUCAUUGUCAAUCCACAAAUCAUUUUUGUGGCCCUUAAAUUAGUUGCUUUCUCUUUAUGUGAAAGCCAGUUUUUGCUUCCAGAUAUUCUUCAUUUCCUUAUCACAAAACUCACACUUCCUUUAAAUUAGGUCUGAUGAUUCAAAAGGAAAAGAUCGUCUUGAACAUUAUAUAAUGAGAAAGGGUGGUCUGAAAGGUCUGCAAGGAAGAAAGUGUGUAUAUGUCAAUGGUGGAAUGUCUCAAUAUGUAUGGGAAUUUUACUAGUGCUAUUACACGAAGUACUUCAUUACCUCAAUAAUGGAACUCUGCUUUUACAUCCUGUUGUUACUGAGUUGAUAGUCAUUGUUAGAGUGCACAAAGGAGAAUGGAAGUGUAUCUAUAUGCUUACACGGCAAAAAUAGCCGCUCUCUCUCUCUCUCUAUCCUAAAAUUCAUUGGCUAUGACUUGAAGCUAGAGACACCUCUUUCCUUUCACUCCUAAGGUUGCUUAAUUGGUAGUUUUCUCAAGUAUGUAGCUUCUCUUGCUUGAUGAUCCAUCUAAUAUCAAAAAUGCGUAUAAAGUAGGAAUAUCACUUUUAUCGAAGGAGUUCUCUUUAACAAAGAAAUACCAAAUUUCAUCAUGAAUGUGAGAUAUAAUUAACAUAAUAUAUUAUUCAUCUAUGAUUUUCUGGUUCACAUAAAUCAAAACAUUUUGUUACCAGAAAAAGUUUGUAUGUGAUAGCUUCAGUUAACUACUAGCUAGCUAUCAAUAAAGAUAAAUUCAAUGUACGUGUUGAGUCCAUAAAAAUUUGUAACUCAAGGGGUCGUCCAUUGUUUUGUUCUAAAAAUUAGAUAAUCUAACUAGGCAUAUUCUCGUGCAUCAGAAUUCAAACACUCAUUUCGGAUUAUAUCUCUCAAGGUAAGGUAAAGCUUCUACAAUUGACAUUGCUAAAAGAGUAACAAGGUGUUUGCAUUAGUUUCCUCCAUUAUCUCAAGUAAAUUAGAUAGCAAAUAUAGCUAUUAGAAUAAGAAUCCAUAUAUUAUAUAUUUGGUUCUUUUCGGUUUAAUUUAACAAGUUAUACAUAAAUGAAGGGGAUGACUUGAAAUUGCAUGAUUUGAAUCAUGAAAUAUAUACCAAGAUGCCAAAACAUGAUACAUUAGGUGCAUGCCCCCUCAUUUUUCACCAAACAUUUCAUUUUUCACAUGAACAUACAAUUACAAUGUCUUUUUGUUAGAACUAAAAUUUCAUUAUUAGGGUGAAACCUAUGAAGAAAGAACAUCAUUAAGCCACAGAGGACUUUUACAUAUUCAAGGUCAGAAAUCAAAAGCUCAUGUUUGAAUGUGAUGCCGGAUCGAUGACAUACAAUUCAAUUUCAAGUUUUCAACUUAAUCCCAGAGAAUGUUUGACUGGAAAACUUAUACUAAUCUAGCUGCGCACUACUACAUCGAUCAUACAAAUUAAGAGCUGAGAGCUUUAUUAAUUCUGCCGCUUAAUCAGCUCCAUCAUCAAUCUUUCUGAAGAUCGAUGCUUCUCUUUUCAAACGCUGAUUGUGCUCUAUAAUAUACAAGUUACAUACUGAAGGGUCCAAAUUGAGAGGAAAUUAAGCUUUAUUUCUUUUAAGCCACAAUCUGCGUAAUACAUUUCACCCUCGAAUGUCAAAUCAUGCACCAACGAAGAUUGAGUACCCAGCAACUUUGAAAUGCAUGCUUUGCAUUAUUCUACCAAUUGUCAAAUAUUUGCAACUUUGAUUAAUUACCACUCGGAAAUUCUCUAACUAGGCCUUGAUUUGGUUCCAUAUGUUCAAUAUCGAACUCCAAUAUAUAUACAUGGUCGCUAGUUCGAAUGACACAGUCGAAUAUAUAUGUUAAGGCAUGCCGACAGAUUAGGUUAUAAUUAACCUCAGAUUCAGGAAGUUAAUUUGGAAUCAGUACUGGUGUACGUCAUUAGGUGAAUUAUGAGUAUGGACAAGAACUACUUUCUAAAUUAACUGGUGGUUUGGUGUACUGCUCGGCUUUCCAACCCAAAUAAUUAUCAAAAUCAAAGUACGUAGUUGCUUUUGAUCUUCUGUUCAUGAUGUGUGUGUGAUCCGGCCAUCACGAAACUUCAAAUUAAGGAAAUGGGAGUCGUUUGUGUUAAAGUACUUGAUUACAUUCAAUGGUUAAGUACAUGAUUAGUAAUCUGUAAUGAUCUCAUGCAGACUCAUAAUGACAUGAUUUCAUGCACUUUCUUAUUCCAUCUGUCUGUGCUUUAAGAAGAAAGGAACAAUAUGUGAUCAUCACUCUUUAUUAAUAAUCGUUUCGUUAUCUAAUUAAUCUAAAUCAUCAAGGAUAUGAUCUUUAAAAUUACUAACUUUUCCUUUAGUUAGAACGUAGAACAUCGACUGCUAUAUAUAUAAUUAUUGGGUAGAGGCGAGAUUUGUGGAUUUGUUAGCUAUGAUUGAGGUGAUGGGACAAAGCUAGUGAGCCUUACUAGCUUGUUGAUUCAUUGUCUCCCUCGUCACAUUGUUCUUAGAGAUUGUUAAGUUGUCUAUUGGUGCUUUGUUCAUUUCUAAAUUAAUAUGAACGAGUCUCCAAAAAUUAUUCUGGAAACCUAAAGUUCAAACAAAUGCAGCUCCAAUUAAGCACACAGAUUUCUGAAAACCCUAGAGUUCAAACAAUGCGGCUCUAAUUAAGCAAACCGAUAUUGCAUGUUUCUACAACCAUGAAAAGUUAUGUUUUUUUCAUCAAGACUUUGUUAAGAUAUAAAUCACACAUCAGAAAUAUAUGACCUUGUUUGUGAGUUUAUAAAUGUUCGAGCCAUUUCAUCCAUAGCCAAUUAGUUUUAUAUAUGAACCUCAGACUACUUCAUCAUGGUAUCAGAACGGGCUACGUACCCACGUCCACGUGUGAAUGCGUAACGGCCACACAGACUCUAUGUCCACCUAAAAGUUAUCUAUGUGUUAGGUUUAAAAAUUCGCCACACGUGCAGGAUCGUGUUAAGAUAUAAAUCCUACAUUAGAAAUAUAAAACAUUGUCUCCGGAUUACUACUCUAUCAAACUUGUGGAACUAUUAUCGACACAAAUUUUUUUAGCAAAAAUAUCACACUCCACCCAUAAUCACGAUACUUUCAUUGAUAUAAGAACACUAGCUAGUGCAAUUUUAGAUGUGUCAUGUAAUUAGGACCACCAGUUUGAGUGACACACAUUCGAAUAGUACUGAGUGGACGGUUAAUUAUUGGAAACACAGUUCCAACUGAGAUAUGUGAAUAAGGCACGCACGCCAAGAUAGAAGAAAUCUAUCUGCAGGGUGGUGUCAUAUUAGCUCGAACACAUAUUUGAGUAGAGACAACAACUAGUUUCUAGAUUUCUGGUAUAGUUUGGUAUACUGCUCAAGUACUCAGCUUUCGAACCCAAUUAUUUUAACAAAUCAGUUGUUUUUUUUUUUUUUUGAUGCUGUACGUGUUCGUCGGAGGAUGGGGAUCCACUACUCACUUUCAAGUAAAUGAAAUAGCAUUCUAGCUAGCUAGCUAAGUUUGUUGUCAUCUGUUUGUUCUGAUGAUAAGUCUAUCUUUAAGUUUAGAACAGGGACAGUCGCAAGAUAAGUAAAUUAAUGGAAACCUUUUUAUAUAUGAUCUCAGGGAGAAGAUCGGUAUUGAUGAUUUCAUGCAUACGUACUCAUCCGAAGAGAAAACACUGCCUUAAGAACUAGUGGAUAACUGGAUAUAUAGAGUAGAGAGGCACCCUUGUGAAUCUUCGUUAGACAAUAAAUCUGAUGAGGAUUUACAAAAAAAACAUCUUUAAAUAGCUCAUUUCCAUUUCAUAUAGUGGUAUAGUAUUUUUUUUUAUAAAUAUGAAAUGAAGUGAUACUAACUUAACGUGUUUAUCUUAAAAAUCAAUCAACUCUCAAACAUUAUAUUUAGUUCUGUGUAACAUCAAAUAUAUCAUGUUAGGUAAUUAAUUAGAGCAAAUUUAUUUAAGUCACCAAGUUUUUGUAUAUAUAGGUUUGUUCUUUUUAAACAAAUUACCUGUUCAAAAAAAAAAACAAAUUAAUUAUGGUCAAUGUCCACUGCCCAUAUUUUUGAGACCAAAUGUUCUUUAGGGCUCCAAAAGAGCUAGAAUUAAAGCCCAACCCGUCUAUCUAGUUGGCCCAAACCUAUUUUGCUGACAUUGUUUAUCUUUGACAACGAACAUUUCGUUCUCUCUCUAGAGGCUUCAUGGAAAUAUUUGGGAGGAUGUGUGGAUAGCAUCUUGUUUAUUAGUAAAAGUAAGAUAAAUGUCUAAUUCAGUGAGGAGGUCCAAAUGUCAAACUGCCAAUUUUGAUGAAAUGAGUGAAAACUUCAUAAAUUAAAUGAGAAAAAAAAGAGAGAAUAAUACUGAUAAAGAGAUAUUAAAUGAGAAAUUUGCUGUAAGCAUAUACAACUUCCUCUGCUCAUAUAAUCAUAACAAGGAAACAAUGUAUCUUGCAAUCGUACUAAUCCAUACUUUAGUUCUAGGUUCACAUUUCAUGCUAGUUUCAUUCUAAAAAUAACGUAUUUAUGAUUAUUUAGAAAUUUCUAGAUCAGUUAUCUCCGUUAUCUCAACAAAAUGAACAAGUCACAGUCUCUGUUCGCUACAUAUGCAUGACAUUAUAUACGAUUUGGUCAUAAAAAUCAUGCAACACAUUAUUUACUUGAUCAUGCUAAUGCAAAUACACCGUGGUUUCAUGAUAAAGAUGCAUACAAUACAAUGAUUUUAAGGUUCUGAUAGCUUAGUUAGUUAAGAUAUUUAACUAACAACUUUGAUGUUAUGAUUUCAAACCUCACAAACAUACAUAAGACGUGUGAGUUAUUAACAAAUUUUUCAAAAAGAAAAAAAAAUAAAGGUUCCCGUCCAGCCCUCUUCAGCUCUCUUCACAUAAAAAUAAAUAGUAAAUACAUAUUGAUGGAACAAUAAAUUAAAGCAAUGAGAAAUUAAGUGCAAUCCAUCUCUUUAUUGUAGAUUACUUUAUUUUGGAACCUAAGCCCAUUUGUUGGUUGACAUUCUACUUUCUACCGGAUGAAAACACUGGGAUGCUUUGCUCAUUCCUAAAGAAGUUGCCGGGAUCAACCAAGGUCUUAACAUGAACAAGUUUCCUGAAGUUGUUCUUGAAGUACUUCAAACCCCAAAUGCUUGCUUGUGCAUAGCUUGUAUUGCCAUUAUUGUUCCUCCCCAAAUCAAGAUCCCUAUAAUUCAGAUAGGCAGCUCUAGGAGACUUUGAAACAUACGGUGCCAUGUAUGCAUACAACCUUCUCAUAAAUCCAAUAUACUUNNNNNNNNNNNNNNNNNNNNAUAGGCCCUCGUAAUCGUGCCCCCCGCUUCGGCUUCUUAUUUGUAGGCCAUUUUUCUCGGAGCAAAUUACAGCUGCUUGAACAUGAGAUUCAUCAAAAGGAGUUAUGAUGGCCUCUGGUUUUGGUGUGGAAUUGUUCGAGAAUCUGAGGUUCUGUAUGGAAGAAUCUAACACUGAAGGAUAAGCUGAACUGGUUCUGGUGAGAAUGAUUUCAUUACUGGAGUUAGAGUUCUGAAUGUGGGAGGAAAGGCAUUGCACAAAGCUUUCAGAAAUGGAGCUUGAAGCUAUGGACCAAGCUGAGUUGAGAAGGAUGAAAAGUAGGGGAAAUAGCUUUGCAUGAGAGGUCUCCAUAUUCAUUUCCUCAGCAUAAAAGAUGUGAAAUGCUCUGAGCUUUACUAACAUACAUAUAUGUGUGUAAGUCGUCUGUUGAUGUGAAACCGUAGGUUCCGCUUUCUAGCACUUUUUUAGUAUUAGUGGGGUAAGUCAUCUAUUGUUGUUUUGUCCAUUUCUAAAUUGAUAUGAACGAGUCUCCAACAAUAAUUCUGAAAACCUAAAAUUCAAGCAAUGCAGCUCCAAUUAAGCAGAUCGAUAUCUGAAAACCUAUAGUUCAAACAAUGCAGCUCUAAUUAAGCACAUCGAUUUCUGAAAACCUAAUUAGUUAAGCACGCCGAUAUUGCAUGUUUCUACAACCUUGAAAUGUUUUUUUUUUUUUCAUCAAAACUUUGUUGGAUAUAAAUUUCAUAUUGGAAAUAUAUAACUUUCCCUAUGGGGUUAUAAGAGUUUAUGUCACUUCAUCUACUGUCAAUUGGUUUUGAAUAUGAACCUCAUACUACUUCAUCACAAUAUUAGAGCAGAUUACGCACGUCUAUGUGUGAAUGCGUAACGGCCACACAGACUUCACGUCCACGUGUGCGGAGGCGUGUUAAGAUACAAAUCCUAUAUUAGAAAUAUGAGACCUUGUUUACGGGUUACUACUUUAUCAAACUUGUGGAACUAUGAUCGACACACGAUUUUUUUGGCAAAAAUAUCACACUCCACCCAUAAUCACGAUAAUUUCAUCAUAUAAGAACACUAGCUAGUGCAAUUUUAGAGGUGUGUCAUGUAAUUAGGGCCACCAGUUUGAGUGACACACAUUCGAAUAAUACUGAGUGGAUGGUUAAUCAUUGGAAACCACAGGUCCAACUGAGAUAUGUAAAUAAGGCAUGCACGCCAAGUUAGAAGAAAUCUAUCUGCAGGGUGGUGUCAUAUUAGCUCGAACACAUAUUUGGAGUAGAGACAACAACUAGUUUCUAGAUUUCUGGUAUAGUUUGGUACUAGUCUUUGUCCUACGCGUUGCUGCGAUUGAUUUUCGUGUUUAGUUAGUACUGGUGAUGAUUAAAAAUAGGAUCAUAUAUCUAGAAAUUACGCACACUAUUUGCUGCAGGUGGGUUUCAGAAUGUACGUAAAAACAUGAACCCUGUAAUGAAAUGGCGUCGCAUUGUUCAAUCUCAUAUUCACUAUGUAUUGCAUAUAUUACUGAAACCAACAAUUUUACUUUUAAAAAAAAUAUGGAAUCAAUAACAAAGCCCUUUCUUAUGUCAUUUUUCGGUGAAACAAUUAUACAUUUCUAUGGUUCAUGAUAUUGGUCCUUGGCUUGGAGUUGAUUGACCGUGCCAAUUGAUUUGGGGAUUCAACACACUUGUCUGGAAGAGCAUACACCCAAUAGUGUUCUUUGCACAAUUGCUCCCAAAUUUGUAAUCUCUGCGUUGCAUAACUUUCUGCUAGUCAAGCUAAUGAUAAACAACAACAACACUACAACAUGAAUGCUAAAAAUAAUAGAGAAGCAUUGCAUGAUUAUCGCAAGACCUAAAUAUUAGAAUUAUGACCACAUGACAUUGAAUAAUACCACACUAAGAGAGAAAAUGGUAAAAUGGUAUGAUCUGUAUAUAAUUACAUAUACAAUAUUAAGAGCAGAAUCAUAUAAGAAUGAAUAAAAAAAAAAUUAUGACCCAUUCUUCUUCAAGUAGACAUCCAUAUCUAUUUGUCUGCCACCAAACAAUGAAUUUUGUUUGUUUGUUUAUUACACCACAAAUAUUAAACAUGACAAAUUUUUCUAUCAUUUUGCUGUUAGUAAUGGUAUGUGAAGGAUUUAGAUUGUAUAUUUAUCUGCAAUAGCUUAAUGUUCUUUUUGCGAAAUUGUUCAAAAACGUUAACUUUAGUACAGAACUGAUAUGUAUGUAGAGAUCAUUACAACCAUGCAUGUUAACUAUUAAAUUGAAUCUCAUAACCUAUAUGCAUUAAAGAUUAAGCUAUGUGUUUGUAUAAAUUUAAAAGUUUCUAAACACAAUAUGCAAAUAAGACUCCAUGUUUAAGCUGAUGGUUUCAAUACCCACAAAUAGAAGAACUGAUUUCAAUACCCAAAAAAAGAAGAAGAAAGAAAUCAAUGUUCAUCAAUUUACAGAUGAAUAAGAACCUUUAUAGGGAGGCUAUAUAUUCUUCUUCUCAUAAUAAAAGCUGAUUUCCCCAGGCUAUGUUAUACUAAAUCCCAAAUCAGCUUAUCACCAAUUGCUUUGAACCAUGAAAUAUAAAGUCUUCCAACUCUGGACGAAGGCGUAAACUUAGAGAAGGAAUCGAUGACACGAUCAUUUCAAAACCACAAAAACAAAAUCAGACUGAGAGCAGAGAGCAUGCAGAAAAAGAAUCAGUAGAAACAAUGGACAAAACUCAAAAAAGAAAAGAACGCGCAACAUGGCCAUACUGUUUGAGCCCAGUGGGUAUUUUUGGUCCAAGACUCAGGGUACGUUUUGGAUAACAUUUGGGCCUUUACCUGUGGCCCUUUUUUUAAUGCGAAGCCCACGAAGGGUGGCGAAGUCUGGCAACACGCGAGUUGGAAUUGUGUAAGGAUUCUGAUACCUCGCGGGAUUCGAUGUCCUCGCGGGAUCCUUUGUUCUAGUUCGUGUAGGAUUCUACAGUGCAUGGCGAGGUAGAGUUGGAAAUGGACUGUAGUACCCGCGGGAUAGGAUCGCUUAGUGCUCGAGUUCGCGUACGACGCUACAGUGAUAUGAUGCGGGGCGGUGAGCGAGACCUAGGCGAAGUCUGUUUUGGACACGUGUUGCAUGGAUCGCGCGGCUCGCGAGCUGGUCGUUUCCUGGUGGAAUUCUAAUUGCUGAGUCCGAAUGGAUUUGUGAUUAGGUCUCUGCGAAUUGUUUGCGGAUCGCUAUAUAAGGGAGCUUGACACAACGAACAAGACACACAAUCAAUCAUACAAAACAACUGCAAAUCUUCGAGCAUCCUCGAAACCCUAAGUUCUAAAUGCACCUCGCCUUAGAUCUCAGAGCCCGUCUGGACUCGCCUCUCUUUCCCAAUUGUUGCUUUGCUCGCUUCGAACAGUGAGUAUCGAUUCACAGGUGACUAGAUAGUUUGCUCGUAAUUCCUCGCCCGCGAGGUGACACUGGAGCUCUACUUCGCCUGAUUAGAAGUCAAGAACGCGCACCAUUCUCGUUCCGCGUCCGCGCGGUGGCAUGCCCUGCAAACCCUAAUUUACUUUUGGUAGCACAAGUUACCUUUCUACCCCUGCUGAGGAUCGUGGCCAAAACACAUACAACAACAACAACCAAGAACAUCUGGCAAGUGGUGGCGGCAAUAUAAAGUAAAUAAAAAUAAAAUAGGGGCAAAACCGUAAAAACACACGGUCUCUAGGGCAGUAUAUAGUAAAUACUGCUCAAGUGCUCAGCUUUUGAACCCAAUUAUUUUAACAAUUCAUUUUUUUUUUAAUAUUUUUUUUUUAUGCUGUUCGUGUUCGUCGGAGGAUGAGGAUCCACUACUCACUUUCAAGUAAAUGAAAUAGCAUUCUACCUAGCUAGCUAGGUUUGUUGUCAUCUGUUGUUCGCUCUGAUGAUAAGUCUAUCUUUUAUGUUUAAAACAGUCGCAAGAUAAGUACUUUAAUGGAAGCCUUUUUAUAUAUGAUCUCAGGAAGAAGAUAGGUAUUGAUGAUUUCAUGCAUACAUACUCAUUCGAAGAGAAAACACUGCCUUAAGAACUAGUGGAUAUCUGGAUAUAUAGAGUAGAGAGGCACCCUUGUGAAUCUUCGCGAUCGUUAGACAAUAAAUAUGAUGAGGAUUUACAAAAAAAACAUCUUUAAAUAGCUCAUUUCCCUUUCAUAUAGUGGUAUAGUCUUUUCUUCAUAAAUAUGAAAUGAGGUGAUACAAACUUGACGUGAUUAUCUUAAAAAUCAAUUUAACUCUCAAAUAUUAUAUUUAGUUCUGUGUAAUACAUCAAAUAUAUCAUGAGAAAUUGUUAGGUAAUUUAUAAUUGGAGCAAAUUUAUUUAAAGUCACCAAGUUUUUGCAUAUAUAGGUUUGUUCUUUUUAAACAAAUUAAUUAGGAUCAAUGUCCACUAACCAUUUUUUUGAGACAUCAAAUGUUCUUUAGGGCUCCAAAAGAGCUAGAAUUAAAGCCCAACCUGUCUAUCUCGUUGACCCAAUCCCAUUUUGCUGACAUUGUUCAUCUUUGACAACGAACAUUUCGUUCUCUCUCUAGAGACUUCAUGGAAAUAUUAGGGAGGAGGUGUGGAUAGCAUCUUGUUUAUUAGUAAAAGUAAGAUAAAUGUCUAAUUAAGUAAGGAGGUUCAAGUGUCAAACUACCAAUUUUGACGAAAUGAAUGAAAACUUCAUAAAUUAAAUGAGAAAAUAAAAUUACUGAUAAAGAUUAAAGAGAUAUUAAAUGAGAAAUUUGCUGUAAACAUAUAUAACUACUUCGGAUCAUAUCAAUCAUAACAAGGCAACAAUGUAUCAAGAUGGUGCAAUCGUACUAAUCCAUACUUUAGUUCUUGAUUCAUAUUUCAUGCUAGUUUCAUUCUAAAAAUAACGUAUUUAUGAUUAUUUAGAAAUUUCUAGAUUAGUUAUCUUCAUUAUCUCAACAAAAUGAAUAAGUCACGGUGUAUGCUGCAUAUGACAUUAUAUAUGAGUUGAUCAUAAAAACAAUACAUGCAACACAUUAUUUCCUUGAUCAUGUUAAUGCAAAUACACAUGAUAAAGAUGCAUAUGUACAAUAUACAAUGAUAGGUUCCGUUACUUAGUUGGUUAAGAUGUUUAAUUAACAACUUUGAUGUCAUGAGUUUAAAACCCACUAACAUAUGUAUGGGGUAUGAGUUAUUAACAAAAAUUAAAAAAAGAAAAUCAAGGUUCCCGUCCAGCCCUCCUCAGCUCUCUUCACAUAAAAAUAAAUAGUAAAUACAUAUAGUUGGAACAAUAAAUUAAAGCAACGAGAUCUUUGCCCAAAUGACAAGUUGAUUCACUUUCAGGCCUUCAAAACUUGAGAAUGGCAACUCUAGGUUUCAUUAUUAUUAGAAUUAAAUUCAGUUUACCCCCUUGUGGUUUGGGGGUGACUUCAUGUUAGUCCCUACACUUUUAUUUUCAUCAGUUUACCCCUUGAACUCUUCAAUUUCUGUCUGCCGUGUCCAAAUUCUCAUAUUCCGUUUGAAUUGACUUUUAAUUAUCAACAGUUAAGGUCCGAUUUGGACAUAUAAGGUCUGAUUUGCCUAAAUUCUAGAUAAUGACCUCACAGUUAAGGUUAAAAUUAUCAGCAGUUAACGUCCGAUUUAGACAGAAUAUAGGACAUUUGGUCACGCUUAAGGAAAGUUCUAAAGUUUGAGGGGUAAACUGAUGAAAUUGAAAGUAUAAGGAUUAACAUGAAGUUACUCUCAAACCUCAUGGGGUAAACUGAAUUUAAUUCUUAUUAUUAAUUUUGAAUGAGAAAUUAAGUCCAAUACAUCUCUUUAUUGUUUGUUACUUUAUUUUGGAACCUAAGCCCAUUUGUUGGUUGACAUUCUACUUUCUAUCUGAUGAAAACACUGGGAUGCUUUGCUCAUUCCUAAAGAAGUUGCCAGGAUCAACCAAGGUCUUAACAUGAACAAGUUUCCUGAAGUUGUUCUUGAAGUACUUCAAACCCCAGAUGCUUGCUUGUGCAUAGCUUGUAUUGCCAUUAUUGUUCCUCCCCAAAUCAAGAUCCCUAUAAUUCAGAUAGGCAGCUCUAGGAGACUUUGAAACAUACGGUGCCAUGUAUGCAUACAACCUUCUCAUAAAUCCAACAUACUUCUCAGUAUCCUUUCCAUCAUCCCAAACAACCAUAUACUGGAUUUCAUAUAUGUUUCCUCGUCGAUGUGGGAAAGCAGUUUCUGAAUCGGCAAUCUCACUCAUUUUUCCUCCAUAUGGUGUCAAUAUCAUGAAGGAUGUGUUUGCUUCAACCAACCUCUGCCAUAAGCCUUCCAAGCCAGCUUCUGAGAUUGGCUCAGUCACAUAGUCUGAUUUUGCUUUGAAGAUAAUGCUGAAUUGCCGGCGCUUCAGCAAAAUCUCUAAGGAUUCGUGUAUCGAGUAGCCAGCAAAGUCUAAAACAGACUGAAUCCAACUCAUCUCGGUGCAAUGGCUUCUUCCUAAACUCAACUCUGGGAAGUUGUCCUGCAUCAAAUGGAAAAGUUUCUCAACCGGGCCAAGAAACAAGGAACCGAAUUCAACUAUAAUAGUCUUGUCACCACUUCUUAUAACUAGACGUAUGAAAAGUUCUUCAGGAAGCUUGUCUGCAAUGUUUUGCCAUUUCAAAAGAAGUUUGGUUGCGUCUUGUUCUUUUGUCUUUGUAAUGUGGCAAACUGUUACAGCAGGGGGAACAGGAACCAGUCUAAGUUUCCAUGCUAGAAUGACUCCAAAGCUUGAUCCACCUCCUCCUCUGAUAGCCCAAAAGAGCUCUUCUCCCAUGGACUUUCUAUCUAGAAUUCUGCCAUUAACAUCUACAAUUCUGGCAUCAAUGACAUUGUCAGAUGCUAGACCAUAUUUUCGGAAUAUGGUUCCAAUUCCACCUCCACUGAUAUCGUCCCCCAACACCAACGGUGGGACAAAUCCCUGCUGGAAAGCCAUAGACUUUACUCUUCUGUGCAAUGCUGUAAUACACCUCUCCAAGAGUAGCACCUGAUUUGACCCAAGCACUCUCAUUCUCUAUGUCAACAUCGAUGGAACGAAGAUUGAACAGAUCAAUGAUGAUGAAAGGAGCUCUGGACACAUAAGAUAGGCCCUCGUAAUCGUGCCCCCCGCUUCGUGUUCUUAUUUGUAAUCCAUUUUUCUUGGAGCAAAUUACAGCUGCUUGAACAUGAGAUUCAUCAAAAGGAGUUAUGAUGGCCUCUGGUUUUGGUGUGGAAUUGUUCGAGAAUCUGAGGUUCUGUAUGGAAGAAUCUAACACUGAAGGAUAAGCUGAACUGGUUCUGGUGAGAAUGAUUUCAUUACUGGAGUUAGAGUUCUGAAUGUGGGAGGAAAGGCAUUGAACAAAGCUUUCAGAAAUGGAGCUUGAAGCUAUGGACCAAGCUGAGUUGAGAAGGAUGAAAAGUAGGGGAAAUAGCUUUGCAUGAGAGGUCUCCAUAUUCAUUUCCUCAGCAUAAAAGAUGUGAAAUGCUCUGAGCUUUACAUACAUACAUAUAUGUGUGCGUGAACUUACAUUCAUUUGAAGUCCAAUGAAGACAAGUCAAUGCCGUAUGCUUCUGUCUUUCUCUUUGUUUUCCUAUCAGUUUGAGGAAAAUUCCACAAGUGACUUGUCAAUAAUUUACAAUACGUAAGGCAAUAAAUAAAAGACGGACAGCUAAACUCUACUUUUCGUAAGACGUUGUUCAAUGAAUUGAAAUGUCAAUUCUCUCAUCUAUGUUAUCUAGUGCAUGGAGGUUUUCAUCAGAAUUCAAAUGAGAUUUGUUUUCUAGUAUAUUGACUAAUGUAUGCUUAUGAAUAUGGAUAUAUACAAUACUGAAUGAAAUUGAAGAAGACUAACAUUCAAAUACUGAUGCUGAUUAUGUAGCUCAAUCUAAUGUUAUAUAUUAUUGUCCGUAAAUAAACAAGAAAACCAUCUAGAACACAGCUGCUUCUGUAUUGUCAUAUGGUACGUCAAGCUUAUUUGUUGGUUAAGGCAGCCAUGGCCAGAUUAUAUCGUCUGCCUCUUCUGCACAUUGGUGGAGAAAAAUGCCUGGAAGAACAGUAAACAUAUGAAAUCGUAUUCUACUUUUGGCCUAUUUAUUGUUUUCUUCUCUCGGCCAAAGCUGAUUAAUUUAUUUUUUAGUCUUAUUUUCCCCUAGUUGUACUUGGGAACACAGGGAUGCUUUGUUCAUUUCUAAAGAAGUUAGAAGGAAUCAAGGAUCAACCAGGAUCUUAACAUAAACAAGUCUCCUAAAAUUGUUUUUGAAAUACUUCAAACCCCAAAUGCUUACUUUUGCAUGCGUAGCUUGUAUUGCCAUCAUUGAUGUUCCUUCUCACGUCAAGAUCCUGUUAUUCAAAUGGACACCUCUUGAGGGCUAAGAAACAUAUUGGUGUCAUGUAUGCAUAUAAACUACGAAGCUGAAGAACAAUGGCAAACUAAAAGGAAAGAAGAUCCUUGAAUGACAUCGGCUCUGGGGAUGACAUUGUAUUGGAUAUAUCAGUAAAUAACUCAUUCCUGCACAAUGGCUUCUGCAAUGUUCAGUUUGUCAAAUACUACAAACUGCUGCAUUCUGAGAGAGUGAUCUGCUUACUUGUUUUAGUAUCUUGUUCUAGGUAAAGCGGGGAAUCAAGGCUUAUGUUGAUAUUGCUAACAAUUCAUUUUCAACUAUAAAUCUGUCCACUGCACAGGAAUAUUCUUUCAUUAUAUUUCCAACCACCACGCCAGAACCAACAUUUAUUUGUAUAUAUCAUUCGAACAGACAUAAUAUGAGCACGUUUGUUACACCACGGGAUGGGAGUCAUGGGACGGGACACACGGUGUUAUAAUAAGAAUAAGAAUUAAAUUCAGUUUACCCCAUGAGGUUUGAGAGUAACUUCAUGUUAAUCCCUAUACUUUCAAUUUCAUCAGUUUACCCCUCAAAUUUUUGAAUUUCCCUCAACCGUGACCAAUGUCUCAUCUUCUGUCCAAAUCAGACGUUAAUUGCUGACGUGGACCCAAUCUCAUGAGUUAAAUUAUGUUUGUACCCGAAGCUUAGAAAAUUUUCAACUUAGUUAGGGAUAAAAAGGAAUGAUUUUUUAAUUUUUUUUUCACUAGUUUUUUUGUUAAAUGACAAUUUUAACCUUAACAAUGGGGCUCGUAUCUAGAAUUAACGAUCAAUUCAAACAAAAUAUAAGAAUUUGGUCACGACAGACAAAAAUUAAAGAGUUCAGGGGGUAAACGGAUGAAAUUAAAAGUGUAGGGAUUAACAUAAAGUUACCCUCAAACCAUAAGAGGGUAAACUGAAUUUAAUUCUAAGAAUAAACCCAUGUUUGGCACAAGGACUGGGUUUAAUGUGCAUACAGAGUCCCUGAUACCACUCCACACCGUCUUCCAUAGCGGUCCCAAAAUUGGUGGAUUCUGCUUGUCUGCUUGGGUAAGCAUUUGCUUGGAUUUGCUUGGAUUCACCGAUUGGUCACACGUCAUUUACGUACAAUCUAAUGGACAAUAAUCAAGAAGUCCAAAACACAAAUCUUACACCACACAUAGCGUAUCUCUCUUCCUGCUGAAGAGAUUGAGAUGGGCAUGGUAUUUGACUAUUUGGCGGUGGUUCGGCGAAUGUUGUAUGAGACUUGAAGUAAUGAGAGACUAGUAUCCGGCGAGAGGUGAGCGUCGCCGGAAGCUUGAGUUAUGACAUUGAAGGCCCAGAAGAAGCAGAUUGGACUGCAAACUAGGCAACCGCGAAUAAAGGAGGACUGGGUUGUUGAUCGAAGGGGAGAUGUGAGUAUCAGGAGAUGAUUAUUGCGAUACUGAAUGGCUGGGUUGCAUAAUGGGGAUCUGAUUUGGGUUUAAUUGAAAUUGGGUGGCCAUUGCUUCGUAUCGAAUCGGACCCGAAAGCUAAAAACCGGAUGACGAUGGUUUUGAUUAUGAUAAUAAUCGUUUACGUAUCUUACAUCCUCAUGGAGAUGCAAGGUAGUUCAUACAUACAAUUGAUGUCAUAUAUCUGAGUUUAUGAGGAUAUGAUCAACAGAGCAAGUGGUUGCAUCUGGAACCAGAAAAGAGAAAGAAAAAAGAGCAAGAGGAAGAGGAUGGAGUUGCCAAAGGCUGAUCUGGUGUGGCAGGGUAACUUUUGUGUUUUGGUCCUCUUUAAUUCGUGUCCAUUGGAUUGCUCAGAGAUGACGUGUCAUCCUGUGAGUGAUGUCCAAGUAGAUCCAAGCAAAUACUUGUCUAAGCAGAUAAGCCGAAUCCAAAAUUGGUGGGUUCGUGGAAACCCUUUGUGUUUUGACGCUGAGUGCAUCUUUAGUAAACUUUUUAUUUUGAUUUUUUAGCUAUUUUAGAGAGCGUGUUUAGUUUUUCUGGAUGUUUUAGGAGCUCCAGCAUAAUAGUCAAACUUGAGCUAUAUUUAGCUAGCGAGAUAAUUUAAAUGAGACUAAUUAUAAUUUAUUACAUUCUUUUAAGAUAUUUUAGGUGAUAUAUAAAUACAUUUAAACUAUUUAAUCUUUAUUUGAAGAAUAAUAUUAAUGUAAUGCUAGAUAAAAUAGAAAACAUUGAUACAUACACAUUUCUAAAGUGACUAGUCAAAAUAAAUUUGACAAAAAUUUAAUUCAAUUAUGGCUAGCAUUGCUAAAGAUGCUCUGAAAACUUAUUUCUCUUCUUCUCCUCGCCUCGGCCUCAUUGAUCUCUCUCAUUCUUCUUUAAAUUUCUUCUCUAAUCGAAUCCUUAUCUUCUCUCAAAUUGGGUUUUUGCAGAUCGUGACUCCAUCUGAGAUUGGAUUUUCGUGAAUUGGGACUCCAUUUCAGAUUGGAGAUUUGCAAAUUGUGACUCCAUCUCAGAUUGGGAAUUCGCAAUCUCGACUCCAUCUCUGAUUUGCUAAGAAUUAUGUUUGAUUUGGUGUAUGGGUGGCUUGAAAUGGUAAGAAUUGAGAUCAUUAUCAUGUUUUUGCUUUUCUGUUUCUUUUUCUUUUCUUUUCUUUUCUUUUUUGGCCUUGUUUGGUUGGCAGGAAACCAUGAUAUGGGAAAUAAAUUAAUUUGGUUUUCCAUUUCAAGAGGUUGAUUGGUUGUACAUAGAGACAAGAAAGGAAACAAAAAAAGAGAUGGAAAUUGACUUCCUCAUAAAACCUGAAUUCAAUUACUUUGUCAAGAGGUGGUAUUCCAAUUCCAUUCCCAUUGUCAAAGCCACAAUUACGAGAAAAUUUUAAGUGCUACGAGAGGACCACAUGGCAGUCUGAUGUGGUCCUACAUUCUAAUCAAAUUUAGAUAUGUGGAUUUUUUACAACUAAAAUUUUAACUAAUAUUUUCUAUUUUUUGUGAAAUGACAUUCAUAGGUAUUUAGCAAGUUCAACCUGGGGUUUAGGGUAUAGGGUUUAGGGUUAGGGUUUAAGGGUUUAGGGAUUAGGGUUUAGUAUUUAAAAAACAACAUAAAACCCAAAAUAGUCUUUGACAAAAUAGCUGAAAUAAUUUUUCAUGAAGAAAAUGCACAUGUCUAAAUUUAAUUGGAAUGUAGAACCACGUCAGACUGUCACAUAGUCCUCCCGUAACAUUGAAAAAUUUCUCCACAAUUACAUAAAUUAUCCUCUAAUAAAUUUUAAUGUUGUGCGUAUUUAGAAAUUAUAAAGGGACAUUAUUGAAAAAUAAAACUUUAUAUUUCAUUAUAAUGACUUACCAAAUAUUACAAUAGGAAUUAAAAUACUUGAUUUCAUCAUUUAAUUUCCAAUAUGUACCAAACAUCCAUAUGGAAAUACCAAAACAUAUUCUAUUCCAUAUCUGUUUUGGAAAGGAAAAUACAUUUAUGUCUCAUUUUUACUUUCUUGCUAACCAAACGGGGCAAAUGUAUCUGUUUAAGGAAAGUUUUGUUCAACAUUAUGAUGUGGUUAGGUAUUUGUUUUUUUAGAUAGAUGUUGAAUGUUGUUAAUUGUUGAUCAUCAGUUUGUUGUAGAAAUUUUUUUCUUUCUUCUGCAUACUUCUUUCUUCUGCAUACUGAAUUAGUCCAAAGCUUUAAAAUAUUACCAAACGUGAGUCAGGCAUCUUAUGGAAAUAAGUUAGGCUUGAGGAAAGCUGGACUCUUGUAGAAGUUAAGCAUGUCUAAGAAAGUCAUGUGUAACAAACGUGCCCUAUAUGAGUUGAUCAUAGAAACAAUACAUCCAACACAUUAUUUACUUGAUCAUUGAAUGCAAAUACACCAUGAUUGAUAAAGGUUUCCCUCAAGCCCUCAGCUCUCUUCACAUAUUGCCAAAUUGAUUCACUUUUUCAAAACUUGAGAAUGGCAACACUGGGUUUCAUUAUUACUAGCCUUUUACCCGUGCAUAUUUGCACGGAAUGACGAUCACGAACACCUAAAAAUAAUCGUGAACAGUUAAAUAAGUUUAACAUAUUAUACAGUUAUACGGCCUACUAACUGAUAGUUUUUUUUUUUUGAAUAACGAGAGCUUGAAUGGCAGACCUCACGCCAUAACCAUUAAUAAAACCUCAGAAUACAAGGGGGGACAUUGUGCCUAAACCCUAUACUAUAACAACCUAAAAUAAUAUAGGUAUGUCUACAAAUUCUAUGCAUUCUAACAAACACCAUUUAACAAAGAAUGCAUUAUUGAUUACUCUAUUUGCUUUAUAAUUUUGACGACAAACUGGAAAAAUACUGCUAAAAAAGAGUCAUAAGUUAUCAUGUCUAUCAGCUUUCUAGCUAUGAUGCCACUAAAAAUUAUCAGUAAUCCUAAAUUUCCUCAUGCCACUAGAUGGUUGCGACAAUUUGACAAAAUAAAGAACUCACCGCCUCAUUACGGCAAACAUGGCACGAUGCGUGCGCUUACCAGAACAUAGCCCACCAGUAUCUAAAAUAACCAGACAAAAACCAAAAAGAGCAACCUACUUGUGACUUAUAAGAAACUGAUGACUUAUUUCAGCUGCUAACCAAACGAAACUAGGAAACUAAAAAACUUGACCAAAAUAAUAAUAAAAACCCAAAUCCAGGCCAAAUCCAGGCCUUGAAGCCCACUGUCGAAUAGAAGCCCACUAGCCCACAAAUUCUGGCCCAAAGCAGCAACUGCACCCCUUUCUCUUUCCCGCCGCCGUGAAGAAGCCGGCGCCGUCCUUGUCCGAUUCCCACCACUCCUCCUGUCGCCCUCCACCUUAUCUCGUGUCCAGAUUGACCCCCACACCAUGUCCACCACAAACCAACUCUCCCCCCGCCGAACUCCGAUCAAGACCACGUACACAUCCACUCCACCUAGGUAGAUCCAAACCCCAAAUAGAAAUUAGAUCGCCGCCAGCAAUCCUCCAUCGACGACUGCUGGACACCGUCCCUCUCCUACCCAGAGUCGCGACCACCCCGAUCUCCCACCACUGAACCGUCACCAUCUCAUACGCCGCUGCCGACUUCAGCCAAAAGAGCCGUCUGGAACCUCCACCCGAUCGCAGCCUCAGCACGCUAGACUCACCCACACAACACACAUCCCAUCCGACCACCCAAAGCCAACGCUGAAGAGGCUGGAGGCCAUCCCCAAAGCCCUGGAGCAGCCGGACAGGCAAAGGAAUGGCCGGCGGCGCGAUCAAACCCGGACAGGCGAGGGUAUUGAGAGAGAGAGAGUUUUUAUUUUUUUUUAUGAUUAUCUAUUUAUUUAAUCAUUUUAAUUUUAUUUGUAAACUUAUUAUUUUAAUUUGUUUCACGAUUAGUUCUCAUUUUAGAUGAUGAGAUGUGUUAAUAAUAACACAAAAAAUGUGUGUUAAUAACACUAGCCUUAAUUAUAAUAACUCUUAUUUUUGUUUGUAUUAAUUGAUUUAUUAAAGAUGAUAAUAAAAGUUCACAAUUUGGUAAACGUUUUAGGAGAGCCUGAUUUUAUAAUAAAGAUUAACAUUGAUUUUAUAGUAAAGAUUAACAUUGAAUGAGAAAUUAAACCGAAGUCCGAUCCUUCUAUUUAUUGUUUGUUUUGGAACCUAAGCCCAUUGGUUGACAUUCUACUACUUUCUACCUGAUGAAAACACUGGGAAGCUUUGCUCAUUCCUAAAGAAGUUGCCAGGAUCAACCAAGGUCUUAACAUGAACAAGUCUCCUAAAGUUGUUCUUGAAGUACUUCGAACCCCAAAUGCUUGCUUGUGCAUAGCUUGUAUUGCCAUCACUGUUCCUACCCAGAUCAAGAUCCCUAUAAUUCAGAUAGGCAGCUCUAGGAGAUUUUGAAACAUACGGUGCCAUGUAUGCAUACAACCUUCUCAUAAACCUAACAUACUUCUGAGUAUCCUUGCCAUCACCCCAAGUAACCAUAUACUGGAUUUUAUAUAUGUUUCCUUGUCGAUGUGGGAAAGCUGUUUCUGAAUCGGAAAUCUCACUCAUUUUUCCUCCAUAUGGUGUCAAUAUCAAAUAGGAUGUGUUUGCUUCAAGCAACCUCUGCCAUAAGCCUUCCAAGCCAGCUUCUGAGAUGGGUUUAGUCACAUAGUCUGAUUUUGCUUUGUAGAAGAGGCUGAAUUGCUGGCGCUUCAGCAAAAUUUCUAAGGAUUCGUGAAUAGAGUAGCCAGCAAAGUCUAAAACAGAUUGAAUCCAACUCAUCUCGGUGCAAUGGCUUCUUUUUAAACUCAACUCUGGGAAAUUGUCCUGCAUCAGUUGGAGAAGUGUCUCAACCGGGCCAAGAAACAAGGAACCGAAUUCAACUGUAAUAGUGUUGCCACCGCUUCCUAUAACUGAAUGUAGAAAAAGUUCUUCAGGAAGCUUGUCUGCAAUGUUUUGCCAUUUCAAAAGAAGUUUGGUUGCGCCUUGUUCUUUUGUCUUUGAAAUGUCGCAAACUGUUACAGUAGGGGGAACAGGAACCAGUCUAAGUUUCAAUGCUAGAAUGACUCCAAAGCUUGAUCCUCCUCCUCCUCUAAUAGCCCAAAAUAGCCCUUCUCCCAUGGAUUUUCUAUCUAGAAUUCUGCCAUUAACAUCUACAAUUCUGGCAUCAAUGACAUUGUCAGAUGCUAGACCAUAUUUUCGAAAUAUGGUUCCAAAUCCACCUCCACUGAUAUGUCCCCCAACACCAACGGUGGGACAAGACCCUGCUGGAAAGCCAUAGACUUUACUCUUCUGUGCAAUGCUGUAAUACACCUCUCCAAGAGUGGCACCUGAUUUGACCCAAGCACUCUCAUUCUCUAUGUCAACAUCGAUGGAACGAAGAUUGAACAGAUCAAUGAUGAUGAAAGGAGCUCUGGACACAUAAGAUAGGCCCUCGUAAUCGUGCCCCCCGCUUCGGCUUCUUAUUUGUAGGCCAUUUUUCUUGGAGCAAAUUACAGCUGCUUGAACAUGAGAUUCAUCAAAAGGAGUUAUGAUGGCCUCUGGUUUUGGUGUGGAAUUGUUCGAGAAUCUGAGGUUCUGUAUGGAAGAAUCUAACACUGAAGGAUAAGCUGAACUGGUUCUGGUGAGAAUGAUUUCAUUACUGGAGUUAGAGUUCUGAAUAUGGGAGGAAAGGCAUUGCACAAAGCUUUGAGAAAUGGAGCUUGAAGCUAUGGACCAAGCUGAGUUUAGAAGGAUGAAAAGUAGAGGAAAUAGCUUUGCAUGAGAGGUCUCCAUAUCCAUUUCCUCUGCAUAAAAGAUGUGAAAUGCUCUGAGCUUUACAUGCAUACAUAUAUGUGUGUGCGUGAACUUACAUUCAUUUGAAGUCCAAUGACGCGGAGUCAAUGUUACAUUCAUUUGAAGUCCAUUGAAGACAAGUCAAUGUCGUAUGCUUCUGUCUUUCUCUUUGUUUUCCUAUCAGUGUGAGGAAGAUUCCACAAGCGACUUGUGAAUAAUUUACAAUACGUAAGGCAAUACAUAAUGACCGACAGCUAAGCUCUAUUGUUUACAGACUUUGAAUUGGAAUGUCAAUGUCAUCUAGUGCAUGGAGCUUUUCAUCAGAAUUCAAAUGUAUGCUUAUGAAUAUGGAUAUAUACAAGACUAACUGAAAUUGAAUAAGACUAAAAUUCAAAUACUGAUGCUGAUUGUGUACCUCAAUCUUAUGUUAUUAUUGUCUGUAAAUAAACAAGGAAAACCAUCUAGAAGACAGCUCCUUCUGUAUUGGCAUGGUCAGAUUAGCUUAUUUAUUGGUUAUGGCAGCCAUGGCCAGAUUAGAUUAUCUGGCUCUUCUGCACAUUGUUGGAGCACAAUGCUGUGAAGAACAGUAAACAACUGAGAUCUUAAAUUUCUUUGUGGCCUAUUUAUUGUUUUCUUCUCGGGGCCAAUCUGAUCAAUUUAUUUUGGACAGUGUAUUUCCCCCUAGUUGAGAACACAGGGAUGCUUGUUCAUUUCUAAAGAAGUUAGAAGGAAUCAAGGAUCAACCAGGGUCUUAACGUGAACAAGUCUCCUAAAAUUGUUCUUAAAUACUUAAAACUCCAAAUGCUAUCAUUCGAACAAACAUAAGAGACAAAUAUAUAAGAUUGUAGUAACGAAUAACAAAACACGCUAUGAUUGAAAAAGAUCAAGAUCGUUAUGUGAGAUCAACACAGAAUCAAAUUUUUCAUCAACGAAUCAUAUUCAAUAAUAAAAAAUUGAUGUUAGCACUAACCAAGUAACUACCAGGUUGCAAGACUAAUUAUUAAGUAACUAAUACACAGGUAGGCAUCAGUUAGACCUGAACUAGAAGCAAAUUUCUACGCUGAGGUUCUUGUGAGUCUUACAGUGGAUAAGCAGCCAAUUUGGCACCGCCUUAUAAGAAUGGGGCUCCUAUAGGCAGGUAUAGCAGAAAAGCCAGCCGCAUCCCCAUUGAGAGUUUUGAAGUUGAUCCACUAGUCACAGCUAAGUGGAAUCCUGCAAUUAGCAACCAAAGUCAGAACCUUUUCGGAUACUAAAUGCAGAAGAAGACUAAAAAGUUUUAGUUGACUAUCAAUAUCAAGCAUGCCAGUCACUAUUGUAGAAUUUUCUUCAACACUAAUGAAAAAAAAAAAAGUCACAAGUCCACUGUCCACAAAGUCGAGCCUUUCCUUUAUUGCCGCCAUAAUGAUUGAUUUACACCCACCUCAGAAUGAAGUGGAUUAUAACCCUCAAUCUCAGGUACAAGCAGGCCAUGAAAAAAACGAGUAUGAUUAUCUAGAUUUUUCAGUGCCUCAACCACAGAAUGCUUGUUCAAACCUCAAACAGAGGCAGAGAGCAUAAAAGUUUCAAUCUUCAAGUUAAACGAGUGUAAUUGUAUAGAUUAUCGACAGCUUGUUGCGAAACUAUCAUCGAAUAGGUUCAAAUGCAUUGAGAAAUGGAUGUAGAAACAGAAAUAGAUUCGAGGGAAAGUUUCAUUUACUUAGCCUGCAAGGGCCAUAUGAUAAUCCACAAAAGGAAAAGGCCAAAAGAAUCAUCUGCAUUAUGCAGAUGGACACUAGCCUAUGGAGAUAGGACUUGGUCAUUACUUGUGAUCCAUAAGGGACAGCCUCAGAAUAAGAUCACCUAACUGGCCUUGUAUCAUUGCACUCCAAUCUAAUAGUAUAUGGGAUCCACAGGCAUAUUUCUAACCAUGUAAACUACCAUAAAGUCAAGACCUGCCCCUAACUGAAGGUUCUUGGAUUACAACUUCCAAUUAUAGGUGUUUUUUACUCAGAUUAAAGCAUAUGCCAUGUGAAAGGAACAAGCAUUGUGACUUCGAGAAAUCUCUAGCAGAGAUUUUUUCAAGUGUAUGACGUGAAGAAUCCCCGGUUUUAAAUGGUUGAGCCUCUUACACAUAAUCAAUCUAGGACUAAGACUCAUAGGAAGCAAAACCCAUUACAGAACAAAAAGAAAAAAUCAGCUUGGAAAGACAGAGACCCGUCAAUCAAGCUUUCUAAGAGUUUACCAAUUCAACUAACUAGAAUGGAUGAGAUUGAUACUGAUUUCUUAUACAUGUCACAUCUCUGAUAAUCUUCAAACCGAUAAACAAUAUUGAACUACUGAAACACAAGAUCAAAGACAAUUACUUGAUAUAUCAUAAAGAUUUUUUCUUUAUUUAUUUCAUUCCUAUAAUCAAUCAAUAAUAGCCCAAGAAACUAUACAAUCAAUUAUAUGAUGUAUAUGAUCAAAGCUGUUUCAAUUCUUCUAUGUCUUACUUGGAAGAGGUGGGAUACUCUGCUCAUUCCUGAAGAAAUUUUCUGGAUCAACAGCAGUCUUCACCUUCACCAAUCUGUCGAAAUUGUCGUUGAAGUACAUCAAUCCAUACACCUUCCCCUGUUCAUAGCUAUCCUUCCCAAAAUCGUUAACACCAAUGUCGAGGUCCCUAUAGUUCAAGAAAGCACUCCUUGGAUUCUUGGACACAAAUGGAGUCAUAAAACUGUAAAGCACCCUACUUUGGUUCAAAUACAUAUUAAUUGCUUCCUCUCCUCCAUCGUCCCAAUUCACCGAGUACUGAAUCUUAAACAAAUUCCCGGUCCGGUGAGGAAAAGGCGCAUCAGAGGCCGGAAUUUGAGCCAUUUUCCCACCAUAUGGAUUGAACACUAAACCAGUCUUCCCUUCAAUCAUCUUGUUCCACAAUGACUCCAACCCUUCUCUCGAAAUCGGGGUCUGCACGUAAUCUGACUUCCUCUUCCCAAAACUCGCCUGGUCUAGAUUUCGAUCAAGCAAAACCUCCGGUUUAGUCGUAUUGGGAGUAGAACCAUCGUUCCACCAAACCACAGACUCAAUCCAACUCACUUCCAAACAGUCCUCCUUCUUCAAACUCAAUUCAGGAAACUCCUUACCCAAAAUAGAAACUAACUGAUUAGCAUUGCCUAGAUACUGGGCCAGAACCGAAAUCCUCACAGUCUUGGUUCCCUUCUUGGUCGGAGAAGUCACCGGCUGCACCAACAUCCUCAUCCACAAAUCAUCCACCGUACUCGGCGCCACCUCCUGCCACCUCAAAACGACGUCGGUUGCAUUACUCUCCGUGUAACUCAUCACCCGGAAAACCGUAACCGUUUCCGGCACCGGAACUAGCUUCAACUUAUAAGACAAGAUCACUCCAAAGCUUCCUCCACCGCCGCCUCUGAUAGCCCAAAACAAAUCCUCCCCCAUUGUUUUUCUAUCCAGAAGCUUCCCGUUCACAUCAACAAUCAAUGCAUCCAACACAUUAUCGACGGCAAGGCCGUACUUCCUCAACAAGUUCCCAUAACCGCCGCCGCUGACGUGUCCACCGACACCGACCGUGGGACAAAUCCCAGCGGGAAACCCGAGCGUUUUACUCUUCUCGGCGAUCCUGUAGUACAACUCCCCAAGAGUCGCGCCGGCCUGGGCCCACGCGUAGCCGGCCUCGGCGUUCACGUCGAUUGACCGGAAGUUAAACAGGUCGAGGACAACGAAAGUGGGUUCCGUCGAGACGUAAGAUCUACCUUCGUAGUCGUGUCCGCCGCUUCGGAUUUUGAGUUGGACAUUGAGUUUCUUGGCGCAGAGGACGGAGGCCUGGACGUGGGACUCCGUCGUCGGCGUUAGGAUGAGAACUGGUUUUGGAGUCGAGGUGGUGUUGAAGCGAGCGUUACGGAUGUAGGCUCUGAGAGUUGAAGUGAAAGAAGGGUUGUUUUGGGGGAUGACUAUUUGGGAGGCUGAAGAGUUUGGGUGGGUGUUGAGGCAUUGGACGAAGUCGUCAUAGAGAGAAGCGGAGGUUGCAGAGACGUGAAGAAGGAGAAGCAGGAGAAGAACAGAGGAGAGGAAUGUAGUGUGAAGAGAUCGUGUCGUCAUUUGAGGUUUGGUGUUGGAAUAGUUGUGAGGUUGUGUGUCGCUCUUAUAUAGGGUCGAAUAUAUUAAAAUCACCGGCCGCAGGUUUUAGAAAGUUCAACGGAAAAUUUAGGAAAGUCAAUCUGUUUUGAGGUUAUGGAAAGUCGGCAAAAUCUCUACAUACACACGUUUACUUCCGUUUUUAUUCGAUGAUGCAAAGAACAUCAAAAUAAACUGAAAAAACAAACCUUACCCUUUUUUUUUUUUUUUUUUUUUUGAGAUGAAAGGAGAUAGUUUCAUUGAUCAAAGAUCAUGACGACAAAAAUGGUCAAGCAUGAAUAGUCCGAAAACUAUACGAGCAUCAUAACUAGAAAACUAAAUACGGACUACAAGCAUGAAUAGUCCGAAAACCAUACAAGCAGCAUAGCUAGAAAACUAAAUACGGACUACAACAAAAAAUUAAAAAAAUAACCUCAAAACUAUGUUAAAAAAGCAUAUAACUUUCUAUCCUCUAACAAACAACUCCACUUUCAUCGAAUCAAAUCUAAGAUCUCAUGGUGUACCUUUUAUCGAAUUGAAAAAAAAGAGAAUUGUUGUUAAAGAAUAUAAGGGGUCUUUCCUAGCUACACUAGGAGACUACUAUGCCUCAGCCUCUAAGUUGAGGCCUGGGUCUUCAACACCUGCAACCUGUGAUACACUCGAAGCCAUGGAAUCUGGAGACUCAGAUGCUCCUUCUAUAACUCUCUUCUUGUUCUUGCUACCUCUCGAUCUUCCUCUCUUCUUGGGAGACUUUCUAGUCUUAGCAAUACUCAGAUCACCAUUAGGGUUAACAUAAAAGCCAAGUUCAUUAGGGUUCAAAGACAAUGGAACCAUUGCCAGAGCAUGUCGAGCACGCUUACCAUUUGGAGACAUUUCUUUUUCACGUUCUUGCCGAAUUCCUAUAAUCAUUGUAGGAGAGGGAAAAACAGGCACCUCUGUGAUGGUUACAACUCUCUUCUCUUUAGGGAAGAGGGAAGAAAGCGACACAGAAGCUAGAGCGAAUAGUGUGGAAGGCAUGUUGACUCUAAUUAAACACCAUGGGAGGUACUGCAACUGGGCUCAGAAUCACUGUCGGAGCUUCAUCCUCUUGUUCUCUUGGACAUGGCAGCCUGCCAUGGUUUAGCAUAGAACACACACGACAUCGACCCAUGAGACGUUUAUAGCGAAAUUAAACUUCCAGAACAUCAAUAAGGGAAACCCUAAUGCGUUGACUUAACCUCACAGGCUUAUCUAACAUUAGGGUUAGAUGAACCCUAACAAUUUCACGGUUAAUACCAUGUUGAUCCACUUACAGAACCGGUCCAAUCGUUUCACCUACUAACCUUGUCGUAGCCGCCAUUGUCAGUGCAGCCGUAAGUACAAGGAUUUCCACCAAUAACCAAAGGAAAUUCAAAGGGACUUGCCUAAUAUCAGAGAAUCUAUCAUAGUCAUUGAUGAUGAUCAUUGAGUGCUGGUAAGCCCAAGAACCGCCCUUCUUGACUCGAUUGACAUCACAUUCGCUAGCGAAUGUAAACAUGUAGCGAUCACCUCUUGCUUGAACUUCAACUGGAUAAGGGAGAGGCCACAUAUUGCGAACAACACUUCGAAACGCAUCAAAAGCCACUGCCCUAGCAGUGUUGAGGCGUCCGACCAAGUAGUAUCGAGGAGCAAUAGAACCUUUCUUCGGGCACUGAAGGUCACCCAAAUCAACAGGCUCUUCCUAGUUAGAGAGAGAGAGCUUUGAGAUCAGCCUUGCCGUGAGAGAGGCUUGGGAGGCUACCAUGGUUGCCAUGGAAGAGGACUUGCGCCGCACAGUAAAACCCUAACGCUAUCAAGGGAGAGAGACCUAGGGUUAGGAGCCGCAGUAUGAGCUAUAAAACAUACCCAUUUCUUGUUUUCUCGUUUCAAAAAUAAAAGCCGUAUUAUUUUUUAGAUAAUGAUAUUUAAUUAAAGAAAAGUAGUAUAUCAACCGAAGAACAUUAAUUAUGAACCGAUUGUAACAUCUUGGUCCAAGCUGAUAAACGAAGAGUCUCACUCUUUGCUAUCCAUUGUUCGGUGCACUUGUAUGAUGUGAUGAGAAUUAGUUAGGAAAAUUAAGUUCUAGUUAACUUGGUUGGGUUUCCUAAUUGGAUAUGGUUUAUGUUUAUUCCAUUAUGGUUUUCCUACGAUCAAUGGGAUUGUGAUUGGGGUGCCCAUGUAUAUACUAGGGUUUGUUUGUUGUACAAACCUGUAUCCUUACAUACAACUAAAGGAGGAGAGAGCAUGUGCAGCAGGGGGUGUUGGGUUUUGGAGAAUUUGCCUGGAAAAGCAUAUAUGCAUAGGAUGCAUAUCUGUACAACAAAAUUUUUCAUAUACUGGAGGCAAAUGCAGUAAACCAAGGAGUGGCCAACACAACAUGAUGGUUGAUGCAGUUAUCGUCAUAGUGUAUGUCUCUUGGGUAAGAAAGCAGGGAUGUCAUGGGUGAGUAUGGCUCUUGGGUGAGAGUGUGUUCUUAGGAAAUUCUCAUGAGCGUCGGUGUACAAGGGUUACAGUUUUGGGAUAAGGCAAUUUAGCUCCAUAGUAUCGUGUAUUGUAAUUAUUCUCAUAGUGAUGAACGACCAUCUCUCGGAGGAUGUAGGGAUAGAUGUAUGUUGAACCUCGUAAUCUCGGUGUUCUCUUGUUGUUUGUCUUUUGGUUUGUGUACUACUAUGUCGGUAUACUUUGUAAGCCUUAACAGGAGCUAUGCUAAUUUCCUAACAAGCACGAACGCUGAGAACACAGGUUUUCUUUUCCGAUGAAACAUGUUAUCUUCAGUUGGUAAAAUGUAUCCACAUAUGUUGGUUUUGCAUAGCUUCUUUUGGUAUAAAUAAAAGUAUAAAAUUUAGAUAACAUCUCUAAUACACGGCGUUUAUCUUCACAUACAUACAUAGAUGAUCAAAAUUAGAGAAAAUAAUAUAAAAAUAUAAUGAUCAAAUAUAUAAAUUAUUAUAAACGAUUAAGAUUAUAUAACGUAAAUACAUGUCAUGCAUAUAAGAAUUUUUAUAAAAUUUAAGAGAUAUGUGUUCGGCUCGAUUACAUUAUCUUUGACCAGGACCUACACGCACCAUGUUUAUAUGGAAGCGAAUCAAACCACGUACAUUCAGAAGCUGCAAUUUUUUUAAGGACAUGGGAUGCUUUUGACGUUUCUUUGUCAACCCACUAAUUCAACUCGUAGGAAACCGUAACUUUUGCUAAUGAUUAAAUUUAGGAUACAAGAAAUUCACCCGUAAUUCAACGGCCAGUCCACAACUCUUACUCGAAAGCAUUAAUAAGUUUGGCAUGAAUUAUUUGUCCAAUACCGUAUAGCUAGAAUACUAUAUUUGAGAUAAUAUGAAUUUUUUUUUUUGAUAUUCUAUUCUUCUAUCGCCGGAAAAGCCAAAGGUCAACAUGCCUUCCUUGGAAGAGGUGGAAUACUCUGCUCAUUCCGGAAGAAAUUUUCUGGAUCAACUGCAGUCUUCACCUUCACCAACCUAUUGAAAUUGUCGUUGAAGUACUUCAAUCCAUACACCUUCCCCUGUUCGUAGCUAUCCUUCCCAAAAUUGUUCACACCAAUGUCGAGGUCCCUAUAAGCCAAGAAAGCACUCCUUGGAUUCUUGGACACAAAUGGGGUCAUAAAACUGUAAAGCACCCUAGUUUGAUUCAAAUACUCUUUAGUUGCUUCCUCUCCUCCAUCUUCCCAACUCACCGAGUACUGAAUCUUAAACAAAUUCCCAGCCCGAUGAGGAAAAGGCGCGUCGGAGGCCGAAACUCGGGCCAUUUUCCCACCAUAUGCAUUGAACACCAAACCAGUCUUCCCUAAUUCAAUCAACUUCUUCCACAAUGACUCCAACCCUUCUCUUGAAAUCGGGGUCUGCACGUAAUCCGACUUCCUCUUCCCGAACUUAGCCUGGUCGGGGUUUCGAUCAAGCAAAACCUCCGGUUUGGUGACAUUAGGAGUCGAACCAUCGUUCCACCAAACCACGGAUUCAAUCCAACUCAUCUCCAAACAGUCCUCCUUCUUCAAACCCAGUUCAGGAAACUGCUUACCCAAAACUGAAACCAACUGAUUAGAAUUGCCUAGAUACUGGCCCAGAACUGAAAUCCUAACAGUGUUGGUUCCCUUCUUGGUCGGAGAACUCACCGGCUGCACCAACAUCCUCAUCCACAAAUCAUCCACCGUACUCGGCGCCACAUCCUGCCACUUCAAAACGACGUCGGUUGCAUUACUCUCCGUGUAACUCAUCACCCGGAAAACCGUUACCUUUUCCGGCACGGGAACCAACUUCAGUUUAUAUGCCAAGAUAACCCCAAAGCUUCCUCCGCCGCCGCCUCUGAUAGCCCAAAACAAAUCCUCCCCCAUUGCUUUCCUAUCCAGAAGCUUCCCGUUCACAUCAACAAUCAAUGCAUCCAAUACAUUAUCGACGGAGAGGCCAUACUUCCUCAACAAGUUCCCAUAACCGCCGGCGCUGACGUGUCCACCGACGCCGACCGUGGGACAAAUCCCAGCGGGAAACCCUAGCGUUUUACUCUUCUCGGCGAUUCUGUAGUACAACUCCCCGAGAGUCGCGCCUGCCUGGGCCCACGCGUAGCCGGCCUCGGCGUUCACGUCGAUCGACCGGAAGUUAAACAAGUCCAGGACUACGAAAGUUGGUUCGGUCGAGACGUACGAGAUACCCUCGUAGUCGUGUCCGCCGCUUCGGGUUUUGAGCUGGACGUUGAGUUUCUUGGCGCAGAGGACGGAGGCCUGGACGUGGGACUCGGUCUUCGGCGUGAGGAUGAGAACUGGCUUUGGAGUCGAGGUGGUGUUGAAGCGAGCAUUACGGAUGUAGGCUCUGAGAGUUGAAGUGAAAGAAGGGUUGUUUUGGGGGAUGACUAUUUGGGAGGCUGAGGAGUUUGGGUGGGUGUUUAGGCAUCGAACGAAGUCGUCAUAGAGAGAAGCGGAGGUUGCAGAGACGUGAAGAAGGAGAAGGAAGAGGAGAACAGAGGAGACGAACGUAGUUUGAUUAGAUCGUGUCGUCAUUUGAGGUUUGGUGUUGGAAUAUUUGGGAGGAUUUGUGUCGCUCUUAUAUAGGCUAAGGUAGGUUAAUAUCACCGGCCGGGAGGUUUUAGAAAGUUCAACGGAAAAUUUAGGAAAGUAAAUAAUCUGUUUUACGGUUAUGGAAGGUCCGCAAAAUCUCUACAUAAACUGCUCGAGUCAGCCAUACAUCAUAAGUUGGUUCAAACAAAAUAAAAUUUUACCAUAUGUAUGUUUUGCAAGGAAACAUUUGUGGCCGAAAAUUAAGAGCCAUUGAAUUACCAAUCAGGUUAAAUUUAGACUAAACAAACAUGAAACUGGCAAUAAAAAGUUAAAUCAAGAUUUAAUACUGAUUAGCAAUCACUGAUUGGCAAUCAACAAUGUGAUUAGCAAUCAGUAAUUAAUAGCUAUCCACGAUUAGCAAUCAAUGAGUUUAUAUCUUUAUGUUUUGGUGGUAUUUGCCUGCUGAUUUCAUUCUUAAUUAUGUAGUCAGGAUUAUCUAGGAUUUUUUUCUUUUUUUUAUAGGAUUAUCUAGGAUUCUUAGACUUUCCUAAUUUUCAUUUCCGUUAGUUUUGCUUAGUUUUGCUUCAUAGCUUGAACUGAAUCAUCUGUUGUUUACUUUGUCGGAUCCUACUUUGUCUGGGACGCAAUAUUUUUUUUUUUUGUAAAGCUGGUUGGGUCUCCCGCCUUUAGGUUGGCCUAUGUCCCCUCCACCCUAUAUCAUUAUUAAUAAUAGAUUGAGAAUACACCGAGAGGGAUAUAGAGUCUGAACCUUGUAUAAUAUUACAUGCAUCCUCAAUAAGCACAUCCUGUUUUAUAUCAGGCAUACCAUUGACCCAAAACUCAUCCAAUAUGGAUCCAUUAGCUAGGUGAGUCAGUCUAUGCGCAACACCAUUAGCUUCACGAAAGAUAUGUCUAACUAAAACAAAACUAAAAGCUUGCAAAUAUGACUUACAGUCGUUCAUUAUUGGGGACGCAAUAUAUAUCAUUUUGGAGUUUGGACACUUCAGGCAUAUACAUUUUCUCAUUAUUGGGUAUGCCGAAAUAAAUUUUAUCUCUAGUAGGCUCUAUGUACCCAUAAUUUCUAAAAAACGUCUACUUACAUAAGAGAAAAGAUUAUGAGUUCAUAAAUAUAAUGUUGUGAGAUUUGGCCAUAUUUUAUAGAACUCGAUCUCACGAGCUCUCCCACAUAUACAAGAAAUCGUGUGAGAUUUGGGAGUGGAUCAAAUUUUUGGAAGAUAAGCCUUGUGGGGAAUUGCCCAGAUCAAAGUGUAUAAAGAAGAUGAACUAUUUUUUUCUUUUAAAAAAAGAAAAACUAAGAGGAAACUGAAUCAUGUACAAUCCUGUAGAGAUUCAUUCUCUCAUACUUUCAAGUUUCAGCAUAACCAGAAUGCCGCGCAUUGUUUGUAUAAUUUUCUCUUGAAUCUAAGAUAUUUUUUUUUUUCUUUCAAGAAAAAAAAUCUUAGAUAAUUGAUUUCGGCAAAUCUAUUGAUAUUAUUGGGUCUUUUUUUUUGCCACUAAUCAAGUCCUGUGACUUAUAAAUAUCACAGCUUCGAGUCCAGUAGGAAUGUAGAAUAAACAAUCAAAACCUUUGGCAUAAUUUCUUGCUCAAACCUCCCCAAAACAUGGGAACAGUAUCAGUUUUGUUUAUCAUUACGGUUGCGGUUGCGUUCGUUUUGUUUCCGGUUUAUUCAAAACAAGAUUAUAAGCUAGACAACUUUAGCUCAACUGAUCUCAGCCAAAUCAACCAGAAUGGUACGUAUUGUGCUUGUGCUUGUAUGAUUUCAAGAACCCCAACUCUAAUUUUUAACUCUGUUUUCUUUUAUCAGACGAUAGCUUUUCAGGCACACAAAUACUAGACGCAGGGAAGUGUUCAAAGGCUGCUAUUUCGAUUGCACAAAUGCAAACUGGGCUAUCGUAUAAUGGAAUACCAGUUUUUACUGUUCAAAUCAUAAACAUGUGCGGCUCAGAGUGUGACAUUUCGGAUAUCCAUUUAUCCUGUGGUGCAUUCAGCUCUGUCACUUUGAUCAACCCUAUGGUUUUCAAGCGGCUUAAGAUUAAUGACUGCCUUGUCAAUGGUGGACGACCAUUGAAACAUGGCUCUGUCAUCUCAUUUACAUAUCAAACGUCCUUCAUAUAUCCUCUUUCUGUUGCCUCGGUCGGAUGCUAAAUAAGUAGUAGAUAUGUUGCUAGCUACGCAGAUUGAUUUCUUAGAGCCCUGUAGGCAUAUAUGUAACACACCAGUAUAGUAGCCAGGCUACUUGAUAUAUGUAUGGUGGAAUAAGAUUCUUUUGUUGUCAAAUUUUCUAGUAAUUUCUUGCUGCCCUAGUUAGUUGCAUCCAAAAGCUCCAAUCUCUAUAUGGUAGCAGUUACCAAUAUUUGAGCGUUGUUUUUCUCUACUCUGUUUCAGGGUUCAGUAGACUCUUUCAAUUUACUUCCAUUCCUGUUUCUGAAAAUAAUCAAAUAUGGGUAGUAGAUGUACUGGUUACUGAUAAAAAAAAAUUGUGGUUUGGCCGCUUGGGACCAAAAUUUGGGAAGUAAGAUGUGUCAAAUUUGCACUUCAUGAGAAAGCUUCAUGGUAUUUCUUGAAGUGGUUGUACUUAAGAAAAACCAACAGUAGUGUUCAUUCACAAACAAGACACAGGGGUCCCCAAAUAGGCUAAGAAAUAACGAAAAUUAUACAGCGCACCCGUCCAUCUCCGCCGUCCAUUUUGAAAAAGUCAAAAGUCCGCGUCAAAUGGACGGCGGAGAUGGACGGAUGCGCUGAAUACGCUCUCAGGAAAUAAUGGGCAAUCUGUGAUUCAAGACAUUCUUCACCUUGAACUUCAACUUCUAUAGACACCAACUCCAACCGGUAGUAUUACUAGUAGCCACUAAUUUUCCUCCAAAAUCCAAAUAGAAGCAUUUUCAAUAUCAGAACAAAUUUACCCGUUUAAAUUCAUUGUAUGUCGGCUCCGGAUCAAGAGACACCUUAUUUUACACAUCUUUUUACACCAAUUUUUAACCAUUAGAUUUAAAUGAUUUCAAUGGCCAAGAUUAAUUUCAUUUAUGAUGUGGCAAAAUGGCAUGGAAGCAAUUAUUUUUAGUGAGAAAAUACACCAAAAUUAAUAGAUAAAAAUUUAAUAAAUAAAAAAUAAAUUUAUAAGAAAAAAACAAAGAAGAAGAAGAUGAUUAUCGAAACGUCUUCAUCUUGUGAUGGACGUCUUCUUCUUCUGGAAAUAUUCAUGAGAGCCGGCCUUGCUCUCGAUCUCCUUUUAGCAUCAAUUCCUUUUUUUUGCUUGAGUUGAACCAUUAAAUCCGUCAUCCCCCAGUCCCUUUCAUUCCAUCAAAUUAAUAUUAGCAAUUGCAGUUUUUAUAUCUCUGUUCUUCUUCUUGGGUCUUCAAUGGCUUUCCAUAUAUAUGCCUCAUUCUUUCUUUUACCCCAAAGCAUAACCUAUCAUAAUUCAUUCGAUCUAGCCAUCUAGGUUUAGAAUAUACAUAUAUAGGGUAAUAUAUAGAUAGAUGAAGAAGAUUGAUUUUGUUGGUUUUUUUUUUUUUUUUUUUUUUGGGGUCUCCAUUUAAAGUUCUGAACAAUCGAUCAUAUAGGGUUUUGCAAUCAACUUAGAGGGAGGAUGAAGAUAUGUUUUCUUUUCUGUGUGAAGAGGAAGAAGAUGAAGUUUCAUCUUCUAAUUUUCUAAUUUUUUAUUUUUAUUUAGAAAAGAAAACUAUUUCUAUGUCAUUUGCCAUAUCAUAAAUGAAAUUAAUCAUGGCCGUUAAAAUCACUUAAAUCUAAUGACUAAAAAUCGGUGUAAAAAGAUGUGUAAAAUAAGGUGUCCUUUGAUUCGGACCAGUAAGACAAUCCACAACAUCUUAUACAUACAAAUGUCUAUUCCUUCAUCAGCUAUUUUUGCUCUUAUAGGUUAGCAAGCUAUAAAUAACUAAAUAAAGUUCAACAUAUACACAGUUACACAAAGCAGUCUUCACUCCACCAUUUUGCCAUUCCAAGAAGUAAGAGGUGGGAUACUUUGUUCAUACCUGAAAAAGUUUCCUGGAUCAACAGCAGUCUUCACUUGUACCAACCUCUCAAAGUUUCCCUUAAAGUAGUUUGUCCCCCAAACACUAGCUUCUGAGUAGCUCACAUUGCCGUUUCCAUUAGUCCCCAAAUCAACAUCUCUGUAAUUUAGAUAUGAACACCUUGGUGACUUUGACACAUAAGGUGCCAUAUACUUGUAAAGCCUCCUUAUCAAAUCAAGAUGUUUAUCUUCAGCCUCUGAACCUUCCUCUUUCCAAUUCACUGAGUACUGGAUUUUGUACACAUUUCCUGCUCUAUGUGGGAAUGGGGUGUCAAGCUCCGAAAUUUUGCUCAUUUUCCCACCAUAAGGAUUGAAUGUUAGUACUGGCUUUUUCAGCUCCCUCAUCUUGUUCCACAGCCCUUCAAGACUAGCCUUUGACAUUGGUUCUUGGAUGUAGUCAGAUUUCUUCUUCAAGAACUUUUCUGACUGUGGUAUUCUUUCAAGCAGCACAUCUGCAGAGGUUCCAAUUGGAUAGUUAGACCAAUACAGGACCGAUUCGAUCCAACCGAUUUCGACAUAGUCCUCAUGCUUCAAACCCAAUCGGGGAAACCUCUCACCCAUCAAAGCUUCAAGCUUUUCUGCAUUUCCUAAAUACAAAGCAACAAAUUUAGCUUUCACAGUCCUCUGUGUUUUCCUAUUCACCGGCAUCACAACCACCCUAAUGAAAAGAUCAUCAUCUAUUGUAUUCCCUACAUGCUGCCAUUGAUGAACAAUGUCGGUGGCGCCUUGCUCCAAAGUCCUCUCAACUCUAAAAACUGUGACAACUUCUGGGACUUGAACCAAUUUGAUCUUCCACGAAACAAUGACACCAAAACUAGCUCCACCUCCACCUCUAAUAGCCCAAAAGAGGUCUUCCCCCAUUGACUCUCUAUCCAAAAGCCUUCCAUUAACAUCAACUAUUUGAGCAUCAAGAAUGUUAUCAACUGAUAACCCAUGUUUCCUCAUCAUAUUUCCAUACCCACCUCCACUUAAGUGUCCUCCAACUCCCACAGUAGGACAAACCCCAGCUGGGUAGCCAUGGAUUUUGCUCUGCUCAGCUAUUCUGUAAUAAACUUCACCUAGUGUUGCUCCAGACUCGACCCAAGCACUUUCUUCUUCAAUGUUAACUGUUAUGGAUCGAAGAUUGAACAUAUCAAUAAUAAUGAAUGGAACAUCUGAGAUGUAAGAGAGGCCAUCAUAGUCAUGGCCACCACUGCGGAUUCUGACUUGAAGGUUAUGGAUUUUGGAGCAGAGGAUUGAGGCUUGGAUGUGAGAGACAUGUGUUGGAGUGACAAUGAAUGAGGGUGUUGGGGUUUUGGGGGUUGUGAAUCUAAGGUUUCUUAUGUAUGAAUGUAAGAUUGGUGUGUAUGAAGGGUCGGUGGGGAAAUAGGUGACUGAUGAGAUUGAUGGAGAUGGGGAUUGGGUAAGAUUGGAGAGGCAUUGGAGGAAGGUGUCUUGGAUUGAAUCUAAAGCUGCCAUGGAAGCAUGGAGAAGAAGGAAGGUGACAACUGCCAGAGUUGCAGAAGUAGUUUGGGUUGACAUGACUUUGGGAGUUGGCUUUCGCCACAUUGAUCACCAAGUAGUGUUUAGGACAAGCUAAGAAGCAAGUAGGAAGUUGCUGCUUGCAAGUCUUCUUCUCAAGUGUUAGGGCUGGUGUCUGAUAAUUGAGGAAAGAGAAUUAGCCUUCCCAAUGUCCCAACUCCCAAUUUUUCAAGAAUGGUGACAUUUAACAGCGAAUUUCUUCUGUGCACCGAUCAUGAGUUUACUCCAGCAUUAAAUUCUAUUGGAGCAGUGGAGUUUACUCCAGCACUAUUUCUACUCGAAUUGUGAUCGUCUUCAUUUCCAUGAGCCAGUAAACAACUGCAUGAAAAUGACUCUCGUUUUAGAUGAUUUCCGAGUUAGUAAAUAUGUCAUAAAUUGUGCUCUGAUAAUCACUCGAAUUGUGAUUAUCUUCAUUCUAGUUAGGUUUCGCCACAUUGAUCACCAAGUUAGUAAAUAACUGAAUAGAAUUGAAAUAUUUUCAUACCGAUUACUUCUCUUUCCGUAACAUAAAUUAACAUAUGCUCUAAAAUAAAAGGAAAAGUAAUAACUUGGACAGGACCAGUGUAUUCUUAGUUUGGGCCUCCUCGACUGGUUUAGAUCAUUGGGCGUGUAAGCCUUUUAAAUUUCGAAGGCCCAUUUGUAUAUUAUGUAAAUCCAAAUACGCUAAACCCUACAGCUCACCCAAAACACGAGUUCAUACUCUUCGCUCUCCACUCUCGACGAAACCCCAGAAAGAAUCUGGUUGCGCCAAAGCUAUGGCCUUCUCCUCUAUGCGGAAUCUGGCUCGGUCAGGCGUCAGUCUUCCCUUAUUGAGGUUCGUAACCCAUCAAUUUCGCUUCUUUGAACUCUUGUGUUUUCAAUUUCGAUAUCAGGGAUCUUUACAGAUGUGUUUCAGAAUGAGAUCAUUGGGUGUCUACAGAAUGAAACUAAGACUGUGUUGGUUUUGUGUCGUUUUCAGAACCCAGUUCGAAAGAACCCAGCUUGAAAGGACCCAGUUCGUCAGGUCCUUUUGGAAGGGAAGCAGAGGGUAUGUUUUUACUUUUUUUAUACCUUCUAAUUUAUACAUUUCUGGGUCUUGAAUUGAUAGCUUGUUUAAGCAUGUGGUUGCUGAAUCGUUUUUUUUGGAUGAAUAUGUACUGAUGUUCGGGUUUAGAUUCGGUGCUUGAUUCUUUACAUUGAGUCGCCUGUGUAGUAUUUUUCAUAGAUGAACAAAACAGGCUCUGCAUUCUUUAAUUUCAAGUGUUGCUUCUACUUUUACUCGUACUAUGUAUCGAACUAUGUUUUUUCUAUGUUUCCGAGUGUUACUGUUAUUCCUGCAUGUUUGGUAUCUGUAGUCAAUUUGGUUGGGUUGGUUUGUGAGUUGCUUACUCAUCAGAUUGAUUAAGGGUGCUGCUCAUUGCUAGGUCUAAUUACUGUUUUGUUGUGAAUUUGGAAUUUAGGCGAUUGGAAAAAGGUAUGCAAGAGAAGUUGAAGUACUUGAUUGACCAGGGAGUUAAAAUAGAAAUGGUGGAAGAUAAGAACCAGCCAGUAGGGAAGUAUACCUUAGAAAUGCAUCCCUACACUAUGGAGGUAAUACAAGUUUGGGCCAAACAAUUAAAGAUUUUAGGGAUGUUGACUGAUCUUCACAUUCUUGCUGAAACCAAGUUGACUUUGCGUGAGUCCGGGUUGUUGGCGUCCCUAUACAAGCACGGCCCAAAUGACACUUGGAGAGCUGUAGCUCAGAGAAUCAAAGGGAAAACUACUAGAUCUGUUUAUGAACUGAAGACAGUUGAGACACGGCUGGAUGAGAUUCGAGCAUUGGCAAAAGAAAUAUCUACAGUUCUCAUUGUUUAUCAGAAACAAAAGAAGACAGCAUUACAACCCAAAGACAAUAGGACAGAGGUCCUUCCCCAUGACUUUGGAUCCAUUUUGAUCAAGCUUUCUCAACUUCGUUUGAAAUGGAAAGCUAUUGCCUCUUUGGAAAGUGCGACCUUGUUGGAUGAUUCUGAGAUGGAUGAAUUGGUUGAGAUAGAAGCGACAAUCAAAGAAGUGCAUAAUAUUGUGGUUGUCCAACAACUGUUGGAAAAAGAUGUGUAGAUAGGACCAGAUCAUUUUAAGAUUUUAGUUAGCAAUUGAAACUUCAUGUCACUGUAGGAAGUUUGUUUAACUAUAGUCUCUUUACCUAUUGUUAUUUUGUGUGCUGAAGUUAAGACUUACUGUAAUUGCUAGCUACUAUUGUAAGUCUUAUAGGCAAAGUCUUCCAGAAGUUUGUUAGCCAAUUUUGUGUCGCUUCUUGUAACUUUCCUCCCUAUUUAGUUCUUUUCUGCUUGUAUAUUCUUGCUCCUUUUGUUAUUAAUAUGCUAUUCCUACAGAAGAAAAGAGAAAAAGAGGUGUUGCAUGGAAGCACAUUGUUCUAAUGUACUCUCUUCAUAUCUAAAGAUUAUCAGGAUAAACUCCUGUUUUAAUACCGUUUAAGUUUCAUUUUCUUUCAUGCGUUCCCUAUAAAUUGAUGCCAUCUAUUUUUUUUCUCUUUUUUUUGAGAAUGAAAUUGAUGCCAUCUUUUGGUAUCAUGAUAGCUGAGAAAUGUCUCUCUUGGAGUCUUGAUACAUGAGGACUCAUUGAGUUGAUAAGUUCCCUUACAUAGCUGUUCGCUUAGACUGUGCUGGUAAGGAUUGCAUGGAGGGCCUGUGGAGGUGAUGUAAUUAAGAAUGUUAAAGUAUAUAUUUCAAAUAUGAAAAUACAUUGAAAUAAAAAAAAACUUGGCAGAAUGCCAUUUGUGGUUCUGAAGUUGAAGCUAAUUAUAAUUAGACCCUCAAGUUGAUUUGUUUUUCUAUCCGCCCCAACGUUCCCAAUUCUGCUCCCGGCAAAUCAUGGCCUUCUCCUCUACCUGGAAUUAUGUGGCCCAUUCCCGUUUCAAAGGUCAGUAAGCUUUCAAUGCUGCAUGGUUUCUCUUAUCUCUUGGGUUUUCAAUCUUGUUCUUCAAUUUCUCUUGAAAUUGCCUUUGCAGGACCCAGUUUGUUCGUUCAUUUUGGCAGAGGAGUAAAGGGUAUGCAUGGCCUUAACUUUUAUACUUUUGUGCAUUUUAGUUCAUGCGCAGUAAUGAUUUUGGAAUGUUAUUGGCUUGAAAGUUUGAAUCUUUGUUCAAUCUAGAUGAGAUGCAAAAUUGUUAGUUCUCUUUUUCUGUGUUCUCUCUCUCACAUGGAGUUUCUAUGUUCUCUUUGAAACUAAAAAAAUUAGCUCUGGUUUUUCUCUAUUUCCAAAUGUUUCUGUUGUUCUACAUGUUUGAGGUGAGGGAUUUAGUUGAUGGGUUGCCUAUGUGUAGACUUGAUCUAAUAUUGGAUUUGUGGGAUUCUGGAACUUAGAGAAAUGCAAAGAGGUAAAACUGCGAGUAUAAAAGAGCAAAUCGAAAACCUCAAGGUCCGUGGAUUCUGUGUGGAGACACGAAAAGAUAACAACCGGCCUAGAGGACAUUGCUCUAUAGUCAUGGAUCCGCCUUUUUAUAAAAAGCUGAAAAUUAUGGGGGAUCAAGAACGGAUUUUCAGUAUACUGACAGAUCUCUAUAUCUUAUCCGAAGUGAAGUUAACUUUUGGCACGAAGGGUUUGUUUUCUUGCUUGUACGAACAUGGAGUAGAAGACACAUGGAGAGCAUUUGUUGAGACUAUGAAAGGGAGAGCGACUUCUUCCUCCGAUGCUUACUUGAAAGAGGAACUCAAGAGAAUGGAGAAAUGGCUAGACGAUGUGGAGCCUUUGGCAAAAGAAAUAUAUCAGGUGCUGAUUGUUUGCCACAGACAGAAAGUGUCUAAGCCUCAAGGAGAAUUUCAUUUUGAAAUUCUUCCCGACCGUUUUGGUUCGAUUCUGAUUAAGCUAUCAAAGCUUCGGUCGAAAUGGAAAGCUAUUGCAUCCUUGGAGCAUGGAAAUUUGUUAGAUGAAUUAGAAAAGCCAGAACUUGAUUAUGUAGAGAUUUUGAUUGAGGUACACAACUUUGUGGUCGUUCAGCAAGUAUUGCAAGAAUAACUUUGGACACCAGAUAAUGACAUGAUGUUAAAGACUUCAGUUGACAAUAGUAACGUUUUUACAAAUGAAUAGAGCAUGGUUGGGGUUGUUUCUGUUUCUUUUCCCAGUGCUGCGUUGUUGUAUCAGACUCCUUCAUUAAGUGAGUUAUCAAUGCUUGCUUUCUUGGAGAGUUGGAGUGAAUGUAGAUCCAUCAUUCCAUCUAGUCCAAGCACUUGGAAGUACGAUAUUCUCUAAUGCCCAGAAAGUAUCUUCCAACUCCUAUUUUCUUUUAGCAAAAUCUGAUGCUGCUCUGCCUUCACAAUGCCUUGGGACAGAAAACAUCGAUUGCUCUGUUUGUCUCUGAAGAAAUAUACUGAUCUUACGUCUGUUAUAAUAUGAUCUAGUGUCUUAAAAUUCCUCAUGUUCACACUUUGAAUUGGAGUUUGGAACCAUUGCUAUGUCAUAUAGUAAAAGCCUCCCUAUUCUUAGGUUUAGUCUGCAAUUCACUUAGCAAUGAGCUAAAGUUGGCAAUCUUGUGCAAGAAGACUACAAAGCUGAUGCACUUAUUUGAAGCAAAAUCAGUUAAAAUCCAGUAUUUAGUCUCUGAUGGCGACAAGGAAUCUGAGGCAUAUUGGAGAACUGAGAAGAGUAAAUGCCUACAUGGCUGUAUUUUCAGUUUCACCAACUACAUCCUCAGACUAGGAUGCAGAGACAAUAGAUAGAUGAAUGGUUGGAAUGUUUGAUACAUUAGAUUUGUUGCUGAACAAAAUUUCAUGCAUUUCGUUCCUAUUUCUUUUGAAUGUAAUGUUCCAUUUUUCUGUUGUUAUGUUGGUCUAGUAUUACGCGUUCUUCCCUUUAGAGCUAUUAAAGCCUUUGUUGUUUCGGUCUGGUACUGAGGUCGUGUAUUUAAUACAUUUAUUCAUAAGUUCAUAUAUAUGAUGAAUCAAAUGAAGAAAACAAAGAGAAAAAUGGGGUUGGCACUUGUACAGAAUAAAUUGAAGCAGAACAUUCUCUUGUUUUAUUUCUUUGCGCUGUGUAUAGAAUCAAACACUGAACUAUGAUCCUCCUUUCAUAAUUCCUCCUUUCAUAAUACUUUGGGCGCAAGAGUUGGAAUGCUCUGUUCAUUUCUGAAGAAAUUAUCAGGAUCUACCUUUGUUUUAGUCUGCACUAACCUUUCAAAAUUAUGCUUGAAGUACUUAACCCCAUAAACUUCUGCUUCCUUGUAGUCACCCUUUGUAUUGGUUCCUAUGUCGAUAUCCCGAUAGUUCAGAAAAGCCUCCCUUGGAUUCUUGGAAACAUGAGGAGUCAUUGCUUCAUGGAGUUUUGUAGUCAAAUUUAAGUACCUGUUGGUGGUCUCUAGCCUUCCAUCUAUCCAGUUAAAUGAAUAUUGGAUCUUGAAUAUGUUGCCUGCUCUAUGUGGAAAUGGAGUUUCAGUGUCUGGAAUCUCACUCAUUUUUCCUCCAUAAGGAUUCCACAGCAUUCCACCAUCCCCAAUUUCUAUCAUCACUUUCCACAAAGCCUCCAUAUCUGUCUUUGAAAUCGGUUCCUGCACAUAGUCUGAUUUCCGCUUCAGGUAUAUCAUUCCCAUUGGAACCCUACUGAGCAAAACAUCAAGGGAAGUCCCAUUAGGGUAACCAGCCCAAAACAGAAUUGAUUCUAUCCAGCUCAUUUCGAUGCAAUCCUUCUGCUGCAAACCCAAUUGAGGCAGGCUUUGGUUCAGCAGCCUCAGAAGCCUUGCAGAAUCCCCCAGGAACAAGGAAACAAAAGUUACCUUGAUUGUCUUUUCACCUUCUCUGCUUCCAUUCCCUGGUGCUAGCAUCACUCUAAUGAACAGAUCAUUGUCUAUAUUAUCAGCAACUUUCUGCCACUGCACAACAAUGUCUGUGGCACCUUGUUCUAAUGUCCUGUCGACCUGGAACACCGUCACCUUCUCAGGAACCUUAACCAACUUGAUCUUCCAAGCAAGAAUGACUCCAAAACUUGCUGCACCACCCCCUCUUAUGGCCCAAAAGAGGUCUUCUCCCAUUGAUUUCCUAUCGAGGAUCUCACCGUUCACAUUGACAAUUUGUACAUCGACGAUGUUGUCGACAGAGAGUCCAUAUUUUCUCAUCAUGUUACCAUACCCACCUCCUGUGAAGUGUCCACCAGCACCAAGCGUAAGACAAACACCUGCAGGAAAUCCAUGGACUUUGCUCUUUGUAGAAAUCGCAUAGUAAAUUUCUCCAAGAGUUGCCCCAGAUUGUACCCAAGCACUCUCAUCAGCCAGAUCAAUAUUGAUGGACCGGAGAUUAAACAUGUCAAGAACAAUAAAGGGCUUGCUGGAGACAUAUGACAGGCCCUCAUAAUCAUGACCACCACUUCUUAUUCUGAUUUCUAAGCCUACACGUUUGGCACAUACAACAGUGGCUUGAACAUGGGAAUAGUUCUUGGCCGCCACGAUUAGCAGCGGUUUCGGGGUUGUGGGAGUGGAAAAUCUGAGGUUUCUCACAUAAGAUUGCAGGACGGAUGAGAAAUUGGCAUUUUUGGAGGUGUAAACGACUUCGGAGAUUGGACUAGAGGACUGAGAAUGGUUUGAAAGGCAUUGGAGAAAAGUGGUUUCAACUGAGGAUGAAUUUGUAGCGUAUGAAACUGGUGAUAUCACUCCAAGGAUUGAAAAAACGGAGAUCAUUGCUAAUACUAAAGGCUUCAUUUUUGCUGGAAAUGCUUCUCUUCUCUCUCGAGCAACUGCUAUAUAUUGAGGUGGGAUCUUAGCCAAUUUGGAUAUAUUUCCAUGUAAAUAAUUCGAUGAAUUAAUCUUAGCUCUUGAUGAUUGUACAUGCACCGGACUAUGAAUAAGAAAGAAAUCUUUUCCAAUAAUUAUUGUCACAUUAUUGAAAAUUAACUAGAUUUCUAAUUUUAUCCCCAAGUUUUUUCCGUUAGGUUACACAAUUUUGAAUUGUCCGAGUUUGUUCCAUGUGUACCGCAGGAGAAUCAUGUAAAUACCUACAAACAAUAUUUGCAUGAUUCUCCUAAUGUAUGUACGUAUACAUAAGGAACAUGCAUGUAACACAAAUGACAAAUCUAAUUAUUUGGUGCCAAUUAAUUAUCAUCCAGUAAAAUGCAUGUAACAGAAAUGAAUUUCAGGGGAUACGUUUUCAUGAGUUUUUGAGUGCCAUGAAUAUUGAAAUUAAUCCCAGAUGAACUGAUCGAUGACUGUUAAUGAGUAUUAAUAAAUAAUUGAUGUUAUAUAGUUGCCAUAGAUUAAUAUUUGAAUUUGCGUUCACAAACUUAUUAUUAAUUUCAUGUCCAAUAAGGUGUAUCAAAUUAUUGUAGUUUCACUUUCACGUACAUUGUCACGUACAAUGUAACCACUGUGAAAGUAUUUAUUUAUCUGUGAUAGGCUUCCAUCUCAACAGCGGUGGGAUACUUUGUUCAUGCUUGAAAAAAUUCUGAGGAUCAAGCGCACUUUUCACACACCAAUCGUUCAAAAUUGCCUUUAAAAUACGAUCUUCCAUAAACCCUAGCAUGUUCGGUGCUGUUCUGAUCAAGCACAUUGGAGCCUAUGUCAAGAUCCCUAUAGUUAUGCAAGACCUCUCUUGGGCUCUUGGACACGUACGGAUUCAUACUCUCGUAAAAGUUUAUCGACAAAUUAAGGUACUUGUCUGUGCUCUCAAUCCCUUUGUCCAUCCAAUACGUCCAGUACUGAAUCAUAAAAAGAUUUCCUGCUCUGUGUGGGAAUGGAGUUUCUGACUCGGAAAUCUCAUUCAUUCUUCCACCAUAUGGGUUCCAUUGCAUGUGCGUCGUCUCAUACUGAUUCAUCAUCUUGUCGAAUAUCAAAUUCAGGAUCUCUUUCGAAAUCGGUUGUUUUACAUAAUCCGACUUGCCUUUGAAGAAGAACGGCGGUGGUUGGGUUGGUCUCUUUACUAGAGCCUUUAUGGGAGUUCCAGAUGCGUAUUCGGCAAAGUAUAUAGUGGAUUCAAUCCAACUCAUUUCAAGGCAGUCUUUUUGCUCCAAACCCAGUUCAGGAAAACUGUCACUUACCAAAGAAAGAAGGUUUUCCCUUCGUCCUAAAUAGAGACCACGAAAUGCCACUUCCACAGUCUUCUUUCCUAUUUGCGUAGUACUAUUCUGGACUUUUGAAGUUGCUCUAAUGAAGAGUUCUUUAGGUAGGUUUGGCGCAACGUAUUGCCACCUGUUAGAACAAAAAAUAAUUACACAAACUAACUCAAGAAACCAUGCAAAAUACAAGUAUGCAAAUCAAAUCUCCACUGUGUCAAAUGUUCGAGUACGUACCUGUGAAGAACAUCCGCAGCGCCUUGCUCAAGUGUCUUUGUAACUGUGAAAACAGUGACAAUAGGUGGAACUCGAACCAAUUUGAUCUUCCAUGAAAGAAUGACUCCAAAGCUUGCUCCACCACCUCCUCUAAUGGCCCGGCCAGAAUAGAUCUUCUCCCAUGCAUUUUCUAUCAAGGAUUGUACCAUUCACGUUUACCAGUGUAGCAUCUUCUAUAUUAUCCACUGUAAGGCCAAAUUUUCUCAUCAUCGAGCCAUAGCCACCACCACUGAAAAGACCACCAAGACCAACAGAGGGGCAAACUCCUCCCGGAAAUGCAUGAACUAUGCUUUUUUGUGCAAUGCUAUAGUAAAGUUCUCCAAGAAUGGCUCCAGAUCCAACCCAUGCGCUUUCAUCUGCGAUGUUAAUAUCAAUCUCUCGAAGGUUAAACAUGUCAAGGACUAUGUAGGAGGCAUUUGAAAUGUACGAUAUGAAGGAUAAACCCUCGUAGUCAUGGCCACCACUGCGGAUUCUCAUAUGUAAACCAUGCUGUUUUGCACACAUCACGGUUGCUUGGACAUGGGAUUCAUGUUUAGCUGUUACAAUAGCCAAAGGUUUUGGAGUUGUGGGUGUGUAAUGUCUGAGGUUUCUAAUAUAUGAUAGCAGAGCAGAUUGAAAAAUGGUGUUUUCUCGGGUGAUAAUGGCUUCGGAAACUGGGUAGGAGGAGUUGGAAUAUUUCGGAAGGCAUUGGAAGAAGUCAUCGAGAAUGGGAUUUGAAGUUGCCCAUGAGAUUGAUAUUGAAAGGGAGAGGACUGAGAGUGUGAAGACUAGUAAUGCUGAGCUUGGUAUCUUCAUUUUUGCUUGUAGAGUUUUUUCUAAGGCCAUAUAUGUUGCUCUGCAUGUCUUCGACUUCUAGCAUGGCACUAUUUAUAAUGUCAAAUUAACCAACCCGACUCCUUGUUUAGUAACUGCUUAAUUGCAUCAAAAUGAAUCCUGGAUAUUUGGAUUUUAUGAAUCAUUGGUCUUUCUGCAUGUGAUGGAUGCACUUGUUUAAUUUCAAACUUCCUAGAAAAAGAAGUUUGUUAUGUUGAGAGAAUCUCCAUUUUGCAUCAUAUGACCAUUAAAUACAAAUAUUCAAGAUAAAUUAACCCAAAGAAAGAAGGACAUAUUUAUGGAUUAUCAAUUGACCCCGAGAGAGUUUGACCAAAUCUAUUAGGCAAAAAAUAAUUGUACGUACUCAUGAGAGAAACUUGCUUGACUACCUAGGAAAAGAAAUAUAAAAAAAAAGGUAAUUAAGUUGUCAUAUAAAGUCACAAUUUCUAGGGCUGGCAUUUUAAGCCAAGCAAGCCGAAUCAACCGAAAUUCCAACCGAGCCAAUACCAAGUUGUACCGAGAGUAUGGCUUAUCGAGAGUUCGGCUCGGCUCAACCGUACCAUAUCAUGUAUUCGGCUCGGCUACAGUAUUGAGGUAUUGCAUACCUUCGGUAUACCGAGCCUACCGAAAUAGAUGUAUACUCCAUAUAAUUCCAAAAUAGUGGUGAAUUUGCAAGAGUUGAGUGUCGAAACCCUCACCUCAUAGUUGCAAAGAGUAGUCUCAAACCACCAGACCACACGUCUUCUUGACUACAUAAUAUACAAAAGCUAAAUAUAAACAUGUAUGCAUUAGUAUUCACUUAAUUAGUCCUUUUCUUACUUCUUCUUUCACUUUCUCAAAUCCAUUUUGUGUGGUUAUUUUCUUCGCCUCCUCCAGUCCUCCUCUAUCAUUAUAUGCAGAAGUGCAAAACGCUAGAAUUGGUAUGCGAGAUCUUCCUCUUUGAUUUUUUAAUUUUUAUCCUAAAGGCUUUCUUCGUUUCAAUAAUCUCCUGACAUUUUAUCAAUUUAUCAUCAUCUGCAUCAUCAAAGCUGUAUCAUCUCCACUUUCAUAAUUCACUUUUUGUUUAGUUUCCUUCAGAUCUUAGAAUUUUGGUGAAAAUUAGAGUUGGGUUUUCAUAAUUUGCAGGUGUAGUAUGAGAAACAUGUCAUCCAAGCUUAGAAAAUCGAAUGGGUUUUAGCAGGUUUGGAAUCAAAUGAGCUUUUAGUAACUAUUUUUUUCAUCUUCUUCUCUAGAUCGGUAAUUCCGAUUAACAACCGACUCCAAACCGACUUGUCGGGAUACCGAUUUUUUGGAUUGAUUAUUGUUUGGAAAUCUCUAUACCAAAGAAGAUCGGCUCGGUAGCCGGUUUGAGACUAAAAAGUCGGUUACCGUUCCGGUUCCAGCCUUAACAGUUUCAUGGCUCUACAUGAGCAUUAUCUUUCUAGUAUAGAAUGUUGUUUUACAGCUUCAUACUCGUUACAAAAUGGUGGUUGUUAAAACAUAUAGGUUAUAUAGAGACUCUUGAUAUUAUGUUGGAUCUUACAUUCUAAAGCCCAAUAUAUAACAAGAGACUCACCGAAGAUAAAUCAGGUGUCUCGCCUAAGAAUAUGUAUUCUAACAUGCACCGUUUAACAAUUAGCUAGUACACUACAUGUUACUUCAUUCGCUUUACAAUUGUGAUGACAAACCAAAACGACAAUGCUCACGUAGAGCCACAAAUUACUAUUAUUGUAAGCUUUCAUUGUAUGUUGCUAGCACAUAUAUAACCCGGUGGCACUAAAUUUCGUUGUGUCAUUAAAAGUUGCAACCAUCUGACAAAGCAAAGAACUCGUUGUUUUCCCAUGACAAACAUGGCACACAAACCGCACAAACCAGGACAAUGCUCACAUCUCGAAACACCGAAAUUACGACUUAUUGGAAGCAUGAACUAAAAUCUGUAGGCCCAGCACAUAUUAGGCCUAUCACAUGUUAGGCCCAGUUCAUCUCCAACUAAAAACACUAGUAAAAUGAAAUUUAAAAGCAAACCAGCCCAUAUUAGGCCCAGCACAUGAAACCACGACCCAAGAUCUGUUCAAGACUUAAAAGGCCGGUAGGUCUUGUAAUGAUAAUAUGACAUGAUGACUUGACGAGUACAUUCCCAAAUUUCACCAUUUUUGGCUUAGUGACCCCUUCUUCACUCAGACUCAUAAAAACUAUAUAGAAGUUUUUGCCCAGAAAUGAUAACCGAAAAUCUUAAACAAAUAUGAUAGUAAUGUAAUUAGAUGAAAUUGAUGUGAUCUUAAUUUAUUUGUAAUUAAAGAGGUAACCAUGCCAUCAAGACUUGUACACUAUAGUAUAAAAUUGUAUCUCAUCAACUAUGUAAUCAAGCUAAUUCAUCUCUAUGGAAUCCAUUAUUUAUUGGGAAGUGGUGGGAUACUCUGCUCAUGUCUGAAAAAGUUCUCAGGAUCAACCUUGGCUUUAACACUUGCCAAUCUAUAAAAAUUGUCCUUGAAGUACUUUCUUCCAUAAACUGAAGCAGUCUUGAUCUCAGUCUGGUUAUUCCAAUUGGCACCAUUGUCGAGAUCCCUGUAGUUCUGGAAGGCCUCUCUAGGGUUCUUGGACACAAAUGGAGUCAUUGCUUCACGAAACUUGCUUGACAAGUCAAGGUACUUUUUCGUGUCCGUUUCAUUCGUCCAAAGAGUGUAAUAUUGAUCGAAUCUUAAACAGGUUUCCCGCUCUGUGUGGGAAUGGAGUCUCCGACUGAGAAAUCUCACUCAUUCUUCCACCAUAAGGGUUCCACUGCAUCUGAAGCGUCUCUAUAGCAAGUAUCUUCUGCCACAUGGUUUCGAUUGCCUCUUUCGGAAUCGGUUCUUUCACAUAAUCAGACCUGCUUUUGAAGAAGAAUUCUGGUCCCUUUGGCCUGUCGAGAAGAGCAGUUGUGGGAGCUCCAGCUGGGUAGUCCGCCAAGAAUAAAGUCGCAUUUACCCAACUCAUCUCAUUGCAAUCUUUUUGCUCUAAACCGAGUUCAGGAAAACUGUGGUUUAGCAAAGCAAGAAGGCUUUCCUUUUGUCCCAAAUAGAGUCCAAGGAAUACCACUUCCACAGUCUUAUUGCUCACUUGGCUAGUACCCUUACGGAGAAUUGAAGUUGCCCUAAUGAAGAUGUCUUUUGGUAGCUUCGGCGCAACGUAUUGCCACCUGAUUAGAACAAAGGGGAACUGAUUAGAACGCACAGAAAUUAGAAGGGACCAAUAUUGUAAGACUGUAAAACAAUGUGUUAAUGAACAUAUAUAUGCAUUAUACUACGUCAAAAUAAUAGAUACCUGUAAAGAACAUCUAUCCCGCCUUGUUCGAGUGUCCUGUUAACUCUGAAAACAGUCACGGUGGAUGGAAUUGGAAGUAACUUGAUCUUCCAUGCAAGAAUGACUCCAAAGCUUGCUCCUCUAAUGGCCCAAAAUAGAUCUUCCCCCAUGGAUUUUCUAUCAAGGAUUGUACCAUUCACGUCUACUAGUCUAGCAUCUACUAUAUUAUCCACUGUAAGACCAAAUUUUCUCAUCAUCGGACCAUAGCCGCCACCACUGAAAAGGCCACCAAGACCAACAGAGGGGCAAACUCCUCCUGGAAAUGCAUGAGCAUUGCUUUUCUCCGCAAUCUUAUAGUAAAGUUCACCUAAGAUAGCUCCAGUCUCGACCCAAGCACUUUCAUCUGCAACAUUAAUAUCAAUCGAUCGAAGCUUAAACAUGUCGAGGACUAUAUAGGAAACAUUUGACAUAUAUGAAAUGAAGGAUAGGCCCUCGUAGUCGUGGCCACCACUUCGGAUUCUCAUGUGCAAACCAUUUUGUUUUGCACAGAUCACGGUUGCUUGGACAUGAGUUUCAUGGCUGGCUGUUAUAAUAGCCAAAGGUUUGGUAGAUGUGGCAGCCAAAAGUCUGCGGUUUCUAAUAUAUGAAACGAAAGCAGAAUGGAAAUUCGUGCUUUGUUGGGUGAUAGUUUGUUCGGAAAUUGGAUACGAGGAAUUGGAAUAUUUCGGAAGGCAUUGGAGGAAGCCAUCGAGAACGGGAUUUGAAGUUGUGCAUGAGACUGAGAGUGAAAGCAAAAGGACUGAGAAUAUAAAGAGUGGUAAUGUCGAGCUUGGUAUCUUCAUGUUUAGUCUGGAAUUUUUCAACUACAAGUCUUCAAUGUCCUUCUCAUUUCACUUCCUGGUAAUGGUGAUAUUAUAUAUAUGAUCGAUAUCGAAGCUACCAAGUCCUUGUUCAGCUUCUGUAAACUAGAAUGAAUUGAAUAUGCAACCAAUGAACCAAAGCUAUCCUAAAUUCCUAAUUAAGUUUUGGAUUUAAUAGUCAACGAUGCAAACCAAAAUCUUAUUAUGAUCAACCAACUCAUUUUCGGACGCUGCAAGCAAUAAAACCUUAUCUAAAGUUGAUUUAGAUUUGCUAGAAAGGUCAAAAUUUGAAUUGGAGCAAUAAAGUAGAAAAAUUAUGAGAAAUUAUAUUGAAAUCUCGUAAUUGAGCUCAUAAAACAUGAUAAUUGAAAUAAUACAAAUUUUCUUAGUAACUAAAUUAUUAUUAAAGUGAUUUUUUUUUUAAAGAUUGAUAUUAAAGUGAAUCUAAUAAUAAAUUAGUUACUAAAUUUUAUAUUAUUUGUUACUAAAAACCCUAUACGGAAUUUUAUAAUACAUUCAUUUUUCCAUAUAUAGAAGGUCACUAAAACGUUGGAUUUAUUGUCAUUUCCAUCAUCAUGAAUUGCAUUGCUGGAGAAAAUCUAGCCAGAAGGGAAUGGAAAAUAAAACUUAAUUUGACCAUCUUACACAAAUUAAUUCUACGGGAUUCCUUAUUCAUAGCAUAAUAUAUACAAAGGAUAGAGCCAAUAUCCUAUCAAGAGCAACACCACAAUGGUGAGACCAUUCGCCAAUACGAGGAUGUGCCUUAAGAACCGGGCUGCGUGUAGAAUUCCUGUGAACCAAUAUUUGAAACUGAUUAGGGUAGACAACUUUCUCCGUGUUGGGAAAGAAGUGGCUGUCUAAUACAAGGCCGACGGAUAAUUGAUUAUCUGAGGAUCUAACUUUCUUACUCCUUGUGUGAUUUGCGGAAAUAGCAACAAAAAGAAAACACAAUAUUUAACGAGGUUCGGCAAUAUGCCUACGUCCUCAGGACAACAGUAGUACUUUCUUCCACUAUACUAAAUAAUGAGAUUACAAGAAACACUCACUCUAGACUAACUAAAGUGGUAACACACCUCUCUCUCUCUCAAGAGGAAUUUUUUUCUCACUAAUCACUCAAGUGAGGAUCACACUACAACUAUCACAAACUCUCUCUAUUUUGCUUGUGACUCUGCCUUGGGUUGUUUGCUGCAAGCUUUCAUGCCUUUAUAUAGGCAAAUGGUUUCAUGCAUAAGCCAUGCAUUCCAUACGUAACAUGCAAGGGAAGAAAAGUCAAGUUUCUUCCAUGAUUCAUGCUCAAUGUCUUCAUACUCAUAAAUGCUUGUCUUCCUCCAUCUUCAAAGAUUGCUGCCACCACCACCCUAAGUUUAUAGCUUUGUUUCUUACCUUUCAAAAUAUACUGCACCCACUUUGCUAUUCCUAUAUCAACCAGCUUUGUUUUCAUUGAAUGGGUCACCAAGGCUACAGCAACAAAUGCUUUCCUCAUGCAGUAAACACCACAUGAAUUUCAACCUCCAAUUAAGGAGGGACUGACCCAUCACUCCGAUCCCAAGCUUGAUCAUCUUGUAUUGUCAACCCUACUCGAGGAAGGAACCUAUGCUCGUUCAAUACAGCCAAUGCAUUGCAGAAUAGAAGUGCAGCAACAGGGUAGAAGGAGUCUUGGUUUCAAACAACGACCAGCGGUCAACUUAACCAUGAUCAGAUGGUCAGUAAAAGAUAUCAAGUAAAUGACUUACUAGGGUUGGAGUGCAUCACCCGCCCAGUGUAUUACAUUGCCAUGUGUCAUAUAAAAUUACGAGUUGAUUAUCAUUCUUCUGGGCUAAAAUUAUGGAAAAAUUGUAUUUCCCUUUUUUGGGAGGUAUUUUUAUUGAUUGUAAAAAAAUAUUAUUAAAUAGCUUUUUUUUUAGAAAUUAUCAAAUAGUUAAUCAAUAAUAGAAUUUGUAAUUGAAAAGGAAGUAACUGAUUACGAGUCAUAAUUAUUUUAGCUAUUCACAUUACUGACAGAGUUACAGGAAAUUAGUAAUGAAAACAAGAAUUUAAGGGAUUCCCUCCUUUGGCAUCUUCACAAAAAAUUUCAACUUUUAAAGGAAAUAAUUUAUUACACGCGAAUUCCUCAAUCCUCACUUCAAUUUCCAACAAAAUAUGUGACAUUAUACCCUCAGGAUCGAUUAAUAUCCAGAUUAAAGUACUGAUGAAAGUUAUUUUCAGAUCAGUGUUCAAAGAGCCAGGAUCGCUCUAAAGUGGCGGGAUACUCUGUUCAUUCUUGAAAAAAUUCCAAGGAUCAACCGCAGUUUUCACACGGACCAGUCUAUCAAAGUUUUCUUUGAAAUACAUGCUUCCAUAAUUCCUAGCAGUUUCAACAUUAGUCUGAUUACCCGUAUUGGCACCAAGGUCAAGAUCCCUAUAGUUUAGGAAGGCCUCUCUUGGGUUCUUGGACACAAAUGGAGUCAUUUCUUGAUACAUUUUGCUAAUCAAGUCAAGGUAGCGGUGUGCCGUCUCAGCCUUGUCUUCUUUCCAAUAUCCCAGAUACUGAAUCAAGAACAGGUUUCCUUCCCUGUGAGGGAAUGGAGUUUCCGACUCCGAAAUCUGACUCAUUCUUCCACCAUAAGGGUUCCAUUCCAUGUACAGUUUAUCCAGACCCGGCUUUAACAUCAAGUCCAAUAUCGAUUCUAUUCCAUGUUUCGGAAUCGGCUCUUUCACAUAGUCUGACUUGCCCUUGAAGAAAUCUGGCGGCCCCAUUGGCCUAUCAAGCAGAACAGUUGCGGGAGUUCCAAUCGGGUGGUUACCCCAGAACACAGUGGAUUCUACCCAACUCAUUUCAAAGCAAUCACUUUGCUGCAAACCCAAUUCAGGAAAACUCUGAUUCAUCAAAGAAAGAAGUUUCUCACUAUCUCCCAAAUAAUGACAAAUGAAUGACACUUGCAUAGCCAACUUACCUGAAGUACUAUUUUGCUUCACUUGAAGCAUUGCCCUAAUGAAGAUCUCUUUAGGCAGCUUAGGCGCUACGUAUUGCCACCGAUGAACAGUAUCGAUAGCGCCCUGUUCCAAAGUCCUUAAAACAUUGAAUACAGUCACUCUGGUUGGAACUGGAACCAAUUUGAUCUUCCAAGACACAACGACUCCAAAGCUUGCUCCACCACCUCUAAUGGCCCAGAAAAGAUCUUCUCCCAUUGAUUUUCUAUCAAGCAUUGUACCGUUCGCAUUGACUAGCUUAGCGUCUACAACGUUAUCGACUGUAAGUCCAUAUUUUCUCAUCAAAGGGCCAUAACCACCACCACUAAGAUGGCCACCAAUACCAACAGUGGGGCAAACUCCAGCAGGAAAUCCAUGCACAUUGCUUUUGUUUCCAAUAUUGAAAUAAAGCUCACCAAGAGUAGCCCCAGAUUCUACCCAAGCACUCUCGUCCGUGACAUUAAUAUCGAUGGAUCUAAGAUUAGACAUGUCAAGCAUGACAAAGGGUGUGACACUUGAUACGUACGAUAGACCCUCAAAAUCAUGGCCACCGCUUCGGAUUCUUAUUUGAAAUCCAUGUUGUUGUGCACAAAUGACAGUCGAUUGGACAUGGGAUUCAUGCUUGGCUGCUACAAUCGCCAAAGGUUUCGGUGUUGUGGGUGUGGAAUAUCUGCGGUUUCUAAUGUAUGCCAAGAGAGCAGGUUGAAAAGAGGUGUUUUGGUACGUGUAAAUGGCUUCAGAGAUUGGGGAGGUGGAGUAGUGAGAAUGAUUUGUAAGGCAGUGGAGGAAGUCAGUUGUGCGAAUUGGAUCUGAAGUUGUACAUGGUACUGAAAACGAAAGGACUGAUAGAAUAACGAGCACUAGAACCUUCAUUGUAUUUGGAUGUUCAAGAAUCUGGAGUACUAGCGCAGUGCAUGUUUGGUCGUGUUUAUAACAAUUUCAAUUUGUCAUUCCAAAUUGGUACGAAAUUUCUUUUCUUUUUCGAGAUAAUCAAUUUAUGAUACAUUUCUUCCAAAAAAAAUAAAAUUAUGAUACAUUGUUAAUGCAUUUUAGGAAGUUGAUAAACAUUUGUUAAUGGUAUAAAUGCUUUUAAAGUAAUGAUGUAGAAACGGUGUAUGCAUCUCAACCACAUGGUGCAUGUAUGAAUAAAUUAUUUCUAAAUGUUUAGGUAUAUUAUUGUUAAAAUUGAAAUUUAUCAAUUUUUGAGGUAAAUUGAUGCUCCAACAGAGAGGAUAAAUCAUUGCUAAAUUAGAUAAUUUCUAAAUAAAAUUGACAAAUUUGUCAAUUUUUGAUGCAUAACUGUUAAAAUAUAAUAAAUAGCAAUUACUGAUGGAGCAACAUUGUUAAAUCGAUACCUAAAUUUCAAAAUUAUAGUUAAAUAUAACAAUUUUGGAGCUCAUAUUGAUAACCUCAAAAAUUAUUACGUUUAAUUUUUUUUUCUUUUUUGGGAAUAGCAAUAAUGUUGGAGAUGUUCUUAAAAAGUUUGUAAUCCUUAAUGUAUAAUAACAUAUCUGAAAUUUUGGUAAGCACACAAGUUUGCCGCAAAACCUUUACUACUAUUCUUGUUUCAUUUGCUACAGGCAUGGAAAUUAAUCCAAUCAUCUAAGUUUGUUUAUUUCGACUAUAUGUGUUUCCGUAUGGUCACCGGGGGUGAAGCUAUAUAAAAUCCAAGAAGAGCGCUCCACCCAGGGACGGAGCCAGGAAUUCGAAAUACCCUGGGCUAAAUUUACCAUAUAAUUUCUUUUUGUUAUAAACGCCAAUCAAUUAUUUUUCUUUUACCAUAAUUUUUUAUCGGUUGGUGUAUAAAUUUAAAUAAUAUAGUAUCUGUAGAAAUUUGUCAUGACUUUUCAAUUAAAAAUGAGAAAAACUUUGUCAUUUAUUUCAAUCCAUUCAAGUCCAUUAAUAAGCAAUAGUGGGACAGUAAAGAAAAUUAAAUAAAAUAAAACAAAUUUACUAAAAAUAAAAAAAUAAAACAUCAAAGUAAAAGAUAUUGUGGGUUAUUACCAAGCUAGUGAAAUUAAAAAAGCAAAGAAAAAAGUCAAAAAACACAAGUCCAUAGCAACGAGACAGAAAGAUUGGCUGAGCAAGUUAUAGAAUAUUUUAAUAAAAAUAUAGUUUACACAUGUAAAAAGUUGAUUGGGUAAGAAUUGUUCUCUGAGCUACAGCCCAUGUAGCCUAUAACUAAGAUCCGUCUCUGGCUCCACCUCCAAAGUCCACAACCUAUUAACAAAUUAAAGAACAUGACGUUUUGGAGAGAGAGAGAGAGAGAGAGAGAGAGAGAGAGAGAGAGAGAGAGAGAGAGAGAGAGAGAGAGAGAGAGAGAGAGAGAGAGAGAGNNNNNNNNNNNNNNNNNNNNGAGAGAGAGAGAGAGCAAACUGGCCGACUUUUGACCCUUUGAUACUUAAGUCAACUACAUGAGAGUAGAAGUUUAUCAUAAUGGAUAAGGUAGACAUGUACUUAUAGGGCUAGGGUUCUCGUCACCCCUAAAUUACAGUAUUUCUCUUGAAUGAAGAGUGUGGGGCUCUUAGGCAAGGCCCAAGCCCCUCUUAGGUGGUAGCCCCUUUUAGGUGGUCAAAUGUGUCUUCUUAGACGAGGCCUCUGACAUACGACUACUUGAUAGUUAGCAUGUGCGUCCUGAUGAUUGUGUGAGACGAGUAGGCCCGAUGUUUAUCCCCCACAUAGGCAAUGGCGUAGCUACACACGGGCUCUGAGCCUACCUCAAAUUUUGAAAAAAAAACAUUCAUUUCUAGCUAAAUUUUAGUUCAAAAGGCUAAAAAAAUAAAAUUCAGCCCACCCCAAUUAUAUAAAUUUAGCCCAUAUGUUAUUAACUUAGUCCGUUUCUAACAUAAAUUAGUACACAUUUAUUAAAAGAAAAAUUUCUAGCUCAUCUCAUUAUAAAAUCCUGACUCGGCCAUUGUGGGGUGGUGGGGGUGUAACCAAUAUGUUGUUCAAUAAUAAAAUAAAGCUCACUUGUUUUGGCCGCAUUGUAUGUUGGUCUAGUUGUAUCGAGGCGUUCUUCAGUCAUUCGGUCUACUACUGAGGUCAUGUGUUUAAUUCAUUAAUUAUUUAAUUCAUAAGUUCUAUUGGGUAAUUACGAAAAGAAUUUUCGUGUUAAAUACUGAAUAUAAGCACAUUUUUAGCGAAAAUUCUUCUAUGCACCAAGGUGUGCAAGAGAACCGAUCGAGCAACUAAUAUGCAUUAUUUUAAUCCGGUCAUCCACGUCGCAUUAUCAUGCAUAUAUAUAUAUAUAGAUAUUAAUACCAUUAACAAAACUGAAACCCAAAAAAAUAAUUCUAAGUGUUUUUAACACAGGAGGUGAGAACCCGAGGUCGAAGAAGAGGUACUCUUGUUAUAGGCGUUUAAUUUGAUCAGAUCAAAAAUGAAAAUGAAAUGAAGGAAUUUAGUGUCUCUAGUCUUCAUUCAAUCUUCGCAUACGACGAUUUAAAGACUUAUACAUUAAUGGUGCAUGUACAUAUUGAUGCGUACGCUCCGUAUUUUUAGGGUGACAUGAUCAAGUAUUAUAUCUGUAGCUAUAAAGCUUCUUACAUAAUUACAAGAUAUCGAGUGGGGUAGUUGUGCCACUUGUAACGCCCACACUUCUUACAUAAUUACCUACAUGUAACCGUUUUUAUUGUCCCUACUCAGUGAGAGGACAUGGAUAAUCGCCUUGACGGAAAACGAACAGCAAGUUGGGAGUACGGAUAAUUAGCAGCAUACUACUUCAUUAAAUUAAUUAGUAAUUAAAAUAAAAACAAUAUUCUAUUCUCUGAACACUAAUUAGUUAGUACUUAAGCUUUGUCCUAAUCGCAUCCAUGCAUUUAAUUUAUCAUCAUCACUUGUUUUAGCACCAUAUUAAGGCUUGGGGAACAAGUUACAAUUUCUUCAUUCUAAAGCCGGCAACCAAUGCCCCGAUAAACGACAACAGUAACUAUAUGCUUUUAAAGUAACGAACAAUAAGUUAUGAGAUACACAAUAUAAAUAUAAACUGUCGUUAUGUUCACUCUUGAACUAACGACCGAGUCCCUCAGCCCAAAAUCAAUUCUAGCUUUCCAAAUCUGCUAGCAGGUUAUAAUAAUUUCGGCGGAAAGAUCAGCAUCAUAAUUACUCGAGAUAAACAUGUAACGAUUUUAGUUGCACGGUGAAAUUGACUGUCACACACCACGGGAAAAACAAAAGGAUAUUCCGGUUAGUUAGAGCAAGGUGAAAUAGACAAUCACACACCUCGGGAAAAGCAAAACGAGGUUUUGUCAGCUUGUAAUUUCUCUAUAAAAACCAAAAAGGAUUCCCUUCCUCUAUUCACUCUCACACUGCCUCUGACCAGGUACUCUCUCUCUCUCUCAUUCUCAGAAGUAAAAACCGAAUCUUGCUCCACAAGUUUCUUUCUUGCUUGAUUCUUUACUGCAUUUGAGCUAUGAUCUUUGCUUGAAGCUUAAUAUUUAGUGAGAUUUGCACCAUUCCUCUUGUGUUUCGUUUAAUUUUCUGGAUUCUUGGUUCAAUUUCAGGAAUUCCAAGAGAAAUUUACAGAGGAAUAAUCUAGGUAGGAGCCUCUAUCUCUCUCUCUCUCUCUCUCAUCAUUCUUUCUUGGCAUUUCUGAAUCUUGGUUUGGUUUGAUUUCUUAUAUAAACCUUGUUCUUUUCACUAAUUAACAUUGGGAUUUGUACUGAAAAUUUUCAGGAGAAAAACAAGAAUCCAACGUCUCUGCAGAAAUUCUGGUACGAGUAACUCUAUUUUCUAAAAUGCAGCUUAAUUUUCUUCAAGAUUAUUAUACUGUGAUGGAUAUCUGCAUGUAUUCUUUGGCAAUUUUAGUACACAGAUGAUGGUCUUGUAUGAUACUGGAGUUUUGCUUCAAGUUGCUUUUCACGUUCAGUUUUAUUGUUUGAGAUUAUAUUUCAAUGGAUAGACUUGAGUUCUUGAUGUGCAUUAAGCUAGUGAUUCUUUGUGAGAUGGGUAUGAAUCUCUCUUUUUCUUUGUCAGUGUCUUCCGUUUUUGGGUGUGAAUUGAACUAUUCCCUUUUCAAGUUUGAAGACUGAUCAGUGUUCUUCUUUCUUUCUUUCUUUCAUGGGUCUCUGUUUCAAGAAAGUAAUAAUGGACGACAUAGGUGAUGAUGAUAAUCAACUUCAAGGGAAGGAGCUAUAUAUGCACCAGUUUAAGCAGGAUUUCACCCCACGCUUGAAUGAGAUUUUGUCUUUUGAUGAUCCCCACAGGAUUACACCCGUGGUUACAGAGGAGAAGUUAAUACAGGUUCUGGAGAAAUUAACCACGACGGCAAUCCGGUAUGGCAGAACUUACAUUGCCGAAGAUGAACCCAGGUAUACUGAUGUAGGUCGAUUUCUUGGGUACAGUGAGCCCUAUAUUGGCCAGCAGAGGUGCUUCAUGCAGUUGCUCAGAGAGUGUGAUCGAGACUCGCCAGAGGGUAGGAAAUUGUAUAACAUAGAAGCCCAAGCAACUCUUGUUGGUAGAAAGGUCUCAAAGUAUCUUACACAGAUGAUGGUGGUGAUGAACAUAGAGAACAAAAAGGACAUGAUGAAGAAGUUCAGAGAUACUCUGCAAAUGUUUCCAUUCUUAGUGGAUGCUUUUGAAUGGCCGGGGAGAAAUGAGCAUUUUGGAGUAGUGUUUAACAGGAUCAACGUUCUUAUGAAACACGCACACAAAGAACUCAUCCUACAGGUUAACAACAGAUCAGAAAUGCCAGCUGGGAGUCUAGGAUAUACAAACAGUUUGAAAAAUUUAGACAAGAAAGAAGACCUUGAUGAUUUUCUUGAUGACCGCCUUGAGGAGAUUGAACAAGUUAUUUCAAAGCUGGAGUCUCUUUUGAGCUUUCCAAUCCUGCCCGGUCCCCAAACGUUACUCUCUAUAAAUAUAAGAUCAGUAAAAUGGCUGCAUUGGAUGCUUAGGGAGUUGGAAACAGAGGUUGACAAGAAUAUUAGAAACGGGGUAAGAGAACUGAUGUCGAAGUAUAAAAGGCAUGAGUAUUUCAAUGAUGCUGAGGCAUUUCUCAAGAGAAUGUUUUCACCGAGGGAUGAAAUGUGGACGAAACUGGAAAGUGAGGUGAAAGUGGGGAGGGGAUGCCUAUCCAGAGGCCGAAUCAGACUCCAAGUCAGAGGAACUAUCAUUGAAGUGAUUCAACAGAACCGGAAAAGCGCGCUGAUUCAGGUAGUAGGAAUCAACAGUAGGAUGGAAGCUGAGUGGUAUGUUGGAAAGCGCGUUUCCUACUUCUACAGGGAUAAUGUGAAGAACAACGGAAGCCACUACCGCUGCAUCUGGGGAAAGGUUACUAGGCCUCAUGAUGACAGUGGCAUUCUUUGUGCCGAGUUCGACUCCAAUUUGUUCCCCAGGGUACUGUUUUAACUAUACUGAACCAAAAAAAAAAAAAAUUUUACUUUGUCUUUUGUUUGAGACUUUGAGUCAGGUUGUCUUAUGGAUCCAUUUCCUCUGUUCAUUUGCAGAACUGCUUGUAUCAGCUGAGGGUAUACAUGUAUCGUGCCAGGAUCGACGAGGUAAUAUUAUUUGAGAAAUUUAUAGUUCUACUUGUUUUUAUGUGGUAUUAUGGUGUUUGCAUGUUGUCUAUUUUGCCUCGUAUGCUCAAUGUGUGUACUUUAUCUGGGGAGUUUAAAGUUAGGCCUAUAUAUUUGUUAGCUCCACGUAUAUUCAAAUUUGUUCUGUCAUCUUCUAACCUUCUUCAUAAUGGUUUCUCAUGAUCAUUUAGCCAAUAAUACUCUGCUUUUCCAAUCUUGGAGAACAAAAUUGCAUUCUGAAAUAUAUAGAUGCAUAUAUUCUCUAUACUAAAUAGUCCUACUCCUUACUGCCUUCGCUUCUGUUUUGUCAGUUUCUAAUUCUGCUUGUUUUGCAUUUUUAUUUGCAGUAUGGUGAAAUCAUCUACGGAGACUGAUCUUGCAGUUCCCCAGGACCUUUGUGGCUUUGUCUAAUCUUGCUGCUGCUUGGUCAUUUACCUAGUGUCCUGAAUUUUAGAUUGUUGGGAUUGUUAAUGGUUUCAAACUUCGUGUAUUAUCUGACCUUAGGUUUGAAUGUUUGAGGAUGUUAAGUUUGCUUGCCUUGAUCUGCAGACUGCAACUAUCAAGAUAAUUUCUUCUUAUUUUGGCUACUAUAUCAUGCAUGCUGGAUGUGCUUUAUUUUUUUAUUUUUAAGUUCUUGAUAAGCAAUCAAUCCAUUUUUGGUUGGUACAUAGAAGAGGCUAGGAGUGAGGAAUUUGAGUUAGUAAGAGCUGCUGAUCUGUUUCUGUUUUGUGUUCUCAACUUCUUUAGUACGUACGUACGUGUGGUUCUUCAAAGGGUUAAGAUUAUCAUAUAAUAAUGGACAGAAAUCACAGAAUAGCCAAGAAAACAACACGAUGAAUAAUGUGCUUGAAGCAUAAAAAAGUUUCAAGAGUAUUCGUACCUCUAAUUAUAAUAAGGAAGUUCACUCGAUCAUGUCACUCUAAUUAUAAUUAGCAGCAUAUUGAUUCUUUUAAAUUAAUUAAUCAGUGCGUUGAACAAUACUGAUUCUCUUAACACACAUAUUGAUUAGUACUUGAGCUUUGUCUUAAUCAUAUUGAGCCAUGCAUAUAUGUAAUUUAUCAUCACUUGUUUUAGCAUGAAAUUAAGGCUUGGUUAAUUUACAAUUUCUUCAUUCCAAAGCUGGCGAUCCAUGUCCCGAUAAAUGAUGAAAUUAAGUAAAAUGUUUCUAAUGUAAUUAACGAUAAGUUACGAGAUAUACAGAAUAUAAACUAUCAUAAUGUUUCCUCAUAAUGUAGCGACCGAGUCCACUUGUUUUCUAAAUUUGCUAGCAAAUUAUAAUAGUUUUUGCGGAAAGAUCAGCAUCAUAAUUACUCGAGAUAAACAUGUAAAGAUUGUGGUUAGUUAGAGGCACGGUGAAAACACCACCGGAAAAACAAAAACGAUAUUCCGGUUAGUUAGAGGCACGGUGAAAUAGACGGUCACACACCUCGGGAAAAAACAAAACGGAUUUUGUCAGUUUGUGAUUUCCAUAUAAAACCAAAAGGAAUUUGCCUUCCUCUACUCACUCAUACACUGCCUCUCACCAGGUACUCUCUCUCUCUCUCUCUCUCAAAUUCUCAGAAGUAAAAACCGAAUCUUGCUCCACAAGUUUCAUUCUUGCUUGAUUCUUUACUGCAUUUGUGUUACCAUCUUAGCUUGAAGCUUAAUAUUUAGUUUAAUUUUCUGGGUUCUUGGUUCAAUUUCAGGAACUCCAAGAGAAAUUAAUUUACAGAAGACUCUAGGUAGGAGCCUCUCUCUCUCUCUCUCAUCUUUCUUUAUUGGCAUUUCUGAAUCUGGGUUUGCUUUGGUUCCUUCACUAACUUUGGGAUUUGAAUUUUCGAUGUGCAUUAAGUUAUCUUUGGCGAGUUUAGUACACAAAUUAUGGUCUUGUAUGAUACUUUCACAUUCAGUUUUAAUUCUUGGAGAUUAUUUUAUCUAUUCUUGAAUUUUUGAUGUGCAUUAAGCUAGUGAUUCUUUGUGAGAUGGGUAUGAAUCUCUCUCUUUCUUUGUUCCGUAGUCAAUAUUGAUUCUUCAGUUUUUGGGGGUGUAUUGAACUUUUCCCUUUUCAAGUUUAAAGACUGAUCAGUGUUCUUCUUUCUUUCAUGGGUCUCUGUUUCAAGAAAGUAAUAAUGGACGACAUAAGUAAUCAACUGCAAGGGAAGGAGCUAUAUAAGCACCAGUUUAAGCAGGAUUUCACCACACGCUUGAAUGAGCUUUUGGCUUUUGAUCCCCAGGGUGCGGUUUUAGAGGAGCAAGUAAUAGAGAUUCUGGAAGAUUUAACCAGGACGGCACUCUGGUAUGGUAGAAUAUACAUUGCCGAAGACGAGUCCGACCAGUAUGACAGAAGGUACAUUGGGUAUGGUAUUCAUCAUCCCCACCAUAAGAUUGCCCAGCAGAGGAGCUUCAUGCAGUUGCUCAGAGAGUGUGGUCCAGACUCGGAAGACGUCAGAGAAUUGCGGGACAUAGAAGAGCAAGCAACUCAUGUUGGUCUAAAGGUCUCCAAGUAUCUUAUGCAGAUGAUGGUGGUGACUAACAUAGAGGAAAGAAAGGACAUGAUGAAGCAUUUCAGAGAUACUCAGACGAUGUUGUCAUUCUUAAUGGAUGCUUUUGAAUGGGGCGAGAGAAGCAAUGAUUUUGGAGUAGUAUAUAACAGGAUCAACGUUCUUAUGAAAUACGCACACAAAGAAUUCAUCCUACAGGUUAAGACAGCAAGAAUGGCUGGUGGGAGUAUAGGAUUGAUUCGAAGCCUUCGGCUAACUUUUAACCAUAAAAUCAACCGUGAUGUAUUACUUGAUUACAUCCUUAAGGAGGUUCUUCGAGCUAUUUCUACACUGGAGUCUCUUCUGAGCUUUCCACUACUACCAGAUAGGCCAUGGUUGCUCAUAACAGAUGAAAGAUCAGUAGCUUGGCUGAAUGCGGCGGUUGUGAAUGUGGGAGAAAGGUUGACGGAAAGAAUUGGGUUUAGGGUAAGAGCACUGAUGUUAGAGAAUGCAAGGCAUCAGAAUUUCAAUAAUGUUAAUGCAUUUCUCCAUAGAGUAUUGUAUUCACCAAGAGUUGAAUUGUGGGAAGAUUUGGAAAGAGUGGUGGAAGUGAGGGCAUCCCAAUCCACGGGGCGAAUCCGACUGCAUGUCAGAGGAACAAUCAUUCGACAGUACCCGAAUAGCGCACUGAUUCGGAUCAAAGGUAUCAAGAGCAGGAACGAAGGUGAGUGGUACAUUGGAAAGCGCAUUGUCUACUUCUACAGGGCUAAUGUGAAGAGAAACGGAAGCAAGUACCGCUGCAUUCGGGGAAAGGUUACUAAGCCUCAUAAAGUCAGUGGCAUUCUUCGUGCCGAGUUCAAGUCUUUGCUCCCCAGGGAACUGUUUGACAAGAAUAGGGUACUGUUUUCAUUAUAGUAAACCAAUUGUUUGGUUUAGGGAUGGCAAUGGGUAGGGUAGGGUCCGGGGAUCAAAAUACCGUACCUAUACCUUUUUACAUUUCUCAUUCCCGUACCCGUUCCCGUACCCGUAAUUAAAUAACGGGGAUUCCCCGUACCCGUACCCUUUGGGGAUUACGUUUCCAUACCCGUACCCAUACCCGUUAACAAUUUUGUAUUAAAUUAAAAAAAAAUUUAAAUACGAAAUAAAAUUAUAUAAAAGUAUGAAAUUAAAAUCAAAUACCAAAAUAAAUAAAUACAAGUCUUGGUUAAAACAAAACAAUAUCGGUAAAUUUCAUUAAGAGAAUAAAAAUAUAUAAUAAAAAGGAAGGUCGAUCCAUUAAAUGUUUAUUAAGAGAAUCACAAAUUUUUUUUACAUUAAUAUUUAUUUAUAAAUUAUAUAUAAAUAUAUAUAUAUAUAAUAAAUAUUAUAUAUAAUAAUAUUUUCAUCCUUAAUGGGUGGGGAUGGACGAAUAUCAAAACACCAUACCCGCCCCGUAUCCGAUUUAAGAAUCCGAAUACUGGGGAUCUCCAUCCCCGUUACCCGUUUAUACCCGUAUAUCUUUCCCGUUAGGGUCGAAUACCCGUGGGUAUCCUACCCGCUGGGGAUUAUUGCCAUCCCUAGUUUGGUUUCUAUACAUUGUGUUUUGUUUUAGUUAAUCUUAUGGAUCCAUUUCUUCUGUUGUUCCUUUGUAGGAUGAUACGAAUCGUCUGGUGAGGAAGGGGUUGAGGGUAUACAUGUAUCGUGCCAGGAUCAACUACAUGGUAAAUACUGUUUGAUUAACUUAUAGUUCUACUUGAUUCUAUUUGGCAUUGUAGUGUUUGUUUGUCUAUUUUGCCUCAUCACUUAUAGUUCUACUUGUCUAUUUUGCUCAAUGUGUGUUCUUUAUUAGGGCCCUGUAUAUUUGUUAGCUCCACGUACAUUCAAAUUUUUUAUGUCAUCUUUUAACCUACUUCAUAAUGGUUUCUCUUUCUCAUGAGCCUGGUAAAAUUCCUUGCACAUUCAAUUUCUAGUGAUCAGUAAUCUAAUAUACUCUGCUUCUCCAAUCUUGGAGAACAAAAUUGCUAUUUGAAAUACAUAUAUAUAUAUAUAUAUAUAUAUAUAUAUAGAUGCAUAUAUUCUCUUUACUAAAUAGUCCUUAUUGCCUUUGCAUUUUGAAAGAUAUAGAUGCAUAUCUUGGUUUUGUCAGCUUCUAAUCCUGCUUGUUUUGCUUUUUUGUUCUUUUUCUUUUUUGCAGUUUGGUCGCAACCGACUCUUCAUUGGAGACUAAACUUGCAGUUCAUGCACCAGGGCCAUUGUCAGCUUCUAGGCUGCUUGUUUCAAUUUGUUGUAAUGGUUGUUUUGGGAUGUUAAGUUUGCUUGGAUGUAUCUGUAGCUAUCAAGAUAAUUUCACCACAUGGGAGGAAAUCCAGGAAAUGGCUAUCUUUUAUUUUCACCACAUCUAUAUGACUGGAUCUUCCUAUAUGACUAGGGUUAGUAUUUCAUUCAUUUGGGAUAAGUGGAUAACUCUUUGCGUUUAAAAUGAUGGAAUUCUUGAUUUCAAAAAAAAAAUGAUGGAAUUCUAUUGAAGUGAAAUGUCAAUUUCUUUUGGCAUUUUCAACUUCAAAAUUUGAUAAAUUUUUCCGGAAUUCGUUACAUUAUUUGGAACCCUAUUCAGUUCUUUGUAGCAUUAAAUUAAGUUACCAAAAGUAAAAUAGUAAUUUCAUUUUAUGUUAUUUCGAACGAAUCCGUAUCCUAUAGAAAAGGCCAAAGUUUAGUUGCACGAUUUGUUCACCUAUGUUCGAUCUCUCCUAAUUCCUAAACAGGUUAGUACGUAAACCCCAUUUGGUUUGAUUCUUUCAACUAUUUGUGUUGAAAUAUGAAUAUAUUGCGGAUAUGAUUAGGAAAUCCUAUUUGUAUCGAUCUGUACGUUUAUCCCAAUUAUAUGAGAAGUAGUUCUCCUUGUUAGAAACGUACUAACGAUUACCAAGCAGGGAAAUUUGCUUAUUUAUGUACCUAAUCACAGUGAUAUAUGGUUGAAUCAACUUUCAGAAGUGCACAGUAGGUAGGUUUGUCGAAACUGACUUGAAGCUCGAUUGGUCUCUUAAUUACAACAUAUGGAAGGAGGAGGAGAGCAACCUUGUCAAGCUGAAGACUUGAAUACGUCGUUCCCAAAUAAGACGCUUAUGGUUGAGGACAUCAAUCGUGUUGACUUGGGUAACAAUGAACCCACUGGAUCAAAAGAAAGAACCAUUAUGAAAAUGGUUUGCGGGUCAUUUUAUUUGUCGAAAGAACAAAGAGACCAUCCGAUUGAGGGCGACGAUGCUCACUUCAUAUGUGCAGAAAAGAACAUCAUUGGUGUGGCUGAUGGCUUGGGUGGUACUCGAAAGUAUGGCAUUGAUUCCGGAGUUUUCGCAAGGAAGCUCAUGAAUAAUGCAGCCAAGGCCGUACAUGAUCAACAUAGAAUAAUAUCCCCAGAUAGUAAUGGUGUUGAUCUGAGAAAGGCCUUGGAUGAGGCUUAUGCAAACACCAAGGAUGUUGAUGGGUCAUCAACAGCUUGUAUUGUUGCGCUUAAUAACAAAGAUGGAAAACUGCAUGCUUUGAACGUUGGGGAUAGCGGUUUCAUGUUGUUUAGAAACAAGAAGUGCAUCUUUAAGUCUGAAAUACAGGUGCAUCGUUUUAACUGUCCUGUUAAGUUGGGAAGAAAUCAAGCAAAGCAUGGUCCCCAAUUUGCUGUGGAGAUAGAACCGAUUGAUGUCAUUCCGGGAGAUGUUAUAGUUCUUGGGACAGAUGGGUUGCUUGACAAUGUGUGGCCGGAAGAAAUAGAGCAAGUUUUGGAGGUGAAUAUUAUAGAAGGUUUUGUAGAACCGGAGCAGUUGGCUUGGACUAUAGCUGAGCAGCUGGCUUUGCGGAACUCCGAGGAUGUAAAUAGGUUUAGUCCUUAUUCCUUUGAAUCUUGCAAGGUUGGGAAGGAGAGCAUAGGAGGCAAGGUCGAUGAUAUUACGGUCAUAAUAGGUCAUAUUAUCGCAACGUAGCAGUAAGACAUCGCAUUACAAUAUUUAGUUCAGUAUUAGUUUUGUGUCAUAUUUUAAACUUAGCAGGUCAUGAAACAUUUGCUAUAGAUUGAGAGAAUGUUUACAUGCAUAUUAAAAGAUCAGUGGUAUGACUCAACAUUACAAACAUCUUGAUCAUUAUUCAUAUCAGUAAUAUUAUUGUGUUCAUCUUUGCAGUGGGAGUACGCAAGCAGUAACAUCAUAAGACUUCUCCCAUAUGUGCAUACACACACGCAUCAAAAUCAUAGACCUGUAAUCAUAUAUGAUCAAAUUUUGGAGUAUAUAUUCCUUUGAAUUAGGAGUGCAUAUAUGUACGUAUAUAUGGAAGAAUACGUUUGCAUAUAUAUAAAUCAUUUGAUACAAUUAUAUGAACAUCUGAGAAUAUUACAAUUGAGAAUGUGUUAUAACUAGUACGUACAUCAGUCGAGUUCAGGACCUUUCACUAACUAAUACACUAGACCAAAUAGUCUUGGGAAAGAGGUGGGAUACUUUGUUCGUGCUUGAAAAAGUUUUGGGGAUCAACCUCGGUCUUAACACGUACCAGCCUUUCAAAAUUACCUUCAAAGUAUUUGCUUCCAUAGAGUCUAGCAAUUUUGAAGAUGGUCUGAUUAUCCAAAUUGGCCCCGAUGUCAAGAUCCCUGUAGUUUUGGAAGGCCUCUCUUGGUCGCUUGGACACAAAUGGAGUCAUCAUUUCGUAAAAUUUUCUAGAUAAGCUAAGGUACUUGUUGGUGGCUCCAAUCCCUUCUUCCUCCCAAGCUAUCUGAUACUGAAUCAUGAACAGGUUUCCGCUUCUGUGAGGGUAGGGAGUUUCCGACUCGGAAAUCUCACUCAUUCUUCCACCGUAGGGGUUCCAUUGCAUCCACAAGUUCUCUAUCUUAAGUAGAUCCUUCAAUAUGGAUUCUAUGUCUCUUUUUGGAAUUGGUUCUUUCACAAAGUCAGACCUACCUUUGAAGUUGUCUGUUGGCCCCUCAGGCCUUUCAAGUAGAACAUCUAUGGAAGUUCCAACUGGGUAAUCAGCCCAAAAUACCGUAGAUUCUACCCAACUCAUUUCAAUGCAAUCUGUUUUCUGCAACCCCAGUUCAGGAAGACUCCCAUUUAUCAAUGUAAGAAGCUCAUCCCUUUGUCCCAAGAAGAAACCAAUGAAUGACACUUCCACUGCCUUGUUACCCAAGCUAGUGUUCAAAACUUGAGGCAUUGCUCUGAUGAAGAUUUCUUUAGGUAGCUUAGGAGCGACAUGUUGCCACCGGUAAAGAAUAUCUGUAGCGCCUUGCUCAAGGGUCCUUCCGAUAUUGAAUACAGUCACUUUCGCUGGCACUGGGAGCAGCUUUAUCUUCCAUGACAAAAUGACACCAAAGCUUGCUCCACCGCCACCUCUAAUGGCCCAAAAAAGAUCUUCUCCCAUAGACUUUCUAUCAAGAAUUGAACCAUUCAAAUUAAUUAAUUUAGCAUCUUCAAUGUUAUCCACCGUGAGCCCAUAUUUUCUCAUCAUGACACCAUAGCCACCGCCACUAAAAUGACCACCAACACCAACAGUUGGACCAGCUGCAGCUGAAAAUCCAUGAACUUUACUUUUCUUUGCGAUUUCAUAGUAAAGUUCACCAACAGUAGCCCCAGACUCAACCCAAGCACUCUCAUCAGCGACAUCAACAUGAAUGGCUCGGAGAUGAAACAUGUCAAGAACAACAAAGGGGACAUGAGACACAUAAGAUAAACCCUCGUAAUCGUGGCCUCCACUUCGGAUUCUGAUCUGCAAACCAUGCCGCUUUGCGCAGAUCACUGUGGCUUGUACAUGGGAUUCGUGCUUGGCUGUCACAACAGCCAACGGUUUCGGAGUUGUAGGGGUGUGAUAUCUGCCGUUUCUGACGUAUGCCAAAAGAACGGAUUCAAAAGUGGCAUUUUGUCGACUGUAAAUGGCUUCAGAGAUUGAAUAGUUGGAGUGAGAUUGGUCUGGAAGGCAUUUCAGGAAGUUUUCGAUAAUAGGAUUUGAAGUAGUUGAGAGCCAAAGGGUUGAAAGUAUGCAGAGAACUACUGCUACAGAAUAACUUGGUAACUUCAUUAGCGUUUGUAUCAUAUCUUUCCAGUAGUGCUGGUUUUUGGCUUUUCUACGUACAAGCCUAGCUUAUUUAUAAGAUGAAGAGUGUUCAUCAUCCAUAUCUCAUUUACUGGGUAAUAGCUAGGUAUUGUCAAAAUCCUUGGCCUGGAUUUGCAGAGAUAAGAGACGUACGUAUGGUUGGGUUUCUUGCCGACUUUGGUUUUCCACAUUCCUCUUCUAAAACCCAAAUCGUGUACGGCUAAUAAUCUGUUUGAUAUCCUUCCUUUCAAUAACUUGAUUAGCAUGAGUUGAAAUUAUGGCUCAAUGAUUGAAACAAUUGACGUGCAUAUAACGAAAGAAGAAGUUUAGUCCUAAUUCGUUUUCUCAUAUAACAAAACAAUGCAUGAGUACGUACUUAAAAAUGAUCCCGAUUUAAGCUAGUUAACCAAGCUCCUCUUCAUGCUCGGGUUUUUGUAGACUUUGUGUGUGUAUAUUAGUUUUUCAUUACAAUCAAGUAGAAUAUCAGACAAUUCAAAGAUAUUGAAUAUUCUUACUAUCUUCCAACUUAUCAAAAUUUUCUCAGUUAAAUACUAACUACAUGAAUAUCAUUGUUUAUAAGUAAGUAAACGGAGAUUUUAGUCAUAUUAAUAUGUGAAAAGGUGGAACUACAAGAAUAAAUUUCGUAAUUACACUCCUUACAUGUAUAAAUCUUGGAGUGGUAUAUGAGAUUUUGCAAGUAGUUAUCAAGAUGACUAAAAGCAUACGUAACAGGUUACAUGUAAACCCAAGUUGCUCAUCAUGAGAAGCCCAACUAAUUAAGCAAAUUACUUUCAUUUGUGGAAUUGAAAUUUUUCUUUGUCAUAUGCUGAAAUUCAAAUAAUUCGACUCAAAGUGUGAUCGUAUGAGUUGAAAAUGUUUCAUAAUUCUCAUUUUCCUGUUGAAAAAUUUCUUGCUUGUUUCAAACACCUCUACAAUUUGUUUUUCUUUUAUCAUCCAUACUUUUACACCGUCACAUACCAAAGCCUGUCUAUGUACGCAGUGGCUGUUGGAAAAUUGGGAAAUAUAGGUCAAUGGGUUAUGGCAAUUUGAAAGAGUUUAUGCUUCAAGACACGUUGUAGCAACGUUAUCUUUCAAACUAUAUUUGCUCCCACUACUUGUGUGCAAAAAGGGUUAAUGCAAAUAAGCCUAUGGAUACAAUGAAGCCUAACAAUCUUGCUAUUGUUGAUCGGCGUCUUGCACUUACGAUGAUCAACCAACACUCAACUGAAGAUUUUCAAGAGACUCAAGGUUGCUAGAAACUAUAUCUGCAGAUUUAUAGUUUCUAGAUUUUACUGAUGUUAAAGAAGUGUAGAUGAAGAGAAUGAUUUAGGAUUAGAGAAGAAGAGAAACAGGUUUUUCUGAUCUGCCAAUAUGCAGAGAACGAUAUGUAUAUAUAAGAGUAGGAGCUCUUCUAGUGAGGACCCUUAAGUUGGGAACUUGGUGAGGACUUUUCGGUUUAUGGUUUAAUAGACCCAAUUUUCGAUCACAUUUUGACAUCUUAUCCGUUCAGUUUUUAGGUUUAUAUGAGUAGAUCAUUUCUACAAAUUUUCACUCAGAUUGGUGUUCGUUAAGAUAACAAACUAGAUCAAAUUAAUAGACGAACCAAAUCUGUCAAAUAUGAACCGUUCAAGUUCAUAAUUGAUAAAUCACACUUAUGAAUGUCUUAAUAAUUUUCAAUAUAGUUGAAAAUUUGAAGAAAUGAUCUACUCAUAAAUACCUAUAAACUGAACGAUCAAGAUAUAGAUAUAAGAUCGAAAUGUGGGAUAAGCCGAAAAGUCCUCACCAAGUCUUCAACUUAAGGGUCCUCAUCAAGUCUUCAACUUAAGGGUCCUCACUAAAAGGGCUUACAUAUAAGAAUAAUUAUGUCUUUUCAAAAUACUACAUACCUCUUCAUAUUGUGUUAUAAUUCUUCAGCUAGAGUUAUCUAUAAUUGCCAACAAUCAUAUAUGUAUUUGAGUUCAGAUUCACAUAUACAACAGCAAUUGAUAUGAUACUCCUUUUCAAUAUAUACAUGUCUCUUGGCAAUAAAUACAUACCUCUUGGUUUCAUGCAUAACUACAUAUACCGUUUCACAAUUCUUCUUUUUAUAAUUUGAAAAAUCUCUAACAGUAGCGGAUUCAAAAACUAUCGUCCGCCAAGGCAACUAUACGUUUUGCAUUCUUUUUUUUUUUUUUAAUAUUUUUUUUCUUAUGAAACGUAGUCAGAUCAGCAUCAUUUUAAUAUGUAUUAAGAAAAAAGGACGCCUGGAAGUCGCAUCUUCUUCCCCAAAUUCGCAACUUCCGGCAAUCGGGUAAGAAACAAGAAGUUGAUUUGAACAUUCAACUAGAAAUAGAAUAGAAAAGUGAAAAACGUGAAAAAUACAGUCAAUACCCACGUCAUUAAAUCACAAAGAACCAAAUGGACGUGGGGCCUGGGGGCACAGAGCACGACCGUUGCAAUAAGCCUCCUCCCUCGUACCAAGACACAUUCAAAUUUCAAAAAUUCAAACUCAAACCCUUGAGAGUGAGACUGGACACUAAUAAAGCAAAGCUGCCACUUUUCAAGCUAUAACCUUGGAAUCGGAGCUUCCAGUAAAACAAACAAGUUCAGAAAGCUCCAUUUCAAGCUUUAAUCUUCAAAGUUCAAAUCUUCCGUCCUAAACAAUUUGAACUAAGCAGCUAGCUCAGUGUGUUUCUAUACCAACCCAUGCUUCAAAUUCUGACCAAACUUUGAGCCAUUUGUUGUAGACAAUUUGGGUUUUCACAAUGAGAGAAGAGAACCCAUCUGAGACCAGAGCCAGAGCAACCAAGUUUUCUGACCAAAACCAGGCACCAAGGUCUCAAAACACAAAGGGCAACAGCAACACAUCAAAACUGAAGUCUGCUUCUUCAUGGGGAUCUCACAUAGUCAAAGGGUUCGGAGGAGACAAGAAGACGAAAGUGCUAAACGCAGUGACGAGCAAGAAGCCGCCGUUAAUGGGUUGCGAUUUGUCGAAUCCGAAACCUCAGUUGCCAUUAGCCCCUGCUCAUUCAUCACGAGUCAAGCGUUCGCUGAUCGGAGACUUGUCUUGCUCAGUCAACAAUGCUAAUCAGAUGUACCAGACCCACCGGAGACAGUCUUCGCGGGACUUGUUUCUCGAGCUUGAUCACUUGAGGAACCUGCUGCAGGAUUCGAAAGAGAGGGAGUUUCAGCUGCAGGCUGAGCUUUCGGAAUGUAAGAGGAAUCCGAGGGUUUUGGAGCUGGAGAGGGAGCUGGAGGCGAAAAGGAGAGAAUUGGAUGGUGUGAUGAGGAAAGUUGAGGUGCUGGAAGAGGAGAAGGCUAGUCUAGCUGAGCAAUUAGUGUCGAUUUCGGAGAGGAGUGAAGAGGUGUUGAAGAGGGAAGACCAGGAAUGUGGGGUGGUUUCAGCGUCAGGAAGUGUGGAGAUGGAGGUUUUAGAGUUGAGAAGACUCAACAAGGAGCUACAGCUUCAGAAAAGAAACCUUGCUUGUAAACUUUCCGCUGUGACAGCCCAAUUGGCUUCUCCAGCAAAACCUUCUGAGGUACUUGCUUGCUUUUAAUUUCAUUGAUUACUUAAAUUUUGUGAUUGGUUCUGUAUAUGUUAGUAUAGGUUGAUUUGUUCUUGGUUAUUAAAAUUUGUGUUGGUUAUUAUCAGAGUGACAUUGUUGAGAAAAUCAAAGCCGAGGCGUCUAUGUUAAGGCAUACAAAUGAAGAUUUGUGCAAACAAGUUGAGGGGUUACAGAUGAACAGGUUGAAUGAGGUUGAGGAGCUAGCAUACCUUAGGUGGGUCAAUUCUUGUUUAAGAAAUGAGUUGCAGAACUCUGACAAGCUGCAGAGUCCAAAUUCGAUUGAUAGGAGUAGUAAAUCAGCUGGGGACUUGUCGAGUAGGAGCAAUGACUACUUGGAAUUCAAGAGUGUGAAGAGAAUGAAUUUGGUAAAGAAGCUGAAAAAGUGGCCUAUUGCUAAUGAGGAUGUGCCUAACCUGGAAUCAUCCCCAGAUGAGCUCUUGGAUAAAAGUUGGGUUGAUUCAGAUGAAGGAAGAAGUCCUAGAAGAAGACACUCAAUCAGCGGAUCCAAGUGCUUUGCAGAAGAGCUGGUGCUGUCUAGUAAGAGAAGGCAAUCCGAUGGUUUUAUGUGCCCCCCAGAAAUUGAGAAGGAUAUAGAGCCAGUGGCUUCUCAAAAAUAUGAUUUGGGAAUGCUCCAAUGCCAUGAAAUCCAUAAAAUUCCGGCUUCGUUUGAUGUUGAGAAAAGGGCAUUGCGCAUUCCAAAUCCCCCUCCUAGGCCUUCAUGUUCUAAUUCUAGUGGAACCAAAGUGGAUGAGUCUAUGAAAGUGCCGCCACCACCGCCUCCGCCCCCUCCACCUCCUCCAAAGUUUGCAGCAAGGACUAAUACUGCAGGAACGGUGCAAAGAGCCCCACAAGUAGUUGAGUUCUAUCAUUCACUCAUGAAAAGAGAUUCCAGGAAGGAUUCUUCAACUGGAGGAAUUUGUGAUGCACCAGAUGUUGCCAAUGUUCGUAGUAAUAUGAUUGGAGAAAUUGAAAACCGAUCAUCACAUUUGCUUGCUGUAAGUUGCUUGCACACCUGAUUGUUUGAUUUUGUCUGUUUGAAGUUUGUUUUCCGCUCAAGCUGUCUUUUUCCUGUCAUGAGUAGUUCAACUUCCUAGCUGAUUCUUUGCCAAUUAAACUCUAUCAAACUGCUGAAUGCUAAAAUUUUAGAAUAUAUAACCAGCAAAUAUUUGUUCUAGAAACAAUGAGAUGGAAUAGCACAAGACUUAAUAUAGAAGUCAUGGGUAGUGAUGUAGUGCAAGUCCUUACUAAUUGAUCACCAUUUUCUAAUGCAGAUAAAGGCAGAUGUUGAGACUCAAGGAGAAUUUGUAAAUUCACUGAUAAGAGAGGUGAACAAUGCUGUAUAUCAUAGCAUUGAAGAUGUUGUGGCUUUUGUAAAGUGGCUCGAUGACGAACUUUGCUUUCUUGUAAGUUGGUCUCUGUUAUGAAUCAUAACCAUAAAUCUAUUUAAAGUUGUAUCUGCAAGUUAACUUGCCUACUUUAGUACACAGUUGGAAGUGUUCAAAUGCUGACAGGAUACUAGCAUGAAUUAGGCAAAUAUAAAUGUCAUUCAUGAAGGAACUUAACAACAAAACUUCCAGUUUGUAAUUGAUCUGCAAAUUUUUCAAUGUUACCAUAUGUCGGAUCUGCUGACUCCUGGUUAUUAUGCUUUGCUUAUGUUGAAGGUGGAUGAAAGAGCAGUCCUAAAGCACUUUGAUUGGCCAGAAAAGAAAGCAGACACACUGAGAGAAGCAGCAUUUGGCUAUAGAGAUUUGAAGAAACUGGACCUUGAAGUGUCUUCUUUCAAAGAUGAUACUCGAACGCCAUGUGAUAUUGCGCUCAAGAAAAUGGUUGCCUUGUCUGAGAAGUAUGCAGCAAUUUUCAGAGCUUUUUCCAGCAAGUAAUACAUGUCAUCUAGAGAAACUUAACAAGAUUUGUCUUACCUCUCACAGGAUGGAGCGUACAGUUUACAACAUUCUCCGAACAAGGGAGUCCUUGAUGCGUCAUUGCAGGGAUUAUCAAAUACCAACAGACUGGAUGCUUGACAAUGGCAUUUUAAGCAAGGUAGACUUUAUUGUUGCCUUUAACAGAAAGCCAAACGCCUUUCUCACAUUUUCAUUUCAUCUAAUUCAAAGCCAACUUCUGUAGAUAAAAUUUGGCUCAGUCAAGCUAGCAAAGAUGUAUAUGAAGAGGGUGGCUAUGGAACUACAGUCAAAGGCAGCAGCAGAGAAAGAUCCUGCAAUGGACUAUAUGCUGCUUCAGGGAGUGAGAUUUGCCUUCAGAAUUCAUCAGGUUAGUUAGCAUAAGAAGAAAGUCCUUGUGCUCAUUCUUUCGAAUUUUGGGGUAUUUAUUUUUUUUAUUAUUUUUCAAAUGUAGAAGAUUGAGACAUAUUUCUUGUAUGAUAUGCAGUUUGCAGGAGGUUUUGAUGCAGACACAAUGCAUGCAUUUGAGGAACUUCGCUACCUUGCCCAUCUUCUUAACAAAAAGUAAAGAAAAGUAGAAAUAAUUAUGGGAACAAUUAUUUUUGGCUUACAAUAUGCAGUAGUGCAUUAGAUGGGAACACUUUUUUGCUUACCAUCUCAGUAAGCUUCAUUGGGAAAUAUGUAUAUCUUUCAUAGUAAGAAGCAACGUCCUGGUGAAGUUCUGUGUUCUGUGAAAAAUAUAAAGAUUAUGUUAAUACUUCAAAAUUUACCUGAAGGAAAAUUAGAAACACCUUGAUGAAAACGAAGCGUAUUAAUUCUCACACAAGAACUAUGCAAGUUCAUUACAAUGCAGUGUUGACACUGAAAUGCUAUAUAUUCGAUAAGGUGGGUAGACGUAGGGUCAUUUGACAAGCAACUACUUAGAGAGCUUAGAGAUUGUGACAAAGGUGGUUGAGGUAUCAUGGUGGUGGAUGACUGGAUGUGGCAGACAGCAAAGUAUUGGUUGAUAUAGCAGCAAGGCCAGCAACCGAUUUCUUUGACACUAAAUUUAGAGAACUAUGAGUUAGAUAGCAAGUUACAGACUGAAGUAGCGUUCAAGGUUAAUCUGAUAUUCAAGUCUCCAAUAAUAAGGUAGUAGCAGCGAUACUAAACUCUUAUGUUAGUAAGGUUUGAGAAUGUUUUGCGUUAUAAGCUUGCAGACAUCACAAAAUUUUGAUCCAAAAUACCAAAGAUGUAUACAAAAAUUUGAAAUAACCAAGUAUCCAGUUAAAGAAAAGAAAAUUGACUCCAUAUGAUGCUCAGAUGCUGCUAUUUGGAAAAUUGCCCAAACAAACUCAAUACUCAUUUUCAGUUAACUAUUCACAUUUGCAUAAAUGCCUGAUUUUGAAAUAUUUCAUUGUCAAACUUCGUAUAAUCUUACAAAUGAAACUUUCCACAAUUGUGAUAUUCUCAAGCCCUAUAAUGCCUCGUUCAAUCUUCUCCUCGAUCUUUUCCAUACUGCAAUCCAUCGGGCCAAGAAGAACUGUAUGCUGCAGAAAGGAAAAUGUCAAAGUUAAUUACAUGUGAUAUCAAUCAAAAUCCAUGUUUGUUGGCUGGGUUUUCUCAGUGUAAAAUGGCUUUGAAAGAUCUGACUUACAGAAAAGUACUUGUAAUUUUGAAGCCAUUAACACAGAGCCUGCCCCAACAAACUAACAAGAUUAUGUCAAUUGUUACAACCUUUCCUACAAGUCCCGUAGGUUUAUAUAUCAAAGCUCAAAAGUAGCUCUAGUCACUUCUACAUUCACCUACAUCCACAUAAGCAACCACAUAAGCAAUUGAUAAAUCUAACAUAAGUACUACUUCCAGUAACACAUAUUAUGGUGGAUCUGCAUAGGGGUUUCAGAAUCUAGUGUGGUGCACUGGAACUAUAUAGGCCAAUACCCAUAACAACUUCCAUUUGUAAUAACCAAAUAUAACAGUAACCUCUGGCAGUGUACAAACUGGAAUUUUAGCCAAAUAUGUGGAUAUAUCAUAGAUUCAUAGGAGUAGAAAAACUGGACUUGGGACAAAACUAAACCCGUGAUGAAUUGAAUAAAAGGUCUUGUUAGGCUGCAAAGCAGAUCUUGUGCGAUCAAUACAAAAAGAAAGAAGGAGCCCUCUGCAAAGAAACCCUGAAGUCCUAUUAGACAGCCAUACAAGACUAACUAGUGAGAUAUCCCUUAAGAUGCUCAUAACUAUAAUUGAUGAUUCUUGAAACUGUCUACUAAGCAUAAAUAAAGAUUACCUGCAUUUGACCUAUUUAAAUUCAGAAUCUCUUAUUCAUCCUUACUGGUAGCAUUGAUCAUCUAUAGUUGAGCCGAAAUGAAAACUUAGUUUCUAGCUUCAUAGAAGUCUAAUGCCUCACAGGGCAGCGGCUUGAGAACUCCCUUAUUUUGGCCUAAAUAGACUAGAAAACUAUUAUCAUUAGUCACUGCUGCACAGAUACAAGGAUAAACAAGCAUGUGGACAUGAAGCUUUUGCAAUUUGGAAUAAUCUACCUAAUCCGAGGACCAAAAAUGACACCUUAAACUAGGGCCAUGGAAGCCUCUUGUUUCAAAUCACCUCUUGCAUCCACAAUGCUCCCUACAUACUCCUCACAUCUCAUUCAGAAACCCCUAUCACACAUUUCUCUAAAAGCCUAAUGGUUUCAGGUCCAUCUCCAACUUUCUCAAAAAAAACAAAAAAAUAAAAAAAAAAAAAAAAAUUAAAGUAUUCGGGAAACAGUCCGAAACACUUCCUCUCUUGGUCUAUUUAUGAUAUUGACUCUAGUCAAAAUGAUAAUUCAGAAACUAAUCAAAGAAGAAUAUCAUAUCGCAAAUCAGAACCUAUCACAUUAUAUAUAAAAAACCGAGAGAUGACAUUGGACUUUCAGUAGUCUAGGCGACCAUCAAUUCAAUCACGAAGCUUUGCAUACAGAGUAGCAAUGCACCAAAUCAACUCUAACAACAAAUCUCCACAAUCCAAAUUACAACAAGAGAGCCCAAUUAAGCUACCCCAAAUUGAAAAAACUAAAAUCAAUCAGAACUAACUCAUGGGUGGGAAGCUUUCAAUUCUAACAAUGACAAUGCAAUUCACAACCCACCACCAAAUCAAUUCAGUUCACAAAUACUAUUCAACAUCAACUAUUGCAGGAAUGUAAAAAGUAAUAAGAGUAUCAAUGAAUUCUAAGAAACACAGAGUAAAGUUCAAAGCUUUAUGAAUCACCAUUGCAAUAACUCCCCAACCCACUUCAGAUUCAGCACCAAAUUCAUAGCGCGCAGCUGCAAACGUAGCUUAUAACACGAAACGAAGCCAAAACAGCAACGGCGAUGUAAGCAAAACACCACACUCCAACCGCAAACAGCAAUUUCAGGACGUCACCGUCAGCCAUAAAACACCAUUCACAUCUGGGUCAUCAAAUUUUCACCGGGUAAAUACACUAGCAAUAAAGAUUGAAACUUUAACAGAAUCCAACUCCGAUUGACCAAACAAAAGACUUGGGUCGCAAUGAACUUACGUCAAAUUGCUAUGGACGGGUUAAAGAUUUGGUCUUUGAUAUGAUUGAGUUGAGAAGCCAAAGGUUGAUGGAGUUGCAAUGCAGGGAGGAGUAGAGAGUCAGAGUUGGAGAGGUAAUUUUGUACAACAGAAAUUAGUUUAUGGAGUGUGGAGGAGAAUGAGAAUUGGCCCAGGAAUAGCCCAGUCAAGCCCAACAACUUGCUUCUGGAUCAAGUCUUUUUUGAUUAUGUGAUGAGUUUCAUAGGGCAACUAGCCAAGUAGUGAUGAGCUUUUGGUCUUUUUUAUAUUUAGAAGAUAUGAUAAACAUGAAUUAGAAGUCCCCUCGUGUUACAUGCGCUAUAAUUAGAAGAUUAAAGUGCAAGAUUUAGAGAUGAUCAGUGUGGGGAUCAUUGUUUAUAGACCUUGUGAUUGUGUUUGUUCACGUAUAUAUGAGAUAUAAAGAGAUAACGAAGUACCAUUAGGUAAAUUAAGUAUCUUUGCGACUUCUUUUUUGGUAAACAAGCUAUCAAUUGAAGAGAGCAGAACAAAGGUUAGAAAGGCAAAGACUGAAAGACCUCAACCAAAGUCGUCCCCCUCCACCAAGCACAAACUAAACUAAUGGGGGAACAGGAGCGGCAUCGUACAUCAAAAUAUGAGUCAAGGAAAGAGGAGUAUUGAAUACCCAAUUCGGGGCUUUGCAACUCUAUUAAACGCCGAUGUUCUUGAAAGAUUAUAUUCUUCAAUGAAAAAAGUUCAAUGAUCAUGUUGUCUGUUGAAAGCAUGUGAAAUAUACUAACUUAGGUAUCUCUGAAGGCAGAGGAGGACGCUGAUACAAUUAGAGGUUAUGAAAAAAUAGGGGCAAAAAUUGGAAAUAUAUGAUAACAAAAAUGUGUAAUGGGUUUUUUAAAGAUAUAUAUCAGCUGGUUCAUCUAGCAUAGUAGCAAGAGACUAUAGUUUGUGUUAGGAUAUAGCCAUAUAGGAUAUAACCUAUUUACCUCACAUUUGUCUUUAUCAUUUGUUUGUCCCUUUUUGCUAAAACAUUGCAAUGCUCAGUCUGAAAAUUGGAAUCAGUUAUCAUACAUUGCUUCUUCUACCGAACAUUAUUUUGGUAUGGCGAGGUCAGGUCACGUUAAGUUGUUUUCAUACACGUUUACACACAGUAAUAUACAGCAUAUAUAUGUCAUCAUUUUCAUUGUUUUGAAAAUUCAAAAGCUACGAUUGACGUGAGUGUCGCAACAAAAUUUGUCUUCUUGGGUGUGAGUGUGACACAGACAGCUUAAUUCGUCUAAACCCUACAGUUCUUGCACCAAAUUGAAAACCUUUGCGCAAAGACAAUCAUCCAAUAUUGCAAUUUCUAUGAACCACAUCCAUCGUUUUACAGGGUCUCAAAAGCACAUGAGGAUGAAACCCUUUUAGGCAUACACCAAGACUCUCCACUAUUCACUGUUCAUCACUGUUCCAGCUUGUGAAAUAGAAGUGAAACCCUAAAACCAAAACAAGGGAUUUGCAGCUGAGAUCUUGGUGACCCACGUGAAAAGGUCCAGUGCUGGGUACCUAAAUCUGGCAAGCAACAAUGUAAAGUGGCACUAGGGUUAGUGUCCUUUCUGAUCUAUGAUCGACCAAUUCAAUUGGAAAAAUCAGAACCAGAAAAUAAGAGAGGGGAAAAAAAGAAAAAGAGGACGGAACAUCGAGUGCCCUAGUGUUAUCGGAUUUGACAUGUUUGACAAGAUGGAACAAUGCCCCCACCUUCUCCUCCUCCUCCUCCUCAACUCUACUCUACUCUACCCAAUUAUUCAUUCAUCUAUAUUCAGUGCUCUACAAUAAAUAAGAUUCAAAGCAGGAAGCAACAAAGUCUCUGGGGUUGCCACUGCACUGUCAAUCAAUAUGAGUGAUCCGUGUGUGUGCACUCUAAUCAUGCUGGGAUAUUUUUGAUUACCUUUACCUCCACAAAUGCUUCUUUUUUGGAUUCUCAUCUACAUGCCUAGUUUUACCUUUUACCCUCUCUUUGCUUUGUUCUUGCUUAAAGGUAAAAACUCUUUCUACUGUGGUGUGAUUCAUAAUGUUACUUAUCUGAUCAUAAAGGUUGAUAAUUCCUAUCUAAUGGUGCACAACGUAUAUAUUACCAGUUGUGUUCCAAAAUUAGAAUUGUUCAUCGGUUGAUACUUGAUAGUGAAAUAAAAGGAGGCUCUCACAACACAUGAGUGACAUGACUAAGAAAUAAUUUUCGAUAGAAAACACAUCACUAGGAAUUGAGUUGUAAAUUUAAGUAUUAAUAUUUCAUGUCAAAAUUCAGUAAGCUAGAUCUCAUAUUAUUCGAUAUGAAUAGUCAAUCGAUAAAGUAUGAUUUGCCAAAUCAAGGAUGCAUUCCAUGACUCAAAUAAUCAAAAUCGAAAAACCAUGCAUGGUUAAGAUUAUUCAGAAAUUCCGAACACAUUUAAAAGUAUAGUUUCCUCCACCAUUCUUUUGCACAAAUUUGUUUUGUGAACCUAGCUAAACAGUUGACCCUUGUAAGAAAUGAUCGACCAAUUUACACACAAAAGUCAUCGGCUCAAAACUACAAAAUUUAGAGGACAAUUUACCUUGUAUUAUUCAUUUGGCCUCAUUAGCAUGGGUGUAUUAGUUUAAUAUUAGUCCCUUGUAAACAUACGACUCCUAUCUUAUCUGCCUAACCAAACCUUAAACAGUCAAAAAAGUCUUUUGGAUCACAAAAUGUACUGUGCGGGGGCAGCAGAAGGCCGAAAAGCCUUAAAUUGCCUCACCAAAAUGGCAAAAUUAGGUCACAAAAUGUCUCCACCAACAAGUCACAGUCCCAUUGCCUAAUCAGACUUACAGAUAUUUAUUUAUCAGGUUUUUGCCUCUAUGCUUAUUUCUAUUUCACAAAAAAGCAAAAAUUAAAGGUCCUGGCUUCGUACAUGACCGAUUUGACGUUUUUGGAAGUGAUGAGAUUCAAACUGUCAUCGCUUUGCGAUCGGGCCCUCCCUCCCCCCUCCCUCUGUCUCCUUCCUCCAUGGCCCUCUCUACCUUCCUCCUUCACUCCUCUCUCUCUCUCUCUCUCUCUCUCUCUCUCUCUCUCUCUCUGAAAAUAAUGAAUUCUAGCUUCUCUCCCUUGCCCGGCCCCUACUUUAUAUAUUCUUAGUUUCUUACACGUCUAUAUAUCUCUCCCCCAUCAAUAACUCAUCUAUCUCUUCCUAUCUUCCUUCCUUCCUAGCUUCACCCAAAACUCAAAGCCAUUUUCUUCUCUUCUCCCAGAUAUAUCAUCCAACCCUAACACAGAUCCUACACAACUUCGUUUUUGUUUUAACAUGUCAGCAGCGGCGGCCGCGGCGGCUGCAGCGGUGGUGGUGAGCCGUUCGAGCUCCAGCAACAGCAGCUCGAGCCCUGAGACCUACCACCACCUGCAGCAUCACCAAGCGUUCAUGGCGGCACCUUCGCUACCGGUGGCGCCUCAGCUGAGCCGUUACGAGUCGCAGAAGAGGAGGGACUGGAUCACUUUCGGGCAGUAUCUGAAGAACCACCGCCCGCCGCUGACGCUCUCCCGGUGCAGCGGGGCCCACGUGCUGGAGUUUCUGAGGUACUUAGACCAGUUCGGGAAGACCAAGGUCCAUGGGAGUGGCUGCCCUUUCUAUGGGCACCCUAACCCUCCGGCACCGUGUCCUUGCCCUCUGAAACAGGCGUGGGGGAGCCUGGACGCGCUCAUUGGACGGCUGAGGGCGGCGUUUGAGGAGAACGGUGGGCUGCCGGAGACAAACCCUUUCGGCGCACGCGCCGUGAGGCUGUACCUGAGGGAAGUGAGGGACACGCAGGCCAAGGCUAGAGGGAUUGCUUAUGAGAAGAAGAAGCGAAAGAAGUCACUGCCACCACAAGGAACACAACUGCUGCAGCAUGAGCAGCGAGGGCAACGUGGUAAUUUUGUUUCAGGUUACGGUGGUGCUGAGGCUGGAGCUGCGUUAGGAGUUGGAGGUGGCUCAGCUCAGCCAAAUGGGGUUAUGCUUGGUGGAGCUUCGUCUACUGCUGCAAGAGGAUCCAUGAUGCCGCUAUCGGUGUUGAACUGCUAAGCUACUUAGUACUGUCCUAUGAAUCACCUGCCUUUAUAUAUUCUGUGGUAAUUAGCCUUUAAAUUCUUAGCGGAGAAUGAAUAUUAGGUCUUUAAUUAGCUCUUGUUCAUGUUGUUUUUCUUAACUGAUUCUUGAUCAGUGGAACGUGAAAGGCAUUAUCAUAUGGCUAAGUAUGCAGAAGCUCUAAGUAAAAUCUAAGUAUUUCUUUUUUCUAUUUAGAUCAUUUGUUCGAAGAAAAAUGAACUUAUAAUUGAACAGUCAAGAGAGCUAGUUAGUUGAAAGGUAUGAAAUUCUGAUGCAUUGCAGCAUUGGCCUUCCCGAGCAAGUAAAGGAGCUACCUCGUUAACAAAAGGGAUUAAGGAAGGAAACAUGUAGAGCAAAAUAGAGAAGCCAUGAUUAUGGAAGCAAAUAGAAGUCCCUCCUGCAGAGCAUGGAACUUGGCAUGCUUUGGCCUUUAGAGAAGAGAUCGUCGGCAAGGAUCUAGACGACAUGGCUGGACACUAAGCUCCUAUCCGGAUCUCAGAAAACAUUACCGGAAUUCUGGGUGUUCCAUAUUGUUGACAAUUCAAACUAAAAACAGUCCCCUGUUCAAAAAAAAAAAAAGAACUAAAAACAGUCCGUUUAAUAUACAAUAUCACUUCGAAAGCUUAAGCUUUGGAAACCCAAGAAAAAUUAAGUCUCUUCUUGAAGAAAGAAUGUACACGAGUAUUGUAACCAAAAAAAAAAAACGUACACGAGUAUGAACUGUACGUAUGAUCCUAAAACUAAAUAGAAGUGCAACUGUGCAAGCCAAUAUUAUUUGCACAGGGGAUUUCGAAACCCUAGAAAAUAAUUGAUCCUGACCUCGAAGGUAUAUCAUUCAAUUUGGUAUUGUUUCUUUGUAGAGGACGAGUACAUGUGUUUAUGCUGUAUAUAAAUUUCAUAUGUUUUAGAGUACACGACUAGAUCGAGAAGGGUAGGCAGAGCUUCACUCGCUAUGAGCGAUGAAGGGAGAAAGCCAUCUACGAAGCUUUGCAUCUGAGAUUCGUUGGCUUCCCGGCCUCUACCCGAAACUUCAACCUAGCUAGUGGCUUUGGUAGACACUAAUGGUACGGUCGUUUGAUAUAGUAAUAUGAACUUUACAUCUGAAAGUAAAGUAAUCUGAUAUUCAUUGCAUGCUUCUCUCUUUUUUGACAGAAAUGAAUAAUUCAUUAAUGAAGGGUCAAACCAAAUUACAAUGUCUGCAAACGCGAGGCUGAUAAUCAAAUAAUUAACAACAAAAAGCAUGGUUUCCAACUCAAUAAAACUAGAAAGAAUGAGAGGAGACCAAACGCUCGCUAACUUAUGGGUCGGAGACCCUACAUGCUUCUCUCUUAAUUCAGAAUGUGUCCUUGUGGUUUUUGUACAAUAUACCUCUUUGAGCGAAUGUUAAGGGUAGGUGUUCGUGUGAUAAAGUAAUACUAAUAUCAACUUCAUAUUCAAGACUAAUUGGUGAUAUGAAUGACUUAGGAUCCUUAUACAUGUUCACAUUCAUACACGUUGACAACUUAAAUUAUGUGUCGUAGAACCUUUGUGGCCACAAGCCAUGCACACGUGGAACAACGUUAUUCUACAUGUGGUAUAGCGAAAGCAUAAUAUAUUGCAACUGGGGCGAAAACUACAAGGAUUCUUUUUGAUAAUAAGAGGUCCCUAGUUCGAACCACAACUUGCAAAAAACAUUCCUUAAGGAGAGGUUAUAUCCCUCGAGGAUAUGUUGCUCACAUAUCCACCAUUUAUGUGAAAAAGAUAAAAUAAGGAAAAAAUAGUGAUCGAUCAAAGAGGAAGCAAAAAUAAUUACAAAAAGUAGCAGUUACGAACUUGCGAUGAUAGUUAGCUAUAAAUCCUAUAAUUGUAAAAAAAAAUCAGUAACAUUGUAAAGCGUUCGAAACAAGAGUAGUUUAGUGUUUAAGCACAAUAAUAAUCCGUGGCGAUGUUUUAUAUGAGAGAAAUUUUAAAUACACACCCCUAAUCUCUUAAUACACACCUCUAUUAUUUUAUGUUUCUAUUGAGAUUUUAUAGGUAAGCUAAAUGACCAAAACAAACAACUAUUAUUUUAUAUAAAAAAAAUAAAAUCGCGGUAGAAGUAUUCUUUUCAACAUCUUCUACCCUAAAAUCGUCGAAAACACGUCUUCUUCCCUAACCCCAACUCUUCUCCACAAUUCAUUUGGGUUGUCUUUUUCUUCUUCUUUAUUUUUUUAUUUUUUAUCUGUAUCAACUUUAGUUUGAUCUUGCAGAUCAUGUUGUCAAGUACUGCAUCUUUAUCAUGACAUGUUUUAUCGAAUAACUAGCUAUCUAUGUUUAAUAGCUACUAUACUUCUACAAUUCUAGUAGCUUGUAAAUUUUGAAAAUUUGUAUUGGUGAUUUGAAGUUGGGAUAUAACAAUAAUCAUUUGAUUAUAAAUUGAACGAUGAUAACCAAAAAUUUCUAGCAAAAAUUAGACGAAAUAAUAUGUAAAAAGAGGUACCAAAUAGUAAAUAUAUAUUAAUUAUAUUAAAUAAUAGAAUAUUUCAUAAAUUAAGGGCAUUUUAGACAGUUUGGGAUGUGUAUUAAGUAUAAUACUGAAAUGAAAAACUUGAUAUGUGGUGUAUUAAGUAAAAGGUGUGUAUUUAAAAUUUCUCUUUAUAUGACCUAAUCCAUGAAAAAAAAUCAUAUAAAUUGAUUGAAGAUUGUAAAAGAUAUAUAUGUGACUGGCAUUUCCUCUCGAAUGAAACCAAAAAUUCACAACGGAACAAAAUGUGUGACCGACCAACAAUAAGUGCACUUCUGGGGUUACAGAAGGAAAAAUUAGCUGAAAUAGAAUUCUGAUUUUUGACACACAAAAGACUUUCAGUGCAUGCGAGACCAUUUUAAGAACAAGACUCGUCUGGAAGAUAUAGUCAAACAAUAAGACAAGGAAAAAUUAACAGGGAAUCGAAUUCUAUGUUUUGGCACAUAUUAGCCAAACAGUACUACUUCUUGAAGCAGUGACAAUGAAUGAUCGAAUUCGGUUAAAACAAAAUAAUAAUAACAACGAUGAAUGAAUCAAUUCCCAGUAGCUUUUCCCUUUUGGGUACAAAUUCCAGUAGCAUUUAGGGUGUUCUCAUCCAGGACAAAAUCAUUGAUUUUUCUUCUUCUCUCUUGAAGUACUAUACUCCUUUUAAAAAUUGAACUUAGGUCUUAUAUUCACAAAAUUAGUAUCAAUAUAGUUUAAAAUGAGAUGCAAACAAUUUUAUCCAAUGACCAUAUGAGAAUGGUGAAUUGAUGCACCAAUAGUUCGAUACAUUGCAUUUGCCGUCGUUGUGUCGUCGCAAAUCUUGGACCAACGUACAGUGGCGGCAAAUCCGUGUAGUGGCUAACUAAAUUCUUUUUUGAAGUGGGGCUAAAUGGUUUAUGUGACUUUUGCAUUAGUGGUAGCUGCCAAGCUGGAUUGAUUAGGAUAAUCAUAUGUCGCAUAACUAGUUUUUUUUCUUCCUCAGGUUGUUCCAAACACUGAGACAUCUCUUCACACCCAGACGUCAUACUACAUUACUAGUCUCAUUAGGAAAAGACUCGGAUCUCAACUCCACACCUCUCAUUUCCUAUCUUGAGAAAUUGUAGCUAGUGGUCGAGAAAGGUAUAGCCUAGUUCUCGCAGGUCACACAAUUUUUUACAAAUGAAUAUUAUUCCAUGUAUCAACCUCAGUCAUGCUACAUAAUGAAGUGAUUUCAUCAUCAUUAACUAGCCAUACACUAUUUCGUUUCAUCAGUACUGUUUCAUAUAUGUGUGUGUGUUUAUGGUCGAAGGAUCCGGGGGAUAAUGUUAGCUUGAAAAUCAUAUGCAGGGUUCCAUGCAGCAGCUAAUAUAUUAUUAAGGGAUACGACGAACCCUAGCUAAAGGCAAUGAUUCUGAUUAGGACCCAAAGCUAGAAAUGGUUCUGGUAAGAUAAGGAGAUUAGGUCCAUGGAAUUAUAUGGAUAAAUGGGUGUUGUCUCAGCUUUAAGCAACACUUGGUGGUGGGUUUAGAAAGUUUUUAGCUAGCUACCCACUGCCCUUAGGGUUAGGUCUCCAGAACUAAUCAUACUAAUGACCCGGAGCCAAUCGAACGCUAGAUCGAGGAAUCGACUAUUAUUCUCUUUGUGUUGUAAUGUCUAAUCGAAGAUAUGAUCGAGAUUGGUGGCUGAAUGCUUCACUCGUUUUGUUAAUCAUGGGUUACAACUUAGAACACACCUAUAGAUCACAUCGAAUAAAAGCCAUGAUCAGCUGGUGAAUGUUUACUGCACAAAAUUGGCAUAUGAUUUAAAGGCAUGAGGGGUACAUGGAAGAGACUUGUAACUACAUAAUUUGGGACAAUGCUGAGCCACUUUUGCAAGCACGUGGAUUCAGUACCAGUUUUAGUAUAUUUCUUGCAAGAUGGUAAAUCAAUUUUGUUCUAUAUAUCAUGUGAUGAAUCAUUGCUAGCUUGCAAUCAAUGGCAAGUACUGAUGCAGGAGGCUGGGUGGUAAUUCCCUUUUACUUACUAUACAAAGUGAUGUAAGGUUGGAGUGGGUGGUGGACGUCAGAGGCGGAGCCUGAAAUUUAUCUUAAAGGGGGCGGAUAAUACAUAGUCAAAUGAAAAUUUAAUUCUUACCGAUAUAAUUAAUCAAACAUAAUUAUUAGUGUACAACUGUACAUAAAGGUUACACAUUUUGGUCAUCAAAAUGGUGGUCAGGGUGGACUGCCACUCCGGGGCCUAGAGCAGGUUAAGGUCAAGACCCCUCCCCAUCGAAUGUUUUUCACUUGCAGAGGAUCGAACCAGAGACCUCCUUAUUACCAGGAGUAUCUCUGUAACAUUCGCCCAACAACAAGCAGACCUAUCAUACUUUACCACUAGACCAAACCCACAUGGGUACAUAAAGGUUACACAUUUGCUCUUAUUUUUUCAUUAACUUCCUCAAAUGUUUAAACCUUAAUACAUAAAUUUUAUAGCAAUUAGACAUAAAUUAUAGAUUGGCAUUAAUCUAUUUUAUUCAUUUAAGAAAACAAGAAUUGAGUGCAAAGACGUUUUCUUUUUGUUCCCCUACUCAGUUUAUAAGUAGUUUCCAGAUUUAUAAGAGGGGUGCCAUCAAGUAUAAUCACCCACAAACUUUUCCUAAAUUAAUAUCAUCUUAGUUAGAAAUCAUACAUCAACCAAAAGAUCAAGGGGUGCCAUGGCACCCUUUUGGUCUUUACCUAGUUCCGCCAUUGAUGGCGGUGGAGUAGAGUUUAUUUCUAGCAUAUGAGAAUUACUGCAAACACAAAUGAUAUUGCUACAUUUUAAAUAAAUAAAAAAAUUUAUUAAAUAACUCACACACCCUUACAUAUGUUUAGUGAGGUUUUGAACCUAUGACCUUGAUCAAUGUUGUCGGUUAGGCUACCUAACCAACCAGGCCACGGCUCACCGACAAUGAUAUUACUAUAUAAGUAAACGAGAAGUGGAAUGUAUUUUUGUUUUUACCCUGGCCUCAUGCAUGUUAUGAGCAUGUUUUCCAAUCACCUAACUAAAUCAUGAACUUCUAAUCUCAUCCAUCUUGCAUGUUGAUCGAUAGAGAUCGAGUUCUAACAACAAUUGAUCAUGAUUAAUCUGGUUAUAUCUUAACCUCUCAACGUACGUGUUAUGAGAGCACUUCCUUUGCAAUAAUAUACAAGCAUCGUGGUAGGAUUAUGUACUCCGGAAAUAUUAUUGGAUGUUAUAUAGUUUUAAGAUAUUGGUGUAAAUUAAAAUUUUGUGACGAUGUAGCUGUAUCACUUUUAUUUCUCAAACAUUGGUACGAAAACAGACAUAACAAUCGAUAAUAUUGAAUGAAAUGAAAGAUCCAAUGAUAUCCAACGUCAGUUAUUUUAGUUAGCGCUAGAUUCAAUGUUGAAAGAUUUUUAUGUUAGCUAGAUAAGGACAUUUUUCUUUACCAUCUCCAUUGUAAUUUUUGUUUUUGGAGGAUUAGUGAGAGGGGUUCAGGUGUCAACCUAGCUUGUAUGAAUUCCCAUAUUCAUUAGUUGCAUCCAGAGACAGAGCAAAAGAAGAUAAAAGGACAAAAAUAAACACAAACCUUCGUUGUUAGCUAGUCUAAACAUAGCAUCUACCAGAAAACCUAAUACCUCUAGUCAUAUAGAAGUAAGAUCAAAGCGGAUGUGAUACCUAAUGUCUAUCGGUUCUGCAUAAACGUUUUCAUAUGGUUGCAUUGAACAAAAUAAUACCUCAUUAGCGAAGAAAAACCAGUGAUAAAAAAUAAAGAUAUGAAUAGAAAACUAUGUUACAUUAUUAGAGAAAACUCCGGAGUAAUUUUUUAGAAGUAAAGAACAUUUAUAAAAGAUGUUAGCGUCUUCAUCAUAUCUAUUUGAUUGCAAGAGCCUUUUAUUUUGAUUUUCAAAGACUAAAAGAUUCAUGCACAAUUUCCCUUCAUCUGCAUGUAUUCUACGAUUUGAUACAGCCAAAUAUGAACUUCUUUAAACCUUCCACAUUUUCCCAGUAUAAUGCAGUGAAGAAGUCGGAGGUAAUUAAUUGGUAUAUAUUAACUUGCGUCACAAUCUAAACGGGUAAUGAUAUCAGCAGGUUUCAGAAGCAUAAUAAGGGUAAGGCUAUAUUUUGGAAUGCGUUAUAACCUUUGUUUAACAUGCACAUUAGAUUUGAUCAAAGUUCAAGCAUUAUAAAAACAAAGAUUAAAUGGUUGAGAUUAUUCAAUCUAACUAUACUUGAAACAUGUCAAAUGAACUCUGAAGAAUUAAAAGGCUAGCGUAGGCAGAGUUUGAAUCACAGACAAAAUAGAUGAACUCGUCUCACCUGUUGAACUUAAAAAAUGAUCACUGGAAAAGUACCUGUUUUAGAGAAUACCUCUCAACUUGGCACCAGUGGUCUAGUGGUAGAAUAGUACCCUGCCACGGUACAGACCCGGGUUCGAUUCCCGGCUGGUGCAUUUUCUUAUUUCUUUUGAACUCUUCUUCAUUUUUGUUAAAGUCUCACUCUAUCUCUCACAGUCUCACCUACCCUGCGCUUUUCUCCUCUAACCAUGGUUAAACCUUCCCACGCGUUUUCAAACGCAAACAUCCAAACCCCGGUCACCCCCAGACUUCACGGUCACGAUUCAUUCAGUUACGCGUUACUUCCAAGUUUGCGCGCCUUUACGCCCCAUCCGACGUGGCCACACCGUCGUCCUUUUCGUGCCAUCACGUUCCCCGCCACGUGUCCGUCCCUGACCCCGGUCACCUCCUCCCUCCCUUCCCGCGACGGCAACUCCCACCACGCCUAAUAAUCAUCGUCAAAAUCACACUUCCCCAAACCACCCCCACCAAGGCCACCAUCUCCACCAAACAAUCUCAUUCCCGAGGGCAGUUCCGUCUGUUCAACAGGCCUGUCAAUUUUAACCACAUUAAUUAUAACGAAAAUUUAUUAUUAUCCUUUCUUCUCUGAUGAGUCUUCCCUAGUAAAAAAGGAAGGAGUACAGAAACUGCUCCAUCGUUGAUUCAGUCGCCACAGUUUCCACGUGAGCUUAUCCCGAUGCGAUCUCCGCACUCCGUCAGUAUUUUAUUUCAGUUCUUCGCUUAAUAUCAUUAUCGUUUCUGAUCCUCCACCUCCAAUUUUUUUUGUUUUGAUUUUUUCGGUUGCGAUUUUGUGGAAUAUAAUAUCACCGAUUGAACAUUUUGACUUGGAUUGUACUGGAACCGCAGAGCCGCAGUUGACUGAGAGGUUUUCUUCUAGUUUUCCGGCGAUGGAUUCUGCUCGGAGUUGGUUCCAGAAGUUUCAGCCGAGAGCGAAGAAGAAGGGGACGGAAUACGCUACAGAUGAACGGCCGGCUUCUUUGGACGACGAGGCGCCGUCGGCUGCGACAAAGCAGAAGGUGGAGGCGGCGAAGCAGUACAUAGAGAACCACUACAAGGCGCAAAUGAAGUGCUUGCAGGACAGGAAGGAGAGGUAGAGUAGACUCAGUAAAGCAAGUCUGCUGAUUUUGUGUUUGGAUUGGAGGUAAGGCUGUGUUUGGGAAUUGAAUUUGUGUUUUUUGUGGCCUAAUUGCAGGCGAUGGAUGCUGGAGAGGCGGUUGGCGGAUGCCGAAGUUUCGCAGGAGGAUCAGAUGAAUGUGCUCAAGUAUUUGGAGCAGAAGGAGACAGAGUAUAUGCAUCUUCAGAGGCAUAAGAUGGGGGUUGAUGACUUUCAGCUGUUGACGAUUAUCGG